rnacentral:lncRNA from 1 species
ACCAAGGAAGCAGCUUUUCAUGGACCAACUCAGGCCUGUCGUCAUGGGGGCAAUGUCCUACUCCAUCCAAUACAAUUAGCUUCACAUUUGAGAGUUUAGAAGGCAGAGAUGAGAAGUAUUUACCAACAGGUCCAUCGAGGGGUGUGAAUGGAUCCUCAUCACCCCAUAAAACUAGUACAGGUAUAGAGAUUGAUGGCAUCAAUUGAACUGGGUUCGUCCCUGGUGGGCCUGUUACAAUCGAAACAAAUGCAUCAAGUGCCCCUUCCUCAUUGGCAGGCUCUCGUAUGAUCUGCAGUUUUGGGGUUGAUUCAUGAAUUCUGAGUAGCCAUUUUUGUAACAGGUUAAAAUGACAAGUGGAGAAUAUUAAUACCUCAACCAGUGUUUCAUCCACAGAUUCCUUAUUUGCAUAGAUCGACAGUAAAAUAUUCCUCAGUGUUUCCCUGAAGCACCAAUGUAUACACAUCAUAGAUUUUUUUAAUUUUGACUCUAGUGUUUUAGGAUAAUGAACAAUGGACUGAAUAAAGAGAAGAGAAAAUACCUUUGUUUCACACGCUCAAAUAUAGCAGAAGCAAUUGGCCUUUGCUUCAACAAAAAACCAAUGAACCAAAGCAAUGGUAACAAUAGCUUGAUUCUCCAAUCAUCAACAAUUGCCUUGUUGUUCAUGCCACCAGCACAAUUCAACAGAACAAGCCCUCGAACAAGGGUCUGACUAGAUUCUUAUGGUAGAAAAUAUAGCACGUUUAUCGUAAACCAUAGAUACCAAAAAGGAUAAUCAGGGACAAGUGUUUCUUUGCAAGCAAGUUGAAGAAUAUCUGAUGUCCAAGGGGAAGUUAAAAUAAAUAUACCUGAGGCAGCGAUAACACAAGCUAGGCUUCCAACAGAAUUACCUAUAAGCACAGUUGGCUUCUGAACAACUUCAUCCAAGAAAUCCAAUAUUAGCUGUAUCAGUGAAUCUCACUCAAGUUAGCAAGGAAAAUAACUAAAGGUCAAGUGAUUGAUGACAUAAGUACAGAGAAAGAUCCAACUUCCGGCUAGGGAACAUUGCACACCUGAGCCCAUGCCUCCAUGGUAUAUGAAUAACCAGCUGGCUUAUCUGAAGCACCAAAUCCAAGAAGGUCAAUUGCAUAAACCAUGUAGCUCUUCGCCAGGGUGCCGAUAUUCCUGAAAUUACCUCAGAGAUGACAAGAAAAAUAUCAAUUCCUCACAUUAUUUAAUAGGAUAAAGGAGUAGUGAACACACAAAUUUUCAUUCCUCUCUUCUACGGAGCGGUAAAAUGAAUACUUUUUCACUAGAUUAAGAAUUGGAAAAUGGAAGAAGCCUAUACCCAUAAAAGGGUAAUAUGAAAUGGAACCCUGAAAUUCAGAUCACUGGUUUGUCAUCAUCUAGGUGCAAGGAAUAGAACUAAGUGUUAAUGCCAAUGCACCAUGAAAUAAUGAAUAGAUUUUACUUUCAUUAUUCUUUUGCUUCAUUGAUCUUAAUUAAUUAUUAGAAGUAUAACACAUAUAAAUCCAUCCCUGGAGUUCAUAAUACAUAACAGAGUCAGAGAUAUUACAUACAUAAGGUAAAGACAUGCUCCACACAAAAAAAAAAAAAAAAAUUACAGUCGAAAAUACCCAGAACAUAAUUUGAAUUGAAUUCACAAUAAAGGAGCUACAUUUUUGUGCACCCAAUAAUCAACCCGCUAGACAAUUCACAACAAGAAAGAGCAAUCUUAUCUCGCUAACCUGCGCCAGUGAGGAAUGGAGGCACCAAAGCCAUGGACAAGGAGUAGAGGAGGAGAAUCGGGAUGUGAAUUUGGAGUUGAAGAAACCAAGUAAUUGAUGGAGUACUGACCCUUCCAUUUCCACAUUUUGCAACUCUCCCUUAUCUCAUUAACCUCCAGUUCCAGUGCAGCAGAAGCAGAAUCCCCUCCACUGCUACUGUUAGUAUAACUGAUGGUAACAUUUUGUCUCUUCUUCUUCUCCUCAUUCCUCUGCUGCAACUCCAACUGCAACUGAAACUGCCAACUCUUAUUGCUCAAUAGGGGCAAGCGCAGGCCUUUUACAUCUCCAUUUCCAUUUCCAAUCCUGAGCUUUGUUAUUGGAAUAAUGAAAGAGGGAGCCCGAGCCCUUACCAUCCACACGCUCAUUCUUCUCUUGCUUUUUCAAUUGAAUAUUUUCUGUGGCCUGGCUUGGCCUGCUCCUCCCCUGCUUCCACCUCUAUGCGACUGUGGCUAUGACAAAAACUUUUUAUAUACUUAUUUAUUUAUUGGGCUUAUUCCACUAUAAUAUGAAAAUUUUACUGAUAUUCCUCAAAAAUCAAAAUGAUAAUACUUCGUCUAAAAAAUAAUUAUAAAACAUACAUGCUAUGUUUUAAAAUUUUCAAACAAAGAAGAACUUUGUAGAGUUAAUUAACUAGAUUUAUUUUAGUUUGCUUUCUUGUGAUUUAGAUUAUUUUAUUAUAAUUAGCUACAAAGAUUGCUUUGUCAUAAGUUUAAAUUGAUUAUUUUACCCUUAUAAGGUAAAAAUAUUAAGAAUUUGCUUUAAUUUCAAUAUUUUUCUAAUUUUAUACCAAACUCAUUGUUUCUAAUACUAUUUUACUAAUUACUAGUAUGAGUUUUAAUCUUUAAUUAAACUAAAAUAGUAUCUUUAGGGCAUGAUACUCAUGUAACUUAUUGGGAUGUCAAUUUUAUGUUAUUUACACAUAAAAGUAGAGAAAAUAACAAUUAGAUUUUAUUUAAAAAUAUUAUAUUAUAAGCCACAAAAUUAGAUACAUAAAUUAUUAGAUACAAUAACUCAUGUUUAUUAUGGUAAUUUAGUCACUAUAUAUCAUAAUAAUAAAAUACUAAAAUAAAUCUUGUAUUAAACUUUAUGAUUAAAGAUGGUCAAAUAACCUAAGAAGAAAAUCAAUAGAAGGAUUUUACUGAUUAACUAUACAAAAUUUUUAUUAAUUUUUAUUUUUAAAAAAAUAUUGUGAAUUCAUUACAAUUAAUUUCUAGAAGUAGGGUGGAUUUAUAAAAUAGUGGGGUGCAAAUACCCUUACCCAAAUAUUCCAUAAAAAGUGAAAACUAUUACCUUUUUUGAUGUACUUCUCUUGAAUUUUUUAUUCCUACGGAUAAACUUUAAUUCAUCCCCAAAUAAAAUGAUAAUCUCUAAUUUGCUCUCAAUGUAAACCUCAAUUUAUUCUUCAUUUCUGUCCAAAAGAUGAGGGGCAAAUAAGGAAUGUGUUGAUGGGUUUUUUUUUUUUUUAAUCUUCUUAACAAUAAAUGGGGUAAAUUGAUAUUUUUAUACUUUUAGGUGAUAAAUUAAAGAUUUUCAUUCUGAAUUGGGGGCAAAUUAAAAUCUAUCUUAUUUCUAAAGGCACCACGUGAUUUGGCAAAAUAACUAGAAAGAUAUUUUGUUUUUAGAAAAGGUCACACAUGUCUCUUUUGAGAUACACAAAUUCUCUUUCAGAUAAAACAUUAGGAUUUGUGUGAUUAUUUCUUGACCAAAAGGGUUUGUGUUUCAAAAAAAUGAUUAUGUGAUUAUUUUGCCUGACCGAGAGAGUCAUUAUUCAAACACCAAUCACAUUUUUGUUUUAACAAACACCCUUUCAUUUAUUCUUUAAGCUUUUUUUUUGUUUUUUUCCCAAAAAAUGAUGAAUAGAUAUUGAAAAUUUUGUUUUCAUUUUUUUAUUGAAAAAAAUGAAAAACACCAAAUAUUACUGCUUCCUUGUCCAUACUUUUUCGUCCUAUAUUACCUUAAUUUUAUAUCGUUUUCUCUAUUUCUAUUUUUAUAGUCCAAUUCUGAAAAUACAGUAUUAGACACAUUUUUAAAUUGAAAAACACCAAACAUAGUGCAUCAUUUUCAUUAUAAGCAUUAACACCUGACGUACACAUUCUCCAAAUGGGAUUAAUGGGAAAAAAAAAUGGUGACUCCUUCAGAAAUGAAGUUGUACAAUUAGUUUGAAUUGAGUAGAUACAGAGACGUCUCCAUUGUGCUAUAGUGCCAUUCCUCGUAGAAGAAUCUGAUGGCGGAACAAUACCUACAGCAUCCAAUUUUUCUGGCACAAGGGGUUUUGUGAACAACAAAACUGGCUCAAGAGGAUCCUGAAACCCCACAGUUACAUUUUCAAAAUGAUGCACUGCUGAUAUUCAGAAAUAAAACAAGGAUAAAACAUUUUCGAAAGCUUACUUAAAUCAUUUUUCCUUCCAACCACAGAUAGGUCAAUAAGUCAAAUACUGGAGCUGACAGAGCGCUGGCAGAAUUAACUACAAACCACCAGAUUUAUCGUGUUAAUUGAUUGUUUUCAAUUACCACGGUAACCCGGCUCGGGUGUUACCUCUGUUUCUGUCAGUGCUCUGUUGAAUAUUUCCGUUUAAAAAUCAGCAUUCAUAUAUGUAAGUAGUAUGGCAGCAGCGAAAUAUCAUGCGUAAUAAUUAGGCUAUUAGUUCUGGGUCCAGGAAUUGAGAUAAUCAGAUUAGGUGCAAAAGCUAUAUGUACCAAUUUAUGUAGCCAUGCAUAAUAUAUUCAUUUUUGACUUGCAAAUUCUUCCUUUUCACAACUUUAGGUACAACUUUUCCUUUCCUUUUGAAGGCCCACUCCAGUAGGGGUGGGCAUUUGGUUCGGUUCAGUCUGAACCGAACCGAACCGAACCGUAUUAUGAUAAUUUAGUUCGGUUUGGUUCGCAGCAAAAAAUUAAAUGGUUCAGAAGCAUACAGAGUAGGGGUGGGCAUUUGGUUCGGUUCAGUCUGAACCGAACCGAGCCGAAUCGUAUUAUGACAAUUUGGUUCGGAGCAAAAAACCAAAUGGUUCAGAAAGCAUACAGAGUAGGGGUGGGCAUUUGGUUCGGUUCAGUCUGAACCGAACCGAGCCGAAUCGUAUUAUGACAAUUUGGUUCGGAGCAAAAAACUAAAUGGUUCAGAAAUUCUGAACCAUUUGGUUUUUUAUUUGGUUCGGUUUUACCGAACCAAAUGGUUCAAGAAAAAAUUAAAAUUAAAAAAUAGUUCAGAAUUUAUCUUUUUUUUUAAUUUCUGUUUGUUAGUUAAUACAUGAUAUUAUAUAUGUCAUAGCAUACACUUUAUUUUAUUGUUGAACUUUAUUAUUUUAAUUUAUUAUUGUUAAAUUUUAUUACAUUGGUUAUUAUUUAUGGAUUUCUAGAUUAUUUUUGGAAUUUAUUAUGUUAAUUUACAAUUGUUAGAUUUUAUUAUGUUGUUUAUUGUUUGCUAAUUUAUAGACUCAAGAUUAUUGUUGUAUUAAUAGCGUAUUAUUAUAUUAUAUUUUUUUUAUUAAAUAAUGAAUAUAUAGGAUAAAAUCAAAUCAAACCGAACCGAACCGAACUGAACCAAAUUAAUUUGGUUCGGUUCUAUAAUUUGGUUCAUAAAUUCAUGAACCAUUUGGUUUUAGGAGGAUGGUUCUGCCACGACAGGUAAUACCAUAAACAAAUGAUUUCACCACAUUUCAAGAAAGCAUUUAACUUAUGCCUCAUUUUCAUUCUAGCAAUUUGCUUGCCAUUGGCUGAUUGGAAAAAGUGCAUUUUAGUGAUAGAAUACUGUCAACCUAUAGCACGAAUAGGGGUUAAACAAAGUAAAUCCCUACCUUUACAUGUCAAAUAAAAGACUUUCGUAAUAUCAAAUAUCAAAACUCAUGUCUAGUAAAGGAUUCCCCAAUGCUGGCUCUCAAAAUUGCUUUUGUUUCAUGGAUGAGAUGAUGGUUUUUGUGGAUAUUCUGCUCAACUUGGAUCAUGCCUUGGGUCAGAUCCCAACUUGCUGCAAAGCUCACCUGACUAAAUCUUAGUUGAUUUGCUUUUCCAAACUAAAUCCAAGCAAGUAAGUACAAGAGAUAAAAGCAAAAGUUCAAGCAUCUCUUUUGAGCCUGUCACUAACAAAUGGUCAAUGAGCAAUGUCUACCUAUGACUGAGCAACAGAAUCAAUAAACAGACAGACAAAAAAUAAUAAUCAAGUCAUCUGUCAAAUGCUAGUCCAUGAAAAUCAUAUAUAGAUAUAUAUAUAUAUAUAUAUGUAUGUAUGUAUGUAUGUAUAUGUAUAUGUAUAUGUAUGAUCAUUCAUUUCUCAAUCAACCACCAAAUUGAUGUCAACAAAGCCAUGAGGAUUGUCUCACAAGUCUUUCAUUUUCCCUCUCUUUAGGCCAGAGACCAGUAAACCAUUUGAAAUAUGGAUGUGCAAACCAGUAAAUAAAUCAUGAACUUACAUACUAGUCUGCUUUCGCACUCAUUCGGAACUAUCUAUGAUACUUACUGCAGGUACGGUGUAUACAUUAUACUAAAGUGAAGGCUGGAUCAAUAAGAAAUUCAAAAUGUUUCAUCGCAUUUGGGGCUUGAUGAUGCCAAAGAAAGACCAUACCAAUUACGAUGAACAGUAAAAUGUGAACAAGAACAAGCAUACAUUUAAGAAAGCAGAGAAGCAUCAUUAAAAUAAAGUAUUCUUCUUACUAUUCUAUGUUGUUGGAAAAUGGACCAAAAUAAAAAAGAAACCAUAUAUGGUUAACGUCACAACAAGAGUAUUCGUGCAUUUGUACAUCAUAGGAUAUUGGGAAGACAUCAGCAGAGAAGUGCAAAUUUUUUUUUGGGGAAAGGAACAGAGAAGUGCAAGUCAAAAAGGAGAAAAAGUGAAAAGAGAGAGAUCAAAAGGAAUGCAAUCUAAUUAACCGUCUAAGGAGACUACUAUGCUACAUUUAGCCAUUGGUUGAAUAGGCAGCUUGUUUUCUAGUACAACUUUAAAUUUUCCAAGAUUAAAAUUUUCCUACUGAAGAAAACUAAUUUCUAAAGCAGCUAUUACCAUCUUCAUCCCAACGGUAAGCAGCUCCAUACUAAGGAAAGAGUGAAAUAAGUGUGCUUUACUUAUAGAAGCCCAUUCCUGUCCAGAGUGAUUAGUAAGUUGUUUCACCAUGACCCCCAUUAUGGUGACUGAAAAAAGAAAAAUAAAAGAAGAAAAUAUUUGCCGAACACAAUAGUAGCACCUAAGAAGUCCUACUUAAGAGACUUCAUACCCUGCACAAAUCGGAAAGUUUUUUAAAAUUUUCAUGUUUCAAAUGAAGAUUGUCCAUUAAAAAAUUACACACAUAAUGUAUGUAAAGCAAUUAAAACAAUAAAAAAAAAAAAAAGCAAGACAAGAACAAUGGCUGAUAACAGUCAAAUAAGGAGAGACCAGACCAUAGUUUUCUUUCAGUUAAUUUCUUCUAGUUGUUAGACUCUAACGCACUGUUGGGAGUAUCGGUAAACUUUUAUAAUUAGAAAUUUAGGUACUUAGGAUAAAUUAUACAGUUGCCUCGACCAUGAGCAGCCCCAAUCUUCAAUAUAAUUUCACUUUUUUACUGCAUUAGUGUCUCUUUUUGUUAGGUGCUUACUUUUGGUCUAAAAUUUUAAAAUUUCUCCGGCCGACUUGCAUUAGCAUUUGUAAUAAUAUAUAAUUUUUUUUUUUUCAAACGGAUGUGACAAUAUAUAGUUGAUGGGGUAAUAACUACUUUUAAUAUCUUGGUAUGUAUGAGUUUCAUUAAAUUUUCAGUCAGCUAGCUCCUCAUUAUCUAUUAUAAAUAACUGCAGUCCCUAAUACAAUGUCAUGAUAUUUAUAAAUGAAAGAAUUGGAGAACAAGAAAAUUUGAAACUGCUCUUUUAUCUACCAGCAACAACUAUUAGAAUAUGACAAUUAUCAUUAAUUGACUUUCAUUAGAGUUUAGCACAGAUUGAAUUCUUAAUAAGGCAGCUGACAAAAUAUUUGUUUAUUAAACGAUUGACUGGCCUCCCUCAAUUGGGGACGCGGGCAUUUAUUUAAUUUCUUUUAAUCAAGAUUGGAUGUACCUGUACAUAACCAAUAAUAUUAUGCAAAUAUCCAGAGAAGAGGCACCGAUGACUUUAUUUAUUUAUUUAUUUUGUCGAUAAGCUUCUUUGGAUGGUUGAGAAAAUAAUUUGUUAUUUUUUUAAUCAUAAUCCCCUGCGUAAUGAAAGCCUCCAUUUACUCGUUAUAUGGUAAAACUAAUAAUUUCUCUCAAUUUUUAACGAUAAUUUAUAUAUAAUUCUAGAGAGUCACGCACAUUUGGUUCAAUAAUUGGUUUCAUCCGAAUCAAAAUCUCUCUCUAAUCAAUUCAACUGUUUCUGUUGAUUAUGGCUUCUUCUUCUCGAAACAACAAGCAGUAUGAUGUUUUUGUUAGUUUCAGAGGAGAGGACACCCGCGACAACUUUACUAGCCAUCUCUAUUCUGCUCUGUGUCGACAAAAUAUCCAAACUUUCAUUGAUGACCAACUUAACAGAGGAGGCGAAAUUUCGGAGUCACUGGUGAAUGCAAUUGAAGCAUCAGCCAUUUCUGUUAUCGUCUUCUCAGAAGGGUAUGCAUCUUCCAGAUGGUGUCUCGAUGAACUUGUAAAGAUCCUCGAGUGCAAGAAGGAGUAUGCACAGAUUGUGAUUCCGGUUUUCUAUCGGGUUGAUCCAUCAGACGUGAGAAACCAAACUGGGAGUUUUGGGGAUUCAUUUUCGAAGCUUGAAGAAAGAUUUAAGGAAAAUUCAAAGAAGCUGCUGACUUGGAGGAAUGCUUUGAAGGAGGCAGCCACUUUGUCUGGCUUUAAUUCUCUUAACAUCAGGUGAAAAGUUACUUUUAAUUUCGCAUACUAAUAUUCAACACUGUAAAUAAAAUUCACGCAGCACUCUUAGUUAAAUUUUCCAGAUGAUAAACUACACUUUUAAAUUUUUUCAUGCAUUAAAUUCUAGACUUCUUGAACUUCCCCACUUUUGAACUCCUAUAAAAGAAUUUUUGCAGAAUUAAUAAUAAAAGCUCCAGAGGUUUACAAUAUAUUUUAACAAAAUUAAUGGUUUUCUGUCGUUUUUUAAUCAAUUUCAAUCUCUUACUCAUAUACCAUUAGGAAAAAAAAAUCUCUUCCACAUAUAACAUAUUCCUGUAAUUAAAGAGUUAUUAAUUUAUAGGGAGAUUGUAAAUUCCCUUACUCAAAUCAAUAUAUACUACUUAUUCUGACUCUUUUUACAAUAUUUAAUAACUCUUCUGGUACCAUCACUUUACAAUAUUAUCCUUAUAAAAAAAAAUAAGUGGUAUAUAUUAUUUUCAAUUGGAAAACUAGCAAUCUCCCUUAUUUGAAGUUACUGCUGCUAAUUUUAUGUAUUUGGUAGGCCUGAAUCGGAACUUAUAAACGAAGCUGUUAAUCACAUUUCAAAGAGACUGCUGGAUCAAGUUUUUCGGCCGAAUGAUAACAAAAACCAGCUGGUUGGAGUAGAAUCAAGAAUUGAGGAAAUUGAAUCCUUAUUAGGUGUUCAGUCGAAAGAUGUUUAUGCUUUAGGGAUUUGGGGCAUUGGUGGUAUAGGCAAAACAACAGUCGCUAGAGCUACUUUCGACAAAAUCUCUAGAUAUUUUGAAGGUUCUUGCUUCCUUGAAAAUGUUAGAGGAGAGUCACAAAGACCGGGAGGAUUAGCUUGCCUGCGACAAAAACUUGUUGCAAAUUUAUUGAAGGAUAAAAAUAUGAUUCCUGAUAUUGAGCUCAAUUUUAGAAGGCUCAGCCGCAUGAAGGUUCUGAUUGUUUUUGAUGAUGUGAGUUGCUUUAGCCAGUUAGAAUCCUUAAUCGGAAGUCUUGAUUGGUUGACGCCUGUGAGUCGAAUCAUAAUAACCAGCAGAAAUAAACAAGUGCUUAGAAAUUGGGGGGUGAGGAAAAUAUAUGAGAUGGAGGCAUUAGAAUAUCAUCACGCUCUUGAGCUUUUCAGUCGACAUGCCUUCAAACAAAACCAUCCUGAUGUUGGUUAUGAGGAACUUUCAAGCAAAGUAAUGAAAUAUGCUCAAGGUGUUCCUUUAGCUCUUAAAGUUUUGGGUUGCUUUCUGCAUAAAAGGGAAAAAGAAGUCUGGGAAAGUGCAAUAGAUAAAUUGCAAAGAAUCCUCCAUCCAAGUAUUCUUGAGGUAUUAAAAAUAAGUUAUGAUAGUUUGGACGAUAAGGAGAAAAAUAUUUUCCUUGAUGUUGCUUGUUUCUUUCAAGGUGAGGAUGCAGAUCUAGUAAUGAAAUUUUUUAAUGCAAGUGGCUUCUACCCAUAAAUAGGAAUGAGUGUUCUUGUUGAUAAAUCUCUCAUUGCUAUUGAUUCACACAAAAAGAUAACAAUGCAUGAUUUACUACAAGAAUUGGGUAGGGAAAUUGUUCGACAAGAAUCAAUUGAUCCUGGAAACCGCAGUCAGCUGUGGCAUCAUGAGGAUAUCUAUGAAGUUCUUACAUAUAAUACGGUAAGCAGUUUGUUGUGGAUUAUUAAUUUGGAAUAAUGUAGUGUUUAAAAACUUGAUGUGCAUAUAUUUACAUACGCUCGAACUGAUGAGUCUUAGAAUUAAUAGAAGAGUGGCAAUGAUUAGAAAAAACAAUAGUGGUUAGAUGAUGUAGCAAUGAAUUAUAUAUGCGAUGACAGGUUGCAUAACCGUUUGUAAGCAUAAUUGAUAUGUAAAUUUGUGUAGUACACAUAUAUAAUUUUUAUGUUAAGUAUUACCUGUGUUAUUAUGUCUCUUUGUGCAUUUGCAAUUAAGUGUUUAACUGCCUAGCAAUAACUAUAAACAUGAAUUAUUGAAAUUUGAUACGAGUAAUGAAAGAGAGCCCCACUCCAUUCCCACAUAUAAAUUGAAUUAAUAACUAAGCUACCUCUAAUUGUGAAUUAGUGACAAAAUUGCCCCAGAAAUUUGUCUUGGUGAGAUUGAAGUGCGAUUCAUUAGUGGAAUAUACGUAUCUUUCAUUUGAUUUUAACUUUAUUGUUUUUUAUUUAUUUUUAGGGGACAGAAAAAAUUGAGGGCAUCUGUUUGGAUAUGUCAACAGUAAAAGAGAUCUAUCUAAAUCUCAGUACUUUCACAAAGAUGCCUAAACUGAGAUUUUUAAAGUUCUAUAGUUCAUCAUUCAAUGGAGAGAACAAAUGUAAGGUGUCUUAUUUGCAAGACCCUAGAUUUGCUGAAGUGAAAUAUUUUCACUGGCAUGGAUACCCGUUGAAGUCAUUGCCUUCAAACCUUGGUGCAGAGAAGCUUGUGUUUCUUGAAGUGCCUAAUAGCGACAUUGAACAACUUUGGAAUGGUGAGAAGGUAUGUUUAUCUUACUAUAUAUGUGCAAUCUUUCAAUAAGAACAUUAAAUUAUCAUACAUAGUAAUGAUUUAACAUUGAACAACUUUGGGAUUGUGUGAAGGUAUGCAUAUCUUAUUAUAUAUGUGCAAUCUUUCAAUAACAUUAAAUUAUUACACGUGGUAACGAUUUUGUCUUGGGCUCUUUUUUGACCGAGCAGCAUUAUAGUAAGUUAAACCAGAUAAUCAAUGCUGCUUGCAAUAAGCUAAUUGCCAAAACUCCAAAUCCCACGUUGAUGCCACAUCUGAACAAGCUAGUUAUCUUGAAUCUAAGAGGUAGCAAAAGCCUGAAAAGUCUUCCAUCUGGAAUAUUUAACUUGGAAUUUCUUACCAAACUUGAUCUUUCGGGCUGCUCAAAACUGAAAAGGCUGCCAGAGAUCUCAUCAGGUAAUAUAAACUGGUUAUUUUUAAGGGAGACUGCAAUUGAAGAACUGCCUUCAUCAAUUGAGAGUCUACUUAGGCUCGGGCACUUGGACCUUUCAGAUUGUAAAAGGCUUAAGAGUCUCCCAAGCAGCCUAUUUAAAUUGAAAUCUCUUGGAGUUCUUAAUCUCGAUGGUUGCACAAAUCUUCAGAGAUUGCCCGAAUGUCUUGGCCAAUUAUCCUCGCCAAUAAUAUUGAAUCUAGCGAAAACCAAUGUUGAGAGAAUACCAGAAAGCAUUAUUCAACUUUUCGUGUUGCGAUACCUCCUCUUAAGUUAUAGUGAGAGGAUUCAAUCCGCAUCAUUGCCUCUUGCACGAGGUUGCCUGGCACUGCAACCAUUCUUAGGUUUGUUCUCUAAGUUAUGAAUCUUAUAGGUAGUGUUUUUUGACCGGAGCAAUAAUUUUAAAUUGGAAGGUAAUUUUACUGCAGGAAUUCUUGAAGAUACCCAGAGAAGUCCGCAUAUGGACCAUAAGCUAGCUGUCCGUUGGCAAGAAGUACAGGAAAAUGUGUGUCUUUAACUCUCUCUGCUUACAAUUUCUACAAUUUUUUUUUUUGGGUUUAAAAUUAUGAUUUUUUGGUACAGAGAGGGUUUUCUAUGGGCAAAGUUCAUAUGGUACGGCCUGGGAAUGAAAUUCCAAAGUGGUUUAAGUUUCAAAGUGCGAGAUCUUUUGUAACCUUGGAGAUGCCACCAGAUUUCUUCCGUAAUAGCAGAGUGCUGGGCAUUGCAUUUAGUGCUAUUUUAGCAUUUUCAAACCGUCAUGUAGAUUGUGGCAGAUGGUUUUCAUUUUCUUUUGAGCUCAAAGUGAAAACCACCAAAGAUUGUGGUCCCCAUGACACACAGUUAUUUCAGAGCAGAGUUAAUUAUAUAGAAUCAGAUCACUUACAUUUGGGGUACUAUCUGUUCUGUGAAGAGGAUUUUAAAGGUUUUUGGAAUUGCAAUUGCAUUCCUGAGGCAGUCCAAUUUAAUGUUUUUCCAUCUUUGGAGUGUGAGUGCUGUGGGGUGAAAAAAUGUGGGAUCGAUUUAUUUCGCUUCCCAAAUUCUGCGAGUCCAAUGGAAGAUCCGAGCACAUGUUUCAACUAUAACGAAGAAGGCUGAGAUUUUCAUGAAUGUAUUUUUAUUUCUUUCCUUUUUCUAAUCACUAUUAAUAGUAGGAGAAGAUGUCAAAAUCAGUUAUUGGAACAAAACAUUCAUGUAAUAACUUUUGAGGGAUCUGGUGCAUGUAACACACAUUCACACUAGAGUAUUGAACUUUACCUCAUUAGAUGAAGAGUAUAAUGUAUGAAAAGCACAUGAUGUGUAUUGUAAAAGUAAAAUUAUUGGCCUUGUUUCCUGCAUUGCGCACACAACAAUCCAAAACACAUCUAUCUAAUUAGGAGAGCACGUGACUUAUAAAGCAGUAAAAAAACUCACUCACUAGUGAUAUGGGAUAUUGUAAGAUGCGCAGCAAGUUGUUAUUGGGGGAGUAAUGUUGUGGGCCCAUAUAAGGCCUGACAAGAUAUUGUCCGCUUUGGACCUUAAUGAGGCUCUCAUAGUUUUGUUUCUAGAGCGUCCAUACACCCCAAAACGCGUUUUGUCAAUUAAGGUGUGGAUUACUCCUUAUAAACCCAGAAUCUCUCCCUUACUUGUUGAUGUGAGAUUUGCUUAGGGUGUUACACUCAUCCUGUUGCGCACUAUAUCAAGUCUCAUGUAUAUAAUACAAUCACAUUUGAAAAUUUUCUACUUUCUUAAAUCUAAAUUGUUGUACAUGGGAAAGUUUCAUCAUGUGCAAGCAAAAGCCAUUAAGAGGGAACAGUUAAAACACCAUCAAAUCUAUAUAUUUUAAAAAAUAUAUUUGUAUGUUGAUUAAAAAAAAAAAAGAACAAGAUAGGUGUCAUUUUCACUCAACUCAUUUGUGUUGUGAAUCCAUUUGCUUAAACAUGUAUGCACUUUUUCAAGUAUCUAUACUAAUUUCAUAUUCGGAAUGGUACAUUUGAUUCCAUAGUUGAUGUGGGAGUCUAUGGCUAGAAUUUACCUUUAAAAUAUCAGCUUGGAAGGAAAGGAUUAAAGAUGCCCAUGAACUUAUAUUUCUAUUUAGAAUACUGUAUCUUUUUCAUGCAAAAAAUGGAAUCUUAUCAUUCACAUAUCAUUAACAUAAGCAAUAUAGAUCGCAUAUCUUUAUGAUUGUGCUAAAUUUGACUUUUUAUAGAAUAAUUUGAUACAUUUCUUGAAUCCAUUUGGAGCUUCUACAACUUGUUAGGGAUCAGUUUCUCCUACAUUCAUUUCGGCGCCAAAAGAUAUUCAAGCGGUUGAAUAAGAAUUGAUAUAUACAACAUAAAUAUAAGAGUUGUUUGCCUUUUUACAAUCGCAAUAAUAUAUAAUGCACAUAUAAAUGCAUUCAUGUAAUUCACAGAGUCAGAGAUAUUACAUACAAAAGUUAAAUACAUGCUUUGAACCUAUACAAAAAAAAUUAUAGUCGAAAUUACGUAGAAGAUGAAUUGAAUUCACAAUAAGGAGCUAAAUUUUUAUUUACCCAACAAUCAUCUCGCUACACAAUUCACAACAAGAAAGAGCAAUCUUGUUUAGCUAACCUGCGCCCGUGAGGAAUGGAGGCACUAAAGCCAUGGAUAUGGAGCAGAGGUGGAGAAUUGGGAUGUGAAUUUGGAAUUGAAGAAACCAAGUAAUUGAUGGAGUAUUGGCCCUUCCAUUUCCACAUUUUGCAACUCUUCCUUACCUCAUUAACCUCCAAUUCCAGCGCAGCUGAAGCAGAAUCCCUCCACUGCUACUGUUAGUAUAACUGAUGGUAACAUUUUGUCUCUUCUUUUUGUCCUUAUUCCUCUGCUGCAACUGCAACUUAAACUGCCAACUCUUAUUGCUCAAUACGGGCAUGAGCAGGCCCUUUCGAUUUCCAUCCCCAAUUCCGAGUGUUUUUAACUUGUUAUUGGAAUAAUGGGAGAGGGAGCCCGAGCACAUACUCAUUCUUUUCUUGCUUUUUCAAUUGAAUAUUUUCCGUGGCCUAGACGGGCCUGCCCUUUCCCUGCUUCUACCUCUAUGAGACUGACUACAACAGAACUUUUUAUUUAUUUAUUUAUGAGGCUUAUUCCACUNNNNNNNNNNNNNNNNNNNNNNNNNNNNNNNNNNNNNNNNNNNNNNNNNNNNNNNNNNNNNNNNNNNNNNNNNNNNNNNNNNNNNNNNNNNNNNNNNNNNNNNNNNNNNNNNNNNNNNNNNNNNNNNNNNNNNNNNNNNNNNNNNNNNNNNNNNNNNNNNNNNNNNNNNNNNNNNNNNNNNNNNNNNNNNNNNNNNNNNNNNNNNNNNNNNNNNNNNNNNNNNNNNNNNNNNNNNNNNNNNNNNNNNNNNNNNNNNNNNNNNNNNNNNNNNNNNNNNNNNNNNNNNNNNNNNNNNNNNNNNNNNNNNNNNNNNNNNNNNNNNNNNNNNNNNNNNNNNNNNNNNNNNNNNNNNNNNNNNNNNNNNNNNNNNNNNNNNNNNNNNNNNNNNNNNNNNNNNNNNNNNNNNNNNNNNNNNNNNNNNNNNNNNNNNNNNNNNNNNNNNNNNNNNNNNNNNNNNNNNNNNNNNNNNNNNNNNNNNNNNNNNNNNNNNNNNNNNNNNNNNNNNNNNNNNNNNNNNNNNNNNNNNNNNNNNNNNNNNNNNNNNNNNNNNNNNNNNNNNNNNNNNNNNNNNNNNNNNNNNNNNNNNNNNNNNNNNNNNNNNNNNNNNNNNNNNNNNNNNNNNNNNNNNNNNNNNNNNNNNNNNNNNNNNNNNNNNNNNNNNNNNNNNNNNNNNNNNNNNNNNNNNNNNNNNNNNNNNNNNNNNNNNNNNNNNNNNNNNNNNNNNNNNNNNNNNNNNNNNNNNNNNNNNNNNNNNNNNNNNNNNNNNNNNNNNNNNNNNNNNNNNNNNNNNNNNNNNNNNNNNNNNNNNNNNNNNNNNNNNNNNNNNNNNNNNNNNNNNNNNNNNNNNNNNNNNNNNNNNNNNNNNNNNNNNNNNNNNNNNNNNNNNNNNNNNNNNNNNNNNNNNNNNNNNNNNNNNNNNNNNNNNNNNNNNNNNNNNNNNNNNNNNNNNNNNNNNNNNNNNNNNNNNNNNNNNNNNNNNNNNNNNNNNNNNNNNNNNNNNNNNNNNNNNNNNNNNNNNNNNNNNNNNNNNNNNNNNNNNNNNNNNNNNNNNNNNNNNNNNNNNNNNNNNNNNNNNNNNNNNNNNNNNNNNNNNNNNNNNNNNNNNNNNNNNNNNNNNNNNNNNNNNNNNNNNNNNNNNNNNNNNNNNNNNNNNNNNNNNNNNNNNNNNNNNNNNNNNNNNNNNNNNNNNNNNNNNNNNNNNNNNNNNNNNNNNNNNNNNNNNNNNNNNNNNNNNNNNNNNNNNNNNNNNNNNNNNNNNNNNNNNNNNNNNNNNNNNNNNNNNNNNNNNNNNNNNNNNNNNNNNNNNNNNNNNNNNNNNNNNNNNNNNNNNNNNNNNNNNNNNNNNNNNNNNNNNNNNNNNNNNNNNNNNNNNNNNNNNNNNNNNNNNNNNNNNNNNNNNNNNNNNNNNNNNNNNNNNNNNNNNNNNNNNNNNNNNNNNNNNNNNNNNNNNNNNNNNNNNNNNNNNNNNNNNNNNNNNNNNNNNNNNNNNNNNNNNNNNNNNNNNNNNNNNNNNNNNNNNNNNNNNNNNNNNNNNNNNNNNNNNNNNNNNNNNNNNNNNNNNNNNNNNNNNNNNNNNNNNNNNNNNNNNNNNNNNNNNNNNNNNNNNNNNNNNNNNNNNNNNNNNNNNNNNNNNNNNNNNNNNNNNNNNNNNNNNNNNNNNNNNNNNNNNNNNNNNNNNNNNNNNNNNNNNNNNNNNNNNNNNNNNNNNNNNNNNNNNNNNNNNNNNNNNNNNNNNNNNNNNNNNNNNNNNNNNNNNNNNNNNNNNNNNNNNNNNNNNNNNNNNNNNNNNNNNNNNNNNNNNNNNNNNNNNNNNNNNNNNNNNNNNNNNUUAAGCGCUUACUAAAAUACUCUAUGUGAUGGAACCUCCACCCAAUAAUUGUUGCAUACCCAUCUCAUUUUAAAAAAAUAAUUAUAAAAAGUAUAGACUAUUUUUAAAAAUCUUCAAAUAAAAGAAGAACUUUAGAGGAUUAAUUAAUUUAAUUUAUUUUUUUGUGACUCAAUUUUUUUAUUAUAUUUGACUACAAAGAUUACUUUGGCAUAAGUUUAAAUUGACAAUUUUACUCUUACAAGGUAAAACUAACAAGAAUUUACUUUAAUAUUUUUCUAAUUUUAUACCAGGCUCAAGGUUUCUAAUACUACUUUAUUAGUAUGAGUAUUAAUCCUUAAUUAAACUAACAUAGUGUCUUUAUGGCAUAUACUAAUGUAAAUUGUUGAGAUGUCAAAUUUAUGCCAUUUACACGUAAGGGUAGUAAAAGUAAUAAUUAGAUUUCAUUUAAAAAUAUUAGAUUAUAAAUCACAAAAUUGAAUACGUAAAUUAUUGGAUACAAUAACACAUGUUUAUUGAGGCAAUUUAGUCGUUAUAUAUCAUAAUAAUAAUGAAGUAAAAUAAAACUUAUAUUAAAGAUUAUGAUCAAAGAUGGUCAAAGAACUUAAGAUCGAGCAAAUCCCUUGACUGCAAAAAUUAGAUCAAGCAAAGCUUGCAUUCCCUAUAGUUAAAAAAGGAAAAAAAAAUCAUUACUAUUACCCUUAAAUUUUAAUUAAACAAACUUAAAUUUUAAUUAAACAAAAAACGAAGCAAGAGUGAAUAGAGUAAUACCAAAGCAAAUUUAGGAUUGUUAGGUCCAAUUGUGGACAAACUUCUGAACUUCUAAUAGUAGACUUAGGAGGAAGGAUUUGAAGAGGCUGCAGUGGCGGCGAAUACGCAUCAAGAUUCACAUUGCUCCUCACUUUGAGGGCCAAAAGAGUGCGGAGGCGAGACAAAGCUGACGUGCGAUUCUUGUGCUACGAUCGGUCUUCGGCGGCCUGCGCUAUGAAGCCGGUCGGUAUGUGCUUGAGACGUACGGCGGAUUCGUGCUUGUUGUGGUGCUGACCGCCUGGUCCCAACGAUUUGUACGUGUCCAUUUCGCAUUCGCGAAACAGCUCAUCGUCCGUCAAUUCUAAGUAAUUCUUCUUCUUUGAAGAAGAAGAUGAAGAACAAUUGUCAUUGGUGUUCUAAUUGCAAGACAAGAACAAUGGCUGAUAAUUCCAGCAACACAUUCUUAUAGUAGGCCCAGCCUAAUCCAGCCCAGUUGCGCUAGUGAGCGACUUCUCGCCUAUCUUAUAUGCAAUGAUUAUGUGUUGGUUGGAUGUAGUUUAUCUAAUAAGUCUUUAUUUAGGGCCAAUUUGGGAUUGCGAAGUUGAUGAAAUAAACUACUUGUACUGCAUAGAUAAAUAAGCCGCUAAUUAAAAAGGUAGCUAAGUAUUUGGUAAAUUGCAUUGUUGCAGUUGUUGUAAGUUUGAAAAGUAGAGUACAUGCGUUUGGUAAAUUUUAUUACGAAAGUGAUGUUUUAUUAUAUGAUGACCAAAAUAGAAAUAAGUUUAAAUUAUCUUUUACUUUUAGAGUAUAUUUAAUAAAUCAUUUAGACAUACCUUUUCUUCUUAAACGUGUAAAAUUACAUUAAAAAACUCAAUUAACAACAUGGAUAUAAAAUAAAACAUGGAUAAAGAAAAAAAUAUAGGAAAAAGGACAUUUACACCCCCAAGGUUUGGGGAUCACCAACACCCCCAAUUGUUUAAAGAGGGACAUCCACACCCCCUUUUGACCAUUAUACACUUUACCUCUAUUAUUCUAGAAAAAUUGACUCUAAUAUUUUACAAUAAAUAUAAAUUUAAUAUUAAAAUAAAUUUAAUAAUAUAUACAUUUUAAAAUAAUUUUAAUAUUUAAAAAAUAUUUUAAUAUUAUAUAAUCUAUUAGAUAUAUUUUAUUAUAUUAAAGUAAAUUUUAUGAUAAAUAGAAUCAAAAUAUUAAAAUAAAGGUAUUAAAAAUUUAAAUUAUUUUGAAUAUUAUGUAAAAUAAUUAUUUUAGCAAUAUUAGUAUGUAAGAAUGUUUUUAAUUGUAGAAUGUAUUUAAUGCAAAUAUUUAUUUAAAAUCUCUACAAUAAAUAAAAAUAUAUUAUUAAAAUAAAUAUAAUAAUUUAAAUAUUAAAAUUUAUUAAAAUAUUAAAAUAUUUUAAUAUUGUUAGCUACUACAUAGAUUGCAUUAUUUAUAUGGUAUUUGUAUUUAAUAAAAAUUUUAAAGUCAAUUUUUUAGAAUAAUAGAGGUAAAUGGUAUGAUGGUCAAAAGACGAUCUUGGUGUCCCUCUUUGAAAACUUGGGGGUGUUGGUGAUCAUUUCCCCAAACUUGAGGGUGUAGUUGUCCUUUUUCCAAAACUAUUUAGAAAAAAACAUGAACCUACUGGAUAAAAAUUAGAUAUAAAAAAAUAUAAAUAUAUAUAGAUUAAAUUUUAAAAGCCAUAGUUAUGGAAUUACAAUAUGAACUUAUUAGAUAAAAAAUGGAGAAAACGUACAUGGUUAUAGCGGUUAGGGAUGGCAAAACCUCGGGCCAGGUCCUGGUAUUGCAAUGACCGGACCCUGCCCGGAUGCAACCGGUCUGGGUCCGGGCCGGGUUUUAAUCCAGGUACGCAAAUUUUAUAUUUUUUUAAUAUUAUAUGUGUAUAUAUUUUUUAUUUUUUGGUAAUUUUAUAAGUUUUAAAUUUAUUUCAAUAAAAUUUGACAUGAAAAUAUAAACUUUAAGUGUUUAAAACUUUAUAUAUGUAUAAUAAAUGAGUCAAAUAAAUAUAAAUAUUUAAAAUAAUAUAUAUUUUAUAAUAUUUUUUUAAUAAAAUUCGGAUUCCGGGUUUAUCAAGUGAUGCCCAAUACUGACCCGGCUUCAUACCUAGACCGGGUAAUACCCGACCCACAAUGCCCGGGUAUGGUCCGAGUCCGGACCGGGCUGGUAUUUUUGCCACCUCUAAUAGCGGUAACUAAAUUAUAGUGGUAAUAUGAUAUCUAAUUAUUUAUAUAUUAGGGUUUAUAAAUAAGUAAGAUAUAAUUGUCUUUUUAUUAAAAUACUAGGGUUAUAAUAGGAAUUUUUAAAAAGUGUUGUAGCUUAUUGAAUAAGUUGCUUAUGAUAUCUAAUGAUUUAUAUAUUAGGGUUUAUAAAUAAGCAAUGAGAAAUUCUAGAAUACAUCUGAGGUACCAUGUCAUCCAUACAACAAGCAAUAAUAUCAUGACAUGUGUGCAUUUAUUUUGAACUAUUAUCAUGCAAGUGGUGGUUGUAUUAAAUUCAAUUACACUGGUCAUGCAUGCAUCAAUUGGUUGUAGUACCUCAGAUGUAUUCUAGAAUUUCUAAAUAAGCAAGAUAUAAUUGUCUUUUUAUUAAAAUAUCAGGGUUGUAAUAGGAAUUUUCAAAAAGUUAUGUAGCUUAUUGAAUAAGCUGCUUAUGAAAAGCAAACACCUACCUGCUUUUAAAAGCUGCUGAUAAAAUGGAAAAAAUUAUGAAAUAAGUUACUUUUACAAAAUUUAGCAAACACUAUUUUUGUCAAAAAUUAUGAAAUAAACAGUUUAUUGAAUUUCAACCUCAAUACCAAAUAGGGCCUUAAUCUUAUAAGUUCUUUUCAAAUUUUUUAUUGUUAUUUAGUUAUUUUUUUAGUAGCACUUUUAAAGACUAAAUAAGAUAUUUUGCAUCUACUAAUAAAACUCAAAUUUUAGGCUUUUGUGAGUACAUGUUGAAAAGCUUAUUUAAAAUGUUAAAAUGCCUAAAAUAUUCUUUAUUUAUUUGACAAUCUUAUUUUAUUUUUUUAUAACAUAACUUUAAAAAACUUGUCUAUUAAAUUAAUUUUAUAAUUUGUAAUAAAAGUUUUCAUUGACAACCAAACAAUUAAAUUUCUUUUUAGUAACUCUAUUUAUAAAAGUUCUACUGACAAAAGGUCUAUUUAAAUAAGCUCUAUUUAAAAGUUACACCAAACAGAUCCAACAGUAUCAUUGACGCAAGCAAUGUAAUUAUUCUAUUAUUUUUUAACUUAUGUGGCUCUGUAUCAUUUGAAAAAUCCUAUUAUAAGAGAGAGGGAUAUAAUUUAUGCUGGAAUAUUCUCAAAAUAAAUGGCGUGCCUUAAAAGGUGUCUUAUAGUAAAAUACAUCUAACUAAAUAUUGUCAUAUACAAGAAAAAUGUAUCCUUUUUUUUUUAAAAAAAGAUGUAUCUAUUCAUGGUGCCAUAUUUUUAUUUGAAAUGAUGGUGGUUUAUCUUGGACCAGUGAUGAUUUAAUUCAAAUUUUAAUCCAAUAACCAUGGAUAGAAGGUGUCAUAAAAGGUAACAGCCCAAAUGAAGGGGCACAUGAUUAUCUAUAAAUAGAAGUCACAACAUUUUCUAUAAAUAGAAGUUACGCCAUUUUGUGAUCCAUAUAAUCUUCUUGCACCUCUCUUUUUUUCUUUUUUUAUUUAACCCCUCUUUCCUAAAUCGAAUUUAUGCAUAAUACAUCUAUAUUUUAUGCAUCAAAUCUCUAAAAUAUUAUUUUUUACAGGAACAAUAUAUUGAUUUUUCGUAGGCUUGCAACACACAAGGGUAUUUAGGUUUGCUUUUAUUAGUGCAUAAUACAAGCAAAUAAAACAAACACUUCAUUAUAUCAUGGAGACAUAUUUGCUUAACUCAUAUAUAUCACGCAAAUGCAGGAGGGAGUAACUAACUUCUUGAGGAAUGCAACAUUGUGUCUUGCAGCACUGUCAAUUAUUACAGUGUACUAUUCUUAUUAUUAUUAUGAUUAUUAUUCUUUGUACCUAUAAAAUUUCAUCUAUUUUUCUCCAAUUUUCCACAGUUAUUACUCCCCACGAAUAUAUUUCCAAUAAAACAAACACUUCAUUAUAUCAUGGAGACAUAUUUGCUUAACUCAUAUAUCACGCAAAUGCAGGAGGGAGUAACUAACUUCUUGAGGAAUGCAACAUUGUGUCUUGCAGCACUGUCAAUUAUUACAGUGUACUAUUCUUAUUAUUAUUAUGAUUAUUAUUCUUUGUACCUAUAAAAUUUCAUCUAUUUUUCUCCAAAUUUCCACAAUUAUUACUCCCCACGAAUAUAUUUCCAAUAUUUUAUUUCAUAUAUUUACUUCUGCUACUAGUACGAUAACAAAAUAUGCCUUUUUGAACCACAUCAAUUUCUAGAUCCAUUUUAUUGAUAAAUUAACCGAACGCACCAUCCAUUAUUUAAUUUAUGGGUCAAAUAAGUCAUAAGUAGUUGAAAUAAAAUGUUUGUUUGGUAGAUAACAUCGGUUUUUAAAAUACUUUAAAAGAUUUUAUUUCUAUGAAGCCUAGUCCAACAUAGAAAAUCAAAUAAAAUUAAUUUUCAUCACUACUCAAGAGACUCAAAGAGUACUAAUGUAGCGUUUAUUUUUUUAUAUAAAAUUUGAAUAGGCCUGAAUUUGGGUGAAGUCUGAAUAUAAAUGUCUAAAUAAUAUGUUUAUUUUUUUAAUAUCUGAAAAUUGAGUGACGUCUUAUUUAUUUUUAUAAUUUAAAAAAAUCGAACAUAGUUAUUUGACAUUUUUGUCCUUAUAAGUCAAAAUGAAUAAAAGAAUUAUGUUUUAUAGUUUAGGAAAUAACUAUAUUUAAUAGAAAUAUCUUUAGGGUAUAGUAUUUACUUUCCAUUUCGAUAAAAAUAACAAAAAUUCACUUUUUGUAUUCAAAUGUAAAUAUGUAAAACUCACACAUAAGUUCCUAAAAAGUAAACAAGCAACUUUAAGAAAAAAAAAAGUUACGUAGCUUUUGUUUUAAACAAAAAUAAUAAAUAAGAAUAAUUUUCAAAAUUAAAUACAGUAUCACCCUGCUCAUUGCUGAUAGUUAUGACUUAUGAGUAUGAAAGCACAAAAGCCGUGUGUUGAAAGUAUGGUGUUCAUGUGGAAAUUUCAGCUAAAAGUCCACAAAGUAAUUUCAGUCAUCUUACAGUCUCCAAGGUGCUUGGACAAUGAGAUGACAUUGAAAAAUUAUCACGGAACUUCGAGGGAGGUUCAUAGCAUCGAUUUAUUCUACAGAGUCACGCUCAUUUUGGCUUAGUAAUUGUUUUCAUCUGAUCAAAAUCUCUCCCAAAUCAAUCCAACUGUUUCUGUUAAUUAUGGCAACACGAAAUAUGAUGUUUUUUUUUCAGUUUUUUGGGUAGAUAAUCUCAAUUUUAAAAUACUUUAAUAGAUUUUGAAAGAUAAGAUACAAUGGUAUACAACUAAAGCCUAAUCCAACAUAGAAAAAUUAAAUAAAAUUAAUUUUCAUCACUACUCAGAGAGAAUUGAAAGGACAUUAAAGUAGUGUUUUUUUUUUAUCUAAAAUUUGAAUAGCCUGAAUUUGACUGAAAUCUAAAUGGGUUUGAAUAUAAAUGUCUCAAUAACAUUUUUCUUAAUACCUAAAAAUUAAGUGGCAUCUUAUUCGUUUCUAUAAUAAAAAAAAUACAUCAAACGCUGUUAUUUGACAUUUAUGCCCUUAUAAGUCAAAUUGAGUAAAAGGGAUUAGGCUUCGUAGUUUAGGAAGUAACUUUAUUGAAUAGAAAUAUUUUUCGGAUAUAGUAUUUAUUUUGCAUUCAAACAUUUUCUCAUUUUGUCAAAGGUCACAAAAAUUUACUUUUUUAAUUUAAAUGUAAAUGUCUAAAAAUCAGACAUAAGUUAAAAAAAAAAUAAUUAUUAUUUUUUUAAAGUUAGACUUCAUAUGUUUAACAAUCAACUGUAAGGAACAUGAAAAAGAGCUAUUAAAACAAAAAAAAAAUUUUGAAACUAAAUACAAUUAGUUGAGAGAUGAGGACCGAUAAGAUAAAUUGAGAGAUAAAAACUAAAAUAUCAGCCCCUCAUUGCUGAUAGUUAUGAGUAUGAAAGCACAAAAGCCAUGUGUUGAAAACUAUGGUGUUCAUGUGGAAUUUUCAGCUAAAAGUCUACAAAGUAGUGGAAUUAAUCAAUCAUCGUGGAGUGCACGGUGGUUGGACAAUGAGAUGAAAUUGAAAAAUUAUCACGGAACGUGAAGGAAGGUUCAUGGCAUCGAUUUAUUGUACAGAGUCGCGCACAUUUGGUUCAAUAAUUGUUUUCAUCCGAAUCAAAAUCUCUUUCUAAUCAAUUCAAUUGUUUAUGUUGCUUAUGGCUUCUUCUUCUCGAAACAACAAGAAGUAUGAUGUUUUUGUUAGUUUCAGACGAGAGGACACCCGCGACAACUUUACUAGCCAUCUCUGUUCUGCUCUGUGUCAACAAAAUAUCCAAACUUUCAUUGAUGACCAACUUAACAGAGGAGAUGAAAUUUUGGAGUCACUUGCGAAUGCAAUUGAAGUAUUAGCCAUUUCAGUUAUUGUCUUCUCAGAAGGGUAUGCAUCUUCCAGAUAGUGUCUCGAUGAACUUGUAAAGAUCCUUAAGUGCAAGAAAGAGUAUUCACAAAUUGUGAUUGUUGGGAAAUUAAUGGGUGAAGUAGGGCCACAGAUAAAAUGAAAUUGGAAGAAAAUAAAGAACAACCUCAAAAGAGGACACUAGAAAUUACGUGGUUCGGCUUUUAACCUACGUCCACGGGUGAAGACAGAAAGAAAAUAUUUUACUAGUGAAAAGGAAUUACAAGUAUUGUGGUAUUUUAACUCACUACCCAAAAUCUCAAUACACCCAAACUCUCAAAUCACAAAUCAUUCAAGAGUUUGUUAAAACUUUUAAAAUACUCUCACUUUCUCUCUAAAGAAGAAGAAAUAAAACUGAAAAAAUUGGAUGCUCUAAGCCGAUGGGAAACUCCUCUUUUUAUAGCCAAAAUUGGCUAUUAAAAUAAUAAUUUUUUUUCUUGGGCGGCACCCUUUCUUCUUCUUUCAUUUUCUUCUUUCUUCUUUUUCUUCAUUCCAAAUUUGAUGCUGCCAAAUUCUUCUUUUUUUCUUGAACAAUUUCAGCAUUCAAAAUGGGCUGCAUCUAGAACGGUUGGCUUCUAGAUUUGCAGCAUCCAUUUUUUACAGUGAUUACGGUUUUCUAUCGAGUUGAUUCAUCAGACGUGAGAAACCAAACAGGGUGUUUUGGCAUUUCAUUUUCGAAGCUUGAAGAAAGAUUUAAGGAGAAUUCAGAGAAGCUGUAGACUUAGAGGAAUGCUUUGAAGGAAGCAGCAAGUCUGUCUGGCUUUCAUUCUCAGAACAUCAGGCGAAAAGUUACUUUUAAUUUCGCAUACUAAUAUUUAACACUGUAAAUAAAAUUCACGCAGCACUUUUAGUUAAAAUUUCCAGAUACUAAACGACACUUUUAAAUUUUUUUAGGCAUCAAAUUCUAGGCUUCCCGACUUCCCGACUUUUGUGCUCUCAUAAUUAUAAAAUAAUUUUGACAAAAUUAAUAAUAAAAGUUGGAGAAUUUUAUAAUAUAUAUCUAACAAAAUUAGUGGUGGGCUGUCGUUUUGUAGGCAAUUUCAACCGCUCACUCAUAUACCAACACUAGGAAAUAGAACCGCACUUCGUGCGGCUUUAAAAAAGAAAUUAGUAUUAUUUUUUUAUUACUUUACACUUGAUAAAACUGAUAAAAAAUAUGAAUUGAUUUUUUUUUAAAGAUGACGCAGCCUUAUAAAACUAAUGUUAUUUAUGAAAGUUAUUUUUUUUUUUAACUUUAAAAAUAUAUAUUAAUGUGUAUAGUUAAGUGUACACAACCUUUUCAUCAAUAAAAAUUAUGUUCACACUAAUCAACUCUCCAUUCUUCUUAGUAUUAACAAACUCCCACAUUUUACAAAGCCUAACCCUUAUCAUCCAACUAUCUUUAUUAUUGUUUAACUCAUGAAGAAAAGAAUACUACAUGAAGCACACAAUGCAAAAAAUUUAAAUAAGUCAAAAAAUAAAAACACAAGAACAUUUCUAAAGAGGAUGUUGGUUAAAUAAUAAAAAAAAACCCAAACAUAACAAAUCUUAAAUACUUAAUAUUUAUAUAGUUUGAAGAAGCCAAAAGACGCUAAAUAAAAGGUUGCAUGAUUAAAUAUGAAAUUAUGACAUUAAAAUUCGGUCCUAGUGGUAUUGGUGAGGGAAGAUGAAAGAACCUUCCUUCCUAUAUUAAUUAAUUGAUGUAUUUUAAACCACUAAAGUUUAGUUGUUGGCUUAAUAAAAUAAAUGAAUGUUUCAAAACUAUAAUUAAUUUAUUAUUAAUAGUUACAUAUUGUUGAAUUUAAAUAGAAAGAAGAAGAGACAUGUAAUCUUUUAUAAUCUACUAAUUAUUUUCUAUUUUUAAUAUUUUGUAAUGUAAUUAUUUUUUAAUCUCAACCAAUAUAUUAGAUUAUAGAGAAUAUAAAAAGAUGAGAAAUAAUAAUGCCACAAAUCUUAACUACUUAAUAUUUAUAGAGUUUGAAGAAGUCAAAAGGCACUAAACAAAAGGUUGCAUAAUUAAAUAUGAGAUUAUAUCAUUAAAAUUAGACCCUAAUGGCAUUAUUGUGGGAAGAUGAAGGAACAUUCCUUCCUAUAUUAAUUAAUUGAUAUAUUUAAGCCACUAAAGUUUAAUUGUUGGCAUAAUAAAAUAAAUUAAUGUUUGAAGACUUAUAAUUAAUUAUUAUUAAUGGUUACAUAUUAUUGAAUUUAAAUAGAAAGAGGAAGAGACAUAUAAUCUAAUAAUUAUUUUUUAUUUUUAAUAUUUUGUAAUGUAAUUAUUUUUUUAAUAUCAACCAAUUUAUUAGAUAAUAGAGAAUACAAGAAGAUGAAAAAUAGUGAUGCCACAUCACCUCAUCUAGUCCCAACUUUAUAUAUAUAUAUAUAUAUAUAUAUAUAUAUAUAUAUAUAUAGAUUGUUAAUAUUUUGUAAUGUAAUUAUUUUUUAAUCUCAACCAAUAUAUUAGAUAAUAGAGAAUAUAAAAAGAUGAGAAAUAAUGAUGCCACAAAUCUUAAAUAUUUAAUGUUUAUGGAGUUUGAAGAAGCCAAAAUGCACUAAACAAAAGAUUGAAUAAUUAAAUAUGAGAUCAUGACAUUAAAAUUAGGCUCUAAUGGCAUUAUUGAGGGAAGAUGAAGGAACCUUCCUUCAUAUAUUAAUAUUAAUUAAUUGAUGUAUUUUAAGCCACUAAAAUUUAAUUGUUGGUAUAAUAAAAUAAAUGAAUGUUUCAAGACUUAUAAUUAAUUAUUAUUAAUGGUUAUAUAUUGUUGAAUUUAAAUAGAAAGAGGAAAAGACAUGUAAUCAUUUAUAAUCUAAUAAUUAUUUUCUAUUUUAAUAUUUUGUAAUGUAAUUAUUUUUUAAUUUCAACCAAUUUAUUAGAUAGUAGAGAAUAUGAGAUGAUGAGAAAUGGUGAUGCCACAUCACCUCCUCAAGUCCCAACUUUAUAUAUAUAUAUAGAAGAUUAGGGAAAAAAAACAUAAAAAAAAACUCACACAUAUUCCUGUAAUUUAAGAGUUAUUAAUUUACUGGGAGAUUGUAGAUUAGUAGUGGUGUAUAUUGUAGACUAGUAGUGGUAUAUAUUAAUCUCCCUUAUUUCAUAUUCAAUGCAAAUUCCUCCUAUUAAUUUGAAGUUAUUGCGGCUAAUUUUAAGCAUUUACUAGGCGUGAGUCAGAACUUAUAAAUGAAGUUGUCAUUUUGAAGAGAUUGGAUGAAGUGUUUCGGCCGCGUGAUAACAAAAACCAGCUGGUUGGAGUGGAAUCAACAGUUGAGGAAAUUAAAUCUCUAUUAGGUGUUGAGUCGAAAGAUAUUUACGCUUUAGGGAUUUGGGACAUUGGUGGUAUAGGCAAAACAACAAUUGCUAGAGCUAUUUUCAACAAAAUCUUGAAUGAUUUUGAAGGUACUUGUUUCCUUGAAAAUGUUAGAAAAGAGUCACAAAGAAUGGGAGGAUUAGCUUGCUUGCGACAAAAACUUCUUUUAAAUUUGUUGAAGGAUGAAAAUAUGAUUCCUCAUAUUGACCUUAAUUUUAGAAGGCUCAGCUGCAUGAAGGUUUUGAUUAUUUUUGAUGAUGUGACUUGCUUCACCCAAUUAGAAUCCUUAAUAGGAAGUCUUGAUUGGUUGACGCCCGUGAGUCGAAUCAUAAUAACCACCAGAAAUAAACAAGUGCUUAGAAACUGGGAGGUGAGGAAAAUAUAUGAGAUAGAGGCUUUAGAAUAUCAUCAUGCUCUUGAUCUUUUCAGUCGACAUGCCUUCAAACGAAACCAUCUUGAUGUUGGUUACGAGAAACUUUCAAGCAACGUAAUGAAAUGUGCUCAAGGAGUCCUUUUAGCUCUUAAAGUUUAGGGUUGGUUUCUAUGUAAAAGGGAAAAAAAGUCUGGGAAAGUGCAAUAAAUAAAUUCCAAAGAAUCCUCCAUCCAAGUAUUUGAGAGGUAUUAAAAAUAAGUUAUGAUGGUUUAGAUGAUAAAGAGAAAAAUAUUUUCCUUGAUGUUGCUUGUUUCUUUCAAGGUGAGGAUGUAAAUCUAGUAAUGAACUUCCUUAAUGCAAGUGGCUUCUACCCAGAAAUAGGAAUAAGUGUUCUUGUUGAUAAGUCUCUUAUUCUCAUAUCAAAUAACAACAAGAUAACUAUGCAUGAUUUGAAACAAGAAUUUGGUCAGGAAAUUAUUCGAGAAGAAUCAAUUAAUCCUGAAAACCGCAGUAGGCUGUGGCAUCAUAAAGAUACCUAUGAAGUUCUUACAUAUAAUACAGUAAGCAUUUUGUUGUGGAUUAUAUUUUGGAAUAUUAUAGCAUUUACAAACUUGAUAUGAAUAUACUUAUAUACACUCGAACUGAUGAGUCUUAGAAUUAAUAGAAGUGUGACAAUGAUUAGAAAAAAAAAUAGUGGUUAAAUGAUGUAACAAUAAAUUAUAUAUGCCAUGACAAAUUGUGUGAUCGUUUGUAUGUUAGUAAUAUGCCCUAAAGGCCAAUCAAAUGGUGUUUGUUUGUUUAGGGAAUUAUUGUAUUUGAAUAGCAUUUUGACAUUUAUAAAAUGGCAAAGUUAUCAACAUUCAUAAAUUAAUUUAAUGAAUAUAGUCCAAGAAGUAAAAUAGUUAAGGAACACAUUCUCGAGUUUGUCGAGAAUAUGAAACGUGCAUUCUUUGUACUAUACUUCCAAAAUAGUUCCUAGUGGUGGAUUUAUGAUUGGACAUUAUAAAUUCCUAUAAACACUGGUAUGUGUUAUGACUCCUUAUGGUAUGUGAUACUAAAAUGGAUGGUGAGUUUCAUAUCAUUGACAUGAGAUGUCAAGUCAAACACAUAGGUACUUGUUGAGAGAACGAGUUUACUGAACUUGACCAAAUAUAGUAAGCCAUAUGGUUUUGAGUGUUAAUGGCUUAUUAUACAUUGUGAUAGACACUAUGUUUAGUAAUGGUCUUUAGACCUGAGGCACAACAGAUGUCUUAUACAUAGACAUCUCUGAUAUGUGAAAGCAUAAUGAUUGAUUCCUAAUCAAGGAAGAGAUCUAGCAAUAACUGUCAUGGUUGGCUAUGUAUGGAGACAAGUGUAUGGCCAAUAUGGAAUUCAUCACUUUGUAAUAUACAAAAAGGAUGUCCCUGUGAGAUAAUAUGAAUUGGCAUGAGAAAUCCUUGGCCAAGGUGAAAUGUGUUUGAAGGAGUUCAUAUUAUAUUUUCAUGCCAAGUUCAUUUAGAUUUAUUUUGAGAUAAAGCAUAAUUGCUUAACAUAAUAAACCAUAAGCCGUGUUUUUCUCUGGACAUGGAUGAUGAAGAGACCAAGACAUAGAGAUACAAUGGAAUAGGUUUUAUAGAUCCAACAAUUCUUGUUAUUUGGAUGGUUGUGAAAUACUGCUAGGUGUCACUCAUAACUUGUAGAAACCUUAAGAUUAAUAUUGGUAAAGCGUAUUAGCAAUGCAUCUUAAGGUCAUUAGAAAAGUUCUACUUGAUGACUAAAGAGUUUAGCAUCAUUUAAUGAAUAAAGAGUUAUCAUUAAAAUAGUUCUACUACCUUAUAACAAAGAACCUAAAAGGUCACACACCAAAUAGAAAUGAAAAAGGAGUUACUAGAAAAUGAGAAGUUAAAUUUCUUAAUUUUAGAAAAAUCGAUAUUUAUAUUAUAAUUAAUUAAGAAUGAAUAUAUAUAUAUAAAUAUAUCUUAAAUAUGAUUUAAGAUAGAAAUUUAGAUGUUCCAUAAAUAGUUUAAGGAACAAAAUAAAUUUCAUAAAUCCUUAAUUAAACAUUAUGUAUAAUAUCAAACACGUAAAAUGACCAUUUUAGACAUGUUCCGAUUCAUAUAUGAUUAUGGACUUCUAGACCAAUUUUGGGUUUAGAAUUUUGGGCUUUUAUUGGACCUAAUAUGGAUUAAGAGAAAGCAUUAGAACAUGUCACAAAAGAAGCCCACAUUGAACCAUUUGAUUUGAUCAAAAUGGGAUUAAUUAAUUAAAGACAAAAUUAAUUAAUUUAGCUAUUUAUUUAUUUGAUUAAAUAAAUUAUUGAAGUGAUAAGAUCACAUUCAAUAAAUAAUGGCUUAGUGGGUGGGUCUAGACAUGAUAAUGUUUGGUGCCAUUAUUGAAGAUAAUGGUGGCUUUAUUUGGUGGAAUGAAUUAUCAUGAACUAGCAUUCAUGUUUCUUCAUUAUCUCUCUCAUUUCUAAACGAAAUUUCGUGAUUCCAAAUCCUAUGAACUCCUAGAAAAUUUCUAAGUGUGUACUAACUAGAGGCAUCACAAUUGGGGUGCCUUAAGGAUCUCAAAUCGUGGAAAAACAGAAGCUGUUCGUGCAGAGGUUUAUUUUCUGGACAGUGUUCAUAGCUUGCUGUUUUCAGUCAUUUUCUCCUACUUCACGAAGUCUUUUUUGAAACUAAAAGUGAGGUAAUUAAACUUCAAUCUUUCCUCUUGAUUUUCGUUUUUGAAUGAAGCCGAUCCGAGGUUUCUAGAGCUUCCGCCAUGCGUUUUAAUUUUACUGCACAAAAGUUGCGUUUUUAAGAACCUCAUGGACAAAUGUUGUCUUUCAUUGUAAGCAUAAUUUAUAUGUCAACUUGUAGACUAUACAUACAGAAUUUUUAUGUUAAAUAUUACGUGUAUUAUUAUGUUUCUUUGUGCAUUUGCAAUUAAGAGUUUAGCUGCCUAGCAAUAACCAUAAACAUGAAUUAUUGAAAUUUGAUUGGUGUAAUGUCAGAGAGCCGCACUCCAACCCACCUCAACUCUGCACAAGAAUAAUUAAAACUUGAAUUAAUAACUAAGCUACCUCUAAUUGUGAAUUAAUGACAUGCUUGCCCCAAAAAAUUGUCUUGGUUGGGUUAUCAUUUUUCUUUGAUUUUAACUUUAUUUUUUUAAUUGAAUUUUAGGGGACAGAAAAAAUUGAGGGCAUUUGUUUGGAUAUGUCAAAAGUAAAAGACAUCUAUCCAAAUCCUAGUACUUUCACAAAGAUGCGUAAGUUGAGAUUUUUAAAAUUCUAUAGCUCAUCAUUCAAUGGAGAGAACAAAUGUAAGGUGUCUUAUUUGCAAGACCCUGGAUUUGCUGAAGAGAAGUAUUUUCACUGGCAUGGAUAUCCGUUGAAGUCAUUGCCUUCAAAGCUUAGUGCAGAGAAGCUUAUAUUUCUUGAAAUGCCUGGUAGCGACAUUGAACAACUUUGGGAUGGUGUGAAGGUAUGUAUAUCUUGAUAUAUAUGUGCAAUCAUGGUAAGUUAAACCGGAUAAUCCAUGAUUCCUGCAGGAAGCUAAUUGCCAAAAUUCCAAACCCCACGUUGAUUCCACAUCCGAACAAGCUAGUUAUCUUGAAUCGAAGAGAUAGCAAAAGCCUGAAAAGUCUUCCAGCUAGAAUAUUUAAUUUGGAAUUUCUUACCAAACUUGAUCUUUCUGGUUGUUCAAAACUGAAGAAGCUUCCAGAGAUCUCAUCUAGUAACAUAAGCCGGCUAUAUUUAAGUGGAACUGCAAUUAAAGAACUUCCCUCAUCAUUUGAGCUUCUACUUAGGCUUUGGUGGCUGGACCUUUCAGAUUGUAAAAUGCUUAAGAGUCUCCCAAGCAUCCUAUGCAAGCUGAAAUCUCUUGGAGUUCUUAAUCUCCGUGGUUGCUCAAAUCUUCAGUGAUUGCCCGAACGUCUUGGCCAAUUAUCGUCGCCAAUAAUAUUGAAUCUAGUGAAAACCAAUAUUGAGAAGAUACCAAAAAGCAUUAUUCAACUUUUUGUGUUGCGAUACCUCCUCUUAAAUUGUUGUGAGGGGCAUGAAUCCUUACCAAAGCAUCCAUUCCUUGUACGAUGGUUAGAUGGCGAUCGUUGCCCGGCAGGGCAACCAUUGAUAGGUUUAUUCUCUAAGUUCUGAAUCUUAUAGGUAGUCUUUUUUUUACCAGAGCAAUAAUUUGAAAUCGCAAGGUAAUUCUACUGCAGGAAUUAUUGAAGAUGCCAUGAGAAUUGAGCAUAUGGGCCAUGUGGUAGCUGCCCGUUGGAAACAAGUACGGGAAAAGGUGUGUCUUAACUCUCUCUCCUUACAAUUUAUAGUUUUUUUUUUUUGGUUUAAAAUUAUGAUUUUUUGGUACAGAGAGGUUUUCCCAUGGAAAAAAGUCAUGUCGUACUAGCUAGGAAUGAAAUUCCAAGGUGGUUUAAUUUUCAAAGUGAGGGAUCUUUUAUAACCUUGGAGAUGCCCCCAGAUUUCUUCAAUAACAACAGAGUACUGGGCUUUGCAUUUAGUGCUAUUUUAGCAUUUUCAGACCGUCAUGUAGAUUGUGGCAGAUGGUUUUCAUUUUCUUGUGAGCUAAAAGUGAAGACCACCAAAGAUUGUGAUCUGCAUGACACACGGUUAUUUCAGAGCAGCGUUAAUUAUGUAGAAUCAGAUCACUUACAUUUUGGGUACUAUUUGUUUUGUGAAGAGGAUUUUAAUGGUUUUUGGAAAUGCAAUUCCAUUCCUGAGGCAGUCCACUUUAAUGUUUUUCCGCCUUUGAAGUGUGAGUGCUGCGGGGUGAAAAAAUGUGGGAUCCAUUUAGUUUGCUUCCCCGACUCUACGAAUUCAAUGAAAGAUCCAAGCACAUGUUUCAACUAUAACGAAGAAGACUGAGAUUUUCAUGAAUGUAUUUUUUUUGCUUUCCUUUUUCUAAUCACUAUUAAUAAUAGGAGAAAAUGUCAAAAUUAGUUCUUGGAACAAAACAUUCAUGUAAUAACUUUCGAGGGAUCUGGUGCAUGUAACACAAAUUCACACUAGAGCAUUGAACUUUACCUUAUUAGAUGAAGAGUAUGUUGUAUGAAAAGCACAUGGUGUAUAUUGUAAAAUUAAAAUUAUUGGCCUAUUUCCUGCUUUGCACACGCAACCCAUGAUGAUUUUGUUAUUAAGUUUUGUAACCCAAAACACAUCUACUUAGUUAGAAGAGUACGUGACUUAUAAACUAGUAAAAAAAUUCACUUGCUAGUGAUGUGAGAUAUUUCAUGACGUGCAGCAAGUUCUUAUUUGCAGAGCUAUGUUGUGGGCCCAUAUCUCUAUCAAUGAAAACAUGUCACUCACCCCGUUGGCGCACUAUAUCAACUCUCAUGUAUAUAACACAAUCACAUUUGAAAAUUUUCUACUUUCAUCAUUGGGAAGCAAAAGCCAUAAAGAGGGAACAGUUAAAACACCAUCAAAUCUUAUAUAUUUUAAAAAAUAUAUUUGUAUACUGAUUAAAAAAAGAAGAAAGAACAGGAUAGGUGUCAUUUUGACUCAACUCAUUUGUGUUGUGAAUCCAUUUGCUUAAACAUGUAUACUUUUUCAAGUAUCUAUGCCAAUUCCAUAAUCGGAAUGGUGCAUUUGAUUCCAUAGUUGACAUUGUAUCGUCUAUGGCUAGAAUUUACCUUUACAAAACUGACCUGCAAGGAAAGGAUUAAAGAUACCCGUGAACUUAUAUUUUUAUUUAGAUUAUUUUAUUUUUUCCAGGUGAAAAAUUGAUUCCGAUUAACAAGAGCAAUAUAAAUUACUAAAUCAACGUUCUCUAUUCUUUAGAUUGCUGUAUCUUUUUCAUGUAAAAAAUUGAAUCCAUUCAUUCACAUAUCAUUAACAUGAGCAAUAUAGAUCACUAAAUCAUUGUUCAUUACUAUUUUGCUGAAUUUGACUUUUUGAAACGAGUUAGACUUUUUAUUGAAUAAUUUGGUAUAUUUCUUGAAUCAAUUUGGAGCUUCUGCAACACGUCAGGGAUUAGUAUCUCCUACAUUCCUUUCAGUGCCAAAAGAUAUUCAAGCAGUUGAAUAAGAAUUGAUAUGUACAAUGUAAAUACUAGUUUGUCAUUUUACAAUAGGAAUGAUAUAUAAUGCUUAUCAAAACUUGUUGAUAAGAAAGUAAAUUCCUCAGCAAUGAGAUGUUUCAGCCAACCAAUUAAGGAAGCAGCUUUCCAUGGACCAAGUCAGGUCUGUCGUCAUCAGGACAAUGUCCUACUUCUUCCAAUACAAUUAACUUCACAUUUGAGAGUUGAGAAGGCAGAGAUGAGAAGUAUUUACCAACAGGUCCAUCGACGGGUGUGAAUGGAUCCUCAUCACCCCAUAAAACUAGCACAGGUAUAGAGAUUGAUGGCAUCAAUUGCACUGGGUUCAGCCCCGAUGGGCCUGUCACGAUCAAAACAAAUGCAUCAAGUGCCCCUUCAUUAGUGGCGGCUUCUCGUAUGAUCUGUAGUUUUGAUGUCAAUUCAUGAAUUAUGAGUGGCCAUUUUUGUAAGAAAUUUAAAUGGCACAUAAGUGCAGAAUAUUAAUGCCUACUAGCCUUUCAUCCACAGAUUCAUUAUUUGCAUAGACAGUAAAUUGCUCCUCAGUCUUUACCAGCAGCACCAAUAUAUACACAUCAUAGUGUUUUUUAGUUUUGACUCUAAGUGUUUUAGGAUAAUGAACAACGGACUGAAUAGAAACAAGAGAAAGUACCUUUGCCUUGCACGCUCAAAGAACGUAAAGGUAACUGGCCUUUGCUUCAACCAAAAAUCAAUGAACCAAAGCAAUGGUAACAGUAGCUUGAUUCUCCAAUCAUCAACAAUUGCCUUGUUGUUCGUGCAGCCACCAGCACAAUUCAACAAAACAAGCCCUCGAACAAGUGUUUGACUGGAUUCUUAUGGUAGAAAAUAUAGCAGGUUUGUCGCAAACCAUAGUUACCGAAAAGGCUAAUUAAGUGCGAGUGUUUCUUUGCAAGCAAGAUGACUAAUAUCUGAUGCCCAAGAGGAAGUUAAAUUAAUAUACCUGAGGCAGCAAUAACACAAGUAGAGAUGGCCAAUACAAGGCUCAUGCGUGCUUGUGCCCGUGCCCGUGCCGUGCCGUGCCCAGUAUGUGUUUCGUGUCAUGCCGUGCCGUGCUUAAAUUUUUUUUGCUUAGGGCCGGUCUGGCAAAUGUGUCGUGCUUAUUUGUGCGGUGCCGUGCUUAAGAAAAAAAACCAAAUAAGCUUUUUUCUUUUUUAAAUUUUUAAGAGCGCAUGCUAAGCUGUUGGCGUACUUUUUUCAAGUAUAUGUACGUUUCUUGGGUCUAUGCCUUUAUUCAAAUCUAAUAGAAUUGAAAAUUCAAAAUUCAAGUCCAUAUUUAAUAAUAAUAAACUAAUAAUAGUAAGAAAAUAUAAUAUUAAUUACUAAGUUUGACCUUAUAGUAUUAGAAUUUUUUUAAUACUUAACAACAAUAAUAAUAAGAAAAAAAAUUUCUUAAAGGUUAACUUAAUUGUUAACUUGAACUUACAUAGAGUUAUAAAUUAUAGUUCACAAUAAUAUUAAUGCAUAUUUAUAAAAUCAUGAUAUUUAUAAUUUUAUUCAUUAAAAUCAUGAUAUCAAUUAUUUAUUUAAUAAAUUAUAAAUAUAAAUCAAUUAUAGUAUUUUUUAAAACUAAGAAUUAAAUGAAUUUAAAAAAUUCAAUUUCAAGUUAUUUGUAAAAUCAUAAAAUUUUAAGUUUACCUUCAUUAAAAAAUAAAACGUGUUUAUUGCAGGUUUUUUUAUUUUGCCGUGCUUAGCCCAUCUCUAAUCGUGCUGUACUUUUUAGGCUCGUGUGCCUAAAAUUCUAAACUCGGCCCAGCCCACAUGUGUGUCGUGCCCGUGCCCUACCGAAACGUGCUUGUGUCGUGCCGUGCCCGUGCCGUGCCACGUGCCGUUCGGCCCAUUGGCCAUCUCUAAACACAAGCUACGCUUCGAACCGAAUUACGUAUAAGCACAACUGGCUUCUGAGCAACUUCAUCCAAGAAAUCCAACAUUAGCUGUAUCGAUGAGUCUCACUCAAGUUAGCAAGGAAAAUAACCUAAGGUUGAGCGAUUGAUGAUAUAAGUAUAGGAGUUGUCAUAUUUGACCCUCAUUAUAUCUUAUCAGCCCCAUUAAUCACUUUUAUAUGAAUGCUUUUUACUCUUUAUCUUUAUAUGAAAUAACUUAAAAGGAAAAUAAGUAAUGAUCCUUAACGUUUGUGGAUGCCAACUAUAUGUACACAAAAGUAAAUACUAUAAAAAAAAUAGUACAUUAUAAAAAACAAUUCACUACAAAAUAAAAAUUACUUUUUGUCAUUUGUGCCUGUGUUAUUUUUACUACAUGUAAUAUUAUUGCACGGAUGCGGGAAGAAAAAAUUUGGGGUCGAUUUGUUGUAAGCCCCAAAUGCAACCGAAGAUCCAAGCACAAGUUUCAAACCAAACCAACCCAAAGUUUGCGCGGCAAUCCAACUCAACCCAACUAAAAUCAUUUUAAUUUGAUUAUAGUUUGGGUUGACUUAGGCUUUGAUAAAUUCGCAUGUUAUAUAACACAAUUAAAAUAAAAUAUCAUUUGUCAUACAUUUUAUUCAUUAAAAACAUAGUAAAAAAAAUUCAAAAAUUCAGUGGCGGCAAACGUCCUCUCUGGAAUCUUUGUGGGCAACACGUACGUGGUGUCUUCACUAAGUGUUGAAUCUUUAGCUUCAAAGGAAAGAAACAAAAAAAGGGUAGGGAUAUUUCCACCCCAUUAUUUUUGUAAAUUCACACCACUUUUACAAAAUAAUUAUAAUGAAUUCACAAUAUUUUUAAAAAAUACAAAUUAAUAAAAAAUUUGUAUAGUUAAUCAAUUAAAUCCUUCUAUUACCUUUCUUCUUAGAUUUCUUUGACUCUAUUUGAUCAUAAACUCUUAUAGAAAUGUUAUUUUUCUAUUUUAUUAUUAUGAUAUAAAACGAACAAAUUGCCUAACAAACAUGAGUUAUUGUAUCUAAUAAUUUAUGUAUUUAAUUAUGUGAACUAAGAUUUUUAAAUGAAAUCUAAUUAUUAUUUUCACUACCUUACAAAUAAAUUAUAUAAAUUUGACAAGCUAAUAAUUUACAUGAGUAUUGUGCCAUACAGACAUUAUGUUUGUUUAAUUAAUGUUUUAUAAUCAUACUAAUAAAGUAGUAUUAGAAAUAAUGAAUUGCUAUAAAAUUAGAAAAUAUUGAAGUUAAAGAAUUAGUUUUACCUUAUAAGGAUAAAAUAAUCAAUUUAGACUUAUGUCAAAGCAAUCUUUAUGAUCAAACAUAAAAAAAAAAAAAAAUUAAGUCACAAAAAGUAAAUUAAGAUAGAUUUGUUAAUUUGUUCUCCAAAGUUCUUUUUUAUUUAUUUUUUUAAAAUAAUGUGUACUUUUUGUAAUUAUUUUUUAAAAAUGGGGUGGAUUUGGAGAUAUCAUUAGCCAACAAAAAAUUUAGUCAGGAUUAAUUUGAUAAUUGCCCAUAAAAAGAAGGCAUAUGUGCAGGUGGUGAUAGGGAAGCCUUUUUCCAUUCUAAAAUUACAUGUAAGAAUCUAUUAUAAAAAAGAUAAAUGUGUAACAGGAUGUGGAUAGAAAAAUUGAUCUUCAUUUGGGGAUUCUUGAUCUUCAGUUCUUCACUCCACUAAAAUUUCCACUAAAAUUUACCAGAGAAUGAGGUGAAAAACAUGGGCCAAAUAAAAUUAUUAAAAUAUAAAAAAAUUUAAAUUAUUAAAAAUAAUAACUAAAAAAAUACAUAUUUGUUAAGAAUUUUGGAAUUAUUUUUCUUUGAGUAAUGACACUAUAAUUCAAAAGACGCUUUUUGAAUUAAAUCAGAUUUUUUAUUCAAAACGAACAAAGGGAUUAUAUUUUACAAUUGGGUAAUUUUUAGGGACCUCCCCUGAGGUUUACCGUAUUGACACAUAGAGAGAAUGUAUCCACAUAAUUACAACCACCUCCCCUCCCGUUAGUAUCCGGUUACGUAUGGCACAUAUAGGCAAAUUUUAAGCUGAAAUUUCUAGGAAUCUUGCUUAGAAAGGAAUUUUGGGCAGCAUGUAGAAGUGGAAACCAAGUAGAGUUCAACAACCAUAUGGCUGAAAUUAAUAGCAUCAGCCCUGCUGCUCAUAAGUGGCUGUUACAAAUUCCUGUGACAUGUUGGGCCAAACAUUGCUUCCCCACUCAAACCAAGUGCUCACAUGUCACAAACAAUAUGACUGAGUCCUUCAAUAAUUGGAUAGGUAGUGUCAGAGGCAUGCCGAUAGUAAGAAUGUUGGAGGAGAUUAGGACGAAGAUUAUGAUUCUUAUACACAAAAGACAUGAGCUAGGCAAAACUUGGCAUGAUGAACUGCCGCCACUUGUUAGGAGGAGGUUAAUGGAUGCAAGGGCUGAAUCUAGAUCAUUAUCUAUUAUAUUUGGGCACAAUAAUUCAUUUGAAGUCAUGGAAGAUGUCUCUAGGAGGUGUGUUGUGAAUCUAGGCAGCAAGCAUUGUGAUUGUGGGGAGUGGGCUGUUUCAGGCUAGCCUUGCAAGCAUGCUAUAUGCUGUAUUGAUGCAAUGAGAUAUAAUGUGAAUGAAUAUGUCCAUCAUCUCUUGAAAAAAAAAGCAUUCAUGAAGACCUAUCAGCACAAGUUACAUCCAGUGCCAGAUGAAAGCAGAUGGCCAUUACUCUUGCAUGAUAACUUGCUGCCACCGACUGUGACAAGAGCUGCUGGCAGGCCCCAAACUAAAAGAAAAAGAGAGGAUGGUGAAAGACAACCAUUUAAGAGGAGUUCAAGUGUAAGAUGUUCUAAUUGUGAUGAGUGGGGCCAUAAUGUAAGGAGUUGCAAAUCUGUUAUCAAAGGUGGAAAACACAAAAAAAUUAUGAAGAAGAAAUUCCAUCAGGUCUUAAUUACUUGCUUCUAUUAUAAUUUUUUCAUUGUUGUCUUCAAUCUUAGUAUGUUUUGAUUAAAAAUUAUUGUAUAAUCUAAUUAUUUAUGUGUAGGAUCAAAGAGAGACAGGAGCUUGUGCUGGAGAUGCUGCAGUAGCUAAUGAUGUUGUGAGUACUCAGAACAGUGUCCAUGAAAAUGGCAAACAUUUCAUGUAUCAUUUUUUUUAAAGUUAAUAUGUACGCAAAAAUUUAAAUGCACCAACAGUUUGUUUCUCUCAUGCCGUAAUUUCAAAUAAUAGAUAACAUUAAUUUUUUUUUAGAUUAUUAAGGACAACUUACUCAAGAAUGAGCACUGCCAAGUUAAAGCAUCCAGCAGCAUUUUGUAAUUAUCAAGUGAAGAUAUCAGGAGCCAAGUUAAUCCCUUCUAACAAAAUUUUUUGAGGGAUUAGAUGAUACAUCACCUUCAACUGUAAGCAUUGAUAUGAAGAAGUUGUCGUAUCAUCUUUUUGUCACUCAGCCGUAGAUAGAGGUUUGAGUUUUUGUACAUUUUGUUGUUGUGUGGUACAUAACGCAGCUGUUGAUGACGCCAUGUAUGCUUUCUUUGUUUUGGUCCUGUCAAGUUAAUACUGUAAUAACUGACUUGCCACUACAAGUUUAAAUACUGGCUGCUGGUAUUUGUAUUGGCUGAUAGGAAUUCAGUCGUUAAUGACAUGUGACACUUUAUUAUUGUUGGAAUGCAUAUGAAUUUAUAAUUUAUAGUCACAAGUAAUGUUUAUGUAGUUUUAUUACAUAGUUCUUUAUUGAUUUUAGUUUAUGUAGUUUCAUUACUUAGUUACUGCCGUGGUUUUUUACUUUGUGUGUUUGUUGUGCUUGCGACUGUCACUUGAAACAAUAGAAUUUACUUUGUUUGUGCUUGAUAUUACAAAGUGAGACCUGCUGUAUGUGUUUAUUGUGGCUGAUACUGUCAGUUUGAGAAUGAAUUUGUAUUGUAUUUCUACUUUUGCUCAGGGAUUUACUGGUUGUCCUAUGUGAUGGGAGUUGUUGUGUGUGCUUCAUAGUGUUAGUUUUAACAAAAGCUUGUUAUGUGCUUGAAAUUGUUAUUAUACUUUUGCUCAGGGAUUUAUUGGUUGUAAUUCUAUUUAAGGACUGAAUUAUGGACAGUAGCUUGUGUUGUGUCAUUGUGUGUGCUUGCUGAAUUAUGGACAGGAGCUUGUAAUUAUGAAUUAUUGUUAUUGUGUGUGCUUGCUGAAUUAUGGAUAGGAGCUUGUGCUGUGUUAUUGUGUGUGCUUGUUGAAUUAUGGACAGGAGCUUGUAACUAUGAAUUAUUGUUAUUGUGUGUGCUUGCUGAAUUAUGGAUAGGAGUUUGUGAUGUGUUAUUCGCUUACUAUGCUAAAUACUAUCAGUUUGUAAAACAAAUUAUUGUCACAUGCAUUAUCUUUUUUAUCCAUUAAUACAUUACACAGAAAAAUCACUAUAUUUUACACUUCACUGCAUUCUGCAAACAUAGGAUAGCUUAGGCAUAUUAGUUCUUAAGCAUAAUUAAAUUCAGCACAAACAUAACUAGGUUCAAGUACAUCAUCAUCUUCACAACACCUUCACCAAAUCCUGACCUUUGAAGCUUCUUCAUAAUAGUCUUCACUUCUUUCAGAUUUGAUUCAAUAGCAUUUAGGGUAUCAUGAUCCACAAUAGCACUUAAAUUCCCCUCAAACACAGCUCCAUUGUUGAAAUCAUCCCUUGCUGGAACCCACCAUUUGAAGUAUCCGCAUGUUGUUCUGUUCGGCAUCUAUAAUAAAGCUUGUGAGGAUUCUCAUCCGAUUCAGAUAUCAUCACCUCGACUCUCAUACGACAUCUACAGAUUCAAUUUGAAAACUUAAUCAGCCUCCCAUUAACAAAGUUCCUCCAAGCUGGCUCAUAAAUUGGUUGUGUAUUUGAUCGGCUGGAUGUGUUUGAGCUUUCAAAAUCCAUGUGGUUGAGAUAAUGUUUGAUCUUGAUUAUGUUGAAUGCUUCUGUUGGUGAGUUGGAUGAAUACUUAUAUUGAUGAGUAAAUGCUUUUGUCAAUGAGCUGAAUGAAUGAUUCUGAUGAUGCUGAUGAUGAAUGCUUAUGUUGUCGUGAACUGAAUGCUUCCCUUGAUGAGUUGAUGAAUGCUUUUGAUGAUGAUGAUGAGUGCUUCUGUUCAAGAGUUGAAUGGAUGAUGACUUAAAAUCGUAAGAAGAAGAUGAAGAUGAAAUUCUGCCAUGAUCAUUUGCUAACUUGCCUAGGCCUUUUUAUAGUUGCUGCUGCUACUCAAAAUAUUACCGUUUACUUACAACGGUAAUAAUGGCAGCUUUAAUUUAUUUUUUCUUUUUUUUUAAUAACAAAUAAUGUAAAUGAAAUCACAUCACAUAGAUGGGUAAUUUGGUCUUUUUUUAGCUUUUGUGAUUCUAGCAAGUUUAUUACCUAUCGGUUCUCAAAGUCUUGUUUUAUAACUUAUAAUUUUGGCGGGAAGGGUAAUUUAGUAAUUUCAACAGUCAACUAACAGUCAAACUAACCGGAUACUAACGGGAGGGGAGGUGGUUGUAAUUACGUGGAUAUAUUCUCUCUAUGUGUCAAUACGGUAAACCUCAGGGGAGGUCCCUAAAAAUUACCCUUUUACAAUUUAAGAAAUAACUAUAUUUAAUAGAGAUAAUUUUGGGAUAUAGUAUUUACUUUCUAUUGAGACAUUUUCAUAUAUUAGACAAAAGUUACAAAAGUUUACUUUAAAAAAAAAUUAGACUUCACACGUUUAACAAAUAACCCGAAGAAUAUGAAUAAGAAUUAUUAAAACAAAAAUGAUAAAUAAGGAUAAUUUUAAAAUUAAAUGCAAUUAAUGGAGAGAUGAUGACUGAUAAGAAAAAUUGGGGGGCAAAAAUUAAAAUAUCAACCUACUACUAAUGGUAUAGUCAUGACCCACUCAAUUUGAGAAUUAAAAGGACAAAAGCCAAGUGUUGAAAACUAUGGUGUUCAUGGGGAAAUUAAAAAGCAGUGAAAUUAUCGUGCAGUGCACGGUGCUCGGACAAUGAGAUGAAAUUGAAAAAUUAUAACGAAAACUUCAAGGAAGAGUGCCAAUAGUCCUACUCAUAACGUCGUGUCUAACUCAUAACAUAGAGUAGGAGUUCUACGAAAGUAACGGAAGAGUGCCAAUAGUCUUAACUCAUAACGCCGUGUCUAUAAUUUUAGCUGAAAAAAUCUGCCAAGUCGAAAAAUUAGGUGGGCAUUUCAAUAACCCUUGAAUAUUCCAUGAAUCAUUGUCCAGAAAGCUUGGAAAAUGAGAUAUCAGGUCAAUAUAUGCUGCAGAGUCACGCUCAUUUUGGCUUAGCAAUGGUUUUCAUCUGAUCACAAUCUCUCUCUAAUCAAUUCAACUGCUUCUGUUGAUUAUGGCUUCUUUUUCUCGAAACAAGAAGAAGUAUGAUGUUUUUGUUAGUUUCAGAGGAGAAGACACCCGCGACAACUUUACUAGCCAUCUCUAUUCAGCCCCGUCUCGACAAAAUAUCCAAACUUUCAUUGAUGACCAACUUAACAGAGGAGAUGAAAUUUCAGAGUCACUUGUGAAUGCAAUUAACGCAUCAGCCAUUUCAGUUAUCAUUUUCACUGAAGACUACGCUUCUUCCAGAUGGUGUCUUGAUGAACUUGCGGAGAUCCUCGAGUGCAAGAAAGAGUAUGCACAGAUUGUGUUACCGGUUUUCUAUCGCGUUGAUCCAUCAGACGUGAGAAACCAAACAGGGAGUUUUGGGGAUUCAUUUUCAAAGCUUGAAGAAAGAUUCGAGCAAAAUUCGGAGAAGCUGCAUACAUGGAGGAAGGGAUUGAGAGAAGCGGCUGGUUUGUCUGGAUUUCAUUAUCGUAGCAUCAGGUGAAAAGUUACUUUUAAUUUCUCAUGCUAAUAUUUAACACUGUAAAUAAAACUCAUGCAGCACUCUUUGAUAAAUUUCCGGAUGCUAAACUACAAUUUUAAAUUUUUUUAGGUAUCAAAUUCUAGGCUUCUUGACUUCCCAACUUUUGAACCCCGAUAAUUAUAUAUGAAAGAAUUUUGACAGAAUUAAUAAUAAAAGCCCGAUAACUUUACAAUAUAUUUAACAAAAUUAAUGGUGGUAUGUCGUUUUUAAGCAAUUUCAACCUCACAUACCUCCAUCAGAAAAACAAAAGUCACACAUAUUCCUAUAAUUUAAGAGUUAUUAAUUUAUAGGGAGAUUGUAGUGGUAUAUAUUAAUUUCAAUUGGAAAACUAGCAAUCUCCCUUAUUUCAUAUUUGAUGCAAAUCCCUCCUAUUUGAAGUUACUGCUGCUAAUUUUAUGUAUUUGGCAGGCCUGAAUCAGAACUUGUAAACGAAGUUGUUAAUCACAUUUUGAAGAGACUGAUGGAAGAAGUGUUUCGGCCGCGUGAUAACAAAAGCCAGCUGGUUGGAGUAGAAUCAAGAGUUGAGGAAAUUGAAUCUCUACUAAGUGUUGAGUCGAAAGAUGUUUACGCUUUAGGAAUUUGGGGCAUUGGUGGUAUAGGCAAAACAACAAUCGCUAGAGCUACUUUCGAAAAAAUCUCUAGAUAUUUUGAAGGUUCUUGCUUCCUUGUAAAUGUUAGAGGAGAGUCACAAAGAACGGGAGGAUUAGCUUGCUUGCGACAAAAACUUCUUUCAAAUUUAUUGAAGGAUGAAAAUGCAAUUCCUGGUAUUGACCUCAAUUUUAGAAGGCUCAACCGCAUGAAGGUUCUUAUUGUUUUUUAUCAUGUGACUUGCUUCAGCCAAUUAGAAUCUAUAAUUGGAAGUCUUGAUUGGUUGAUGCCUGUGAGUCGAAUCAUAAUAACCACCAGAAAUAAACAAGUGCUUAGAAAUUGGGGGGUGAGGAAAAUAUAUGAGAUGGAGGCAUUAGAAUAUCAUCACGCUCUUGAGCUUUUUAGUCGACAUGCCUUCAAACAAAACCAUCCUGAGGUUGGUUAUGAGGAACUUUCAAGUAAGCCAAUGAAAUAUGCUCAAGGUGUUCCUUUAGCUCUUAAAGUUUUUGGUUGCUUUCUAUAUGAAAGGGAAAAAGAAGUCUGGGAAAGUGCAAUAAAUAAAUUGCAAAGAAUUCUCCAUCCAAGUAUUCUAGAGGUAUUAAAAAUAAGUUAUGAUGGUUUGGACAAUAAAGAGAAAAAUAUUUUCCUUGAUGUUGCUUGUUUCUUUCAAGGUGAGGAUGUAAAUCUACUAAUGAAAUUCCUUAAUGCAAGCGGCUUCUACCCAGAAAUAGGAAAAAGUGUUCUCGUUGAUAAGUCUCUUAUUGUCAUAUCAAAUAACAACAAGAUAACUAUGCAUGAUUUGCUACAAGAAUUGGGUAGGGAUAUUGUCAGUAAAGAAUCAAAUGAUCCUGGAAACUGCAGUCGGUUGUGGCAUCACGAGGAUAUCUACGAAGUUCUUACAUAUAAUACGGUAAGCAAUUUGCUGUGGAUUAUUACUUUGGAAUAUUCUAGCAUUUACUGCCACAUAAUGANNNNNNNNNNNNNNNNNNNNNNNNNNNNNNNNNNNNNNNNNNNNNNNNNNNNNNNNNNNNNNNNNNNNNNNNNNNNNNNNNNNNNNNNNNNNNNNNNNNNUAUUUAUAUACUCUCGAAUUGAUGAAUCUAGAAUUAAUCGAAGAGUGACAAUGAUUAGAAAAAAACAAUAAUGUUUAUAUUGUCAAUUUGUAUUGUAUCCCACAUGCGUAAAUUUCAUGUUUAGUAUUACUUGUAUUAUUAUGUUCCUUUGUGCGUUUGCAAUUAAGAGUUUCACUGCCUAGCAAUAACUAUAUAAACAUGAAUUACUGAAAUUUGAUUCGAGCAAUGAUAAAAAAUUCCACUCCAAUCCCACCUCAAUUCCACACAAGAGUGAAAAAAAAGGUUGAAUUAAUAACUAAGUUACCCCUUGUUGUGAAUCAAUGCCAAACAUGCCCCAAAAAUUUGUCUUGGUGGGGUUGAGGUGCAAUUCAUUGGUGGGAUAUAAAUAUCAUUUUUCAUUUUUUUAUUGAUUUUUAGGGGACUGAAAAAGUUGAGGGCAUCUAUUUGAAUAUGUCCAAAGUGAAAGAGAUCCGUCUAAAUCCCAAUACAUUCACAAAGAUGCGGAAAUUCAGAUUUUUAAAAUUCUAUAGCUCGUCAUUCAAUGCAGAGAACAAAUGUAAGGUGUCUUAUUUGCAAGACCCUAGAUUUACUGAAGUGAAGUAUCUCCACUGGCAUGGAUAUCCAUUGAAGUCAUUGCCUUCAAACAUUGGUGCAGAGAAGCUUGUGUUUCUUGAAAUGCCAAAUAGCAGCAUUGAACAACUUUGGGAUGAUAUGAAGGUAUGUAUAACUUAAUACAUUAUGUGUGCAAUCUUUCAAUAAUAACGUUAAAUUAUCAUACAUGGCAAUGAUUCCUCUUGGCCUCUUUUUUGACCAAACAGCAUCGUGGUAAGUUAAACCAGACAAUCCAUGCUGCCUGCAAGAUGCUAAUUGCCAAAACUCCAAACCCCACGUUGAUUCCACAUCUAAACAAGCUAGUUAUCUUGAAUCUAAGAGGUAGCAAAAGCCUGAAAAGUCUUCCAGCUGGAAUAUUUAAUUUGGAAUUUCUUACAACACUUGAUCUUUCGGGGUGCUCAAAACUUAAGAGGCUUCCAGAGAUCUCAUCUAGUAAUACAAGCUGCCUUUUUUUUAGUGGAACUGCAAUUGAAGAACUGCCUUCAUCAAUUGAGCUUCUAAUUAGGCUGGGGUACUUGGACCUUUCGGACUGUAAAAGGCUUAAGAGUCUCCCAAGCAGCCUAUGUAAGUUGAAAUCUCUUGAAAUUCUUGAUCUCAGUGGUUGCUCAAAUCUUCAGAGAUUGUCCGAAUGUCUUGGCCAGUUGUCCUCUCUAGGAACAUUGCUUCUAGAGAAAACCAAUAUUGAGAGAAUACCAGAAAGCAUCAUCCAAAUUUCUGUGUUGACUUACCCCCGCUUAAGCUAUUGUGAGAGGCUUCAAUCCGUACCAAAGCUUCCAUCCCUUAUACGAUGGUUAGAUGCCGAUAAUUGCACAUCGCUGCAAUCAUUAUCAGGUUUAUUCCCAAGUUCUGAAUUUUAUAUAUAAGCAGUGUUUUCUGACUAGAGCAAUAAUUUUAAAUCGGAUGGUAAUUCUACUGCAGGAAUUGUUGAAGAUAUAAUUUUUUUUUGAGUUAUGAUUUUAUUUUUUUACCAGAUUGAUUUUCACAUGAACGGAGGUCAUAUCUUACUACUCGGGAAUGAAAUUCCAAAGUGGUUUGAGUUUCAAAGUGUGGGAUCUUUUAUAACCUUGGAGAUGCCACCAGAUUCCUUCAACAAUAACUGAGUACUACUGGGCUUUGCAUUUAGUGCUAUUGUAGCAUUUUCAGACUGUCAUGUAGAUAAUGACAGAUGGUUUUCAUUUUCUUGUGAAUUCAAAGUGAAAACUGAAGAUUGUGAUCCGCAAGUCACACGGCGUUACGAUAAUUUCACUGCUUACGUAGAAUCAGAUCACUUACUUUUGGGGUGCUAUUUUUUCACUGUGGCAGUCCGCUUCUCUUUUGAUGAUUUUGAUCGUUUUCCACCUUUGAAGUGCGAGUGCUGCGGGUGAAAAAAUGUGGAGUCCAUUUACUUUACAUCCCAGAUUCUACGGAUUCAAUGGAAGUUCCAAGCAGAUGUUUCAACUGUUACUAAGAAGACUAAGAUUUUCAAGAAUGUAAUUUUAUUUUUUUCUCUUUUGCUAAUCACUAUUAAUAAUAAGAGAAAAAGCCAAGAUCAGUCUUGGAACAAAACAUGCAUGCAAUAAUUUUCGAGGGACGUGGUGCAUGUAACACAAAUUCACACUAGACUAUUGAACCAUACCUUAUUAGAUGAAGGGUAUAAUGUACCGAAAGCACGUAUUUAGCAUUGUAAAAUUACUGGCCUUCUUUUCCUGCAGAUUUAAUCUACUUGGCGUGUUAUUUUUUUUCCUUUUUUUUUUUUUUUGAAUGCUAGUGUUUCAUUCAUGAUAUUUCUGAAUUUUUAUCCAUGAUAUAUUUUAACCUUAUUUUUAUUGAUUCAUGAUAUAUUUUAAAAAAUAUAUUUGUAUAUUGAUUUGUCAACUAAAAUAUUUGUUCUGACUAGCCUUGUCAUUUGUGUUGUGAAUCCAUUCGCUUAAACAUGUAUGCACUUGUAAGGAAAACUGACUUGUAAGGAAACUAAUAUUAGUUUAUGAAGUGAAUAUUGCGCCGAAAUAUAUGGAAAAUACAAACAGAUAGUAAUCAAUUAAUUUUGCGCGAGAGAGGCAGAUAGUUAAUUACCGUGUGCAAAUGGUGGAUAUUGGUUUGAAUAUUAUCAUUAUCAGCGUGAAUGAGGAGGGAUCGAACUUUAUGCCAAUUGAGGCAACAAGUGAGGACGCCACUCAUGCAAAACAACAUCAUCAAAAGCAGAGCUAAACCAAGAGGGAAACCUAUGGAUGGCCGAUUUGAUGAUGACGCUUCUUCAUCAUUCCCCAUUAUUUUACUUCUCGCUACGUACGUAGUACUCUAUGCUACCUUUCUUGCUUCCUUCAAGUGUACAUUUAAUUGAACACAAUCGUAUUAGUAGUAAUUUAUAUUUACAAAACUGACUUGUAAGGAAAGGAUUGAAGAUGCCUGUGAACUUACGUUUCUAUUUAGAUUAUUGUAUCUUUUUCAUGUAUAAAAUUGGAUCUUAUCAUUCUCAUAUCAUUUACAUAAGUGGAGAAUGUUAAUACCUCUACCAGUGUUUCAUCCACAGAUUUCUUAUUUGCAUAGAUGGAUAGUAAAAUGUUCCUCAGUGUUCCCCUGCAGCACCAAUAUAGACACAUCAUAGAGUUUUUUAAUUUUGACUCUAGUGUUUUAGGAUAAUGAACGAAGGACUGAAUAGAGAGAAGAGAAAAUACCUUUGUUUCACAUCCUCAAAGAUUGCAUCUGCAAUUGGCCUUUGCUUCAACAAAGGAUCAAUCAACCAAAGCAAUGGAAACAAUAGCUUGACUCUCCAAUCAUCAACAAUGCCUUGUAGUUUAUGCCGCCAGCAUAAUUCAACAGAACAAGCCCUCUAACAAGUAUUUGUAUGUAUGUAUGAUCAUCCAUUCUCAAUCAACCACCAAACUGAUGUCAACAAAGCCAUGAGGAUUGUCUCACAAGUCUUUCAUUUUCCCUCUCUUUUGGCCGGAGACCAGUAAACCAUUUGAAUAUGGAUGUGCAAACCAGUAAAUAAAUCAUGAAGUUACACACUAGUCUGCUUUCGCACUCAUUCGGAACUAUAAUUGAUACUUACUGCAGGUAUGGUGUAUAAAUUUUACUAAAGUGAAGGCUGGAUCAAUAAGAAAUUCAAAAUGUUUCAUCACAUUUUGGGCUUGAUGAUGCCAAAGAAAGACCAUACCAAUUAUCACGAACGGUAAAAUGUGAACAAGAACAAGCAUACAUUCAAGAAAGCAGAGAAGCAUCAUUAAAAUAAAGCAUUCUUCUCACUAUUCUAUAUUGUUGGAAAAUGGACCAAAAUAAAAAAGAAACCAUAUAUGGAACGUCACAACAAGAAUAUUUGUGCAUUUGGAGAUCAUAGGAUAUUGGGAAGCCAUCGGCAGAAAAGUACAAUUUUUUUUUUUUUUGGGGGGAAAGGAACAGAGAAGUGCAAGUCAAAAAGGAGAAAAAAUGAAAACAGAGAGAUGAAAAGGAAUGCAAUCUAAUUAAUCAUCUAAGGAGGCUACUAUGCUACAUUUAGCCAUUGGUUGAAUAGGCAGCUUGUCUUCUAGUACAACUUUAAAUUUACCAAGAUUGAGAAUUUUCCUUCUGAAGAAAAGUAAUUUCUAUAGCAGCUAUUACCAUCUUCAUCCCAACGGUAAGCAGCUCCAUACUAAGGAAAGAGUGAAAUAGGUGUGCUUUACUUAUAGAAGCCCGUUCCUGUCCAGAGUGAUUAGUAAGUUGUUUCACCAUGACCCCCAUUAUGGUGACUGGAAAAAGAAAAAAAAAAUAUUUGCCCAACACAGAAGUAGCACCCAAAAAGUCCUACUUAAGAGGCUUCAUACCCUGCACAAACUGGAAAGUUUUUUAAAAUUUUCAUGUUCCAAAUGAAGAUUGCCCAUUAAAAAAUUACACACAUAAUGUAUGUAAAGCAAUUAAAACAGAAAAACAAGGAUAACCCAGAAACAAUCCAACCAUCAAUAACAUAAAACUUUUCUAAUUCUGGUAAAGUGAAUGAGAAGCAGAACAUACAUUUCACGUAAUAAUGAAGAUACAUCUUUUAAUCAGUUUUUGCUCUUGCUUUACUCAUAAUGCAGAUACGUAUCUUCAAAAAUUAUAUCAUACAUUUCUCUUAUCAAUGAAGCAGGUUGCUAUUGAACAUUAUUCAUAAACAAAGAGCCAAAUAUGCUUUAAAGCUACUUGCAAAUAUGCCAUCAGGCAUUGAGACAGAGUGACAGACACUCGACAACAAAAACAGACUUAUCAGCACUUAACAACACAAAAGUAAAAAAGCAAAUACUCUUACUCAAGUAUUAUAUUUGUUGCACAAAUAGGAAAGAAGAUAACAAUUUUAAAUUAACCAACAGGUUGAGUCUUAUCGUAAUACACACUAUCAGCUAUGAAUUAGCAUACCUUAGAAGUCCUCAACUCAUUCACCGCUAUUCGAAGAGAAUCAUCCGAUAGAAUCAACCGUGACAAUGCUCCAGGGCUUAAACUGCCGCAUUUAUAAAAGAUCACCAUACGAGAGAAAUCUUAAAUUAAAAAAAAUAUCGGAAACCUAAACGCCAAUCAAACACAUUACAUAUAGCAAUUUCUCUUUUUAAAGUUCAAUUAUCGCUUGAUAGAGUAUUAAGCUUAAUGCAAUACCCCAAUAAUUUUUCAGCUUCUGAGACAGAUCCCUCGACUGCGAAAAUUAGAUCAAGCAGAUCUUGCAUUCCCUGUAGUUAACCAAAAAAAAAAAAAAAAACGAAGCAAGAGUGAAUAGAGUAAUACCAAAGCAAAUUUAGGAUUGUUAGGUCCGAUUUGUGGACCAACUUCUGAACUGCUAAUAGUAGACUUAGGAGGAAGGAUUUGAAGAAGCUGUGGCGGCGGAGAAUACGCAUCAAGAUUCACACUGCUCCUCACUUUGAGGGCCAAAAGAGUGCGACAAAGCUGACGCGCGAUUCUUGUGCUGCGAUCGGUCUUCGGCAGCAUGCGCUAUGACGCCGAUCGGUACGUGCUUGAGACGUACGGCUGAUUCGCGCUUGUUGCGGUGCCGACCGCCUGGUCCCGACGAUUUGUACGCGUCCAUUUCGCAUUCGCGAAACAGCUCAUCGUCCGUCAAUUCUAAGUAAUUCCUCGAAGAAGAAGAAGAAGAAGAAGAAGUUGAAGAACAAUUGUCAUUGGUGCUGUAAUUGCAAGACAAGAACAAUGGCUGAUAAUUCCCGCGAUGCUUGUACGAUGGAAAGUUUAUAUUUUUCCUUCCGAGUUGGGGAAUCCGAAGCAGGAAUUGAGCGGCCAACGCCACAUCAAUUUCAAUUUCCCUCUGUGUAUGUGAUAAUCAAAGCAAAGCUUCGUACUGGUAACACAUUCUUAUAGCAGGCCCAGCCCAAUCAGCCCAAUCCAAAUAAAAGAGUACAUAAUUAUCAAUAAAUAGAAGUCAAGACCUUUCUGUGAUCUAUCUAGUCUUCCUAUCGUACUCUUUUUUUCACUAGAAAAACUACAUUUGUAAUGUGUCUCGAAGCACCAUCAAUUCUUACCUAUAUUUCAAUUAAAAUAAGAGUGAAACUAUCAGCACCCCUUCAUUAUUCUUAUAAAACCCUAUUUCAAAUAAAAUUACAGUUAAGAGCAAAGAAGAAAUAAACACAUGUAGGAUUUUUUUUCCCCAACAAAUUACUUACAUUAAUAAUCAAUCCUUUUUUUUUAUUUCCUACCUAUUAUUUCUUAUCUAAGAUAAAUUGUAUAAAUUUAGAAUAAUCUAUUUUUCUUUUCCUAUUUCUUAUCGAUUAAAUAUUUUUGUACUCAAGAUUACUUUCAAACUACAAUCUAAAAUAUGUGUUAUUUAAGCUACUGAUUAGCAUUCAAACUUUAUCACCUAAAAAACUUUUUAAUUUGUAUGUAGGAUAACAAUAAGAUUGCAAAAGAGAUGAAAAAUAGCACAAUACUACUUUGAGUUUUAACAAUAAAAGAAGAUUAAAUGAAAAACUAAAAGAGUGUCUUUGAAAAUAAAAGGAAUUUUUUUGGAAAUAAAAUAAAUAUAACUAAAAAAAGGGUUUGAUGGGGAGACUAGAGGGGUGCCAAUAGUCCAACUUUUAAAAUAAAAGUUUUAUCAAUUAUUGCUCCCUUUUUCUGCAAUUAUUAUUCCCCACAGAUAUUUCUCCAACAUUUUAUUUCAUAUAUUUACUCCUACUACACUCUAACAAAGGACGCCUUUUGGACGACAUCCGUUUCUAGAUGCAUUUUAUUAAUAAAUUAAAUAAAGGCACCAUCCAUUGUUCAAUUUCUCUAAAUAACCACUUUCUGUCAACUCUCUUAAAAUUUAUUAAGGAAUCUAUGUUGAAGACCAUUUCAUCCUUAGUAUUGUGUAAAUGUAUAAAAAUAGAUUUUACACUUUGAAAUUUAAAAUGACCUUCUUUUAGCAUAAAAUUUUAAAACAAAUGCCGCUAACUAAGGGACAAAUUUUAGAAUACAUGAUCAGUACCAUGUCAGCUAUAUAAAAAGUAAAUCAUAUUAUAAUAUAUGUGCACUUAUUUUGAAAAGCUAUCAGGUAAAUGAUGGUUAUAUUGAAUCUAAGUACGUGCAUAUCAUACAUGACACAACCCGUGUUAACAUAUAUGUUUCCAUAAUGUUGAUUUUGAUGAUAACAAACAAAAUUAAGAAUGAUUAAGCUUUUAAGCUCAAAUUACUUUUUAUACAUUUUAAAUAAAUCAUUAUUUUCACAUUAUAAAGGUUUUAUAUUUAAUGGAAAAAUGAUUUUAUGAAAUUAGUUGUUUUUCAAGUUUAUGAUUUAAUUGAAAGAGUUUUGAAAACUUUGAAAUUAACAAGUAUUGCUUGAAAUUUUGGAGGACUUAUUUGAAACGUUUCAUAGCAUUUUGGGUCGUAUCAUAAUUUCAAAAAGUUUUGGGAAUAGCAAGAUUUAUUUAGAGAUUCUGAAAUUGGACCUAUUUGUAAAAUAAUAUAACGUUUUGGGCCAUAAUAUAGUUUUAUAAAGUUUUGGGGUCAAACUAUAAUUUUAGAAAAUAGUGCACGGUACCGGUUACUGUAACAAGCUGCUAACCGGAUGUGACAAACGACUAGCCAGAUUUUGGGCUGUAAGCUUCUGGAAUGAAAGCGGCUAUCCGGAUUUCGACAGCGGCUAAACGGAUUUCAAAAGCAGCUAACCGGAUAUGAAAAGCAGCAUGCCGGAUAUUCUGAAAUUGAAAUUUUUUCUGUAACGGUAACAUAAAAGUGGCUAACCAGAUUCCAUAAACGGUAAGCCGGUUAUCACCAAAAUGUGCAUAACGACUAGUUUUUGAGUUCAAACUAUAUAAACUCAAAUCCAAUUCAUUUUUGGUAAUCUUGGCAAGCAUAAACAAGUGCACACAACAUAUUUUGAGCUUCAAUUUCCUAAAUCAUCAUUUAUUAAAAUAUCUUUGUUCUUCAAUUUGUAUAUCUACUCUUUGAGAGAGUUUUGUUGUAAUUUUCAAUUCCUCAUCAAAUUUGUGAGUGUUUAAGUGUGUGAGACACUUGAGUGAAGAUAUUGGGAGAUAAUCUCUUUUUUGUAAAGGUUCAUUGACACCUUGGAAGUCAAUUGUAAGCUUUUGAAGCCUUGGAAGGCUUAGAUAGUGAAAUCCUCAAGCUUGGGUUGCUUGGUGGUGUGGACGUAGGCGGUGAUUGCCGAACCACGUAAAAAUCCUUAAGUUUGCUUUCUCUUCCCUUACUCUUUUAUUAUUGUGCUUUCAUUGAAAUUAUUGUUUUCGAAUUUAUUAAGGCAUUAGAUUGGAUUGUUGUGUGGUUUGAUUAUGAUAAGUUUUAAAAACCCAAUUCACCCCCCCUCUUGGGUUGCAUAACUUGUAUUUCAACCCGACCCAACCUCUCUGCCAGAUUCGAGGUGAAUCUUGUGAUCUUAUAUCUAAAGCUUGUGACAUAAAUUUAAUUCAUGAAUACAUAACACUAGCCUCGGCCUUUGUUAUAAACAAGUAAUAACAUAUGUACCUCAUUCAAAAAUAUAUUCAAAACUUGCGCAGUUCACAUCUUACUGUACAUACUUACACUUUAGAUAUAUACAUAUAAACACAAACGUGUUUGAAAUAUAAGUCACGCAGUAAUGCGUGUUGUGGCCCAACCUCAACUGAUUAGAAACUGAAAUGCACGAAAUCCUAUGAAAAUCUUAAAGAAAUGGGAUAAGUAGGAAAAUAAUAUACUUGUAGCUAAAUGAAUGGAUAUAAUUGUGUGUGUGUGUGUGUAUAUAUAUAUAUAUAUAUAUAAAUUAGUGCUUUAGUGCUUGUACAUAAUUAUAUGACAUAACUUCGCACUGAACACAUUACACAAGCAAAUAUGAAAUUAUAUAUAUAUAUAUAUAUAUAUAUGAUAAAACAGCACCAAAUAAUAUGUAGGAGAAAUAACUCUCAAUAUUUAUUGGAAUCAUCAUUGCACAAGUAAAGUGGGGGGAAAAUCUCUCAAUACUCAGCGGAAUUAACUACAUCACAAGGGUCGAGUAAUCUAAGUCUCACUACACAUGCAUAGAGCCUAUGGGGAAGGGUACACAUAUGGUAGCUGGCAAUCACAUCUCAUAAUUGAAUUAAUCAUAUAAUAUGCGUACAUAUAAUCAUAACAUGAUACUAAAUCAUACUAUCAAACAUAAAUACUUUGUAGAAUACAUAUAAAUAAUAAUAGUAAUCCACACACAAAACAUGUUUCACUUCGGGGUUCGUUGGAGCUCCUAUAGAUUCCUUAAUGCUUGGAUUUCUCCUAAAAUAUAGGGUUCAAAAAUUAAUUGUUAGAACUGAUAUAAAAACUUAUACAUAUGACAUAAACUAAAUCAUAAUUGUUCAAAUUUCUUAAAUACGUUACCUACUGACUUAUUGGAUAUAGGUAUAACUAUCCAAUUCUCUUUCCUAUAAUAUUUCCUCUCAAUUGCUCUUUUCAAAAUCAUUUCUCACUCUCGGUUUUUCUUUUCUUUAUUUUUUCUUCUUCAUCUUUUGUUCUUCUGUUCUUUUCCUCUUCUUUCUUCAUCUUUUCUUCUUUUGUUCUUUUCCUCUUCUCUUUUCCUUUUGUUUUCUUCCCUUCUCACCUUUUCCUUUCUUUUUCUUUUCUCUUUGAAUUGCUUUGUUUUAGUUUGAUUCAUGAAAAUGGUGACAGCUGCUUCAAUUCUUUACUUUAUAUAUAUCCAUUGCUUCCGAUCACGCAUGACAAGCACAUAGGUGAAGCAUGCAUGUGCUUUGCUUUAAGCUGACAGCUUGCUAAUUAGCCACAUGUGCGUCACAAUACAUGCAUUAAUUGAUUGUAUUAUUUUUAAUAUAUUAUAUCAUUUCUUUUAAUGAAGGAUGUAGCCAACAAUUUUAUCCAGCUAAACAUGUUCUUUGACAUAUAAUACAGUUUAUGGUCCAAAAACUCAUAAGUAGUUGAAAUUAAAUUAUUUUUUAAUAUCAAUUUUACUUUUCUCUCAAUUUUAAAAUACUUUAAAAGAUUUUCAAACACAAGAUACAGUGGUAUACAAUUGAAGCCUAAUCCAACAUAGAAAGAUUAAAUAAAAUUAAUUUUCAUCACUACGCAAGAGACUUGAAAGGACAUUAAGGUAGCGUUUAUUUUUAAUUUAAAGUAUGAAUAGGUUAGAAUUUGAUUAAAAUUUGAAUGGUUUUGAAUAUAAAUGUUUCAAUAACAUGUUUAUUUUUUUAAUAUAUAAAAAUUAAGUGGCAUCUUGUUUGCUUUUAUAAAGAAAACACAUUAAAUGUAGUUAUUUAACAUUUAUGUCCUUAUAAGUCAAAACGAAUAAAAGGGAUUAGGUUUCGUAGUUUAUGAAAUAACUAUAUUGAAUUGAAAUAUUUUUAGGAUAUAGUAUUUAUUUUCCGGGUAAAAGCUCAUUUAGUCCCUGUAUUUUAAUAUUAGUGUCCAUUUAGUCCCUGUAUUUUUAAAAAUGUCUCGAAACAUCCCUGUCGUCAAAGUAUUGAUACCCCUACCGUUACUUUUUAUUUAUUUUGGUUUACUUUUACAAUAUUACCCUUUUAUAAUAAUUUUUUUGUUUGGACAUUAAUAAAAAGAAAAUAAUUAAAUUACCAAUUUAACCCUAAAAAAAUUAUAUUAAUUUUUAAUUGUCAAAAUUAAAUUGUCAAAAAUUGUAUGCAAACUACCAAGGGUGCAAAUGGUGCUUGCAAAAAAAUUAAUAUAAUUUUUUUAUUUUCUAGGGUUAAAUUGUAAUUUAAUUAUUUUCUUUUUAUUAAUGUCCAAAAAAAAUUAUUAUAAAAGGGUAAUAUUGUAAAAGUAAGCCAAAAUAAAUAAAAAGUAACGGUAGGGGUAUCAUACUUUAACGACAGAGAUGUUUUGAAAUAUUUUUAAAAAUACAGGGAUUAAAUAGAGACACUAAUCUUAAAAUAUAAGGAUUAAAUGAGUUUUUACCCAUAAAUAAUUAAUCAAACAUGGAAAAGUAAUCGAAAUUGAAAAAUCUAUACAGAUAGGGAAAUUCUCCUUUUGGCAUCAAUGGGUCUACAUAAUUUAUUUUGCAUCAAUUAUGCACCAUCACAUUCUUCAACUGCUUUCAAUUAUUUAUGCUCCAAUAAUUGCGAAUUGUUCUUUUCAGUGCAAUCAACUUGCAACUCCCCUAAUCGCAAAAAAACUUACAACUUCCCUUUCAUAAAUAGUAGUGCCCAUUUCCCCAGUAGUCUCGCAUUAACAUUUAAACAUGAUUAUCAAACACUUGGUUUAGUGGUGACCCUUUAUUUUUAAGGUCAGAAGUUACCUAAUCUUUUCAUAUAGAUAUGGGAGUAGAUUUUUUUGUUUUUCUCCCAAUUUCACAGUAAUUAGCUAGUAAACCCCUCUAACCUUAGAGAAGAGUUGAGAAGUUAUGGAUCGAAUUUCUAAUUGAUUACAUUAAAAAUGGUUCCGUUAAUUUCCAUCAAACUUAUUUUUAUAAUAUCAAUACACUAAGGGCGUGUUUGGCGCCCCGCAUAACACUGUAUUAGAACACCAUAUUGUAUUAAGAUAUUACAAUAAAAUGUUUGGCUGCUAUGUGGUAUUGCAUAAAAAAUAAUUAAUGCAGCAAAACCCAUAUAAUGGAAUCUAGCGUGAGUGUCGAGUUGAUUUGAUUUAAUUUUUAUUUUACAGAUUAUAUAUUUAAAAUAUACUGAAAAAAUAAAUGUUAUGCUACUAAAAAUUUAAGGUCAUAAACUCAAAUCUUUAUGAAGAAUGAUGAUAUAUUUUUUAACAUUUAUAUUACAACAAUAAUGUUAAAUUUUCAAAAUUUAAGACUUUUAUAUUCAAUAUUUGUCUAAGUAUUAAAUAUUAAUAAAUAUUAUUUUCUAAAUAUGUAAUUUAAAUUAAUCAGCAAAUGAAUUAAUACAGUACAAUGCAACACCAAACAUAGUGUAACUAAAAAUUAAUACAGUAGAGCACCAAAUAUUGUACAAUAUUAUUAUAAUAUAGUGUUAAUAUAAUACAACAUAAUACAAUACACCUGCAUUAAAAUAAUAUAAUACAAUGUGUCAAACGCACCCUAAUUGUAUUGCAGUAUCUAAAAAAAAAAGAUAAUUAGACCAUUUUAACCAUGAUUAUCUAACAUUAGAUUGAAUUAAAAGAGUCAAAAUUUAUGUUAAAAUUUUAAAAUAAAAAAUUGAAGUUACAAUAUUCCGAUCCAUUAAAAAAAAAUGUAUUUAACCAUGACCAUUGACUAGUCAACACUCACCAGCUUAAAGUAGUGUACAUAUUCGGACACUCACAAAUUCUUUAAUGGAAAAGUGCCACUUACUAAUUCUUAUGUUCAAGUACAGUAGACAAAUAAGUUAAGCAUUCAUUUCUCUACAAUAAAAGUACCAGUCUUCACUCUUCACUCCAUAAUUAGAAGAGUGGGUCUGCCUACAAUGGACCCAUGCAUCUAAAUCUUCAAUUAGAUUUGAUAGGCAGCCAUAAAUCAAUUGACAUGUGUUUUGAUCUAACCGGUUACCCCGUUGAAGCCACAAUUCUCCCGCCAAGUUAAUGAUUCUAAUUGCACUCAAAAAAAAAAAAAUUUCACAAAUUUGUAAAAGAUUCCAUUUUUUCUAAGUACGCUUACUUUUGUUGGAACACAAAGGGUAAAAGUACAUUUAAUCUCUGUAUUUUUAUUCCAGUAAAAAUUGUAAAAAUUUAUUUUUUUAAUUUAAAUGUAAAUAUCUAAAAAUCAAACAUAUGUUACAAAAAAAAACUAAUUUUUUUAAAAUAAGUUAAACUUCAUAUGUUUAAAAUAAACGCUAAGGAACAUGAAUAAGAGCUAUUAAAACAAAAAAAGAAUAAUUUUGAAACUAAAUACAAUUAAUUGAGAGAUGAGGACCGAUAAGAUAAAUUCAUAGAUAAAAAUUAAAAUAUCAACCUUACUUAUUGCCGGCAGUUAUGAGCAUUAAAGCACAGAAGCACGUGUGUUGAAAAGUAUGGUGUUCGUGUGGAAUUUUCAGCUAGAAGUGGACGGUGGCUGGACAAUGAGAUGAAAUUGAAAGAUUAUCACGGAACUUGAAGGAAGGUUCAUGGCAUCGAUUUAUUCUAAAGAGUCACUACAUUUGGUUCAAUAAUUGUUUUCAUUCGAAUCAAAAUCUCUCUCUAAUCAAUUCAACUGUUUCUGUUGAUUAUGGCUUCUUCUUCUCGAAACGACAAGAAGUAUGAUGUUUUUGUUAGUUUCAAAGGAGAGGACACCCGCGACAACUUUACUAGCCAUCUCUGUUCUGCUCUGUGUCGACAAAAUAUCCAAACUUUCAUUGAUGACCAACUUAACAGAGGAGAUGAAAUUUCGGAGUCACUUGUGAAUGCAAUUGAAGCAUCAGCCAUUUCAGUUAUUGUCUUCUCAGAAGGGUAUGCAUCUUCCAGAUGGUGUCUCGAUGAACUUGUCAAGAUCCUCGAGUGCAAGAAACAGUAUGCACAGAUUGUGAUUCCGGUUUUCUAUCGGGUUGAUCCAUCAGACGCGAGAAACCAAACAGGGCCUUUUGGGAUUUCAUUUUCGAAGCUUGAAGAAAGAUUUAAGGAGAAUUCAGAGAAGCUUCAGACUUGGAGGAAAGCUUUGAAGGAAGCAGCCAGUUUGUCUGGCUUUCAUUCUUUUAACAUCAGGUGAAAAGUUACCUUUAAUUUCUCAUUCUAAUAUUUAACAAUAAAUAAAAUUCACUCAGCACUCUUAGUUAAAUUUCCGGCUGCUAAACUACAAUUUUAAAAAUUUUUAAGCAUCAAAUUCUAGACUUCCUGACUUCCCCACUUUUGUGCUCUCAUAAUUAUAAAAUAAUUGUGACAGAAUUAAUAAUAAAAGCUCGAGAAUUUUACAAUAUAUAUGUAACAAAAUUAGUGGUGGUCUGUCGUUUUUUAAGCAAUUUCAACCCCUCACUCAGAUACCACCAUUACCAAAAAGAAAAGAGAAAUUAUCAUUGCACCACCUCUCUUUUACCUUAUGUUCAUCCAACCAUCAUAAAAUUUUAACAUGUUCUUUGCACCACAUUUCUUUUUAAAUUUGUAUUAAUUAGUUACUUUUGAACUAAUAUCGUUAAAUAANNNNNNNNNNNNNNNNNNNNNNNNNNNNNNNNNNNNNNNNNNNNNNNNNNNNNNNNNNNNNNNNNNNNNNNNNNNNNNNNNNNNNNNNNNNNNNNNNNNNGUAUUUUCUAGGUGUGAGUCGCAACUUACAAAUGAAGUUGUUAAUAACAUUUUGAAGAGAUUGGAUGAAGUGUUUCAGCCGCGCGAUAACAAAAACCAGCUGGUUGGAGUGGAAUCAACAGUUGAGGAAAUUGAAUCUCUAUUAGUUGUUGAGUCGAAAGAUGUUUACGCUUUAGGGAUUUGGGGCAUUGGUGGUAUAGGCAAAACAGCAAUUGCUAGAGCUAUUUUCGACAAAAUCUCAGGUGAUUUUGAAGGUUCUUGCUUCCUCGAAAAUGUUAGAGAAGAGUCACAAAGACCAGGAGGAUUACCUUGCUUACGACAGAAACUUCUUUCAAAUUUAUUGAAGGAUAAAAAUGUGAUGCCUUAUAUUGACCUCAAUUUUAGAAGGUUAAGCCGCAUGAAGGUUCUGAUUGUUUUUGAUGAUGUGACUUGCUUCAGCCAAUUAGAAUCUUUAAUUGGAAGUCUUGAUUGGUUUACGCCUGUGAGUCGAAUCAUAAUAACCACCAGAAAUAAACAAGUGCUUAGAAAUUGGGGGGUGAGGAAAAUCUAUGAGAUGAAGGCAUUAGAAUAUCAUCACGCUAUUGAGCUUUUUAGUCGACAUGCCUUCAAACAAAACCAUCCUGAUGUUGGUUAUGAGGAACUUUCAAGCAAAGUAAUGAAAUAUGCUCAAGGUGUUCCUUUAGCUCUUAAAGUUUUGGGUUGCUUUCUAUAUAAAAGGGAAAAAGAAGUUUGGGAAAGCGCAACAGAUAAAUUGCAAAGAAUCCUCCAUCCAAGUAUUCUAGAGGUAUUAAAAAUAAGUUAUGAUGGUUUGGACGAUAAAGAGAAAAGUAUUUUCCUUGAUGUUGCUUGUUUCUUUCAAGGUGAGGAUGUAAAUCCUAUAAUGAAAUUCUUUAAUGCAAGCGGCUUCUACCCAGAAAUAGGUAUAAGUGUUCUUGUUGAUAAGUCUCUCAUUGCUAUUGAUUCACACAAAAAGAUAACAAUGCAUGAUUUAUUACAAGAAUUGGGUAGGGAAAUUGUUCGACAGGAAUCAAUUAAUCCUGAAAACCGCAGUAGAUUGUGGCAUCAUGAGGAUAUUUAUGAAGUUCUUACAUAUAAUAAGGUAAGCAGUUUGUUGUGGAUUAUUAUUUUGGAAUAAUGUAGUGUUUAAAAACUUGAUGCCAAUAUAUUUACAUACGGUCGAACUUAUGAGUCUUAGAAUUAAUAGAAGAGUGGCACUGAUUAGAAAAAACAAUAGUGGUUAGAUGAUGUAGUAAUAAAUUAUAAAUGCGAGACAACUUGCAUAACCAUUUGUAAGCAUAAUUGAUAUGUAAAUUUGUGUAGUACCUGUGUUCUUAUGUUUCUUGUGCAUUUGCAAUUAAGUGUUUAACUGCCUAGCAAUAACUAUAAACAUGAAUUAUUGAAAUUUGAUACGAGUAAUGACAGAGAGCCCCACUCCAAUCCCACAUAAACUCCAUACAAGAAUAAAUAAAAAUUAAUAACUAAGCUACCUCUAAUUGUGAAUUAGUGACAAAAUUGCCCCAAAAAUUUGUCUCGGUGGGGUUGAAGUUUGAUUCAUUAGUGGAAUAUACAUAUCUUUCAUUUGAUUUUAACUUUAUUUAUUUUUAUUUAUUUUUAGGGGACAGAAAAAAUUGAGGGCAUCUGCUUGGAUAUGUCAAAAGUAAAAGAGAUCCGUUUAAAUCCCAGUACUUUCACAAAGAUGCCUAAAUUGAGAUUUUUAAAGUUCUAUAGUUUAUCAUUCAAUAGAGAGAACAAAUGUAAGGUGCCUUAUUUGCAAGACCCUGGAUUUGCUGAAGUGAAAUAUUUUCACUGGCAUGGAUAUCCGUUGAAGUCAUUGCCUUCAAACCUUAGUGGAGAGAAGCUUGUGUUACUUGAAGUGCCUGAUAAUGACAUUGAACAACUUUGGGAUUGUGUGAAGGUAUGCAUAUCUUAUUAUAUAUGUGCAAUCUUUCAAUAACAAUAUUAAAUUAUUAUAGUAAGUAACGAUUUUGUCUUGGCCUCUUUUUUGACCGAGCAGCGUUAUAGUAAGUUAAACCAGAUAAUCCAUGCUGCCUACAAUAAGCUAAUUGCCAAAACUCCAAAUCCCACGUUGAUGCCACGUCUGACCAAGCUAGUUAUCUUGAAUCUAAGAGGUAGCAAAAGCCUGAAAAGUCUUCCAUCUGGAAUAUUUAACUUGGAAUUUCUUACCAAACUUGAUCUUGCGGGCUGCCCAAAACUGAAAAGGCUUCCAGAGAUCUCAUCAGGUAAUCUAAGCUGGUUUUUUUUAAGGGGGACUGCUAUUGAAGAACUGCCCUCAUCAAUUGAGCGUCUACUUAGGCUUGGGUUCUUGGACCUUUCAAAUUGUAAAAGGCUUAAGAGUCUCCCAAGCAGCCUAUGGAAGUUGAAAUCUCUUGGAGUUCUUAAUCUCUGUGGUUGCUCAAAUCUUCAGAGAUUGCCCGAAUGUCUUGGCCAAUUAUCCUCGCCAAUAAUAUUGAAUCUAGCGAAAACCAAUAUUGAGAGAAUACCAGAAAGCAUUAUCCAACCUUUCAUGUCGCGAUACCUCCUCUUAAGUUAUAGUGAGAGACUUCAAUCCUUACCAAAGCCUCCAUUCCUUGCACGAGGUUGCCUGGCACUGCAACCAUUCUUAGGUUUGUUCUCUAAGUUAUGAAUCUUAUAGGCAAUGUUUUUUGACCGGAGCAAUAAUUUUAAAUUGGAAGGUAAUUCUACUGCAGGAAUUGUUGAAGAUAGCCAGAGAAUUCCGCAUAUGGACCAUAAGCUAGCUGUCCGUUGGCAAGAAAUACAGGAAAAUGUGUGUCUUUAACUCUCUCUGUUUAAAAUUUCUACAAUUUUUUUUUGGGUUUAAAAUUAUAAUUUUUUGGUACAGAGAGGUUUUUCCAUGGGCAAAGUUCAUAUCGUAAUGCCUGGGAAUGAAAUUCCAAAGUGGUUUCAGUUUCAAACUGUGGGAUCUUUUAUAACCUUGGAGAUGCCACCAGAUUUCUUCCGUAAUAACAUAGUGCAGGGCAUUGCAUUUUGUGCUAUUUUAGCAUUUUCAGACCGUCAUGUAGAUUGUGGCAGAAGGUUUUCAUUUUCUUUUGAGCUCAAAGUGAAAACCACCAAAGAUUGUGGUCCCCAUGACACACAGUUAUUUCAGAGCAGAGUUAAUUAUAUAGAAUCAGAUCAUUUACAUUUGGGGUACUAUCUGUUCCGCGAAGAGGAUUUUAAUGGUUUUUGGAAAUGCAAUUGCAUUCCUGAGGCAGUCCACUUUAAUGUUUUUCCACCUUUGGAGUGCCAGUGCUGCGGGGUGAAAAAAUGUGGGAUCCAUUUACUUCACACCUCAGACUCUACGAAUUGAAUAGAAAAUCCAAGCACGUGUUUCAACUAUAACGAAGAAGACUGAGAUUUUCAUGAAUGUAGUUUCACUGUUUUCCUUUUUCUAAUGACAAUUAAUAAUAGGAGAAAAUGCCAAAAUCAGUUCUUAGAACAAGACAUCCAUGUAAUAACUUUCGAGGGAUCUGGUUCAUGUAACACAAAUUCACACUAGAGAACUUUACCUUAUUAGGCGAAGAGUAUAAUGUAUGAAAAGCACGUGAUGUGCAUUGUAAAAUUAAAAUUAUUGGCCUUCUUUUUCUUGCUUUGUGCACACAACACAUCACGAUUUUGUUAUUGAACCUUACAACUCAAAACACAUCCACGUAGUUAGGAGAGCACAUGACUUAUACACCAGUAAUAAAACUCACAAGCUAGGCGAUGUCGGAUAUUACAGGACACACAACAGUUCUUAUUGGCGGAGCUAUGUUGUGGGCCCAUAUCUCUAUCAAUGAAAGCAUGACACUCACCCCAUUGCGCACCAUAUAAACUCUCAUCUUUAUAAUGCAAUCACAUUUGAAAACUCUCUACUUUCUCAAAUCUAAAUUGUUGUAUAUGGGAAAGUUUCAUCAUGUGGAAACAAAAGCCAUAAAGAGGGAACAGUUAAAACACCAUAAAAUCUUAUAUAUUUAAAAAAAGGUUAAUGCUAAGUUACAUGCAUGUAACUUACAACCCUCUCACAUGAAUAGCGAAUGAUGUGAGCCCACUCACUAUUCAUGUGAGAGGAUUGUAAGUUACAUGCAUGUAACUUAGGGGGAUCCUUAAAAAAAUAUAUUUGUAUACUGAUUAAAAAAAAAAAGGAUAGGUGUCAUUUUCACUCAAUUUAUUUGUGUUGUGAAUCCAUAUGCUUAAACAUAUGUGCACUUUUUCAAGUAUAUGUACCAAUUCCAUAUUCGGAAUGGUGCAUUUGAUUCCAUAGUUGACGUGGUAUCAUCUAUGGCUGGAAUUUAUAUUUAUAAAACUGACUUGUAAGGAAAGGAUUGAAGAUGCCUGUGAACUUAUAUUUCGAUUUAGAUUGUUGUAUCUUUUUCAUGUAUAAAAUUGGAUCCUAUCGUUCACAUAUCGUUAACAUGAGCAAUAUAGAUUGCUAAAUCAUUGUUCUUUAUUAUUGUGCUGAAUUUGACUUUUCAUUGAAUAAUUUGAUACAUGCCUUGAAUCAAUUUGGACUUUUACAACUUGUCGGGGAUCAGUUUCUCCUACAUUCUUUUCGGCGCCAAAAGAUAUUCAAGCGGUUGAAUAAGAUUUGAUAUAUACAAUAUAAAUGCGAGAGUUGUUUGUCUUUUUACAAUAGGAAUAAUAUAUAAUGCUCAUAAAAAAAUUUCGUUGACCAACUCGGGUCUGUCGUCAUGGGGACUGAUGGGUGUCGAAGCCAACAAAAAUAAAUUCCUACUCUAAAUAAAUUGUGUAUAGUGAUUGAGCAGGGUCGUGUCCACAGAGAUCGGUAAUUAUUUAAAUCCUUUUGAAACGUAAAACGUAAAAUGGGGGAAUUGUUGACAAUAAUAAAAAUCAAAUUAAAAAUAACAAGAAUGCAAAUUAAAGUUGUAAUUCAAAUUGGAGAAAGCUCUGGUUGAAGGAAUUAACUCAGCUUGAUUCAACUACUGAUCAUUGAUUCAAAUAUAGAUUAUUAUUACUCAUGAAUAGACCGGUUAUAGCUACUGAGACCCUCUAAUAGCCAAUCUCUCCUUAACUAGUCGAUAACCAAGGUACGACCGUUGGUUAUUUCCCUAAUCAAUAGACAACCCUAGAUACGAUCAUAGGAUUUAAUCAAUUGAUAGCCUGAAAAACCAGAGAGACCCAAAUCAUAAUCAACACAUAUGAUGAUUCAUUUAAAUUAGAUUGUUUAUUCUCACAACACAACUCUCUGAUAUGUUAUUUGUCACAAACAUUAAAUUCUUCAUACGAUGAAUCCUUUAAUUGACAAUAGAUUAAGUUGAUAAUUAAAUAGUGGCCAAUUACCUAAUUAACAAACAUAAUCAUGAAAAUAAUUCAGAGAAUAAACAAAUACUCAAAAAGCAAUAAAACAAUUAAAGCACAAGAAAGAUCUCACAGUAGUGAUGAAUCAAAGCUUCAUUAUCCUUCAACCAGAAAAAUAGGUUUAGUUCUUCAUAGAGAGAAGAGAAAAAUUAAGAUCUAGGGUUUAUUUCUUUUUCUCCAAUCCAAAAAAUCCCCCAUUUUCACAAUAGAUUCCUCCCUUAAAUACUCUCUCUCUCUUCUCUUUUAGAAUUCUAUUUAAAAUAAAAUCCUAAUAUCUGAAAUAUUAAAUUCGUAAUUACAAAAAUAGCCAAAAAUAUAAAACAUGUUAAACUAAAAACUGCAGGUCCGCAGUUGACAGCACGCGCCCACGCCUUAUCAACAAAGUUCUUCUGCUGCUCAUAAUUUCUCCAAGGGAACAAUCAUCCCUAAACAUCAUCUUGUAGCUUAAUUUUAUCACCAAUCAAUAGAAUUGCACCUACAAAAGUAAAUCACAAGUAAAUCACUAUUAUUAAGUGCAAAACAUCGAUAUUAAGGGAAGUAAACAAUGCAAAACUAGUGCAUAAAUUGCACUCUAACAAAUUCCCCCACACCAAGAUGAUGCUUGUCCUCAAGCAUAUAACUCAAGAUUAAUCUCAAAUCUCCACUAAAUUCUCAUCUCAACUCAUCCAAAAACAAUUUUAAGCAAGCAUACCUCAAGAAAUUAAGUCGUUCAAUGUUCGAGAGACAAGGAUUUUAAAGCAUAGAAUUUCGUAAGAUAGAAUAAGAACAUUCAACCACCAAGAAGAUCCAUUCAAAAUUCAAGUGCAACAAGAUUUAAUAGCCCUCUCAAUAACUUCACUCCAUGCACUCAAAGUGUUUAGGGUGUCAUUUAUCCACUCAAAUCAAAUCAAAGAAUGCUAUUACCAUAAGCUUGCUCAUAUAUCACAUCUCAAUCCACACAACAUGAAUAAAAUGCAAAAAUCUAAGGGUCUUAAAAGGGUUGUAAUGGGGUUAAAUAGGUGAAAUGAAAAAGAAAGGUCUAUGAAAGAAAAAUAGAUAAAAUGAGAAGAAUGAACUCAUUGAAUGAACUUAUGAUAUCAAAAUGCUUAUUUCUACUCAAGUCACCAAGAAUGUAAACUUUUUUUUUCGAUUUUUCUUUUUCUUUUUCUUUCUUUUUUUUUUCUUUUUUUUUCGUUUUUGUUUUGUUUUUUUGAUUGAUUUUUUUUUAAUCAAACAAAAGAAACGAACCUUGCACAAUUUAAUUCAAGCAUAAUGCUUGUUGAUCUAAUUGAGAAACUUUAAUACAAGGUAGAAAAAGCAACAAAAUAUAACCACACAAUGAGUUCAAAAAUCUCCUUAAAUUGAGGCUCAAAAAGAAGAAAAAUGGUUAAGUCAACGGAGAGAAUUAGAUGGGUAAUGGUUAAGGCUCAAACAAAGGUAGCAAAUAAAGGUCUUCGGGUAGAGAAAAAAAAUGCGAGAAUAGAAAAAUGGAAUAUGGUUUGCCCUUAUCAUUUUAAUGCAUAAAAUCCCGUAAUGUGGCUUCAACAUGCAUAACAAAGCAAGUUCUAGAAUAAACAAACUAAGAUUGAUAUUCACAUAACAAAAUAUUAGAGCAAAGUGGUUGCUUAUAGGCUCAAAUCCUCACAAAGUUGGUAAAUUUGCCAUCAAAUCAUGUACACUCUUCAAAUGAAUCAACCAUCAAUAAUGGUGUAGAAUGAGAAGAAGGUAUGAGUGAUAUAUAAAAGAAAAGGUAAAAAUGAUAAGAAGUGAGAAAGACGUAUGUAGUAAUAUGAAAAGUGAAAGAUAAAAUGUGAGUGAUGAAAGAGUAUGAUAGAAUAAAAAUAGAUGUAAAUAAUUUGAGAUAGAUGGGAAAAGAGUAGUGAGAAAGAAAAGAAAAGAAAAAAAUAAUAAUAUAUGAAGCAUACUAACUCCAAAAUCAUUUAAGGAUGAGUAGAGUGAAAAUAGAUGAGUAGAGUGAAAAUACUACUUCUAGACAUCAAUAAUGCAAAAAUCCCUCCCCCACACCAAGAACUUACAUUGUCCCCAAUGUAAGAUAAUCAAAGCUCACAUUAAAAUUAAAGCGUAAGAAUAAAAGAUUAAAGGCAAAAAGAAACUUCCCUGAAUUGUGAGCUUUGAUCCAUAUAACGUCUAUGGGCUUGGCGGAAAUGGUGGGGUAAAUCCCACACUCUCGAAGUAUGCGGCCAAAUUAUGCUCCAUCUUGUUCAGCUUGUGCUCCAUUUUCUCUAACUGAAUGCUCAAAGGUGGUGCGGAUGUAGAAGGAGUAAUUGGCGGGGCAGCAGUGUCGUCGUCAAACUCGUCAUCAGAGGUAGCACCACUCCUAGCAUAAAGUUUCUUCGGAAGUUGAGUGGGUCUUGGUUCAGUAAACUGAAAUCUCCCCUCCUUGAAUUCGACCACACCUAUUCUUUCAAACACAGACAUAUCCAAAAAUUCCUUUUUACAAGCAGGAUGCAAAUCAUUAUUGUCGGGAUCAAGCACACAUAGGUUUAUAGCUAACAUAGUAAUGUAUGGACCAAGAAAUAAAGUCCUAUACCGUUUAAGCACACUUUGAAAUUGAUCCGCUAACCAAAAACCUAAAUUAGGCCUCACAUCAUUUAACAUGCACCAGAUAAAAUAAAAUUCAGUUUUAGAGAAAACUCCUGAGUGAUCUUUCUUGCCUAAAAAAUUAUAUGCUAAGAAUCGAUGCACACAUUUCAAAACAGGAUCACGUAAGAAAGAACUCUUUGAUUUACUCGGGUCAUAGGCAUUGUGAUCAACAGAUAAAUUAAGCCAAAGACCAUAAGGCUCAAAAUUUUCACUAAAGUCACAAGUUUUUCCUAAAUAUGCAUCACUAGAAGAAUAAUCAUCAUUAAUGAAUCCUAAAGCUAGGUUAAAAUCCGUGAUAGAGUGUGAAAAAUUUCGUCCCAUUAACCUAAACUUAAUGACAUCCGAGGUAUGCAAAGUAAAAUCAUUCGGCAUAUGAAAUUGAAAAGUAGCAUAAAACUCCCUAAUCAACUCAACAUAACCCAAACAAUCAACAUCAACAAAUUUACGCAACCCAAUCUUAUCUAUCAAAGAAUCAAAAUUAUCCUUAACAUUCAAUUUUUCAAGAGUCGGGUAAUGAAUAUACUUAGCUGGAAGUAUUUUGCGCAUGGAAAUAUCUUUGUACCUCUCUUUCUCUUGUUGAGUCGCGAAUGCGAGGCACCCUCCGAGAUUGGAUUCCGCAAGUGGCAAAACACUCAUGCCUUUUCCAUGCUUCAAUCUUUGUCUCACGGCUUGGCGUGAAUCUGAAAUUGUGUUCCAUGGAACCGUAGUGGGAGCGGCAAUCUUAGAUUUCUUGGCGACGGGUUUUUUUUUCGAUGACUUGGAAGUAGAUGCUUUCCUCUUCGGCAUUGUUACAAUAAUUGCACUCACGGAUUUCGAUUUACCCGGCUGGAAUACAGGGCGUAGGCUGGUUGCGUUGCGUUGCUGCGUUGUGGGCUUGCGUUGCGCGCUGCUGAGGCUUGCUUUGCGGGUGCUGCGCUGUGUUGCGCGCUAGUGAUUCGCGUUGCGUUGCUGGGCUGGAUCUACGCACUGCUGCGUUCGCGUUGUGUUGCGCGCGAGAGCUGGUUCGCGCUGCUGAUCCGUUGUGCGCUGGUGGGGCUUCGUUGCGCACGGCUGGAGCUAAGAAUCUGCGUUGCUGGGGCUUGCGUUGCGCGCGACUGAUGCUGCAUUCUCCGGCUGGCUGGUUUGCUGCUGGCGUGCUGCAAACGGCUGGAGAAGAAAACAAUUUCUGGAAAAUUAGGGAUUUUGUGAACAGUAAAAUUUUUUUUUUUUGAACAAUGAUUUUUUUUUGAUUUUUUUAAAUAAAUAAAAUAUAUAUAUAUAUAAAAGAAAGAACAAAAGAAAUAAAUCAAUAAAAAAAUAAAAUAAAUUAAAAUUAAAAAAAAAUUUAUUUUUAUUUUUAUUUAUUUAUUUAUUUUUUUAGUGAUGAAUCACUUUGAGACACUAAAAAUUUCAGAAGUACUUUUCUAAUAAGCACGUGGGCACGCCUUAAAACUAUUUUACUUUAAAAAUUACAGAAGUACUUAUUAGUUAAGACGUGGGCACGCCUUAUCAAAAAUUUUCUUCUGACCAAAAUAAGCAAACACAUUAUUUAAAAAAAAAAUCUGAAUCAAAAUUAAAAGAAGAUAUAACAAAAACCAAAAUAAAUAAAUCACUUGGGUUGCCUCCCAAAAAGCGCCUUUGUUUUAUGUCUUUGGCUAGACACAUUUAUGCAUCAAUCUCCAUAAUUUGGACUCUCGAGAGCCACAUCCUCCACAAUAUUCACCGAAAAACCUUCAUAAAAAGGUUUUAAGCGAUGACCAUUAACCUUAAGAACUCUGUCAGAGGUCGGACUCCGAAUCUCAACUGCACCAUGAGGAAAAACAUUAGUAACAAUAAAAGGUCCAACCCAGCAAGAACGUAAUUUACCCGGAAAAAGUUUAAGUUUAGAAUGAAAAAGAAGAACUUUUUGACCAACAGAGAACUCCUUUCUCAAAAUCAUUCUAUCAUGAAAUGUCUUCGUCUUUUCCUUGUAAAAAACUUCCUUCACUAUAGGGUUAAUAACAUCCACAGAAAAUACCGAAUGUUCCUCACUAGGAUAUUUCAUGGCAUCAUUCAUAUUGAAUUCUAUAACCUCUCCAUCAAACUCCAUAGUGAGAGUCCCUUUAUGUAUAUCCAUUUUAGUCCUAGCAGUCUUAAGAAAAGGUCUUCCUAGCAAAAUUGGGACAGAAUUAGAGGAGUUAUCAUCUUCCAUAUCAAGUACAUAAAAAUCAGCAAGAAAAACCAACUCAUUAACUUGUACUAAGACAUCUUCUAAUACCCCAUCAGGAUAUGCAUUAGACCUAUCAGCUAGUUGAAUUAUCACACCAGUUUCUUUUAAUGGUCCAAUAUUCAAAGAUGAAUAAAUGGAACGAGGCAUGACAUUAAUAGAAGCUCCUAGAUCUAACAAAGCCUUUUCAACUCUAACACUACCAAUUUUACAAGGGAUAGUAAACAUACCUGGAUCCUUGCACUUAGGAGGUAGUUUCUUUUGGAGAACUACUGAAACAUUCUCCCCCAUGUGAACUUUUUCAUCUCCUCUUAAUUUUCUCUUGGAGGUGCACAGUUCCUUAAGGACUUUAGCAUAUCGAGGUAUUUGUUUUAUAGCAUCUAAUAAAGGAAUAUUUACCUCAACCUUGCGAAAUGUCUCAAGGAUGUCUUUCUCUUGUUCCUCCUUCUUGGAUUUUGCAAAUCGGCUUGGAAAAGGAGGAGGUAUCACAAUAGGUAGGGGUUUCGCUUUGGUGGGUUGUGCAUCUUGAGAUUGAGGCAUCAAUUCAUUCUUCUCAAGCUCAUCUUCUACAUGCUUUGUCACUUUCUUACUAGGCUCUUGCAACUCCGUCCCACUUCUAAGGAUGACAGCACUAACGUUUUGCUUUGGAUUCACCUCAGAUUGUGAAGGCAAUCUCCCUAAUACUUGAGACUCCAGACAGCUCACUGUAGUCGCCAAUUGACUCAUUUGGUUCUCCAAGUUCUGAAUGCUUACUGUAGUUGCCUGCUGAAAUUGUUGAGUGUUAGUCGCAAGCGAUUUAACAAUUUCUUCAAGAGAUAUACCUGACUUGGAGUUUGACUGUGGAGGUGCUGGUUGUCUUGGUGGAUACUGUUGUGGGAAUCCUGACGGCCUAACUCCAUAGCUGAAGUUGGGAUGAUCCUUCCAUCCCGGAUUGUAUGUUUGUGCAUAAGGAUCAUACCUCCUCUGAGGCAUGCCUGGAAAUCCUCCAACUACAUUGGCUUGUUCAACGGGUUCUUCUUGAAGUGUAGGACACAUAUCGGUUGAAUGACCCAUAUUGUAACAAAUGCCACAAGUCUUCACCUGUUGCACAUUACCUACAACAAACUUUUCCACAAGAGAAGUAAGUUUAUCUAAACGUUGUUCAACAGAAGAAAUAUUUACCUCAUUCACCUUCUUUGAAAUGGGAUCUUGCCUGCUGCCAAAUUGUUGUGCGUUGGCAGCCAUAUUUGAUAUCAACUCCCUUGCUUGCGUAGGGGUCUUGUUCACCAACACGCCUCCACUAGCAGCAUCUAUCAUACUCCUAUCCAUCAAUGAUAGUCCUUCGUAAAAAUAUUGAAUAAGAAGUUGAUAAAAAAUUUGAUGCUGAGGACAACUGGCACACAAUUGUUUGAAUCGCUCCCAAUACUCAUACAAAGUCUCUCCAGGAAGUUGUCUGAUCCCACAAAUAUCUUUUCUGAUGUUGGCAGCUCUUGAAGCAGGAAAGUACUUCUCAAGGAAUUGCUUCUUCAAAACCAUUCCACGUUGUAAUUGAUCCAGGAGGCAAGUAGUACAACCAAUCUUUAGCUAGCCCAUCUACAGAGAACGGAAAAGCACGCAGCUUAAUCUGCUCUUCAGUCACACCUUGUGGUCUCAUACUUGAGCACACAACAUGAAACUCCUUAAGAUGUUUAUGAGGAUCUUCACCUGCAAAACCAUGAAACUUGGGUAAUAAAUGAAUAAGACCAGACUUUAAUUCAAAAUUUACCUCCAAAUCUACAUAUUGAAUGUAGAGUGGUUGUUGAUUCAAGUCUGGUUCAGCUAACUCUCUAAGAGUUCUUUCUAUAGGUGCAGGUCUAUCCAUCACUUGUUCUUCUAAAUCGCUAGAUGAUUCAACUGAAUUAGGCACUAUAUCUGUUUCAGAAAGCAAAGGCGACGAGGAUCGUUGCUUAGCUCGCUUCGUCUGCUGUCUCAGCUGGCGAUCUGUCUUCUCAAUUUCAGGAUCAAAUGAAAGUGUACCUGUACGAGAAGAACGAACCAUACACCAAGUAAAACGUAAAAAGGAUUAAAUAAAUGACACCAAUCCCCGGCAACGGCGCCAAAAUUUGAUGGUUGUCGAAGCCAACAAAAAUAAAUUCCUACUCUAAAUAAAUUGUGUAUAGUGAUUGAGCAGGGUCGUGUCCACAGAGAUCGGUAAUUAUUUAAAUCCUUUUGAAACGUAAAACGUAAAAUGGGGGAAUUGUUGACAAUAAUAAAAAUCAAAUUAAAAAUAACAAGAAUGCAAAUUAAAGUUGUAAUUCAAAUUGGAGAAAGCUCUGGUUGAAGGAAUUAACUCAGCUUGAUUCGACUACUGAUCAUUGAUUCAAAUAUAGAUUAUUAUUACUCAUGAAUAGACCGGUUAUAGCUACUGAGACCCUCUAAUAGCCAAUCUCUCCUUAACUAGUCGAUAACCAAGGUACGACCGUUGGUUAUUUCCCUAAUCAAUAGACAACCCUAGAUACGAUCAUAGGAUUUAAUCAAUUGACAGCCUGAAAAACCAGAGAGACCCAAAUCAUAAUCAACACAUAUGAUGAUUCAUUUAAAUUAGAUUGUUUAUUCUCACAACACAACUCUCUGCUAUGUUAUUUGUCACAAACAUUAAAUUCUUCAUACGAUGAAUCCUUUAAUUGACAAUAGAUUAAGUUGAUAAUUAAAUAGUGGCCAAUUACCUAAUUAACAAACAUAAUCAUGAAAAUAAUUCAGAGAAUAAACAAAUACUCAAAAAGCAAUAAAACAAUUAAAGCACAAGAAAGAUCUCACAGUAGUGAUGAAUCAAAGCUUCAUUAUCCUUCAACCAGAAAAAUAGGUUUAGUUCUUCAUAGAGAGAAGAGAAAAAUUAAGAUCUAGGGUUUAUUUCUUUUUCUCCAAUCCAAAAAAUCCCCCAUUUUCACAAUAGAUUCCUCCCUUAAAUACUCUCUCUCUCUUCUCUUUUAGAAUUCUAUUUAAAAUAAAAUCCUAAUAUCUGAAAUAUUAAAUUCGUAAUUACAAAAAUAGCCAAAAAUAUAAAACAUGUUAAACUAAAAACUGCAGGUCUGCAGUUGACAGCACGCGCCCACGCCUUAUCAACAAAGUUCUUCUGCUGCUCAUAAUUUCUCCAAGGGAACAAUCAUCCCUAAACAUCAUCUUGUAGCUCAAUUUUAUCACCAAUCAAUAGAAUUGCACCUACAAAAGUAAAUCACAAGUAAAUCACUAUUAUUAAGUGCAAAACAUCGAUAUUAAGGGAAGUAAACAAUGCAAAACUAGUGCAUAAAUUGCACUCUAACAGGGACAAUGUCCUACUCCUUCCAAUACAAUUAACUUCACAUUUGAAAGUUGAGAAGGCAGAGAUUAGAAGUAUCUACCAACAGGUACAUCGAAGGGGGUGAAUGGAUCCUCAUCCCCCCAUAAAACUAGUACAGGUAUAGAGAUCGAUGGCAUCAAUUGCACGGGGUUCGGCCCUGAUGGGCCAGUCACAAUCGAAACAAAUGCAUCAAGUGCCCCUUCAUCAUUGGCGGGUUCUCGUAUGAUCCGCAGUUUUGAGGUUAAUUCAUGAAUUUUGGGUAGCCAAUUUUGUAAGAGGGUAAAAUGGCACAUAAGUGGAGAAUAUUAAUACCUCUACCAGUGUUUCAUCCACAGAUUCCUUAUUUGUAUAGAUGGACAGUAAAAUGGUCGUCCCUGCAGCACCAAUAUAUACACAUCAUAGAGUUUUUUUAUUUUUGACUCUAGUGUUUUAGGAUAACGAAAAAUGGACUGAAUAGAGAGAAGAGAAAAUACCUUUGUUUCACAUCUUCAAAGAUUGCAUCUGCAAUUGGCCUUUGCUUCAACAAAAAAUCUAUGAACCAAAGCAAUGGAAACAAUAGCUUGAUUCUCCAGUCGUCACCAAUGCCUUGUUGUUCAUGCCGCCACCAUAAUUCAACAGAACAAGCCCUCGAACAAGUGUUUGACUGGAUCCUUAUUGUAGAAAAUAUACCAGGUUUAUCGCAAACCUUAGUUACAAGAAGGCUAAUUAGGUGGUGCAAGUGUUUCUUUCCAAGCAAAUUGAAGAAUAUCUAAUGUCCAAGAGGAAGUUAAAAUAAAUAUACCUGAGGCGACAAUAACACAAGCUAGGCUUCCAACAUAAUUACCUAUAAGCACAGUUGGCUUUCGAACCACUUCAUCCAAGAAAUCCAGUAUUAGUUCUAUCAAUGAGUCUUACUCAAGUUAGCAAGGACAAUAACUAAAGGUCAAGCUAUUGAUAAUAUAAGUAAAGGAGUUGUGAUAUUUGACCAGUAAUAUAUCUCAUCAGCCCUAUUAAUCACUUUAUGUAAAUAUCUAUUUUAUCCUUGUAUGAAAUGAAUUAAAAAGGUAAAUAAUUAAUGAUUUUUAACAUUUGCGGAUGCCCACAAUUAUAUGUACACAAAAAUAAAUAGUAUAAAAAAUAAUACAUUAUCAAUAAAAAAAUUCACUAAAAAGAUAAAAAAUAUUCUUUAUCUUUUGUACUAAAUUUUGUUUACUUUUUUUUUUUUAUCAAUAAUGGGCUCUAAAAGAGCUAAAUCACCACUAAACGGGAUUGGGCAACCCCAGCUAUGUCGUUAUUAAGAAUGCUCUGUAAACUAGGAGGAGCAUCAGUAAGUAAUUGCAAGCCUAAAGGAAAGGACAAACUAAAUGAGGCCAGAAAAUCUGCCGCUAUGUUCGCUUCUCUAUAGAUGUGGUUCACUCUCACGAUCCAGUCCCUGCUAAGCAGCUCCCGAAUGGCAAGGAUGAGAGAGUGAUGCUCAUUAACAGGAGUGGUCGGAUUCUCCAAAAUUUGAGUAACAGAUUUGCUAUCAACUUCCACCCAAAUCCUUCGAAACCUUCUUUGCCAAGCCAUGCAAAGCCCGUGGUACAAGCCCCAUAUUUCCGCAGUAAGAACAGAACAAGCACCAAGGUUGAUGCAGAGCCCAAAUUGCCAAACUCCCCUGUAAUCCCUAACAAGACCUCCCACUCCUGCAACACCCGAUUCCUUCCUAGCACCAUCAGUAUUCAAUUUCACCCACGGCCAGGUUGGAGAGCUCCGACGGAUCCACUUCUCAACAUGUCUCUUCCCAACACCGAUAGAACUGUUGAAGCAUCUUUGAAUUUCAGCAACCCGCGAAUAAAUAUCCAGCAUGAUACGAUCACUUUCCCACUUCUCAUGAUUAAACAUGAGCUUAUUUCUCCAGAACCACAGCCUCCAAAUUACAACCCCAAAAGUUAACGACCACCCUUGUGAAUCACCAUGAGAGCUAGCCAUAUGAAGGUUAGUAACCAACCAAUCUGUGAGGCCAUCCAAAAAGAAACUUUGGUGAGUUCCAUUAAUCAAAAGACGCUUCCAAAUUACCAUUGAAUAGGGGCAGUCACGCAACACAUGUAGCAUAUCCGCCCGGACAAAUCCACAACGCUCACAAGCUGCAUCCAUGGCUAUUCCCUGAGAUGCAAGCUCGCAAUUAGUCUUCAGUCUGGAAUGAAGGGCUUGCCAAAUAAAAACUCUGAACCUCUGCGGUCCUUUCCAAGACCAAGCUAGCUUCCAAACCGAACUCUCCUCAGAUAGCCACGGCUUAGCAAGGAGCAUAUAAGCUGAACGAACAGUGAAGUGACCCGAAGGGGAUGCAGCCCAAUAAAAAAUGUCAGUCCCAUUGCUCGAAGACGGAGGCAUGAUGGACGCAAUCCGUAACAAAACGUGAUGGGGCAAGAGAUGACUAAAUUUGUUCCAGUUCCAGGAGCCAUUCAAAAGCGUAAACUGAGCAAUCGGUUGAAGACUUAUAUCACUGGGAAUGCUAGAGAGAGCUAAGUUCGCCAAAGGUUUAUCAUCGAUCACCCAACAGUCCCACCAAAAUCUGACAGUCAUUCCAUCACCAAUAGACCAGCACAGACCCCGUCUGGUAGGCUCCCAAGCUCUCCCCACAGCCUUCCAGAGAGGGGAACUUGCACUUGUACAGAAGUUAUGGUGGGUAUCAGUUGGGGAAAGACCAUAUUUAGACAACAAAACUCUAACCACAAGCUUUUCAGGUUCGGUCCUAAUAAGCCAUGCAAUUUUCAUUAUAAAAGCUUUAUUCAUGAGAGCAAGCUUCUUAAAGCCAAGACCACCAGCAGAUUUUGGUUGACAUACUCUAUCCCAACCAAUAAGGCUCAUUUUCCUAUGCUCCCCAUUACCACUCCAAAGAAAUCUUCUACACAUUUGUUCAAGCUUAGAAGUAAUACUUGUCGGCAGGUAAGUUGAUUGCAUUGCAUAGAUGGGAGCAACCUGUAGAACAGUCUGAGAUAGGGUGAUUCUACCUGCCAGAGAUAAAUGAGAGGCACUCCAACCCGAAAGCCUCUGAUCGACUUUAUCCAAAAUCUCCUGAUACGUGGAUUUUGUGAUACGCCCAUGGAGAAGAGGCAUUCCCAAGUACUUACCCAAAUCAGAGGUGGCAGUAAAUCCAAGCUCAUUACUAAGGGCAUGAACGGUAGGCCCUGGAACAUUAUGGGAGAAGAAAACUUGAGUUUUAGUUUUAUUCACCUUAGCACCAGAGCUAAGACAAAAAGAAUGCAACACUUUCGUGAUAAAUUGAGUUUGAUCUUUGGAAGCUUCAGCAAGAAGAAGCAAGUCAUCCGCAAAGAACAAGUGACUCAAAGGGGGACCCGAGCGAGACAACCGAAUUGGCCUCCACCUAUUCUGAUGAAUAGACUCAUAAAUCCCAUGACUGAGACGCUCUAUGCAGAGAACAAAAAUGUAGGGGGAUAAUGGAUCACCUUGACGAACACCCCGGCUAUGUGAAAUGUCCUCAGUAAACUCCCCCUCCCAUAAAACGUUCAUUCGAGCAGUUGUGAGACAACUCAUAAUUAGCUGAACUAAAGAUGUUGGUAAUCUCAACUCCAUAAGAGUAUCCGAAAUAAAGCUCCAGUUUAGCUUAUCAUAAGCUUUUUCCAAGUCAACCUUAAUAGCCAUUCAACCUUUCUUACCUUUUUUACGUUUCAUAGAAUAAUCUCCUAAGCAACGAUUAUAUUCUCAGUGAUAUGUCUUCCUAGUACAAAACUAGUUUGGUGAGGUCCAAUCAAAUCCGGUAAGAGGUGUUGCAGUCUAUUCACAAUGAGUUUAGUGAUUGUUUUGUAUGUCACAGUACAAAGACUUAUGGGACGAUAGAACUUGAAGGAACUUGGAUGAUCAGUUUUCGGGAUUAAAACAAGGAGAGUCUUGUAUACCAUCUCUGACACCACUCCAUCUUUGAACAUAGAUUUUAUUGUCUCACAAAGCGAAUCUCCAACAAUACUCCAUUGUGUUUGAUAGAAGCAAGCUGGCAAACCAUCAAUCCCCUGAGCUUUAAACGGGGUCAUCUGAAAUAUAGUACUACGAAUCUCCUCAUUAUCAACCGGCACACCAAGGCUAGCCAACCUAGUCUCUUCAAUCUCUGGGAACCGAUCACGCAAUGGAUACAAUUGAUGCAGCACCUGAUCAGGGGCAUACAACUUCGAAAAGAAUUCCACAGCUUCUCUUUUAAUCUCUUGAGGGUCAUAUAACCAAGCUCCACAGCUAUCCUUGAUUACUUUAAUCCGAUUACGGGCUCUCCUAGUGAUUGUCUUUUGGUGAAAAAAUUUAGUAUUUCUAUCCCCAAAAGCAAUCCAGUCUCGUCGGGAUUUUUGGAACCAAAAAAAUUUCUUCCUGUGCCAAUACCGUCUCCAACUCCUUCCUCAACUUCAACUGUAGCCGAAUAAGACUCUUGUAAGGUCUAUUCUCCACUGCUUUUUACACUCCCCCAAUCCUGGCUAAUAAAGACUUUUUUCGUUUAAAGAUGUUGCCAAAAACGUUUCUGUUCCAAUCUGAAACAUUCCUAACAAAAUCGGUGGUAGCUUGCCCAUAAGACUUAGAACGAUCCUAGCUUGUCUUUAUGAACUCGUUAAACCGAGAAUCCUUUAGCCAUGCAGCUUGAAAUCUAAAAGGUUUUUGAUCCACAUUCCGAUGAAUAUAUCGCUCAAACCGAACAAGCACGGGUCUAUGAUCAGAGGCAACAUGGGGAAGAUGCAGGACCAAAUAAUUCGUAAAUUUUACCAACCAAUCCUGGUUACACAUGGCACGGUCAAGCCUUUUGGAUAGACCUCCACGUGACCACGUGAACUGGGGACUGCUAAACUGCAAGUCAACAAUACUGUUUGAGUGAAACCAAGAAUUAAAAAGAUGGCAAAUACUCGUGUUGGACUGAGACCCCCCACGUUUCUCAUUAGCAUACAAAAUAGAGUUGAAGUCACCCCCCACAAUCCAAGGGCCCCUCAUGUGACGUGCAAUCUCUCCUAGCUGAGACCAGAGUUCUCGACGGGUUGUUGACACAGAACUAGCGUAAACUGCUGUCACCCAUGACUACAUUACAUUCUGAUUCAUGACUCUAAAAUGAAUGAAUUGUUUGUAAGUAAGCACCAUCUCGAUGUCUAAAUAAUUUUUCCAUAAUAUCCAGAUCCCUCCAGUAAAACCCACGGCUUCAACCCGAUGAGAUCUAUCAAAACCACUCCCCUUUAUGAAAAGAUCAGCUUUCUUGCCACUAAUACGCGGUUCAGACAACACCACCACUGAAGGCUUAUAGCUUGAGAUUAAAGAAUUAAAAGAGAGCUUAAAGCUCGCCGAGCCCGCUCCCUGUACAUUCCAAAACAUUACAGAUAUCAUAAAAAAAUAACCAGAGAGAGAAAUGCCUUACUGGCGGGUACCCCUGGGCGAUGUCUCCUGCAAACCAAGAGUCUCAUUGACAAAAGAAGUAUCAACAUCAGAUGUGGUGUCAUCAACAUUAUUCAUAAUAUCAUCCUCUUCCCCCACCCCACCACUAUUAGGGGGAUCAUUUAAAUGUUCAAAAGGAGGUUGGUGCCCUGGGUUCACUUCAUGAACGAUCUCCCUUUGGGCCCCGCUAGUUUCCCCAACAAAGAUGUUAUGUAGGUAAGCGAAGGAAACUACUGUGUGAUAUUUUGGGUUAAGGGUUGUAUGCACUGUGGAGGGACCACGGGAACUAGCAGAUGGGGGGUUGGCUUGCUUUGAACUGGGGGUUGUUUGGGGGCAUGGAAGAAAGUUUGCAUGUAUGACUUUAGAGGUUCCAGUUAUUGUCUAUUUAGGUUUGGGCGGUUGGGGCUUGGCAAUUUGUUUGCCCUUCAUAUUAGGUCAUAGGGUCUGUGAUUUAGGGUUAGCAAUGGGAUUAAGAACAGGUUUAGGCUUACUCAUAGUACGGGAGUAGAUGGAUGGGUUGGGCAAUUGAUGUAGCUCCUUCGGGGAUUCAUGGAAGGCCACUCCCACAGUCUCAACAUAAUCAACAGCAUCAGCAAGAACAGUGAAGCGUGACAUGCCAGCAUUAUGAUUUUGGUUUUGCAUGCUGCUACUCACAUUCUCCUUACCAAGAAUUGGCGCAGCCCUUCUUCUCCUUGGAGCAAUCAUCCAGGGGCCAAAAAUAUAUUCUCUAUUUCGAUCCUCCUUUCCGGCAUUAGUGUGAAUGGUUGUGGGAGGUAUGAAUGCGACCUCAGUUCCAAUAGGUGCCUCCAAUGCAACCUCCUGUGUAGCUCCAUCUGUACACCCAUUGCUAGAAUGACCAUAGCACCCACAUUUGAAGCAUAUUAUUGGCAAUCCCUCAUAUUCAACUUUUUGAACACUGCCAUUAAUUUUAAACUGAGAAACCAUAGGCUUAUUGAGCGAUAUUCACACCGCCAACCUUGCGAAUUUUCCUCUUUCAUUGGAUGCAGUGUUCACAUCAAUUUUGAGGACAAACCCUACAAGCUGGCCAACUUUCUUCAGGAUACGCUUAUCGUAAAGAUGCAUGGGCAAUCUAGGUAACCGGAUCCACGCAUUAACUGUAUCUAAUUUAGUCACCAUGCUGUCAAAUUGUGGAGACCAUGGUUGCACAGUUAAAUAAUGCCCCAUAAUGACCCAUGGCCCCUCCGUUAAAGCAUAUUCAACAUCCUCAUAAGACUGUAGCCGAAUCAGGAAAAAGUUAUUCUCCAAGUCCACCACCGAAAACUCCCCAAUCUUUUUCCACAUCAAUUUCAAUCUAUUGUACAGCACUCGGUACCCAAUAUCUCUACCCAGAAGUUUAACCACGACUGAGUUUUUCCAUGGUUUGAUUAGCUUCUCUUGAAUGCGUUCCGAAAAGUCUAUUGCUGGCAUAGCUCCAUCAGAACUUACCAUGACAUCUCCUGGCUCAAAAUCCCAAUCAUCGUCGUGAAAUUCCUCUCCCUCAGUCAUCCCAUGGACACUAUUCUUCCCUUGGCCAAAAUCUCGAAGUGCAUCUCUAUAAGAUGCUGGAAGCGGAUUAUUGGCAUCGUCCAUUCGCCCUCCAGCGGGCCUUUUUACUUGAUCGAUUGUCGACAAAUGGCAGCGGAAAAGUCCCAAAAAAAACUAGAGUUAUCGUUUGUUCCAAUGUUCUCAUAGGGUUCCGACAUACUCGGAGAACUUUUAAAGUUUAAAUUUUGUUUACUUUUUAGUACAUAUAGAAUUAUGCUACGGAUGCGAGGAGAAAAAAUGUGGAGUCCAUUUAUUGGAAGCCCCAAAUUCUAACUUACGAUCCAAGCGUGAGUUUCAAACUAAACCAACCCAAAGUUUGUACAAAGUCCAACUCAAUGCAACUAAAAUCAUUCUAAUUUGCCUUCUCAAAAAACAAAAUCAUUCUAAUUUGCUUUUGGUUUUGGCUGACUUAGCCUUUAAUAAAUUCACAUGUUAUAUAACAUAAUUGAAAAAAAAGGAAAAUGAUAUUCUCACAACACUUAAGCACAACACUGAGCACACAAUAUAAAAUCUAAAUUUUGGGAGAAAAAUUGCCACGCACGCGCAUGCAACAAACUCUCUCACGCGUAUCGCUCUAUUCAACAGCCAGCGUUGCUCGAAUUUUCCCAAGUUUCCCAUCGCACAGUGUCGGCUCUGAUCUCCCACACCACUUAGUAGCCAGCAAGUCUCAGCUCUCCUCACGCAGUGUCGGCUCUGAUCUCCUUUACGCACCAAUAGUCUUGUCCCCAACAGCUCCCGUAAUCGUCUUGUUAAGGUAACUUGUGUAGGACAUUGUGCUGUUUAUGAGUUGACUGUUAGGGAGUUAAAGCUCAUUGUCCUGUAAUUGCAGUCUUCGUGAUAUUGAGGAAAGCUUAUCCUGUAAUUCCAGCCUCCAUGUUUAUUUCUUUCAAAGAAAGAGUGGCUUUAUAUCACUCAAAUCUUUAUGCUCUGUUAAUAAAUUAUAUUCCCCAUUGUUUCUAUAGAAUUAAAACGGCAACUCAGAUUUAAGUUCCCUCGAUUUGUAAUUAACUUCAAUUAAUUGUAUGUGUUACUCAAUGUGUGUUGAGCAUGUACUUGUUCUGAGAUUCCUUUUGUUUCUUUCUUGGUUUAUAAAUACCUUGUUGAGGAUUGCAAAUAAGAGAAGCUGAUAUAUUAAGCCCAAUUGACACUAUUAUUGCAAAUAAGGGAAGCUGAUAUAUUAAACUCAACUGACAUUAUUAUUGCAAAUAAAAAAGCUGAUAUGAUUAUAAAUAAGAGAAGCUAAUACAACUUAAAUAUAAUGCAUAUCAACAAAUGUUCAACCACCACAAUCUUGCAUCUGCAUUUGUCUACCCACUCUGCAGACUGUCAACAAAUGUUCAACCACCAAAAUGAACAAAUGAAACUUGAUUCUUGUCUAACCAAUUACAGGCCAAACAGGAUUUUGCACAAAUAUCCUACCAGCAAAUUCUAAUUCCUCUCUAACAUAAUCCAUCUCAGAAUAAUUGCUCCUUAUUUCAUCUCUGAAUCCAAAACUUUUAGCUCUUGCUUUUCUAAUAGUUUGUAGGCCUUUUUAGUAGAUUCCCCAUGGAAGGAUCGGCUAGAGUGUAAACAAGCAUUGCCCCUUCCUUGGCUGCUGGCUUUAUUAUCUCCAUCAACUGCUCUAGAUCAUUAAAUUAACAAAAUUGUAGCAACAACAAUAUGUCAGUGCUCACAUUUUAGCUGAUUAAAUUAAAUGAGAUUUCAACAUUAAGCAAACAAUCCAGAUUAUAAUAAAAAUGCAUUUCCUCUAGUACACCAGCAGCAAUUAUUGUUUCUGUGAUCAAAUCACAUGCAGAAAAAUAACUAAUUUGACAAGAGUUUUUUUUUUUUUUAAUCUAGGAUCAAGAAUAAUAGCUUCUCAAGCUCCAAUUACUUGGUGCACGAAAGUAAUGAAUUGAUUUGCAUUCUUACCUCCAAAAUCAUUUCAGGGGAUAAAGUAGCAAGUUGAAAUAUGUCAAUACUUUCACCAGACUCGGCUCCUGAAGAGGAAGAAAAACACAUAACCAAAUUAAUUACAAAAAAUUCGUAAUAUUUUUUAAAAAAUACAAAUUAAUAAUGGUUUUGUAUAAUUAAUCAAUUAAAUCCUUCUAUUAAUUUUUUCUUAGAUUUCUUUGACCAUAUUUGAUCAUAAAAUUUAAUAUAAGUUUUAUUUUACUAUUUUAUUAGUAUAAUAUAAAAUGACCAAAUUAUCCAAUAAACAUGAGUUAUUGUAUCUAAUAAUUUUGGUAUUUAAUUAUGUGAACUAAAGUUUUUAAAUGAAAUUUAAUUAUUGUUUUCUCUACCUUACGUGUAAAUGAUAUAAAUUUGACAACCUAAUAAUUUACAUGUAUUCCGCCAUAGAGAUGUUAUAUUAGUUUAAUUAAAGUUUUAUAAUCAUACUAAUAAGUAGUAUUAGAAACAAUGAAUUUGAUAUAAAAUUAGAAACAUAUUGAAGUUAAAGUAAAUUCAUGGUACUUUUACCUUAUAAGGAUAAAAUAAUCAAUUUAGAAUUAUGCCAAAGCAAUCUUUAUAAUCAAAUAUAAUAAAAACAAUUAUGUCACAAAAAAAUAAAUUAGGAUAGAUUUGUUAAUUUGUUUUCCAAAGUUCUUUUUUAUUUCAAUUUUUUUUUAAAAAAUAAUGUAUACUUUUUGUAAUUAUUUUUUUAAAAAUGGGGCAGGCUUACAAGAAAUAUGGGGUGAAGAUAUCAUCACCCAACAAAAAAUUAAGUAAGAAUUAAUUUGAUAACUGCCCAUAAAAAGAAAGCAUAUUGUCACGGGAUCAGUGUUUUGCGCAGCAAACCCGUGCGGCACUUAGACAACCUUUGCCGAAUAUUGCUAAGUAAGCCUUGAACUUCUCGACUAGCUAAACCUAGAGGUUUUGGAAGAGCUAGAGAGAAGAGAGCAAUGGAGCCGAAUAAGGAAACUUGUAUUGCUAACAAGAGAGAUUACAAGAGAGCUUACAAGUGUUUGAUUUGCUUGUGCUAAGCUUGUUGUUGUGCAAAUGCUAAAUGCCAUCCCAUAUUUAUAGGGGAGGCUUGCCAAGCUCUAGAGAUUCUAGAGAAAUCUACCAACUAUUUAGAAUUUACAUGUGCUGGAAAUGUAUAGAGAAUUCUAGAGUAUUUACAAGCUCAAAUGUGCUAGAGUUGCCUAGAAAUUUCUGGAAUUGGGCCAAGCUAGCACUCUUGGCCUUGUCUUGGGCUCUUGGUGGGCAAAUUGGGCUAACAAAAUGGGCAGUCCGCAACAUCCUCCCCACCUAAUCUCGCGGCGUCCUUGUCGCGCUCUCGUGCCUGAAAUUCUGGAUGUGCUCAACGAAUUGCCACAAAUUAUCUUCACAUUCCCAAGUGGCUUCGCUUUCGGGGAGGUUUUUCCACUUCACCAAGUACUCGUUGUGUGCUAGCACGCCUCUCCUCGAGACCACAUGAUCCGCAAGGAUGUAGUCCACAUCUUUGUCGAAUGCAGUGACAACGGCGGUUGGCGCGCGCCUUGAUUCUCCGUGACUUGGGUGUUCCACAUCUCCAUGAUAUGGCUUGAGAAGGCUCACAUGGAAGAUUGGAUGGAUCUUGAGUCUUGGCGGAAGUUGAAGUUCAUACGAGAUGUUGCGCACUCGUCGUACAACUCAGAAGGGUCCCUCAUAGUGGCUCACUAACCCCUUGUGGACUUUCCGCAACGUCUUGCAUUGUUCGGAUAGGAGCUUGAUCAUGACUUGAUCACCUUCCUUGUACUCAACAUGCCGUCUCCUUGUAUUCGCCAACUUUUUCAUUUUCCUCGCGGCCUUGUCGGCUCGUGUGAUGUCCCGCUUCCUCGUUGACACGACUUAAAAGUGUUUGAUUUACUCUCAAGUAUAAGAGUGCCUAGUUAUAAUAUAUCUCGGUGAGUCCGAGGUCGAUCCACAGAGAAAAGAUUUAAUUUGUUUAUUUUAUUUUAUCUAAAAUUUGAAAAUAAAACUUAAAUAUAGACAACUUAAUUUAAAUAAAACUAUGAAAUUGAAUUAGUUAGGGUUGUGGAUUCACUCUUAGUAGUAAAUAAAACUUAAUAAAUUCUUUUUGCCAUUUUUUUAGAUUUAUUGCCCAAAAGAUUAAUUAUAUAAAUUAUUAUUAUUUUCCCUUUAAUUUUAUGAUGGAUUAAGUAUUCAUUGUGCCAAAAUUUAAUUUGUCUACAAUAAGACAAAAUACCAUUUUACCAUACCUUAUAUUUAGAUAAAAAGAAUUUAUUGUGCCAAACUCCCUUGUUUGUCUACAAUAAAUCAAAAUCUCAUAAUAUAAAAUAUGUAUAAAAUUAAAUAGAAAAUAAUUUAAUUUAUAAAAUUAAAAAUAGAAUUUGAUUAAAUCAUAUUUAUUUUCUAAGAGUUUCACCUUCCCCUAACUAUUAAUAUUUAGCUAAACAUUUUUUUAAUAAAGGAAAUUACUAAAAUUGAAAAACACGACUGAUAUUUUCAUCAAAUCGAUAAAAUUAUAAGUUUUAAAAGGCAAAUCACUUCUUUUACUCAAAAACAAUGGAGAAACAUUACACCAAUGUUGGGAUAGGUUUAAAGAAUUGCUUAACAUAUGUCCACACCAUGGUUUUGAAACUUGGCGAUUGGUCACUUAUUUCUACGAGGGCUUAAUACCACAAACUAGACAAGUUGUAGAAAUGAUGUGUAAUGGUGAAUUUAAAGAUAAAAGUCUUGAAGAUGCACUAGAUUACCUUGACCAAUUAGCUGAAAAUGCACAACCCUUCGAAUGUAGUACAAGAGGGUGUUGUUGGUGUGGAUGUUCCGCCGGAACCAAGCCGCGGCCGUGAGGGAGAGCGCGCCCAAGGCAAGACUCGCGGCAAGUCCAAGGUCCCAUCCGUGGAUGCGUUGGAGCCUCACAUAGCCACUCUCGAAGUCGCAUUGUCCGCCACUCAAGAUAGCCUCGAUAGUUUAGAGGAAAGAGUGGACGGUCUCAAGGGAGAAUACGCCGAGUUCACGGUGGCAACAAAAGCCCUCAUCCAAGAGCAAGUGAACACUCUCCGAGGUGAGUUUCGUUCAAUCCAUGAUGAGUUGCUAAAAUUUCGUAGCUUUGUUCAGGAUGAACUACGCGCUGUCCGUGCGGAAGUGGAUGAAGUCCGCUCAGAUUGGGCAUGGCACAAGCGCACACUCUCUGCUAGUCUAGCUUCCGCAAGCACGAGUGAUGCGCAGCGCAUUGACGUGUCAAAUCCCGACACCUACGAUGGCACACGCAACGCCACAAUCGUGGACAACUUCCUAUUUGGGCUUGAUCAAUACUUCAAUGCCAUGGGUGUUCGAGAUGAGGCAUCGAAAGUGGGCACAUCACCCACCUAUCUUCGAGGCGCUGCACAACUAUGGUGGCGUCGCAAGCAUGGCGAGAUGGGAGAGGGCAUUUGCACCCUCGACACUUGGGCCGACUUCAAGCAAGAACUCUGAAAGCAGUUCGCCCCAAGCAAUGUGGAGAAGGAAGUGCGAGCACGCCUACGUCACCUCAAGCAAUCGGGUAGCAUUCGGAACUACAUCAACGAGUUCACUACCCUUAUGUUGGAGAUAAGCGACAUGUCCGACAAAGAUUCGCUCUUCUACUUCCAAGAUGGCCUCAAGGAUUGGGCCAAGACCGAGCUUGAUAGGCGUGGCGUUCAAACACUUGACGACGCCAUCGCCAUUGCGGAGUCGCUCACCGAAUACUCUACCCAAUCCAAGGAUAAAAAGGCCAACCAAGGCAAAGGUGGGGGAGAGAGUCGCAAGGACAAGGGCAACAACCGCAAAGAUUGGGGGCAGAAAAAGUCGUCUAGCAACAAAAGCGGGCAAGGAAAAUCAGAGGGCAAGAAGGAGGUGCCAAAGCCACAAAGCCCAUGCUUCAUAUGCAACGGUCCUCAUUGGGUACGCGACUUUCUGGAGAAGAAGUCGCUCAACACUCUCGCAGCCCAACUCAAGAGCAACCCCACAAUAUCCUCGGAGGAACCCCAACUCAGCAUGGGUUCUCUCCAACUCCUCGGCGCACUCAAUCGCCAACAGCCCACACUUGUCAAGAAAGGGCUUGUGUAUGUAAGAGUGAAGAUAAACGACCAGUCCGUCCGCGUGCUGCUGGACACGGGAGCAACGCACAACUUUGUGUUCGUAGACGAGGCCAACCGCUUAGACCUCAAGGCAACCAAGGAAGGAGGCACAAUGAAAGUGGUAAACUCACCCGCCAAGCCAAUUGCGGGUAUCGCACAAGGCGUGCACAUAACGCUUGGAACAUGGAGCGGAAAGCUUGAUUUCUCCAUCGUUCCCAUGGAUGACUUUAAGAUGUACAUUAUUUUGGAAUAAUGUAGUGUUUAAAAACUUGAUGUGAAUAUAUUUACAUACGCUCGCACUCGUGAGUCUUAGAAUUAAUGGAAGAGUGGCAAUGAUUAGAAAAAACAAUAGUGGUUAGAUGACGUAGCAAUAAAUUAUAAAUGCGAUGACAAUUUGCAUAACCGUUUGCAAGCAUAGUUGAUAUGUAAAUUUGUCUAUGACACAUGCAGAAUUUUUAUGUUAAUUAUUACUUGUGUUAUUAUGUUUCUUUGUGCAUUUGCAAGUAAGAGUUUAACUGCAUAGCAAUAACUAUAAACAUGAAUUAUUGAAAUUUGAUUCCAGUAAUGACAGAGAGCCCCACUCCAAUCCCACAUAAACUCCAUGCAAGAAUAAAUAAAAAUUGAAUUAAUAACUAAGCUACCUCUAAUUGUAAAUUAGUGACAAAAUUGCCCCAAAAAUUUUUUCUUGGUGGGGUUGAAGUGCAAUUCAUUAGUGGAAUAUACAUAUCAUCUUUCAUUUGAUUUUAAGUUUAUUUAUUUUAUUUAUUUUUAGGGGACAAAAAAAAUUGAGGGCAUCUGUUUGGAUAUAUCAAAGGUAAAAGAGAUUCGUCUAAAUCCUAAUACUUUCACAAAGAUGCCUAAAUUGAGAUUUUUAAAGUUCUAUAGUUCAUCAGUCAAUGGAGAGAACAAAUGUAAGAUAUCUUAUUUGCAAGAUCCCAGAUUUGCUGAAGUGAAAUAUCUUCACUGGUAUGGAUAUCCGUUGAAGUCAUUGCCUUCAAACCUUAGUGCAGAGAAACUUGUGUUACUUGAAGUGCCUGAUAGUGACAUUGAACGACUUUGGGAUUGUGUGAAGGUAUGCAUAUCUUAUUAUACAUGUGCAAUCUUUCAAAUUACAACAUUAAAUUAUUAUACGUGGUAACGAUUUUGUCUUGGCCUCUUUUUUGACCGAGCAGCAUUAUAGUAAGUUAAACCAGAUAAUCCAUGCUGCCUGCAAUAAGCUAAUUGCCAAAACUCCAAAUCCCACGUUGAUGCCAAGUCUGAACAAGCUAGUUAUCUUGAAUCUAAGAGGUAGCAAAAGCCUAAAAAGUCUUCCAGCUAGAAUACUAAAUUUGGAAUUUCUUAUCAAACUUGAUCUUUCGGGCUGUGCGGAAGCUAAACUAGCAGAGAGUGUGCGCUUGUGCCAUGCCCAAUCUGAGCGGACUUCAUCCACUUCCGCACGGACAGUGCGUAGUUCAUCCUAAACAAAGCUACGAAGUUUUAGCAACUCAUCAUGGAUUGAACGAAACUCACCUCGGAGAGUGUUCGCUUGCUCGUGGAUGAGGGCUUUUGUUGCCACCGUGAACUCGGCGUAUUCUCCCUUGAGACCGGCCACUCUUUCCUCUAAACUAUCGAGGCUAUCUUGAGUGGCGGACAAUGCGACUUCGAGAGUGGCUAUGUGAGGCUCCAACGCAUCCACGGAUGGGGCCUUGGACUUACCGCGAGUCUUGCCUUGGGUGCGCUCUCCCUCACGGCCGCGGCUUGGUUCCGGCGGAACAUCCACACCAACAACACCCUCUUGUGCUACAUUCGAAGGGUUGGCCAUUGCUCGUGAGCUAACUUGCGUGCGUGCAAACCUUAGCUCUGAUACCAUUUUUCAUGGGAUGAGUGUUUUGCACAGCAAACCCGUGCGGCACUUAGACAACCUUUGCCGAAUGUUGCUAAGUAAGCCUUGCACUUCUCAACUAGCUAAGCCUAGAGGUUUUGGAAGAGCUAGAGAGAAGAGAGCAAUGGAGCUGAAUAAGGAAACUUGUAUUGCUAACAAAAGAGAUUACAAGAGAGCUUACAAGUGUUUGAGUUGCUUAUGUUAAGCUUGUUGUUGUGCAAAUGCUAAAUGCCAUCCCAUAUUUAUAGGGGAGGCUUGCCAAGCUCUAGAGAUUCUAGAGAAAUCUAUCAACUAUCUAGAAUUUACAUGUGCUAGAAAUGUAUAGAGAAUUCUAGAGUAUUUACAAACUCAAAUGUGCUAGAGUUGCCUAGAACUUUCUGGAAUUAGGCCAAGCUAGCACUCUUGGCCUUGUCUUGGGCUCUUGGUGGGCAAAUUGGGCUAGCAAUUGGGCGGUUCGCAACAAUAUGCAUGGUGGUGGUGGGGAAGCCUUUUCCCAUUUCCCAUUUCCUUUAAAAUUUGACCGUUAUUUUUCACCUAAUUCUCUAAGAAAUUUUAGUAGAGUGAGGAUGAAAAAUCCUCACGUGAAGAUCAAUUUUUCUAUCUACAUCCUGUUACACAUUUAUCUAUUUUAUAAUAGAUUCUCACAUAUAAUUUUAGUGAAACAAAAAUUAAAAUGACUCAAAUAAAAUCAUCACUAACAUAUCAUAAAAAUAUUUAAAUUAUUAACAAUAAUAAAUAAAAAAUAUACAUACCCACAAAUAAUUUUGGAAUCAUUUUUGGGUAAAAGCCCAUUUAGUCCCUAUAUUUUAAGAUUACUGUCCGUUUAGUCCCUGUAUUUUUAAAAAUGCCUGAAAACACCCUCGGCAUCACCUCCGUUACUGUUAAUUCUAGAUUCAUGAGGGUAAAAAUGUAUUUUUCUUGGUAAAAUUUAAAAUUUUAAAAAAUUAUUACGAUAACCUAGAUCCAUAAUGGUAAAAAUGUAUUUUAACCCUAAUAUUCUUUAAAACCCUCACUUUAAGAACUUAAGUGACUUGCUUUUUUAAAACUCAUAACAAUUUUCUUACUAUAAAAUUUUUUCUAUUGGAAACGUAGUCUUGCAGUAAAUGUCAAAACCGACAACGAAGGAAAUUGGCCUAUUCUGGUACGUCUCACGUUGGUCUUGUUUAUUUAUUUAUUUUUUUAAUCUUCCAUUUGUUCAGUGAAAAGAAAUUAUUUUUCUUUUCACUUGAAUGGGUAUUCCAUUUGAAGUAGACUAAAAGUUGAACGGUUUUUGUUUUGCAGUAGACUAAAAGUUGAAUGGUUUUUAUUUUCUUUCUUUUUUUUAACCCUUUCAUGGUUGUUUCGUAGCUUAAUAUUGGUAGUGGAAUGGAUUUGUAAUUGAAAAGAAAUUAUUUUAACUUCACUUGAUUGAGUAUUUUUUUGUAAAAAAAAAUCAUAAUCAUAUAAAGUUCUAUAAUGUCGAUUUUGUAUUUUAUGAAUUCGUAUGUAAUAGUUUUAAGUUUCUGAUAUUUUUUGUUCAUCUUUAUGUUGGCAGAUUCAAAUGAGUCAAAUCAGCAUUUCAGUUCGAUUUUUAGGCAAAGAUGUAGAGGAUGCUUAUGAUCCUGAUUGCUUGAGUCUUGUAUCCCUCAUCAACGAUGUCUUGAAUAAUGUCUUUGGAAGGCACAAGCAUUAUGAUGAGAGCUUUAAGCUUACUGGCAUUGUCCCAUGGUCCAAUGAAGGGAUUGAAUUGAACAAUGAUAAAAACUUCCAGAAUUUGGUUAACUUAAUUCAAGCCAAGGGUCUUAAUUCUAUUAAUUUGGAGAUGGAUGCGUUAUCCUUGGCCAGCUUGUCACCCGUUUUAGCUCAAACUCGCCCUAAAGAUAAUCAUUUUGCCUCAAAUGCAGUUAAUGUUGAUAUUUUAGAUGGUGAAAGUGAUGAUGCAACCAGUGUUGAGUCUAUUGACUGGUCUGAUGAAGAUAUUGGUGAUACUGUUAAGUCUGAUAGUGAACCUAAAGUUGAUUUAGGGUUUGAUAUUAAUGAAUUUGAUGGAGAUGAUGGCAUGUCAGAUUGUGAGAGUGAUAAUGAAGAUGUAUCUAUUGCAAGUGAUGAAGAAGAUGAUGCUGUAAUAUUGAAGAUGACAAGGGAUUUAAGAAAAAAAAGGUUCAAGAAACCCGAUGGUGAUGAUGAUAUUGUUUUGGGAGUUGGGCAAACUUUUAGUUGUGCUCAAGAGUUUAAGAAUGUAUUGAAGGAUUAUGCUAUUCAAGAGUCAAGAGUUUUGAAAAGGAAAAAGAAUGACAAAUGUAGAGUUACAACCGUGUGUGCUGGGAAGGACAAAGAAGGAAAGGAAUGUCCAUGGAGAAUCCAUGCAUCUUUAUUGGUUGACAAAGUUACAUUCCAGAUUAAAACUUUAAAAGGUGGUGAACAUAAGUGCAAAGAGUUGUUUAAGAAUCCUGAAGUAACUAGUAGAUGGAUAACUCAGAAAUUGUAUGGUUUUAUUAGUUUUAAUCCUGAUAUCGGUUGUGAAUCCAUGUCAGAUGAAUUGAGGAAGAGGUUUUCUUGUUCAACUACAAAGAAAAGGUUGUAUAUGGCCAAAAAAAGGGUUCUAAAAAUUGCUGAUAGUGACUACACAAAAUCUUAUGCAAAGUUACAUGACUAUGCCAACGUUCUUCUUAUAAAGAAUAAAAGGGCAAUGGUGAAAAUUCAAUAUGAAAUGCAAGGUGUAGAGACGUACUUCAAGAGGAUAUUCAUAAGUUUUGACGCACUAAAAAAUGGAUUUAUACGUGGAUGUAGAAGGUUCAUUGGAGUUGAUGGCUGCCACCUUAAGACAUCAUUCGGUGGUAUCUUGCUGACAGCCGUUAUACUUGAUGCCAAUAAUGGCAUAUUCCCAUUGGCAGUUUGCAUUUGUGAGGUUGAGUGCAAGGACAGUUGGAAAUGGUUUCUUGAAUUGUUGAAGGAACAUCUUGGUAUAGUGAAUGAGAUGGCUCUUACUAUAAUGUCCGACAGACAAAAGGGUUUAAUUCAGGCAAUUGAUGAAGUUUUGCCUGGGUGUACCAUAAGACAUUGUGUAAAAGUAAGCCAAAAUAAAUGAAAGAUAACAGUAGGGUAUCAAUACUUUAACGGUAGGGAUGUUUUAAGGCAUUUUUAAAAAUAUAUGGACCAAAUGGAUACUAAGCUUAAACUAUAGGGACUAAAUGGGCUUUUACCCAUCAUUUUUUAUCGUUCUUCAAAAACUUAUCAAAAUUUGGUGCGUGGGACCUGUGAACCAUCUCUAGUCGGCCACAUUGGACUUCUUACUGUCGGUCUUCAAAGAACUUUUGAGAAAGGCAGUAGACAAUGAGUUGAAUGAAAUUACUACGAAACUUCCCUGAAGAUUCAAGGGAGUAGUGGAGGAUACAUAUCAAGCGCACAGACACAUUCAAUUCAGUUGAACUGUUUUUGUUAUGGCUUCUUCUUUUUCUUCUUCUUCUUCUUCUUCUUCUCAUUGAUCCACCAGUCUGAGGCUGAUUAGACCACGAAAGUAUGAUGUUUUUGUCAGUUUCAGUGGAGAGGACACCCAUGACAACUUUACUAGCCAUCUCUAUUCGGCUCUGUCUCGACAAAAUAUCCAAACUUUCAUUGAUGACCAGCUCAACAGGAGAUGAAAUUUCACAGUCUCUUGUAAAUGCAAUUGAAGCAUCAGCCAUUUCAGUUAUCAUUUUCUCUUAAUCAUAUGCUUCUUCCAGAUGGUGUGUCGAUGAACUUGUAAAGAUCCUCGUGUGCAAGAAAGAGCGUGCACAGAUUGUGAUUCUGGUUUUCUAUCGGGUUGAUCCAUCAGACAUGAGAAACCAAACUGGGAGUUUUGGGGAUUCAUUUUCGAAGCUUGAAGAAUUCAAAGAAGCUGCAGAGUUGGAGGAAUGCUUUGAAGGAAGCAGCCAGUUUGUCUGGCUUUCCUUCUCAGAACAUCAGGUGAAAAGUUACUUUUAAUUUCGUAUACUAAUAUUCAACACUAUAAAUAAUAUUCACGCAGCACUCUUAGUUAAAUUUUCCAGAUGCUAAACUACACUUUUAAAUUUUAUCAGGCAUCAAAUUCUAGACAUCUUGAACUUCCCCACUUUUGAACUCCUAUAAAAGAAUUUUUGCAGAAUUAAUAAUAAAAGCUCCAGAAGUUACAAUAUAUUUUAAAAUUAAUAGUGUUCUGUCGUUUUUUAAUCAAUUUCAAUCUCUCACUCAUAUACCAUAAGGGAAAAAAAAUCUCUUCCACCUAUAACAUAUUCGUGUAAUUAAAGAGUUAUUAAUUUAUAGGGAGAUUGUAAAUUCCCUUACUCAAAUCAAUAGAUAUCACUUAUUCUGACUAUUUUUACAAUAUUUAAUAACUCUCCUGGUACCAUUAUUUUACAAUAUUAUCCUUAUGAAAAAAAAUAAGUGGUAUAUAUUAAUUUCAAUUGAAAAACUAGCAAUCUCCCUUAUUUCAUAUUUGAUGCAAAUCCCUUCUAUUCGGAGUUACUGCUGCUAAUUUUAUGUGUUUGAUAGGCCUGAAUCGAAGCUUAUAAAUGAAGUUGUCAAUCACAUUUUAAAGAGACUGCUGGAUGAAGUGUUUCGGCCGAGUGAUAACAAAAACCAGCUGGCUAGAGUAGAAUCAAGAGUUGAGGAAAUUGAAUCUCUUCUAGGUGUUGAGUCGAAAGAUAUUUACGCUUUAGGGAUUUGGGGCAUUGUUGGUAUAGGCAAAACAAAAAUCGCUAGAGCUAUUUUCGACAAAAUCUCUAGUGAUUUUGAAGGUUCUUGCUUCCUUGAAAAUGUUAGGGAAGACGCACAAAGACCGGGAGGAUUAGCUUGCUUGGGACAAAAACUUCUUUCAAAUUUAUUGAAGGAUAAAAAUGUGAGCCUUGAUAUUGGUCUCAAUUUUAGAAGGCUCAGCCGCAUGAAGGUUCUGAUUUUUUUUUAUGAUGUAUCUUGCUUCAGCCAAUUAGAAUCCUCGGCCUUUGUUAUAAACAUCUAAUAACAUAUAUGCAUCAUUAAAAAAUAUAUUCAAAACUUGCAUAGUUCACAUCUCAUUGUACAUACAUACACUUCAGAUAUAUACAUAUAAACAUGGAUGUGCUCAAAAUGUAAGUCAUGCAGUAAUGCGUGUCAUAGCCCAACCUCAACUGAUCAGAAACUGAACUGCACGAAAUCCUACGGAAACCUUAGAGAAAUGGGAUAAAUAGGAAAAUAGUAAGCUUGCUGCUCAAUGAAUGGAUAUAAUUAUAUACAAAAAUAAAUUAGUGCUUUAGUGCUUGUAUAUAAUUGUAUGACAUAACUUCACACUGAAUGCAUUACAAAAGUAAACAUAAAGUCAUAUAUACAUACAUGACAAAACUGCAUUGAAUAAUAUCCAGGAGAAAUAACUCUCAAUACUCACUGGGAUCAUCAUCGCACGAGUGAAAGUGGGGGAAAAACCUCUCAAUACUCAGUGGAAUUAACUGCAUCACAAGGGCCGAGUAAUCUAACUCUCAAUAUGCAUGCGUAGAGCCUAUGGGGAAGGGUACACAUAUGGUGCUUGGCAAUCACAUCUGAUGAUUCAAUCAAUCAUAUAUUGUACGUACAUAUAAUCAUAACAUUAUACUAAAUCAUACUAUUGAACAUAAAUGCUUUGUAGGAUACAUAAUAGUAAUAAUAAUAAUCCAUCACAUAUCUUGUUUCACUUUAGGGUUCGUUGGGGAUCUUGUGGAUUCCUUAAUUCUUGGAUUUCUCCUAACAUAAAGGGUUAAAAAAUUAAAUGUUAGAACCAACUGAUAUAAAAGCUUUUAUGUAUGAUGUAAACUAAAUCAUAAUUGUUCAAAUUUCUUAAAUAUGUUACCCACUGACUCAUUGCAAAUAGAUCUAACUACCCAAUUCUCUUUCUGUAACAUUUCCUCUCAAUUCCUAUUUUCAAACUUAAUUUUCACUCUCGGUUUUUCUUUUCUUUAUUUUUUCUUCUGUUCUUUUCCUCUUCUCUUUUCCUUUUGUUUUCUUCCUUUCUCUCCUUUUCCUUUCUUUUUCUUCUCUCUUUGAAUUGCUCUUUUUCGGUUUGAUUCAUGAAAAUGGUGAGAGCUACUUCAAUUCUUUACUUUAUAUAUAUCCACUACCUCCAAUUAUGCUUGACAAGCACAUAGGUGAAGCAUGCAUGUGCUUUGCUUUAAGCUAACAACUUGUUAUUGCUUGUGAAAUAAAAUACAACAAUACUUGUAACUCUAUACAAUUAGUAAAAUACUUCCUAUCAUUUUCUCUCAUGGACGUAGGCCAAAAAGCUGAACCACAUAAAUCCUCGUGUCUCUUGUGUGAUAUUACUCUCAANNNNNNNNNNNNNNNNNNNNNNNNNNNNNNNNNNNNNNNNNNNNNNNNNNNNNNNNNNNNNNNNNNNNNNNNNNNNNNNNNNNNNNNNNNNNNNNNNNNNNNNNNNNNNNNNNNNNNNNNNNNNNNNNNNNNNNNNNNNNNNNNNNNNNNNNNNNNNNNNNNNNNNNNNNNNNNNNNNNNNNNNNNNNNNNNNNNNNNNNNNNNNNNNNNNNNNNNNNNNNNNNNNNNNNNNNNNNNNNNNNNNNNNNNNNNNNNNNNNNNNNNNNNNNNNNNNNNNNNNNNNNNNNNNNNNNNNNNNNNNNNNNNNNNNNNNNNNNNNNNNNNNNNNNNNNNNNNNNNNNNNNNNNNNNNNNNNNNNNNNNNNNNNNNNNNNNNNNNNNNNNNNNNNNNNNNNNNNNNNNNNNNNNNNNNNNNNNNNNNNNNNNNNNNNNNNNNNNNNNNNNNNNNNNNNNNNNNNNNNNNNNNNNNNNNNNNNNNNNNNNNNNNNNNNNNNNNNNNNNNNNNNNNNNNNNNNNNNNNNNNNNNNNNNNNNNNNNNNNNNNNNNNNNNNNNNNNNNNNNNNNNNNNNNNNNNNNNNNNNNNNNNNNNNNNNNNNNNNNNNNNNNNNNNNNNNNNNNNNNNNNNNNNNNNNNNNNNNNNNNNNNNNNNNNNNNNNNNNNNNNNNNNNNNNNNNNNNNNNNNNNNNNNNNNNNNNNNNNNNNNNNNNNNNNNNNNNNNNNNNNNNNNNNNNNNNNNNNNNNNNNNNNNNNNNNNNNNNNNNNNNNNNNNNNNNNNNNNNNNNNNNNNNNNNNNNNNNNNNNNNNNNNNNNNNNNNNNNNNNNNNNNNNNNNNNNNNNNNNNNNNNNNNNNNNNNNNNNNNNNNNNNNNNNNNNNNNNNNNNNNNNNNNNNNNNNNNNNNNNNNNNNNNNNNNNNNNNNNNNNNNNNNNNNNNNNNNNNNNNNNNNNNNNNNNNNNNNNNNNNNNNNNNNNNNNNNNNNNNNNNNNNNNNNNNNNNNNNNNNNNNNNNNNNNNNNNNNNNNNNNNNNNNNNNNNNNNNNNNNNNNNNNNNNNNNNNNNNNNNNNNNNNNNNNNNNACAUGAACUUAUCAUUAAUUCAUUUGCUAGCCCAUUUUUCAAAUCUAUUUUUAAUUUAAGAUUUACUAUACAAAUAUAAUCAACUUUGUUAUAAUAUGGUGUAAUGUCUAUAUUGCUACAUAGUGUGAUAGGCCAUUAAUGUAAUAUAUAUGGUAUUUAUUUUCACUUGACCAAUUUGCCCAAAUUUAUAUUUUAUAAGCAGUUUUAAUCCUAGAUUCAUCAGGUCGUGAUUUUUAAUUUGUGGGUCGAACCAAACUUGUUACAAACUGACUCAAAUCGAGUCGAUACGGUCAAGUUGGUUCGAUCUAACUGGUUUCGUUUUGAAAUGCCCACCCCAACGAACAACUUUUGAGUUUUCCAUUAUUGGCCUAUUGCAGUUUUUUCCAACAUUCCUUGUUUAAUUGAUAUAUACAUUUGUCACUUUAUUUAUCAAAAAAAAAAAUUAAUAUCCAAGGAACAUAGGAAUUAAAUAUGGGAAUAUAGGAAGCACAAAACAACUAAAAUCCCUAGAUAAAAAGUAAGUUGUCUAUAAGUAUCUUAAUGUUCUUUUCAUUCCUUUUGUCAAAAUUUUAUAAUCUAUUUUUUUAUUUUUGUCAAAGUAUCAUUGUUCUUUUAAAAAAUAUAUAUAUAUAUAUACAAAGUAUAAAUUUAUUUUUUAGUCUAUUAAUUUCUCUAAAAUUUAAAUAUAAAUGAUCAACUAAAUGUUAGUUUGUUGAAAACACUCCUACCGUCGAUGCUGACCGUUACUCGAAAUGUUAUCAAUAAUAUGUGAUUUAUGCAACUGAACAUAUAGCAUUAGUUAGGAAUGAACUUUGCAAUAAAAACAGAAAUUGAGCUAGAAAAGACAACCGAGUGAGAUCAACAAAUGUAGAUCCAAGACAAAUAGUUUUGUAUAUAUUAUUAAUUUGAUUUCCCGUUUGAAGAAGUUUUCAACCGUAACGGAAUGUGACACGUGGCGCGUGCAUCUGACCUCAUACUACCGGUGACCAAUAACCAAUAGCCAACACUCGAUCAUUUUUUAAAAAUUUACCCGCACAGAGAAAACGACGUCGUGAGCGACCCUCGCACGUACCAUUUGAAAAAAGAAAAAAAUGCAGUUGUAUGUAUCAUCAUCAUUAUUGCUCUCCUUAAUCAUGUACAAGAACGUGUCCGUGUCUAUCGUCUCACUUUGAUUCAUUUUCUCACCAGACACCCACUUUAUUGCUCCUCUUCAUCUUUUAAUUUAAAAACCAAAUAUUAUUUUUUCUUUUUCUUAUGAUUAAGAAAUGGCUGCGAAAAUUGGAUCAUUUAGACACAGUUUUGCAGAAAGGAGCAAAGAAAGAUUGCUAUCUAGGAAGGGCUAUUCAGACUUUGGCCUGAACAGCACGGAUGACGAUGGCAGCGAAGAUGGAAUCAAAUGCAGAUGUUUCCGUUGGAUAUCAGACGGAGUCACCAAUUUUUGGACCAAUUUGCAAAACAUUUUUAUUCAAUUCUAUGACAUGGGUCGUAAGGAUCCUCGUAAAGCCGUUUUUGCUGCCAAGAUGGGCUUGUCGUUGGCACUUGUGUCAUUGGUUGUCUUUUUCAAAGAGCCACUCAGUAAUGUUAGCCAAUAAUCGAUCUGGGCAAUUCCUACUGUUGUUGUAGUUUUUGAAUUCAGCGUAGGUACUAGUUUACAAUCAUGCGAUGCGACUAAAACAAGCAAAAUCGUAUUGAGAUUUGGAUAUGGAAGUGAUUUUGUAAUGUUAUUGAAUUUCAUGUAGGUGCAACGCUUAACAAAGGAUUCAAUCGCGCUUUAGGGACGUUUUCUGCUGGUGGCCUUUCUCUGGGCAUUGCAGAGCUCUCUCUGUAUGCAGGGGCUUACCAGGAAGUUAUUUGUCAUCAGUAUUUUUAUAGCAGGUUGGCAUCUUGUUAGCAAUUAAUAUCUAUCAAUCAUUGCCUUGGAGCCCAUUUCUUGAAUUGUUGCUCUUAUAUUUUUAUUUUGUCCUUUUCAAGAUUCUGUGCAAGUUGUGCUAAAUUGUACCCCAAAUUGAAACCAUACGAAUAUUUCGAGUCUUCUUGUUGACAUAUUGCAUUGUACUUGUGUCUGGAACUUCAACAACAUUUUUCCGCACAGCAUUUUAUCGGUUAGUGCUUAUUGCAGUUGGUGCUGGGAUAUGUUUGGUUGUAAAUGUGUGCAUAUAUCCCAUCUGGGCAGGGGAGGAUCUGCACAAGUUGGUGGUCAAAUUUUCAAAGGCCUCGCUACUUCCUUGGAAUGUUAGACAUUUGCUUCUUAGAUAUUCGGUUCUCUUUGAUUUGAGCUGAAUUCUGAUGAGUAGUUGAUUGAUUUAUCAUAUUGGACUUGGAUUUAGGAUGUGUUAGUAACUACUUGCAGUGUGUUGAAUAUGAGAGAGUCCCUUCGAAAAUUCUUACAUAUCAGGCUUCUGAUGACCCAGUGUAUAAUGGUUAUGGAUCGGCUGUACAGUCUACGAGCCAAGAGGAAUCUCUGGUAUAAUCAGUAUAACUUUGCUGGUUCUUUCCUCAACUCCAUCAUCUUUGAUUUCUUUUUCUUUCCUGCAAGGCCUGUCCUUUUGACAGACCAGAAAGUUUGGAUCGCUUGUACUCUUGUACUCUGCAGAUGGAUUUCGCAGUAUGGGAGCCACCUCACGGCCCUUACAGGUCAUUCAAUUAUCCCUGGAAAAAUUAUGUUAAAGUAAGUGGUGCAUUGAGGCACUGUGCAUUCAUGGUCAUGGCUAUGCACCGAUGUGUACUUUCUGAAAUACAGGUAAGUGGCUUUUUUCCUAUUGCUUUAGCUGCUGUUUUAGCAACUUAGGCUUAUGGUCAAAUCUGUACUUGGAGAAUGAAAGUGUCAUUCAAGGAUCCUUUUAUUAUCUCAAAUAUGUCUAGUGAACCAUAUUUCUCUUGGAGUAAUGGUAGCCCAUCUAGGUAAGUCGUUUCAGUCAUUAAUAGUGAGUUUCUGAGCUUCAAUGUACUAAUGAAGUUUAGCUCUAGUCCCAUCUUUCCAAUCUUUUGCUGGUCCUUCUUCUUGAUAAUUGGUACAAUCCAGCUCUUAAUCGGCAUAUAUCCCCACCAGAUUUUUCUCAAUCAGAAGCACUUGAAUUGCGAUCCUUGAACUCCUUUCACAAACUAAUAGUUUCAGCUUUGUGGGCACAGCUUUGAUGGUCUCAAAUGCCAAAACUCCCCUUUUCUUCUCCCCAUUCACUCUGCAAAUUGCCAUCAAAUUUGGUUAAUUGGCAUUUUAUUUAUUUAUUUGUUCCCGUAUUGCAAUUCAAAAGAAUAGUAUAUAUUCAUGCAUGCUGGUUUGGUAGCAUUAUUUUGUUCUUCUUAAUCUUAAUUAAAUUUUUUAUAUAUACGCUAUCACUUUCCAAAUAAAUGAGAAUUACAUGGUAUGUGAAGAAAUAAAUUGAAAAAAAAAAGAAAAUUUCAGAUGCAAGGCACUUAAUUAAAGAGUGCAGUUAAUGAAUCAAAUUUCCUUGAAACUUUAUACUUCAGGAAACAUUAGCAAUAAAGCUGAAGAAGUCUGGAUCAAGUCGAAGUUUGUAGAAUUUAUGAGUAUUAUAUUUAAUUUAGGUUUAUUAAAAUUUACUUUCUUUCAUAGUGGUUUAUUUAAUUUAAGUUUAUAAAAAAAAUGAGUGAGAGGUAGGAAGGGUAUGAAAAAGCACAGAGAACAAACAACAAAUUGUGAUUGCCUUGUCACGGACCUCUUUCUAUUAUAUGGCCCUCAUUCCAUGUCUAAUUUCUGUGAGAAACAAAGGUCUAGAUUCUAGAAAUAAGAGAUGAAAAGAGAAGAUAAAACAUCCUUAUAAUCUACUGAAUGUAUAAAUCUGCAUCUGCAUAUUAUAUAGCAAACAAAAUUAAAUAGUUUCCGUCUUACGAAGUUUUGAAAUUGAUUUACCUUUCUUUAGCUGUUGCCAAGUCAUUUCCAUGUGAUUUUGUUGUUCUUAACCAGUAAUUUUUCUCUCCACUCUUGUGUAUUAGCAGCAGAUGUCUUGUGGUGAUUCCUUUUUGUAAGCUCCAUUUCUUUGUUUCAUUCUUGAGUGAGUUAAUAAAAUAUGUAGCAAAAACAUUCAGGAUUCUAAAUUUUGUGUUAGGCUGCAAGUAUUUGGAGUCUGGAUUUAGAUAUAUGUUUGGUUUGCAAAUUUUAAUGUGCAGGCACCACCAGAGAAGAGACAAGUUUUUGCUAGUGAGCUCCAAAAUGUUGGCAAUGAAGGAGCUAAAGUAUUACGCAAGCGUGGAGACAAAGUUGAGAAGAUGGAAAGGUUAAGCCCUGAAGGCAUACUAUUUGAAGUUCAUGAGGCGGCAGAAGAGUUGCAAAUGAAGAUAGACCAAAAAUCAUAUCUUCUGGUCAAUUCAGAAAGCUGGGCAGCCAUAGCGCAGCGCAAGGAACUGCAAGAUUCUGAGAACUUUAAUGAAGUCAAAGAUGAUGAAAACAAAGUGAUUAACUUGAGCGAAGUGUGUGUAAGAAAAUUAACAGUGAGAUAACAAUUUAAUACAGUAGCUAAUUUAAACAACAACGAAAAACAGCAACUGGAAAUCACGAAUGAACAACUGGAAAAACAGCAGGGAAAAGAAAACCGAAAUAGAAAAUAAACCCGAGGCUUGCAGCACGGUUUCCUUAAAACAGAUUUACCACCUACUGUAGUGCUUUAGGCUUGCUGGUAAUUGUUUCCCAGGAUACAACAGGCACGAAUUAUCCGUCAAGUACAGAUUGAUAAUUCUGGCGAACCACAACAGUGUUCAAAGCUCGAUAAAAAACAUAACGUUAGGAGGAAAGAAAUUUUGAAGUGCUCUCUGUGUGCUGGUUGUUCUUGUGUGUGUAAAAACAAAAGAGGAAUGUGUCUUUUUAUACUCAUGUGGGUACGUAACAGCAGCAUAAAAAUUGAAUUUCAAAAUUCAAUAUAUGCUAUUUAAUUGCUGUAACAACCAUUGAAUUUAAACAAUUCAAUUCAAAAAUUGAAUUGCAUAACAGCCCAAAAAUAAUUGCAAAGUUGUUACAAAUCUUUUGAAUUCAAAAGGUGUGAAACUGUUAACAAAAAAAAUUAAAAGGAAAAUAAAAACGUACCAUGCAAGCUUGGGUGAUUUUGGGCUGACAUUCGCGUACGCACAUGAGUUCAACCAAAUCGGUCAUGAAUUAUUUUGGGUUGACAUUCACGUACGCACAUGAGUUCAACCAAAUCGGUCAUGGGAUUCACACCCCCUGUGAACACACGUGUGGAGAGAGCCUCUAUUAUUAAAAUUCUUGUUCAUGCAUGGUUAAGUGUUUAUAUAUAAACACUAAUCCCUUGGCUUCUUUUUCCCAUGUGGGAUAAGCUUCAUUUCCAUUCAAAUUUCCAACUUCAAAGGUGAACUUUGAGAGACAAUUUCUCAUUCACCCAAACACCAUUUUGAGAAAAUAAAAAUACACUUUUGAAGUAUUAACGGAGUAGAAUCCGAACCUCACAAGAUUUUCCACUUUCAGUAAGUGGGACCUACUCAAAAUGUGCCCUCAAAAUAGCAUAUUGAUAUACUAUUUUUUCAACAGUGUGGGAUGCUCAGAACCCAAACAUGGGCAUGAACUAUCCUAUGCAAGAACGGAUUUCCUCAGAAAAUAUGUCGAGAAAUCCAAUCUCGUGGCCACGGAUGUCGUUUCAUAAUAUUGAGUCCACGCUUGGCUUACAGGAAUCAAAAGUAUUGCUUCACUCUUGAUUGAAUUUGUUGCGAGGCUCCAAAAUCUUGUUGAUGCCUUUGAAGAACUAUGUGAAAAAGAAAAUGUCAAGGAACCUGUUGAGCCGCCAAUUGGGAAAGGGGAGGUAGGAUUUUGGAGCAGGCUUAGCAGAUGCUUUCAGUUGAAGCGCUGAGAUAGCUUUAAAGAUCAUUUUUUCCGAUCCAUAAGUUGAAUACAUGUCGUUGUCAACUGAGACAGUUUGAUAAGCUGAUGCUUUGUGACUUGUGAAUAUGAUGGCUUUAGCUUGCUCUGCCCCCCAUAUACAUAAAAAAUGUAGUAAUGCAGUGGAGAGGUUUUGUCAUAGAAAUUCUUAAUAGCAUAUGGGGUUUAGAAAUCAAUGCAUAUAAAAUCCAUUUUCAAAAAAAAAUUAUUGAGACAUUAGUCUACAGUUUUUUUUUAAAAAAAUUAUUUUUUUAUUUUUAUAAUUUUUAACCAAAUAUUUAUAUUUUAAGUGUAAAAAUAAUUUUUUCUUAGUAGUUACAGUAGCUGCAACAUAAAAUCCACAACACUUCAUUAUCAAAUAAGCCGUACGUUUGAAUCAUCUAAACAACUUACUAGGAUGCCAUGAUUCACAUAAAAUUAUCAGCACUUAACAACACAAAAGUCAAAAAGCAAAUACUCUUACUCAAGUCUUAUAUUUGUUGCACGAAGAAGAAAGAAGAUAACAAUUUUAAAUUAACCAACAGGUUGAAUCUUAUCCUAAUACACACUAUCAGCUUUGAAUUAGCAUACCUUAGAAGUCCUGAACUCAUUCACGGCCACUCGAAGAGAAUCAUCCGAUAGAAUCAACCGUGACAACGCUCCAGUGCUUAACCUGCCACAUUUUUUCCUUCCGAGUUGGGGAAUCCGAAGCAGGGAUUGAGCGGCCAGCGCCAUCAUCAAUUUCAAUUUCCCUCACUGUGAAUGUGAUAAUCCAAGCAAAGCUUCGUUCUAGUAACACAUUCUUAUAGCAGGCCCAGCCCAAUCCAGCCCAGUCGAGCAAGUGAGCAAUGUUAUUAUUUUAUUAUUUUUGAACUUGCGGUGGCUCUGUAUUAUUUGCAAAAUACUCAUGUAAGGCAGAGAAUAUAUUUUAUAUUGGAAUAUUUUCAAAAUAAAUGGUGCUUUAAACAGGUUUUCGAUUGUAAAGAUAUGUCAUAUGCCUAAUUAAACAGUGUCGGGUAUAAUAAAAAUAUAUCUUUUUAUUUAAAGAUGUAUCCAUUCACGGUUUUAUACUUCAAUUUAAAAUGGUAAUGAUUUAUUUUGGACCGGUGAUGAUCUAAUUCAAAUUUUGAUUUAAUAACCAUAAAUGAAAAACUACAUUUGUAAUGUGUCUCGAAGCACCAUCAAUUCCUACCUAUAUUUCAAUUAAAAUAAGAGUGAAACUAUUGGCACCCAUUUAUUAUUCUUAUAAAACUUAUUUCAAAUAAAAUUACAGUUAAGGGUAAAGAAGAAAUAAACACAUGUAGGAUUUUUUCUUCCCAACAAAUUACUUACAUUAAUAAUCAAUCUUUUUUUUUAAUUUCCUACCAUUAUUUCUUAUCUAACUAAGAUAAAUUGUAUAAAUCUAGCAUAAUCUAUUUUUCUUUUCCUAUUUCUUAUUGAUUAAAUAUUUUCGUACUCAAGAUUACUUUCAAACUACAAUCUAAAAUAUGUGUUAUUUAAGCUAAUGAUUAGCAUUCAAACUUUAUCACCUAGAAAACUUUUUAAUUUGUAUUUAGGAUAACAAUAAGAUUGCAAAAGAGAUGAAAAAUAGCACAAUACUACUUUGAGUUUUAAGAAUAAAAGAAUAUUAAAUGAAAAACUAAAAGAGUGUCUUUGAAAAUAAAAGGAAAUGUUUGGAAAUAAAAUAAAUAUAACUGAAAAAAGGAUUUGAUGAGGAGACUAGAGGGGUGCCAAUAGUCCAACUUUUAAAAUAAAGUUUUAUCAAUUAUUGCUCCCCUUUUCUGCAAUUAUUAUUCCCCACCCAUAUUUCUCCAACAUUUUAUUUCAUAUAUUUACUCCUACUACACUCUAACAAAGGACGCCUUUUGGACUACAUCAGUUUCUAGAUGCAUUUUAUUAAUAAAUUAAAUAAAGGCACCAUCCCUUGUUCAAUUUCUCUAAAUGACCACUUUCUGUCAGCUCUCUUAAAAUUUAUUAAGGAAUCUAUGUUGAAGACCAUUUCAUCAUUAGUAUUGUGUAAAUGUAUAAAAAUACAUUUUACACUUUGAAAUUUAAAAUGACCUUCUUUUAGCACAAAAUUUUUAAACAAAUGCCUCUAACUAAGCGACAAAUUUAAAAAUACAUGAUAAGUACCAUAUCAGCCAUAUAAAAAGUGAAUCAUACUAUGAUAUAAGUGCAUUUAUUUUGAAAAACCAUCUCGUAAAUAAUGGUUAUAUUGAAUCUAAGUAAGUGCAUAUCAUACAAGACACAACCUGGCCCAGCCUCUCUGACGGAUUCAAGGUGAAUCAUGUGAUCUUAUAUCUAAAGCUUGUGAAAUAAAUUUAAUUCAUGAAUGCAUAACACUAGUCUCGGCCUUUGUUAUAAACAUAUAAUAACAUAUGUGACUCAUUCAAAAAUAUAUUCAAAACUUUCACAGUUUACAUCUUACUGUACAUACAUACACUUUAUAUAUAUACAUAUAAACAUAAACAUGCUCAAAAUAUAAGUUAUGCAGUAAUGCGUGUCGUGGCCAACAUUAACUGAUUAGAAACUAAACUGCACAAAAUCCUAUGAAAAUCUUAAAGAAAUGGGGGUAAAUAGGAAAAUAGUAUACUUGUGGCUAAAUGAAUGGAUAUAUAUAUAUAUAUAUAUAUAUAUAUAUAUAUAUAUAUAUAUAUAUAUAUAUAUUAGCGCUCUAGUGCUCGUACAUAAUUGUAUGACAUAACUUCGCACUGAACGCAUUAUACAAGCAAACAUAAAAUCAUAUAUUUAUACAUGAUAAAACUGCACCAAAUAAUAUCUAGAAGAAAUAACUCUCAAUACUCGAUGGAAUCAUCAUUGCACAAGUAAAGUAGGGGAAACACCUCGCAAUACUCAGCGGAAUUAACUACAUCACAAGCGCCGAGUAAUCUAACUCUCAAUACACAUACAUAGAGCCUAUGGUGAAGGGUACACAUAUGGUAUCUGGCAAUCACAUCUCAUUAGUCAAUCAAUCAUAUAAUAUGAGUACAAAUAAUCAUGACAUGAUACUAAAUCAUACUAUCAAGCAUAAAUACUUUGUAGAAUACAUAUAAGUAAUAAUAGUAAUCCACUCACAAAACAUUUUUCACUCCGGGGCUUGUUGGAGCUCUUAUAGAUUCCUUAAUUCUUGGAUUUCUCCUAAAAUAUAGGGUUCAAAAAUUAACUGUUAGAACUGAUAUAAAAACUUUUACAUAUGACAUAAACUAAAUCAUAAUUGUUCAAAUUUCUUAAAUACGUUACCUACUGACUUACUGGAUAUAUAUAGAUAUAACUAUCCAACUCUCUUUCCUAUAAUUUUUCCUCUCAAUUCCUCUUUUCAAAAUUAUUUUUCACUCUCGGUUUUUCUUUUCUUCAUCCAGUUAAACAUGUUCUUUGACAUAUAAUACAGUUUAUGGUCAAAAAACUCAUACGUAAUUGAAAUUAAAUUAUUUUUUAAUCUCAAUUUUAAAAUAUUUUAAAAUAUUUUAAAAGAUUUUCAAACAUAAGAUACAAUGGUAUACAAUUGAAGCCUAAUCCAACAUUGAAAGAUUAAAUAAAAUUAAUUUUCAUCACUACUCAAGAGACUUGAAAGGACGUUAAGGUAGCGUUUAUUUUUUAUUUAAAAUCUGAAUAGGUUAGAAUUUGAUUAAAGCCGAAUGGCUUUGAAUAUAAAUGUUUCAAUAACAUGUUAAUUUUUUUAAUAUCUAAAAAUUAAAUGGCAUCUUGUUUGUUUUUAUAAUAAGAAAACACAUCAAAUGUGGUUAUUUAACAUUUAUGUCUUUAUAAGUCAAAACGAAUAAAAGGGAUUAGGCUUCGUAGUUUAUGAAAUAACUAUAUUGAAUUGAAAUAUUUUUAGGAUAUAGUAUUUAUUUUCUAUUCAAUCAUUUUUUUCAUUUCGGCAAAGGUCACAAAAAUUUACUUUUUUAAUUCAAAUGUAAAUAUCUAAAAAUCAGACAUAUGUUACAAAAAAAAAUAAAUAAUUAACUUUUUUAAAAAAAGUUAAACUUUAUAUGUUUAAAAUAAACGCUAAGGAACAUGAAUAAGAGCUAUUAAAACAAAAACAAAAAGAAUAAUUUGGAAACUAAAUACAAUUAAUUGAGAGAUGAGGACCGAUAAGAUAAAUUCUAGAUAAAAAUUAAAAUAUCAACCCUACUUAUUGCUGGUAGUUAUGAGCAUUAAAGCACAGAAGCCGUGUCUUGAUAAGUAUGGAGUUCGUGCGGAAUUUUCAGCUAGAAGUCUACAAAGCAGUGGAAUUAAUCAAUCAUCGUGGAGUGCACGGUGGUUGGACAAUGAGAUGAAAUUGAAAAAUUAUCACGGAACGUGAACGAAGGUUCAUGGCAUCCAUUUAUUGUACAGAGUCACGCACAUUUGGUUCAAUAAUUGUUUUCAUCCGAAUCAAAAUCUCUCUCUAAUCAAUUCAACCGUUCCUGUUGAUUAUGGCUUCUUCUUAUCGAAACAACAAGAAGUAUGAUGUUUUUGUUAGUUUCAGAGGAGAGGACACCCGAGACAACUUUACAUUGAGAUGNNNNNNNNNNNNNNNNNNNNNNNNNNNNNNNNNNNNNNNNNNNNNNNNNNNNNNNNNNNNNNNNNNNNNNNNNNNNNNNNNNNNNNNNNNNNNNNNNNNNNNNNNNNNNNNNNNNNNNNNNNNNNNNNNNNNNNNNNNNNNNNNNNNNNNNNNNNNNNNNNNNNNNNNNNNNNNNNNNNNNNNNNNNNNNNNNNNNNNNNNNNNNNNNNNNNNNNNNNNNNNNNNNNNNNNNNNNNNNNNNNNNNNNNNNNNNNNNNNNNNNNNNNNNNNNNNNNNNNNNNNNNNNNNNNNNNNNNNNNNNNNNNNNNNNNNNNNNNNNNNNNNAGCAUCAGCCAUUUCAGUUAUCGUCUUCUCAGAAGGGUAUGCAUCUUCCAGAUGGUGUCUCGAUGAACUUGUAAGGAUCCUUGAGUGCAAGAAAGAGUAUGCACAGAUUGUGAUUCCGGUUUUCUAUCAGGUUGAUCCAUCAGACGUGAGAAACCAAACUGGGAGUUUUGGGGAUUCAUUUUCGAAGCUUGAAGAAAGAUUAAAGGAGAAUACUGAGAAGCUGCGGAGUUGGAGGAAAGCUUUGAAGGAAGCAGCCAGUUUGUCUGGCUUUCAUUCUCUUAACAUCAGGUGAAAAGUUACUUUUAAUUUCGCAUACUAAUAUUCAACACUGUAAAUAAAAUUCACGCACCACUCUUAGUUAAAUUUCCAGAUGCUAAACUACAUUUUUAAAUUUGUUUAUGCAUCAAAUUCUAGACUUCUUGAACUUCCCCACUUUUGAACUCCUAUAAAAGAAAUUUUGCAGAAUUAAUUUUUUUUGUCUUAACCACGAGGUAUCCUGGGAAGGGCCCCAACUUGGGAGGCACAACAAAGGCGAGUUCUCUGCGACUUGAACUGGGGAGCAAACCCAGUCAAGCCACUUAAGGGGACUCCAUUGUCAGUAGAGCCAAUACUUUGUUGGUUAUUUUUACAGAAUUAAUAAUAAAAGCUCCAGAAGUUUACAAUAUAUUUUAACAAAAUUAAUGGUCUUCUGUCGUUUUUUAAUCAAUUUCAAUCUCUUACUCAUAUACCAUUAGGAAAAAAAAAAAAUCUCUUCCACAUGUAACAUAUUCCUGUAAUUAAAAAGUUAUUAAUUUAUAGGGAGAUUGUAAAUUCCCUUAUUCAAAUCAAUAUAUACCACUUAUUCUGACUAAUUUUACAAUAUUUAAUAACUUUCGCGGUACCAUCACUUUGCAAUAUUAUCCUUCUGAAAAAAAAAUAAGUGGUAUAUAUUAAUUUCAAUUGGAAAACUAGCAAUCUCCCUUAUUUCAUAUUUCAUGCAAAUCCCUCCUAUUUGAAGUUACUGCUGCUAAUUUUAUGUAUUUGGUAGGCCUGAAUCGGAACUUAUAAACGAAGUUGUUAAUCACAUUUCAAAGAGACUGCUGGAUCAAGUUUUUCGGCGGAAUGAUAACAAAAACCAGCUGGUUGGAGUAGAAUCAAGAGUUGAGGAAAUUGAAUCUCUACUAGGUGUUCAGUCGAAAGAUGUUUACGCUUUAGGGAUUUGGGGCAUUGGUGGUAUAGGCAAAACAACAAUCGCUAGAGCUACUUUCGACAAAAUCUCUAGCGAUUUUGAAGGUUCUUGCUUCCUUGAAAAUGUUAGAGAAGAGUCACAAAAACCGGGAGGAUUAGCUUGCUUGCGACAAAAACUUCUUUCAAAUUUAUUGAAAGAUAAAAAUGUGAGUCUUGCUAUUGGUCUUAAUUUUAGAAGGCUCAGCCGCAUGAAGGUUCUGAUUGUUUUUGAUGAUGUGACUUGCUUCAGCCAAUUAGAAUCUAUAAUUGGAAGUCUUGAUUGUUUGACGCCUGUGAGUCGAAUCAUAAUAACCACCAGAAAUAAACAAGUGCUUAGAAAUUGGGGGGUGAGGAAAAUAUAUGAGAUGGAGGCAUUAGAAUAUCAUCACGCUCUUGAGCUUUUCAGUCGACAUGCCUUCAAACAAAACCAUCCUGACGUUGGUUACGAGAAAUUUUCAAGCAAGGUAAUGAAAUAUGCUCAAGGUGUUCCUUUAGCUCUUAAAGUUUUGGGUUGCUUUCUAUAUGAAAGAGAAAAGGAAGUCUGGGAAAGUGCAAUAAAUAAAUUGCAAAGAAUCCUCCAUCCAAGUAUCCUAGAGGUAUUAAAAAUAAGUUACGAUAGUUUGGAUGAUAAGGAGAAAAAUAUUUUCCUUGAUGUUGCUUGUUUCUUUCAAGGCGAGGAUGUAAAUCUAGUAAUGAAAUUCCAUAAUGCAAGCGGUUUCUACCCAGAAAUAGGAAUAAGUGUUCUUGUUGAUAAAUCUCUCAUUGCUAUUGGUUCAUACAACCAGAUAAGAAUGCAUGAUUUACUACAAGAGUUGGGUAGGGAAAUUGUUCGACAAGAAUCAAUUAAUCCUGGAAACCGCAGUAGGUUGUGGCAUCAUGAGGAUAUCUAUGAAAUUCUUACAUAUAACACGGUAAGCAGUUUGUUGUGGAUAAUUAUUUUGAAAUAUUCUAGCAUUUACAAACUUGAUAUGAAUAUAUUUAUAUAUGCUCGAACUGAUGAGUCUUAGAAUUAAUAGAAGAGCAACAAUGAUUAGAAAAAACCAUAUCCGUUAGAUGACGUAGCAAUAAAUUAUAAAUGCCAUGACAACUUGCAUAAUCGUUUGCAAGCAUAAUUGAUAUGCCAAUUUGUAUAGUACACAGACGGAAUUUUUAUAUUAAGUAUUACUUGUGUUAUUAUGUUUCUUUGUGCAUUUGCAAUUAAAAGUUUAACUGCCUAGCAAUAACUAUAAGCUACCUCUAAUUGUGAAUUAGUGAGAAACUUGCCCCAAAAAUUUGACUUGGUGGGGUUGAAGUGCGAUUCAUUGGUGGAAUACACAUAUCUUUCAUUUGAUUUUAACUUUAUUGCUUUUUCACUUCCUUUUAGGGGACAGAAAAAAUUGAGGGCAUAUGUUUGGAUAUGUCAAAAGUAAAAGAGCUCCGUCUAAAUCCCAAUACUUUCACAAAGAUGACUAAAUUGAGAUUUUUAAAGUUCUAUAGUUCAUUAUUCAAUGGAGAGAACAAAUGUAAGAUGUCUUAUUUGCAAGACCCUGGAUUUGCUGAAGUGAAAUAUCUUCACUGGCAUGGAUAUCCGUUGAAGUCAUUUCCCUCAAACCUCAGUGCAGAGAAGCUUAUGUUACUUGAAGUGCCUGAUAGUGACAUUGAACGACUUUGGGAUUGUGUGAAGGUAUGCAUAUCUUAUUAUAUAUGUGCAAUCUCUCAAUAACAACAUUAAAUUAUUAUACGUGGUAACGAUUUUGUCUUGGCCUCUUUUUUGACCGAGCAGCAUUAUAGUAAGUUAAACCAGAUAAUCCAUGCUGCCUGCCAUAAGCUAAUUGCCAAAAUUCCAAAUCCCACGUUGAUGCCACGUCUGAACAAGCUGGUUAUCUUGAAUCUAAGAGGUAGCAAAAGCCUGAAAAGUCUUCCAUCUGGAAUAUUUAACUUGGAAUUUCUUACCAAACUUGAUCUUUCGGGCUGCCCAAAACUGAAAAGGCUUCCAGAGAUCUCAUCAGGUAAUAUAAGCUGGUUAUUUUUAAGGGGGACUGCAAUUGAAGAACUGCCCUCAUCAAUUGAGCGUCAACUUAGGCUUUCGUGGUUGGACCUUUCAAAUUGUAAAAGGCUUAAGAGUCUCCCAAGCAGCCUCUAUAAAUUGAAAUCUCUUGGAAUUCUUGAUCUCCAAGGUUGCUCAAAUCUUCAGAGAUUGCCCGAAUGUCUUGGCCAAUUAUCCUCGCCAACAACAUUUAAUCUAGCGAAAACCAAUAUUGAGAGAAUACCAGAAAGCAUUAUCCAACUUUUCGUGUCGGGAUACCUCCUCUUAAGUUAUGGUGAGAGGUUCGAAUUCGUGCAAAAGCCUCCAUUCCUUGAACGAGGUUGCUUGGCACUGCAACCACUUUUAGGUUUGUUCUCUAAGUUAUGAAUCUUAUAGGCAAUUUUUUUUUACCGGAGCAAUAAUUUUAAAUUGGCAGGUAAUUCUACUGCAGGAAUUCUUGAAGAUACCCUGAGAAUUCAGCAUACGAACUUUAUGCCAGCCGUACGUUGGGAAGAAAUAUGGCAAGAAGUAUGGGUAAAUGUGUGUCUUUAACUCUCUCUACUUACAAUUUCUACAAUCUUUUUUUUGGGUUUAAAAUUAUGUUUUUUUGGUACAGAGAGGUUUUUCCAUGGGCAAACUUCAUAUCGUACUGUCUGGGAAUGAAAUUCCAAAGUGGUUUGAGUUUCAAAGUGUGGGAUCUUUUAUAACCUUGGAGAUGCCGCCAGAUUUCUUCAAUAAUAGCAGAGUGCAGGGCAUUGCAUUUAGUGCUAUUUUAGCAUUUUCAGACCGUCAUGUAGAUUGUGGCACAUGGUUUUCAUUUUCUUGUGAGCUCAAAGUAAAAACCACCAAAGAUUGUGGUCCGCAUGACACACGAUUAUUUCAGAGCAGAGUUAAUUAUGUAGAAUCAUAUCACUUACAUUUGGGGUACUAUCUGUUCUGUGAAGAGGAUUUUAAUGGUUUUUGGAAAUGCAAUUGCAUUCCUGAGGCAGUCCAGCGGGGUGAAAAAAUGUGGGAUCCAUUUACUUCACACCCCAGAUUCUACGAAUUCAAUGUAAGAUCCAAGCAGAUGUUUCAACUGUAACGUAGAAGACUGAGAUAGGUGUCAUUUUCACUCAACUCACCUGAGUUGUGAAUCCAUUUGCUUAAACAUGUAUGCACUUUUUCAAGUAUCUCUACCAAUUCCAUAUUUGGAAUGGUGCAUUUGAUUCCAUAGUUGAUGUGGUAUCGUCUAUGGUUAGAAUUUAUAUUUACAAAAAUGACUUGUAAGGGAAGGAUUGAAGAUGCCCGUGAACUUAUAUUUCGAUUUAGAUUAUUGUAUCUUUUUCAUGUAUAAAAUUGGAUCCUAUCAUUCACAUAUCAUUGACAUGAGCAAUAUGGAUUACUAAAUCAUUAUUCUUUAUUAUUGUGCUGAAUUUGAUUUUUUAUUGAAUAAUUUGAUAUAUUUCUUGAAUCAAUUUGGAGCUUCUACAACAUGUCAGAGAUCAGUUUCUCCAACAUUCCUUUCGGCGCCAAAAGAUAACCAAGCGGUUGAAUAAGAAUUGAUAUAUACAACAUAAAUACAAGAGUUGUUUUGUCUUUUUACAAUAGGAAUAAUAUAUAAUGCUCGUUAAAACUUGCUGAUGAGAAAGUAAAUUCCUCAGAAAUUAAAUGUUUCAGCCAACCAAGGAAGCAGCUUUUCGUGGACCAACUCAGGCCUGUCGUCAUGGGGGCAAUGUCCUACUCCUUUCAAUACAAUUAACUUCACAUUUGAGAGUUUAGAAGGCAGAGAUGAGAUGUAUUUACCAACAGGUCCAUCGAGGGGUGUGAAUGGAUCCUCAUCAGCCCAUAAAACUAGUGCAGGUAUAGAGAUUGAUGGCAUCAAUUGAACUGGGUUCGGCCCUGGUGGGCCUGUUACAAUCGAAACAAAUGCGUCAAGUGCCCCUUCCUCAUUGGCGGGCUCUCGUAUGAUCUGCAGUUUUGAGGUCGAUUCAUGAAUUAUGAGACGCCAUUUUUGUAACAGGUUAAAAUGGCAUAUAAGUGGAGAAUAUUAAUACCUCAACCAGUGUUUCAUCCACAGAUUCCUUAUUUGCAUAAAUGGACAGUAAAAUAUUCCUCGUUGUUUCCCUGAAGCACCAAUGUAUACACAUCAUAGAUUUUUUUAAUUUUGACUCUAGUGUUUUAGGAUAAUGAACAAUGGACUGAAUAAAGAGAAGAGAAAAUACCUUUGUUUCACACGCUCAAAUAUAGCAGAAGCAAUUGGCCUUUGCUUCAACAAAAAAUCAAUGAACCAAAGCAAUGGGAACAAUAGCUUGAUUCUCCAAUCAUCAACAAUUGCCUUGUUGUUCAUGCCACCAGCACAAUUCAACAGAACAAGCCCUCGAACAAGGGUUUGACUGGAUUCUUAUGGUAGAAAAUAUAGCAGGUUUAUCGUAAACCAUAGAUACCAAAAAGGAUAAUUAGGGACAAGUGUUUCUUUGCAAGCAAGUUGAAGAAUAUCUGAUGUCCAAGGGGAAGUUAAAAUAAAUAUACCUGAGGCAGCGAUAACACAAGCUAGGCUUCCAACAGAAUUACCUAUAAGCACAGUUGGCUUCUGAACAACUUCAUCCAAGAAAUCCAAUAUUAGCUGUAUCAGUGAAUCUCACUCAAGUUAGCAAGGAAAAUAACUAAAGGUCAAGUGAUUGAUGACGUAAGUACAUAGAAAGAUCCAACUUCUGGGUAGGGAACAUUGCACACCUGAGCCCAUGCCUCCAUGGUAUAUGAAUAACCAGCUGGCUUAUCUGAAGCACCAAAUCCAAGGUGGUCAAUUGCAUAAACCGUGUAGCUCUUCGCCAGGGUGCCGAUAUUCCUGAAAUUACCUCAGAGAUAACAAGAAAAAUAUCAAUUCCUCACAUUAUUUAAUAGGAUAAAGGAGUAGUGAACACACAAAUUUUCAUUCCCCUCUUCUACGGAGCGGUAAAAUGAAUACUUUUUCACUAGAUUAAGAAUUGGAAAAUGGAAGAAGCCUAUACCCAUAAAAGGGUAAUAUUAAAUGGAACCCUGAAAUUCAGAUCACUGGUUUGUCAUCAUCUAGGUGCAAGGAAUAGAACUAAGUGUUAAUGCCAAUGCACCAUGAAAUAAUGAAUAGACUUUACUUUCAUUAUUCUUUUGCUUCAUUGAUCUUAAUUAAUUAUUAGAAGUAUAACACAUAUAAAUGCAUCCCUGGAGUUCAUAAUACAUAACAGAGUCAGAGAUAUUACAUACAUAAGGUAAAGACAUGCUCCAUACAAAAAAAAAAUAUUACAGUCGAAAAUACCCAGAACAUAAUUUGAAUUGAAUUCACAAUAAAGGAGCUACAUUUUUGUGCACCCAAUAAUCAACCCGCUAGACAAUUCACAACAAGAAAGAGCAAUCUUAUCUCGCUAACCUGCGCCAGUGAGGAAUGGAGACACCAAAGCCAUGGACAAGGAGUAGAGGAGGAGAAUCGGGAUGUGAAUUUGGAGUUGAAGAAACCAAGUAAUUGAUGGAGUACUGACCCUUCCAUUUCCACAUUUUGCAACUCUCCCUUAUCUCAUUAACCUCCAGUUCCAGUGCAGCAGAAGCAGAAUCCCCUCCACUGCUACUGUUAGUAUAACUGAUGGUAACAUUUUGUCUCUUCUUCUUCUCCUUAUUCCUCUGCUGCAACUCCAACUGCAACUGAAACUGCCAACUCUUAUUGCUCAAUAGGGGCAAGCGCAGGCCUUUUACAUCUCCAUUUCCAUUUCCAAUCCUGAGCGUUGUUAUUGGAAUAAUGAAAGAGGGAGCCCGAGCCCUUACCAUCCACACGCUCAUUCUUUUCUUGCUUUUUCGAUUGAAUAUUUUCUGUGGCCUGGCUUGGCCUGCUCCUCCCCUGCUUCCACCUCUAUGAGACUGUGGCUAUGACAAAAACUUUUUAUGUACUUAUUUAUUUAUUGGGCUUAUUCCACUAUUUUAUGAAAAUUUUACUGAUAUUCCUCAAAAAUCAAAAUGAUAAUACUUCGUCUAAAAAAUAAUUAUAAAACAUACAUGCUAUGUUUUAAAAUUUUCAAACAAAGAAGAACUUUGUAGAGUUAAUUAACUCGAUUUAUUUUAGUUUACUUUCAUGUGAUUUAGAUUAUUUUAUUAUAUUUAGCUACAAAGAUUGUUUUGUCAUAAGUUUAAAUUGAUUAUUUUACCCUUAUAAGGUAAAACUAUUGAGAAUUUACUUUAAUUUCAAUAUUUUUCUAAUUUUAUACCAAACUCAUUGUUUCUAAUACUAUUUUACUAGUAUGAGUUUUAAUCUUUAAUUAAACUAAAAUAGUAUCUUUAGGGCAUGAUACUCAUGUAACUUAUUGGGAUGUCAAUUUUAUGUUAUUUACACAUAAAAGUAGAGAAAAUAACAAUUAGAUUUUAUUUUAAAAUAUUAUAUUAUAAGCCACAAAAUUAGAUACAUAAAUUAUUAGAUACAAUAACUCAUGUUUAUUAUGGUAAUUUAGUCGCUAUAUAUCAUAAUAAUAAAAUACUAAAAUAAAUCUUGUAUUAAACUUUAUGAUUAAAGAUGGUCAAAUAACCGAAGAAGAAAAUCAAUAGAAGGAUUUUACUGAUUAACUAUACAAAAUUUUUAUUAAUUUGUAUUUUUAAAAAAAUAUUGUGAAUUCAUUACAAUUAAUUUCUAGAAGUAGGGUGGAUUUAUAAAAUAGUGGGGUGCAAAUACCCUUACCCAAAUAUUCCAUAAAAAGUGAAAACUAUUACCUUUUUCGAUGUACUUCUCUUGAAUUUUUUAUUCCUACGGAUAAACUUUAAUUCAUCCCCAAAUAAAAUGAUAAUCUCUAAUUUGCUCUCAAUGUAAAUCUCAAUUUAUUCUUCAUUUCCGUCCAAAAGAUGAGGGGCAAAUAAGGAAUGUGUUGAUGGGUUUUUUUUUUUUAAUCUUCUUAACAAUAAAUGGGGUAAAUUGAUAUUUUUAUACUUUUAGGUGAUAAAUUAAAGAUUUUCAUUCUGAAUUGGGGGCAAAUUAAAAUCUAUCUUAUUUCUAAAGGCACCACGUGAUUUGGCAAAAUAACUAAAAAGACAUUUUAUUUUUAGAAAAGGUCACACAUGUCUCUUUUGAGAUACACAAAUUCUCUUUUAGAUAAAACAUUAGGAUUUGUGUGAUUAUUUCUUAACCAAAAGGGUUUGUGUUUCAAAAAAAUGAUUAUGUAAUUAUUUUGCCUGACCGAGAGAGUCAUUAUUCAAACACCAAUCACAUUUUUGUUUUAACAAACACCCUUUCAUUUAUUCUUUAAGCUUUUUUUGUUUUUUCCCAAAAAAUGAUGAAUACAUAUUGAAAAUUUUGUUUUCAUUUUUUUAUUGAAAAAAUGAAAAACAACAAAGAUUACUGCUUCCUUGUCCAUACUUUUUCGUCCUAUAUUACCUUAAUUUUAUAUCGUUUUCUCUAUUUUUACUUUUAUAGUCCAAUUCUGAAAAUACACUAUUAGACACAUUUUUAAAUUCAAAAACACAAAACAUAGUGCAUCAUUUUCAUUAUAGGCAUUAACACCUGACGUACACAUUCUCCAAAUGGGAUUAAUGGAAAAAUAUAUAUAUAAAAAGGUGAGUCCUUCGGCCAAUCUUAUAGGUUCUAACGUUUUGAAGGUAAGUUUUAUCUUGUAACAUUCUCACAAAAUUUAAAAUCAACUGGGACGAAAAUUUUGAAAAUACUAUGAUUAGCACAGGCAUUUCAACAAUAGAGGAUGUAAUAAAAGCUCAUUGAGUUGAAACUUGAAAGCAAAAUUAGGAUCAAGGUCAUUUCUUUAAAAGAAUAAGGCAAGAUGCACGACAUGAAAUACCUGUGACCAAGCCUCAAAAGAUUCACCAAGCCCAGUAUUUUGCUUGCCCACGGCAUAAUUACACUUGGCUUCCCAAACAAAUAAUUGCUGGAGCUCGGACAAUGCAAGUAUUCAAUUUAACUUCAUAAAUAUCAGCAGGAGCAUAAUUACACUUGGCUCCCUAACAAAUAAUGCUGGAGCUCGGACAAUACGAGUAUUCAAUUUAACUGUACAUAGAUGUGCGGGGUUUUGGUGGUAAGUAAAAAGACGUGCCACUAUCAGUUGAGGAGUGCAUAAGAGGAUUACAUCUAUCAAAUACUAUCCGCCCCCCUCGGCCAAUUCUUCCACGAAAUUUGUGAGUUCGUGCUAUAGUGCCAUUCCUCGUAGAAGAAUCUGACGGCGGAACAAUACCUGCAGCGUCCAAUUUUUCUGGCACAAGGGGUUUUGUGAACAACAAAACUGGCUCGAGAGGAUCCUGAAACCCCACAGUUACAUUUUCAAAAUGAUGCACUGCUGAUAUUCAGAAAUAAAACAAGGAUAAAACAUUUUCUAAAGUUUACUUAAAUCAUUUUUCUUUCCAACCACAGAUAGGUCAAUAAGUCAAAUACUGGAGCUGACAGAGCGCUGGCAGAAUUAACUACAAACCCACCAGAUUUAUCUUGUUAAUUGAUUGUUUUCAAUUACCACGGUAACCCGGCUCGGGUGUUACCUCUGUUUCUGUCAGUGCUCUGUUGAAUAUUUCCGUUUAAAAAUCAGCAUCAUAUAUGUAAGUAGUAUGGCAGCAGCGAAAUAUCAUGUGUAAUAAUUAGGCUAUUAGGAGCAAAAGCUAUACGUACCAAUUUAUGUAGCCAUGCAUAAUAUAUUCAUUUUUGACUUGCAAAUUCUUCCUUUUCACAACAUUAGGUACAACUUUUCCUUUCCUUUUGAAGGCCCACUCCAGUAGGGGUGGGCAUUUGGUUCGGUUCAAUCUGAACCGAAUCGAACCGAACCGUAUUAUGAUAAUUUAAUUCGAUUUUGGUUCGCAGCAAAAAAAAUUAAAUGGUUCAGAAGCAUACAGAGUAGGGGUGGGCAUUUGGUUCGGUUCAGUCUGAACCGAACCGUAUUAUAAUAAUUUGGUUCGGUUUGGUUCGGAGCAAAAAACUAAAUGGUUCAGAAAUUCUGAACCAUUUGAUUUUUUAUUUGGUUCGGUUCAAAACCGAACCAAAUGGUUCAAGAAAAAAUUAAAAUUAAAAUUAAAAAAUAGUUCAGAAUUUAUCUUCUUUUUUUUAUUUCUGUUUGUUAGUUAAUACAUGAUAUUAUAUAUGUCAUUGCAUACACUUUAUUUUAUUGUUGAACUUUAUUAUUUUAAUUUAUUAUUGUUAAAUUUUAUUACAUUGGUUAUUAUUUAUGAAUUUCUAGAUUACUUUUGGAAUUUAUUAUGUUAAUUUACUAUUGUUAGAUUUUAUUAUGUUGUUUAUUGUUUGCUAAUUUAUAGACUCAAGAUUAUUGUUGUAUUAAUAGCGUAUUAUUAUAUUAUUAUUUUUAUUAAAUAAUGAAUAUAUAAGAUAAAAUCAAAUCAAACCGAACGGUUCUAUAAUUUGGCUCAUAAAUUCAUGAACCAUUUGAUUUCAGUUUGGUUCGGUUCAAGGGCUGAACCGAACCAAACUAAAUAGUUCCCACCCCUAAUAGAGAGUAAAAAGAGUUUCUUAUAAAUAAUUUGAGGAGGAUGGUUCUGCCACGACAGGUAAUACCAUAAACAAAUGAUUUCACCACAUUUCAAGAAAGCAUUUAACUUAUGCCUCAUUUUCAUUCUAGCAAUUUGCUUGCCAUUGGCUGAUUGGAAAAAGUGCAUUUAAGUGAUAGAAUACUGUCAACCUAUAGCACGAAUAGGGGUUAAACAAAGUAAAUCUCUACCUUUACAUGUCAAAUAAAAGACUUUCAUAAUAUCAAAUAUCAAAACUCAUGUCUAGUAAAGGAUUCCCCAAUGCUGGCUCUCAAAAUUGCUUUUGUUUCAUGGAUGAGAUGAUGGUUUUUGUGGAUAUUCUGCUCAACUUGGAUUAUGACUUGGGUCAGAUCCCAACUUGCUGCAAAGCUCACCUGACUAAAUCUUAGUUGAUUUGCUUUUCCAAACUAAAUCCAAGCAAGUAAGUACAAGAGAUAAAAGCAAAAGUUCAAGCAUCUCAUUUGAGCCUGUCACUAACAAAUGGUCAAUGAGCAAUGUCUAGCUAUGACUGAGCAACAGAAUCAAUAAACAGACAGACAAAAAAUAAUAAUCAAGUCAUCUGUCAAAUGCUAGUCCAAGAAAAUCAUAUAUAUAUGUAUGUAUGUAUGUAUGUAUGUAUGUAUGUAUGUAUGUAUAUGUAUAUGUAUAUGUAUAUGUAUAUGUAUGAUCAUUCAUUUCUCAAUCAACCACCAAAUUGAUGUCAACAAAGCCAUGAGGAUUGUCACACAAGUCUUUCAAUUCCCCUCUCUUUAGGCCAGAGACCAGUAAACCAUUUGAAAUAUAGAUGUGCAAACCAGUAAAUAAAUCAUGAAGUUACACACUAGUCUGCUUUCGCACUCAUUCAGAACUAUCAAUGAUACUUACUGCAAGUACGGUGUAUACAUUAUACUAAAGUGAAGGCUGGAUCAAUAAGAAAUUCAAAAUGUUUCAUCACAUUUGGGGCUUGAUGAUGCCAAAAAAAGACCAUACCAAUUAUGAUGAACAGUAAAAUGUGAACAAGAACAAGCAUACAUUUAAGAAAGCAGAGAAGCAUCAUUAAAAUAAAGUAUUCUUCUUACUAUUCUUGGAAAAUGGACCAAAAUAAAAAAGAAACCAUAUAUGGUUAACGUCACAACAAGAGUAUUUGUGCAUUUGUACAUCAUAGGAUAUUGGGAAGACAUCAGUAGAGAAGUGCAAAUUUUUUUUUGGGGAAAGGAACAGAGAAGUGCAAGUCAAAAAGGAGAAAAAAUGAAAAAAGAGAGAUCAAAAGGAAUGCAAUCUAAUUAAUUGUCUAAGGAGACUUCUAUGCUACAUUUAGCCAUUGGUUGAAUAGGCAGCUUGUUUUCUAGUACAACUUUAAAUUUUCCAAGAUUUAGAAUUUUCCUACUGAAGAAAACUAAUUUCUAAAGCAGCUAUUACCAUCUUCAUCCCAACGGUAAGCAGCUCCAUACUAAGGAAAGAAUGAAAUAAGUGUGUUUUACUUAUAGAAGCCCAUUCCUGUCCAGAGUGAUUAGUAAGUUGUUUCACCAUGACCCCCAUUAUGGUGACUGAAAAAAGAAAAAAAAAAAGAAGAAAAUAUUUGCCGAACACAAUAGUAGCACCUAAGAAGUCCUACUUAAGAGGCUUCAUACCCUGCACAAAUCGGAAAGUUUUUUAAAAUUUUCAUGUUUCAAAUGAAGAUUCUCCAUUAAAAAAUUACACACAUACUGUAUGUAAAGCAAUUAAAAAAAAAAAAAAAACAAGGAUAACCCAGAAACAAUCCAACCAUUAAUGAAAGUGAGCAAUGUUAUUGUUUUAUUAUUUUUGAACUCGUGGUGGCUCUGUAUUAUUUGCAAAUUAUUUACAAAAUACUCGUAUAAGGAGAGGGACAUAUUUUAUGCUGGAAUAUUGUCAAUAUAAAUGGUGCUCUAAAAAUGUGUCCGACUGUAAAGAUAUGUCUAAUUAAACAGUGUCAUAUAUAAUAAAAACGUAUCCUUUUAUUUAAAGAUGCUUUCAUUCAUGGUUUCAUGCUUCAAUUUGAAAUGACGAUAGUUUAUUUUGGACCAGUGAUGAUCUAAUUCAAAUUUUAAUUUAAUAACCAUGAAUGAAAUAACCACUUUCUGUUAGUUCUCUUAAAAUUUAUUAAGAAAUCUAUAUUGAAGGCCGUUUUAUCCUUUAGUGUUGUAGAAAAUACACUUUACAUUUUGAAAUUUAAAAUGACCUUCUUUUAAAUAAAAUUUUAAAACAAAUGCCUCUAACUAAGGAAGAAAUUUUAGAAUACAUCAGAAGUACCAUGUUAGCCAUACAACAAGUGAAUCAUGGUACGACACAUGUGCACUUAUUUUAAAAAACUAUUAUUCAAAUGGUGGUUAUAUUGAAUAUAAAUAUGUACAUAUCAUACAUGACACAAACCGCGUCAACCCUUCUAUUGGAUCUGGGGUGAAUCAUGCAAUUUUAUAUCUAAAGCUCAUGACAUAAACUUAAUUCAUGAAUAUAUAACACUAGCCUUGGCCUUUGCUAUAAACAUAUAAUAAUCUAUGUGCCUCAUUCAAAAAUUUAUUAAAAACUUACAUAGUUCAUAUCUCAUUGUACAUACAUUCACUUCGAAAAUAUACAUAUAAACAUAAACGUGGUCAAAAUGUAAGUCGUGCAGUAAUGCGUGUUGUGGUCCAACCUCAAUUGAUCAGAAAUUGAACUACACGAAAUCCUAUGGAAACCUUAGAGAAAUGGGGUAAAUAGGAAAAUAGUAAGUUUCUGACUCAAUGAAUGAAUAUAAUUAUAUAUAAAAAUAAAUUAGUGCUUUAGUGCUCGUCAUAAUUGUAUGACAUAACUUUACACUGAACGCUUUACAAAAGCAAACAUGAACUCAUAUAUACAUACAUGACAAAAUUGCACCAAAUAAUAUACAGGGGAAAUAACUCUCAAUACUCACUGUGAUCAUCAUCGCAUGAGUAAAAAGGGGGAAAAACCUCUCAAUACUCAGUAGAAUUAACAACAUCACAAGGGUCGAGUAAUUUAAUUCUCAAUAUGCAUGCGUAGAGCCUAUGGGAAAAGGUACACAUAUGGUGCCUGUCAAUUACAUCUCAUGACUCAGUCAAUCAUAUAAUGCACGUACAUAUAAUCAUAACAUUAUACAAAAUCGUACUAUUAAACAUAAAUGCUUUGUAAAAUACAUAAUAGUAAUAAUAAUAAUCCACUCACAGAUCCUAUUGAUGAAGCACGCACGUGCUUUGCUUUAAGCUAACAGCUUGCUAUUGCUUUGACAAUUAACCACAUGUGCCUCCUUUUAGCUUGCACGUGUGUCACAAUACAUGCAUUAGAAUUGGUUUUAUUCUCAUGGGUGAAGCAUGAAUGUGCUUUGCUUUAAGCUAACCGCUUGCUAUUGCUUUGACAAUUAGCCACAUGUGACCCGUUUAUAGUUUAGGAAAUAACAAUAUUGAAUCGAAAUAUUCACUACUAGAAAAAUGAGUUUUACUGACACUAAUUUAGCGUCAGUAAUUACUUUUAUUGACACUUGUUAAUUGUGUCAGUGUUGCUCAAGCCAGAACACACUGACACUAAUUUUUGGUGUCAGUAAUUUUUGUGUCAGUAAUUUGUUUCACUAUAGUAUCACUAAAAUAAUGACACGAUGAUGUUGGUAUUUAAUGAUACUAUUUACACGUCAGUGAUUUAUGUGACUAUAGUAUCAAUAAUAAGCUAGCUCGAUAAUAUAAAAAAUUAUUAAUGUCAAUUUAAAUAUUUAGUGUCAGUAUUUAAUAAUGUUAUGCAGGAUUGGUUAAUAAAUUUUUUUUAUUCUAAUUAUAUUUUUCCUGAAUGUUUUACAACCAAAAGAAAGCUCAAAAUAUAUUAAAUAUAUAAAAUGUCACAAUAUAAUUCACAUAAUAAACAUCCCAAAUACAUCACUCAAAUUCACAUGAUUCAACUACACCACUAUCUGGAAAAGAAAAAUAUAAAUACUAAAUUAAGUUUUCAACAACCACAAAGUACGAAUUUAGUUUCCACCAAAAAGAAGCACAAGAACAUCACUCAACAUCCAUCUGCAGCUUCAUUUUUUUCCCACCUACAACAACAUAAAAUCAAUUAGUAUGGAAAUAGAUUAUCGAAAACAAAUUGAUUGUGAGUAGUUAAACAGAGCAAUUGAAGGAUGUUUCAACAACUAAUAAAACAAUAAGAAAUAAGAUUACAAUAAUACUGAAAGUUAUAGAAAUAAAGAACCUUAGCUUAAGUUGUCUGAAGAAACCAUGUUGGAUAACCUGCUACAAGUCACAGAAAACAAAACAUCUAAGUCAAUCUAAUUAAAAACUUCCUAUUUUUUAUAAUCAAACAACAGAAAUCUGCAAUCAAAACAUCCAUUUGCCCACUCAAACUUUCAGCCUUAGCAUAAACUUCUUUCACUUUAAUCUCAUAAAACUUGUCAAAUUUAUGAAACUCUCAUCAAGCCUUCUAAAAAACUACCGCUCUCAUUCCCCUCCUUCCUCAACAAUCCUCAAAAGUAUUUUCAUUGCAAAAUAGCCCAAAAAAAUUAUAGGAGUUGUUUUGACUUUAGAAUAGCAACAAAACAGCCCCGGGAAAUCUGUAGGGGCUGUUGUGCAGUGAAAACAGUCACUAGAAAUUUACAGGGGCUGUCUUGUUGCUGUUCUAUAGUAGAAACAGCCCCUGCAAAUUAACACUUUCAAAUGAAUUAGAAAAGAAAAUAAUGUUACCUAUGAUAGUCAUCAUUGUUGAAGUCAUAGCAGAUAGCCUGCAAAUUAACAAUAAUAACAGCAUUUACAUCAGUUUAUGAAACUGCUUUUAUUGGUUUUUUUUUUGCAAGGAUAUGUAUAUAAAUAAUAGUGCAUUUAAACUUACAUAUAUAAUGCAUCUUAGACCAGCCAUUAAUGUGGUAUAGUUUUUGUAAAGUACCCUAUUUACCUCAGAAACUUCACUUUCCUCUAUGCCAAGAUUUUGAAUUAUCUAUUAUACACAAAGUAAAUUUGUAGAAACUAGUUAUACAUUUGUUAAACAAAUAAACAACUUAAAUGACAAAAGUUUACUAACUGAAUAGAAAUGCACCAAGGUCAUUAUAAAUUGGCACUACUUACUGAAAUGAUCAACAACAUUGACACUAACACCUCAUACAUAAAUUCAGAUUUUAAGCGUAUAAAGAGAGUUCAAAUGAAUGAUUGCUUAUACAUUUUAUAACAGAUUUUACAACAAUAAAGUAGAUAAAUGGCAACUCUACUAGAGGUAUGUUUCUAGUAUAAGGAAUCAAGCAUAAGUAAAGGAGCAAGGUAGUAUCUUAUCAUCCGCAUAAUCAACACACCAUGACAGAAAUCGAAUCAAAUAAAUACUACGAGUGCCGAAUGGAAGAAAGAAAUUAAAACAUUUUCUGUAAAAUAUUAUUAUUAAUCAAUAACAUGUCUUAAUAUAAAGCGAAAAGUUUCCGAUGAUAAUAUAAAUAUCCAAAACUAUAUAGUCAAAUACUCAAAAGCUGAAACCAAAAUAUCAGAAAAAAAUUUAUAAAAGCAAUAACAUAAACCUAAGCAGUAAACACAACAGACCCACCAGCUUUUUUAAUUUUCUUCUUGGCUGUUUUGGAAACGCUUCACCACAACGAGUUGGUUCUCAAGCAAAAGGCCCUUACCCAAAACCUUAAAGUAGCCAAACUGAGUCACAUCGAUCGUGGGAACAAUGUCUUUGGAAGCCUUGGCUUUGACCUCCUGAGGUACCAUUGGCCAAAGCCUUUUUUUUUUUUUUGAUCCAUGACAAUGAAAACUGAUCUUUUAUAUAUUCAAGCAAAUGAAGUGAAACCCCUGCUCAAAGAUACCAUAAAAACUAGAUGACAAUUUUGAACACUAGUGUCUAAAGCCCAGAGGCCUAUGUAUUUGAUAAAACAACUGACAGAACACUAAACACAUAAUGUUGAAAUUCAAAAGUUAAAAGGGUCAAACAGAGAAUUGAAACAUAAUAUGAUUCGCCCUUAAGAUAAAUUCUUGGCCCUCAAAUCACAUGCAGAAGCAAGCUACAUUGAAGAGAGAUUCGGAAGAAGCACUGAAAAUGCCAAAAGAUCGAAGUUGCCCUUCUUGAGAAAACCGACCUUAUGAUUACUAAGGCGAUUCAGGCAAGACAACUACUACACGAACCCUAAAAAUGGAGUUGCUUACCUUCUUCAGGGGAUGCGGGGCAAAUUAAAUUAUUACAGUAUUACUCACAACUCAAUUAAUUUGAGUAUUUGACUAAUCUAAUUUAGACAAAAAAUUAAUGAAAAAAUUAAAAAGUGGAAUCUCAACUCACUGUCUCAGGCGGCCGGCGCGAUGGCGACGGCUGAACGCGGCUGCAAAAGCAAUAAUUUAGACUGGAGGGUGAGAUGGUGACCAGAGACGGAGAAAGUGAGAGCGACUAAACGAGCGUGAAAGAGAGGGGUUGUUGCUGCUGUGUGUGCCUUCAGAGAGAGAGUGAAAGCGAGCGAGCUACUGCAGUGUGUGGUGCGACCUGCUGGGCUGCCGCCGCCGCCGCCGCCGCCGCGUGGGCUGCAUGUGCCGUUGUCAUCGUGUGUGCUACUAAGGCCUUAGAGAGGGGCUGCCGCUAGUUAGCGCUUAGGGAGAGUUAGGGAUUUAGGCACUUGGAAUUUUAGGGAUUUGGAUUUUAGUUUGUUUGAGAGGGAACAAAUUUUGGUGGAGGGAGAUCAAAAAUUUUGUGUUAAAUUAUAGCAAAGGGUUUGUAGUUAAUUAUAUACGGUUUAACCAAACAAAGAAAAUAUGCACACAAGUGGUUUGUAGUUUGAAAUUAAAAUUUUAACUUCGGAGAUAUUGAGUUCGAGUCCAAGUAAAAACAUAAUUAGAAUUAUAUUUGUUUUUAUCACUGAUACUAAAGUAUAAGUAAUUACUGAGUUUUAUGCUACUGACACCUUAGUACCAGUGAUUUAUGAUACAUAUUUGUUAAAUGGAAAAAAUGAUCCAAAUGUAUAACAUUACUGACACUUUUUACGAAGUGUCAGAAACGAAGUGUCAGUAAAAGUCAUUUUUGUAGUAGUGAUUCUUAGAAGAUAGUAUUUAUUUUCCAUUCAAACAUUUUCUCAUUUCGGCAAAGGUCACAAAAAAAAAUGCUUUUUUUAAUUUAAAUGUAAAUAUUUAAAAAUCAUAUAUAAGUUAUAAAAAAUAAAUAAUUAAUAUUUUUUUUAAAGUUAGACUUUAUAUGCUUAACAGUCAACCCUAAGGAACAUGAAUAAGAGCUACUAAAAAAAAAGAAUAAUUUUGAGCCUAAAUACAAUUAAUUGAGAGAUGAGGACGGAUAAGACAAAUUCAGAGAUAAAAAUUAAAAUAUCACCCUACUUAUUGCUGGCAGUUAUGAGCAUUAAAGCACAGAAGCACGUGUGUUGAAAAGUAUGGUGUUCGUGUGGAAUUUUCAGUUAACAGUCUACAAAGCAGUGGAAUUAAUCAAUCAUCGUGGAGUGCACGGUGGUUGGACAAUGAGAUGAAAUUGAAAAAUUAUCACGGAACGUGAAGGAAGGUUCAUGGCAUCGAUUUAUUGUACAGAGUCGCGCACAUUUGGUUCAAUAAUUGUUUUCAUCCGAAUCAAAAUCUCUUUCUAAUCAAUUCAACUGAUUUUGUUGAUUAUGGCUUCUUCUUAUCGAAACAACAAGAAGUAUGAUGUUUUUGUUAGUUUCAGAGGAGAGGACACCCGUGACAACUUUACCAGCCAUCUCUAUUCUGCUCUGUGUCGACAAAAUAUCCAAACUUUCAUUGAUGACCAACUUAACAGAGGAGAUGAAAUUUCGGAGUCACUUGUGAAUGCAAUUGAAGCAUCAGCCAUUUCAGUUAUCGUCUUCUCAGAAGGGUAUGCAUCUUCCAGAUGGUGUCUCGAUGAACUUGUCAAGAUCCUCGAGUGCAAGAAAGAGUAUGCACAGAUCGUGAUUCCGGUUUUCUAUCGGGUUGAUCCAUCAGACGUGAGAAACCAAACUGGGAGUUUUGGGGAUUCAUUUUCGAAGCUUCAAGAAAGAUUUAAGGAGAAUUCAAAGAAGCUGCUGACUUGGAGGAAUGCUUUGAAGGAGGCAGCCACUUUGUCUGGCUUUCAUUCUCGUAACAUCAGGUGAAAAGUUACUUUUAAUUUCGCAUACUAAUAUUCAACACUGUAAAUAAAAUUCACGCAGCACCCUUAGUUAAAUUUUCCAGAUGAUAAACUACACUUUUAAAUUUUUUCAUGCAUCAAAUUCUAGACUUCUUGAACUUCCCCACUUUUGAACUCCUAUAAAAGAAUUUUUGCAGAAUUAAUAAUAAAAGCUCCAGAGGUUUACAAUAUAUUUUAACAAAAUUAAUGGUGUUCUGUCGUUUUUUAAUCAAUUUCAAUCUCUUACUCAUAUACCACUAGGAAAAAAAAAAUCUCUUCCACAUAUAACAUAUUCCUGUAAUUAAAGAGUUAUUAAUUUAUAGGGAAAUUGGAAAUUUCCUUACUCAAAUCAAUAUAUACCACUUAUUUUGACUAUUUUUACAAUAUUUAAUAACUCUCCUGGUACCAUCACUUUACAAUAUUAUCCUUAUGAAAAAAAAUAAGUGGUAUAUAUUAAUUUCAAUAGGAAAACUAGCAAUCUCCUUUAUUUCACAUUUUAUGCAAAUCCCUUCUAUUUGAAGUUACUGCUGCUAAUUUUAUGUAUUUGGUAGGCCUGAAUCGGAACUUAUAAACGAAGUUGUUCAUCACAUUUUGAAGAGACUGCUGGAUCAAGUUUUUCGGCGGAAUGAUAACAAAAACCAGCUGGUUGGAGUAGAAUCAAGAGUUGAGGAAAUUGAGUCUCUACUAGGUGCUCAGUCGAAAGAUGUUUACGCUUUAGGGAUUUGGGGCAUUGGUGGUAUAGGCAAAACAACAAUCGCUAGAGCUAUUUUUUACAAAAUCUCUAGCGGUUUUGAAGGUUCUUGCUUCCUUGAAAAUGUUAGAGAAGAGUCACAAAAACCGGGAGGAUUAGCUUGCUUGCGACAAAAACUUCUUUCAAAUUUAUUGAAAGAUAAAAAUGUGAGUCUUGAUAUUGGUCUUAAUUUUAGAAGGCUCAGCCGCAUGAAGGUUCUGAUUGUUUUUGAUGAUGUGACUUGCUUCAGCCAAUUAGAAUCUAUAAUUGGAAGUCUUGAUUGUUUGACGCCUGUGAGUCGAAUCAUAAUAACCACCAGAAAUAAACAAGUGCUUAGAAAUUGGGGGGUGAGGAAAAUAUAUGAGAUGGAGGCAUUAGAAUAUCAUCACGCUCUUGAGCUUUUCAGUCGACAUGCCUUCAAACAAAACCAUCCUGACGUUGGUUACGAGAAAUUUUCAAGCAAGGUAAUGAAAUAUGCUCAAGGUGUUCCUUUAGCUAUUAAAGUUUUGGGUUGCUUUCUAUAUGAAAGAGAAAAGGAAGUCUGGGAAAGUGCAAUAAAUAAAUUGCAAAGAAUCCUCCAUCCAAGUAUCCUAGAGGUAUUAAAAAUAAGUUACGAUAGUUUGGAUGAUAAGGAGAAAAAUAUUUUCCUUGAUGUUGCUUGUUUCUUUCAAGGCGAGGAUGUAAAUCUAGUAAUGAAAUUCCAUAAUGCAAGCGGUUUCUACUCAGAAAUAGGAAUAAGUGUUCUUGUUGAUAAAUCUCUCAUUGCUAUUGAUUCAUACAACAAGAUAAGAAUGCAUGAUUUACUACAAGAGUUGGGUAGGGAAAUUGUUCGACAAGAAUCAAUUAAUCCUGGAAACCGCAGUAGGUUGUGGCAUCAUGAGGAUAUCUAUGAAGUUCUUACAUAUAACACGGUAAGCAGUUUGUUGUGCAUAAUUAUUUUGAAAUAUUCUAGCAUUUACAAACUUGAUAAGAAUAUAUUUAUAUCUGCUCGAACUGAUGAGUCUUAGAAUUAAUAGAAGAGCAACAAUGAUUGGAAAAAACCAUAGCGGUUAGAUGACGUAGCAAUAAAUUAUAAAUGCCAUGACAGCUUGCAUAAUCGUUUGCAAGCAUAAUUGAUAUGCCAAUUUGUAUAGUACACAGACGGAAUUUUUAUAUUAAGUAUUACUUGUGUUAUUAUGUUUCUUCGUGCAUUUGAAUUAAAGUUUAACUGCCUAGCAAUAACUAUAAGCUACCUCUAAUUGUGAAUUAGUGAGAAAAUUGCCCCAAAAAUUUGACUUGGUGGGGUUGAAGUGCAAUUCAUUGGUGGAAUACACAUAUCUUUCAUUUGAUUUUAACUUCAUUGCUUUUUUAUUUAUUUUUAGGGGACAGAAAAAAUUGAGGGCGUCUCUUUGGAUAUGUCAAAAGUAAAAGAGUUCCUUCUAAAUCCCAAUACUUUCACAAAGAUGCCUAAGUUGAGAUUUUUAAAGUUCUAUAGUUCAUCAUUCAAUGGAGAGAACAAAUGUAAGAUGUCCUAUUUGCAAGACCCUGGAUUUGCUGAAGUGAAAUAUCUUCACUGGCAUGGAUAUCCGUUGAAGUCAUUACCCUCAAACCUUAGUGCAGAGAAGCUUGUGUUACUUGAAGUGCCUGAUAAUGACAUUGAACAACUUUGGGAUUGUGUGAAGGUAUGCAUAUCUUAUCAUAUAUGUGCAAUCUUUCAAUAACAACCUUAAAUUAUUAUACGUGGUAACGAUUUUGUCUUGGCCUCUUUUUUGACCGAGCAGCAUUAUAGUAAGUUAAAUCAGAUAAUCCAUGCUGCCUGCCAUAAGCUAAUUGCCAAAAUUCCAAAUCCCACGUUGAUGGCCCGUUUGAACAAGCUAGUUAUCUUGAAUCUAAGAGGUAGCAAAAGCCUGAAAAGUCUUCCAUCUGGAAUAUUUAACUUGGAAUUUCUUACCAAGCUUGAUCUAUCGGGCUGCUCAAAACUGAAAAGGCUUCCAGAGAUCUCAUCGGGUAAUAUAAGCUGGUUAUUUUUAAGUGGAACUGCAAUUGAAAAACUACCCUCAUCAUUUGAGCUUCUACUUAGGCUUUCGUGGCUGGACCUUUCAGAUUGUAAAAGGCUUAAGAGUCUCCCAAGCAGCCUCUAUAGAUUGAAAUCUCUUGGAGUUCUUAGUCUCCUUGGUUGCUCAAAUCUUCAGAGAUUGCCCGAAUGUCUUGGCCAAUUAUCCUCGCCAAUAAUAUUUAAUCUAGCGAAAACCAAUAUUGAGAGAAUACCAGAAAGCAUUAUCCAACUUUUCGUGUCGGGAUACCUCCUCUUAGGUUAUGGUGAGAGGUUCCAAUCCGUACAAAAGCCUCCAUUCCUUGAACGAGGUUGCUUGGCAGUGCAACCACUUUUAGGUUUGUUCUCUAAGUUAUGAAUCUUAUAGGCAAUUUUUUUUUACCGGAGCAAUAAAUUUAAAUUGGAAGGUAAUUCUACUGCAGGAAUUGUUGAAGAUACCCUGAGAAUUCAGCAUACGAACCAUAUGCCAGCUGUACGUUGGCAAGAAAUAUGGCAAGAAGAUUGGCUAAAUGUGUGUCUUUAACUCUCUCUACUUACAAUGUCUACAAUCUUUUUUUUUUUGGGUUUAAAAUUAUGUUUUUUUGGUACAGAGAGGUUUUUCCAUGGGCAAAGGUCAUAUAGUACUACCGGGGAAUGAAAUUCCAAAGUGGUUUGAGUUUCAAAGUGUGGGAUCUUUUAUAACCUUGGAGAUGCCGGCAGAUUUCUUCAAUAAUAGCCGAGUGCAGGGCAUUGCAUUUACUGCUAUUUUAGCAGUUUCAGACCGUCAUGUAGAUUGUGGCAGAUGGUUUUCAUUUUCUUGUGAGCUCAAAGUGAAAACCACCAAAGAUUGUGGUACGCAUGACACACGAUUAUCUCAGAGAAGAGUUAAUUAUGUAGAAUCAGAUCACUUACAUUUGGGGCACUAUCUGUUCUGUGAAGAGGAUUUUAAUGGUUUUUGGAAAUGCAAUUGCAUUCUUGAGGCAGUCCAUUUAAUGUUUUUCCACCUUUGGAGUGCCAGUGCUGCGGGGUGAAAAAAUGUGGGAUCCAUUUACUUCACACCCCAGAUUCUACGAAUUCAAUGUAAGAUCCAAGCAAAUGUUUCAACUGUAAUGAAGAAGACUGAGAUAGGUGUCAUUUUCACUCAACUCACCUGAGUUGUGAAUCCAUUUGCUUAAACAUGUAUGCACUUUUUCAAGUAUCUCUACCAAUUCCAUAUUUGGAAUGGUGCAUUUGAUUCCAUAGUUGAUGUGGUAUCGUCUAUGGUUAGAAUUUAUAUUUACAAAAAUGACUUGUAAGGGAAGGAUUGAAGAUGCCCGUGAACUUAUAUUUCGAUUUAGAUUAUUGUAUCUUUUUCAUGUAUAAAAUUGGAUCCUAUCAUUCACAUAUCAUUGACAUGAGCAAUAUGGAUUACUAAAUCAUUAUUCUUUAUUAUUGUGCUGAAUUUGAUUUUUUAUUGAAUAAUUUGAUAUAUUUCUUGAAUCAAUUUGGAGCUUCUACAACUUGUCAGAGAUCAGUUUCUCCAACAUUCCUUUCCGCGCCAAAAGAUAACCAAGCGGUUGAAUAAGAAUUGAUAUAUACAACAUAAAUACAAGAGUUGUUUUGUCUUUUUACAAUAGGAAUAAUAUAUAAUGCUCGUUAACACUUGCUGAUGAGAAAGUAAAUUCCUCAGAAAUUAAAUGUUUCAGCCAACCAAGGAAGCAGCUUUUCAUGGACCAACUCAGGCCUNNNNNNNNNNNNNNNNNNNNNNNNNNNNNNNNNNNNNNNNNNNNNNNNNNNNNNNNNNNNNNNNNNNNNNNNNNNNNNNNNNNNNNNNNNNNNNNNNNNNNNNNNNNNNNNNNNNNNNNNNNNNNNNNNNNNNNNNNNNNNNNNNNNNNNNNNNNNNNNNNNNNNNNNNNNNNNNNNNNNNNNNNGUGGGCGUGGGUACUAAUCGAAACAAAUGCGUCAAGUGCCCCUUCCUCAUUGGCGGGCUCUCGUAUGAUCUGCAGUUUUGAGGUCGAUUCAUGAAUUAUGAGACGCCAUUUUUGUAACAGGUUAAAAUGGCAUAUAAGUGGAGAAUAUUAAUACCUCAACCAGUGUUUCAUCCACAGAUUCCUUAUUUGCAUAAAUGGACAGUAAAAUAUUCCUCAGUGUUUCCCUGAAGCACCAAUGUAUACACAUCAUAGAUUUUUUUAAUUUUGACUCUAGUGUUUUAGGAUAAUGAACAAUGGACUGAAUUAAGAGAAGAGAAAAUACCUUUGUUUCACACGCUCAAAUAUAGCGGAAGCAAUUGGCCUUUGCUUCAACAAAAAAUCAAUGAACCAAAGCAAUGGUAACAAUAGCUUGAUUCUCCAAUCAUCAACAAUUGCCUUGUUGUUCAUGCCACCAGCACAAUUCAACAGAACAAGCCCUCGAACAAGGGUUUGACUAGAUUCUUAUGGUAGAAAAUAUAGCAGGUUUAUCGUAAACCAUAGAUACCAAAAAGGAUAAUUAGGGACAAGUGUUUCUUUGCAAGCAAGUUGAAGAAUAUCUGAUGUCCAAGGGGAAGUUAAAAUAAAUAUACCUGAGGCAGCGAUAACACAAGCUAGGCUUCCAACAGAAUUACCUAUAAGCACAGUUGGCUUCUCAACAACUUCAUCCAAGAAAUCCAAUAUUAGCUGUAUCAGUGAAUCCCACUCAAGUUAGCAAGGAAAAUAACUAAAGGUCAAGUGAUUGACGACAUAAGUACAGAGAAAGAUCCAACUUCUGGCUAGGGAACAUUGCACACCUGAGCCCAUGCCUCCAUGGUAUAUGAAUAACCAGCUGGCUUAUCUGAAGCACCAAAUCCAAGAAGGUCAAUUGCAUAAACCGUGUAGCUCUUCGCCAGGGUGCCGAUAUUCCUGAAAUUACCUCAGAGAUGACAAGAAAAAUAUCAAUUCCUCACAUUAUUUAAUAGGAUAAAGGAGUAGUGAACACACAAAUUUUCAUUCCCCUCUUCUACGGAGCGGUAAAAUGAAUACUUUUUCACUAGAUUAAGAAUUGGAAAAUGGAAGAAGCCUAUACCCAUAAAAGGGUAAUAUGAAAUGGAACCCUGAAAUUCAGAUCACUGGUUUGUCAUCAUCUAGGUGCAAGGAAUAGAACUAAGUGUUAAUGCCAAUGCACCAUGAAAUAAUGAAUAGACUUUACUUUCAUUAUUCUUUUGCUUCAUUGAUCUUAAUUAAUUAUUAGAAGUAUAACACAUAUAAAUCCAUCCCUGGAGUUCAUAAUACAUAACAGAGUCAGAGAUAUUACAUACAUAAGGUAAAGACAUGCUCCAUACAAAAAAAAAAUAUUACAGUCGAAAAUACCCAGAACAUAAUUUGAAUUGAAUUCACAAUAAAGGAGCUACAUUUUUAUGCACCCAAUAAUCAACCCGCUACACAAUUCACAACAAGAAAGAGCAAUCUUAUCUCGCUAACCUGCGCCAGUGAGGAAUGGAGGCACCAAAGCCAUGGACAAGGAGUAGAGGAGGAGAAUCGGGAUGUGAAUUUGGAGUUGAAGAAACCAAGUAAUUGAUGGAGUACUGACCCUUCCAUUUCCACAUUUUGCAACUCUCCCUUAUCUCAUUAACCUCCAGUUCCAGUGCAGCAGAAGCAGAAUCCCCUCCACUGCUACUGUUAGUAUAACUGAUGGUAACAUUUUGUCUCUUCUUCUCCUUAUUCCUCUGCUGCAACUCCAACUGCAACUGAAACUGCCAAAUCUUAUUGCUCAAUAGGGGCAAGCGCAGGCCUUUUACAUCUCCAUUUCCAUUUCCAAUCCUGAGUGUUGUUAUUGGAAUAAUGAAAGAGGGAGCCCGAGCCCUUACCAUCCACACGCUCAUUCUUUUCUUGCUUUUUCAAUUGAAUAUUUUCUGUGGCCUGGCUUGGCCUGCUCCUCCCCUGCUUCCACCUCUAUGAGACUGUGGCUAUGACAAAAACUUUUUAUGUCCUUAUUUAUUUAUUGGGCUUAUUCCACUAUUUUAUGAAAAUUUUACUGAUAUUCCUCAAAAAUCAAAAUGAUAAUACUUCGUCUAAAAAAUAAUUAUAAAACAUACAUGCUAUGUUUUAAAAUUUUCAAACAAAGAAGAACUUUGUAGAGUUAAUUAACUAGAUUUAUUUUAGUUUACUUUCUUGUGAUUUAAAUUAUUUUAUUAUAUUUAGCUACAAAGAUUAUUUUGUCAUGAGUUUAAAUUGAUUAUUUUGCCCUUAUAAGGUAAAACUAUUAAGAAUUUACUUUAAUUUCAAUAUUUUUCUAAUUUUAUUCCAAACUCAUUGUUUCUAAUACUACUUUACUAGUAUGAGUUUUAAUCUUUAAUUAAACUAAAAUAGUAUCUUUAGGGCACGAUACUCAUGUAAAUUAUUGGGAUGUCAAUUUUAUGUUAUUUACACACUAAAGUAGAGAAAAUCACAAUUAGAUUUUAUUUUAAAAUAUUAUACUAUAAGCCACAAAAUUAGAUACAUAAAUUAUUAGAUACAAUAACUCGUGUUUAUUAUGGUAAUUUAGUCGCUAUAUAUCAUAAUAAUAAAAUACUAAAAUAAAACUUGUAUUAAAGUUUAUGAUUAAAUAUGGUCAAAGAACCCAAGAAGAAAAUCAAUAGAAGGAUCUAAUUUAUUAACUAUACGAAAUUUUUAUUAAUUUGUAUUUUUUAAAAAAUAUUGUGAAUUCAUUGCAAUUAAUAUCUAGAAAUAGGGUUGAUUUAUAAAAAUAGUGGGGUGUAAAAAACCUUAUCCAAAUACUCCAUAAAAAGUGAAAAUUAUCACCUUUUUCGAUGUACUCCUCUUGAAUUUUUUAUUCCUAAGGAUAAACUUCAAUUCAUUCCCAAAUAAAAUGAUAAUCUCUAAUUUGCUUUCAAUGAAACCUCAAUUUAUUCUUUAUUUUCAUACAAAAGAUGAGGGGCAAAUAAGGAAUGUAUUGAUGGAUUUUCUUUUUUUUAAUCUUCUUAACAAUAAAUGGGGUAAAUUGAUAUUUUUAUACUUUUAGGUGAUAAAUUAAAGAUUUUCAUUCUAAAUUGGGGGCAAAUUAAAAUCUAUCUUAUUUCUAAAGGCACCAUGUGACUAUUUUGCCUAACCGAGAGAGCCAUUAUUCAAACACCAAUCUCUUUUUUUUUUUUAACAAACACACUUUCAUUUAUUCUUUAAGCUUUUUUUUUCCCAAAAAAUGAUGAAUAGAUAUUGAAAAUUUUGUUUUCAUUUUUUUAUUGAAAAAAUGAAAAACAACAAAGAUUACUGCUUCCUUGUCCAUACUUUUUCGUCCUAUAUUACCUUAAUUUUAAUCGUUUUCUCUAUUAGACACUAUUAGACACAUUUUUAAAUUCAAAAACACAAAGCAUAGUGCAUCAUUUUCAUUAUAGGCAUUAACACCUGACGUACACAUUCUCCAAAUGGGAUUAAUGGAAAAAAAUAAAUAAAAAAAGGUGACUCCUUCGGCCAAUCUUAUAGGUUCUAACGUUUUGAAGGUAAGUUUUAUCUUGUAACAUUCCCACAAAAUUUAAAAUCAACUGGGACGAAAAUUUUGAAAAUACUAUGAUUAGCACAAGCAUUUCAACAAUACAGGAUGUAAUAAAAGCUCAUUGAGUUGAAACUUGAAAGCAAAAUUAGGGCAAGGUCAUUUCUUUAAAAGAAUAAGGCAAGAUGCACCACAUGAAAUACCUGUGACCAAGCCUCAAAAGAUUCACCAAGCCCAGUAUUUUGCUUGCCCACGGCAUAAUUACACUUGGCUUCCCAAACAAAUAAUUGCUGGAGCUCGGACAAUGCAAGGAUUCAAUUUAACUUCAUAAAUAUCAGCCGGAGCAUAAUUACACUUGGCUCCCUAACAAAUAAUGCUGGAGCUCGGACAAUACGAGUAUUCAAUUUAACCGUACAUAGAUGUGCGGGGUUUUGGUGGUAAGUAAAAAGACGUGCCACUAUCAGUUGAGGAGUGCAUAAGAGGAUUACAUCUAUCAAAUACUAUCCGCCCCCCUCGGCCAAUUCUUCCAUGAAAUUUGUGAGUUCGUGCUAUAGUGCCAUUCCUCGUAGAAGAAUCUGACGGCGGAACAAUACCUGCAGCGUCCAAUUUUUCUGGCACAAGGGGUUUUGUGAACAACAAAACUGGCUCGAGAGGAUCCUGAAACCCCACAGUUACAUUUUCAAAAUGAUGCACUGCUGAUAUUCAGAAAUAAAACAAGGAUAAAACAUUUUCUAAAGUUUACUUAAAUCAUUUUUCUUUCCAACCACAGAUAGGUCAAUAAGUCAAAUACUGGAGCUGACAGAGCGCUGGCAGAAUUAACUACAAACCCACCAGAUUUAUCGUGUUAAUCGAUUGUUUUCAAUUAACACGGUAACCCGGCUCGGGUGUUACCUCUGUUUCUGUCAGUGCUCUGUUGAAUAUUUCUGUUUCAAAAUCAGCAUUCAUAUAUGUAAGUAGUAUGGCAACAGCAAAAUAUCAUGUGUAAUAAUUAGGCUACUAGUUCUGGGUCCAGGAAUAGAGAUAAUCAGAUUAGGAGCAAAAGCUGUAUGUACCAAUUUAUGUAGCCAUGCAUGUGGCACAUGUCGCCGCCUGAACUCUUGCUUCAUGCUUGCUGUAGGAACUGGAACUAGGUUGGAUUCUGUGAAAGGCUGAUUCUCAAUUGCAGUAGAUUGCGAAUGUGGAUGGCUAGGCGCAAGAUCAUCUGAGUCCAUAAAUUCAUCCUCACUUAAACCGAACUUGCAAGAGACAGAUGGAAAUCCAGGAAGUGCCACAUCUUCAAGGAGCUCAAUUUCAUGCUGAUAAUUCAAAGGAGUCGGGCACAAUGUGAGCAGAAAUCAAUAGAUUGUACAUGCACCAUGGUCCAAAUGCAGAGACCAUUUGAAGUUCGGGCCAUGUAGGAAUUAAAUUUUAAUAUGCAAAAAUAAAUAAAUGAAAUUAAAAAAAAAAACAAAAGUUCUUGCAUAAUAUUCUUGGAAACUUCAUUGAGAUAUCAUUUUGCCCUUAGAAUAAGAAGGCCAUGGGCAAUCUGCCCCCAGCACAUUCACCAUAAAGAUCCAGUCUUUUUCAUCGUGACUAAUUGUUAAAAUCUCUUCCAUCCGUUAUUGUUAGCACAAGACAGUUAUUGCACAAGUUCCUAAAACUUCCUAAGAUAGAAGGCUAUUGACAACAUUUCCAACAGCGAUGCAAGAUGAUGCAAUGUAACAUCAUAGCAUACCUUGAAUUUCAUUUGGAUCCUUUGUAGGUUAACUUCCCCCUCCAUGACCUCUCUCUUUUUUUCUUCUCUCUGCAGACAUGACAUUCUAAGGUAAUCAGAACUCCACAUUCUGAAAUCUGAAGCAAUGAAAACGCCAAAUAAUUACAGAAAUUGGUAUUACCGGAAAAAUAAAAGAUCAGUGAACAUUUAUUUUGCUAUUUCAGUUAAAAAGAACACCUUUAUCAAGGCCUCAAGUAUACUCUUUGCUUGGUCAAGGUUGCGUCUGACCUGAGAAGAGUAAAUCCAAAAGAGAAUAUUUCAAUUUUUAAUGAGAAUUAUGAAAAGAUAGUGUACAUAAAAUUUGAACCCCCCCCCCCCCCCCAACCCCCCCAAACAAAAAGAAAAAAAGGUGUUACCAGCAUGUAAAGGUAGACCUUUGGAAAAUAAGAACAUAUUUUUGUUUCUUCAGCAUCAUCACAACAAUAAUUCACCACAAAAAUGAAGGACAAUCUUGUUAUCAAAAGCACCGGAAGACCAGGAAAUAAGCAAAGUAAAUUUCAGCUAAGGAAACUGCAGACAAUAUAUAGUCAUUGUCUUCACACUAUUGUUCGGGCCCUUACAUAUUAACUUAGUGGCAAAUUUAUUUGACAUCAGAGCUAGUUUAAACCAUGAGGCCUUGUGUCCGGCUUCUCCCACGAGAUUACAUCAGUAUCUAAUUCUUCUUCCCGUCUGUAUUUGGGUGAUUGCGCAUUAUUGCAAUUGUCUCUAUUUCUAUGUUCUGUCUCUGCUUAGCCUUGAUCCAUAUGACAGGUACUUUUGCUAGUAGUCACACAUUUGAGGGCCUGUUAGAGAUUUUAAUACUAUUGUUUGGGCUCUAACCUACUAGCUUAAGGUUUUAAAUCAAGCUAUAAAUAAAUAUUCAUAAAUAAAAUUGGAGAUUAAGGACUAUUACAGCAAAAAGGACAUAAAUAAAACAACAUUAAUUUUUAACAAGUUAAAGUCUUGAAUAAAAAAGAACUUGGUGGCAAGAUUAUCCAUUAUCUCAAUUUUCUUCCAGUCUUUCAUUAGAAUGCAAUAAGACAAGCGUUUACACAGAAAAAAGUCAUAGGCUCCUCCAAGGGAAUACAAUGUAUCAAGCUUGGGAAAAUGACUUCAUACAAAUGAAUUGAGUAUAUUGUUUUAAGUUACACAAAGUCCAUAGCGAGGAAUCAGGAUUGACAUUAAAAUAAAGAUAUAGUGCUUACCUGGCGAAGCUUUUCAAAUGAUUGCACGUUAUUCUCCCUCCUUUGCAUCUGAUCAAAAGAUUGGCCAGCGUUAGCAUAUUUGCCAAUUCAGUAGCUUACUUAAGGUCUACAAAAUAUGGGAAAUAUUACUUCCCUGCAUCCCCAUAACCCCCUUCUUUUUUGCGCCCCCCACCCCCUUUUUUCUCCUUUCGAAAAUAAAAGUUUCCAAAAUUACAUACAAACACAGCUAUCUCAGCCACAUACCCUUCGUGUGUGGAGUCUGUGAGCUUUCUCCCUCGGUCUGAAGACAUUAUAUGGGUUGGUAUCAUUAACUGGUGGCGGAGGCUGUACAAGUAGUAUUAAUUAUUAAAAAAAAAAAAAAACUGUCAUUGUCCACUCCAGAAUGCAAAACAAAAACAAAUUAUAUUAGAGAGAUACAUGCACAGAAAACACACACAAACUCAAAGGUACAAAAAGCUGAUUCUACAAUCACCAGCCCGCCCAAAACAAUAUUUGCAAGUACAAUAUUCAAGUUCUUUUAUUUUCAAUGGUUUUGAGGUAACAUUGUAAUGGCUGGUUCAGACCUAUAUAGGGGUGGAUAGGCAUGCUUUGUACAGAAUGGUCCUUAUCUGUUUUUGAAAAAUUAUGUAGAUUUUGUAUCCCUCCCUUUGGCAUUUACCACUUUGGAGGACAGCUGACCUACAUUUCUGAUGUACAAUCCUUCAUCUAAAUCAUCUCUAAAACAUUCUGGCUUUUUACAGGGGGGAAAAAUUCUAAAAAAGAUACAACUUUACACACUGAUAAUGAAAUUUACUAUUUUGAUAAAUGAAAACGAUGGAAAAGAAAUUUGAUGACACCGCAUGUGUCAAACUGCCAAGCAGUGAUCAACAUAAGCACUCUCCAUACAUAACUAAUUGAUAACACUAACCUGCAAACGCCGCAAUAUAGGUUUCUGCCAUCGUUCACGCUGGCCUCAAACAUGAAAUAGCACAAGUGAAAAGCACGUACAAGUACUCACAGUACAGAAAAAACUACUUAACUUGGUUUGCACCAAUAUUUAUGAAUUGAUACAUCAAGUUCAAUGAAACAUUUAAAAUUUUAAACCAUACCUUUUCUUUCCAAUAGUGAUAAACAGACUGGAAGACUGCAUAUCCAACAGUGGUCUGAUCUUUUAAGGCCUGACAUCAAAAAGGGGAUAGGGAAUAGCAAUUGUCACAACUUCUUGAAUCCUUAAUAAAUCAAUCAACAAAGCUACAUAGUGAAAAUAAAACAAAAUGCAGAGACAACCAAAUAUUUUAAACAUGACUCUUUUUCUUUUUCUAGCACUAAAAACUAACAGUUCUAGGCUUAAACGAUAAAUUUUAAAAUGUCAUGCAAAGGAAGGCGUAUACCCACUAAAUCGUAUGAAUCACUAAACAGACAGUAAAAUCACCAGAGACAGACAUUAGUAUUGACUCUUAAGCCAUCUGCAUUCGCAGGUGAUUGAAAAAAGACUAAAUUGCAUGAGUCCAUACAAUUUCACAAACAGCAAAUAGUUAGCAAAUGAUCUGGACAAAUUAGUUUCAUAUAACUAACUAUGUCUUUGGUUAAUCCACAGACACAAAACAACCUUUAAAAUGGAAAUACACAAAAAGUAACUGAGUAGGCUGCUGUGUGACACAACAAAAGAAACAGUUGUGGAAUGUCUAUUGUUAAGUGUCAAAUAGCAGAAGCAAGAAAGGCACUAAUUUACUAAAAGUUCCACAGCCAAGGUCCUUAAUCCUUACCUGCUAGUUCUCAGAAUCUGUAGAGGUCACGGUCUGUUUCAUUACAGUGCGCAGAAAGUAUCUUAUAGUUUUUGUUGUUCUUGUUUAGUGCCUAAUACUCCUAUGAGGUUUGAAUAUUAAUAUAUAUAACUUCCUAUUUCUUAACAAAAAGGCAGGUCAAUCUAAUUGAAUCCAUCUCUUUUGACAGAGACAAGUUUCUGAUCACAGGUAACUCAAGUAACUGGAAUUUAGGAACAAACAAUUUCAUAUGAUAUAGCUAGUCAAGGAACAAUGUGAGGUUGAGCCAUAACCAGCACUGAAAUUAGAGAGCAUUCAAACAGUCAAAACAAAGUAUCACCUCAAUAGCAACACCUAGUUGCAGUAGUAUGGGAAUGGGCGAACCAAGAGUGGGUGUUAUAAGUCCUGCUCUUUCCCGAGCUUUAUGAUCCAACACCUCCAACUUAAACAUAAGAGUCUCAAAUCUGUGGUUCAUGCAUGUAAUCGAAUGAAUGAAUUGGAGAUGAAUAAGAUUUACUGUAUCAUCUUUUAACCCAAAUUAAAUUACAUAAGUUGAAAUUGCAUCCACAUAAAAAUCAUUAGAAAAAAAUUAUAUUAGAUAGAUAUGGUGAACUACUUUUCAGGGGGAAGAAGUUUUUGAUCUCUAUUGAAUUCGUCAAGCCAAUCCUCGUCUUCAUUGUCUAAGUCAUACUCAACAAAAUCCCCAAGCUCAGCCCGAGCUGCCAAUGCCAAUAAUUGAAAUUUGACAAGCAAAGUUAAGUUAAACAAACGUUAUAAUUAUCAAAAUAAUCUGGAUAGAAAAUUUUACAUCAACAACAACAGACCUCCUCUCGCACGUAAAUAGGAAGUUGGCUGAUCAAAUGUCUGAGAAUAGUCCCGUUCAUACGUGUCAACAACCACAAACUGAGGUGUGGGUAUUUCAGAAGCUGACUUCUUGCUAGGGACUUGAUGCACCUGAUGUAUAUACAGUAAGUUCACGGUGAAAUCAACAAAAUGAAACAGUUUUAAGUAUUUUGUAAAUGCUGAAACGUACCUCUUGACUGUCAUGGUCAAACGAAGAGGAAUUGAGACGGAGGAGGUGUGAGUUGCGUGUGGUGGUUGCAGAGGGAGUAGUAUUAGCGGCAGUAGAACUAGUAGGAGGAUUCGUGUCAUUGUUGUCGUCUUCAAAGUCCUUAAAUGACUUAACUAUGGGCAGUUUCUUGUGUAUGUCUAGCGGCCGUGGCCGAAUUGAUAGCCUACUCAUUUCCCUUUACUACUUGAUCUCAUUCAAAUACAAUCCUAAAACAUGCAUUAAAACCACAAAAUGAUGAUUACGACAAUGACAACAACAUUAAUAAUAGCCCAUUUAUAAUUGAAAAGAAAAGAAUAGCAGCACAAAUUAAAUUAUACAACAAAAGUUUUGUAUAUUGAGGUUAGGACAAGAUCUCUGAUAUUAAAGUUAUCUGGCGUUUCUGUUUUCUUUUUCUGUUGGUCUAUUGGCGAUGCUGAUUCUUUGAACCAGAACCAUGCUUUACAGGUUUUCAAUGGACCACAAAUGACCUAGAUAAUCUUAUAUAAAAGAAAAAUAUAAAACAAUUCCACCUCUAAACCUAAAUCUACUUUGUAAUCAUAUCAAUUCACAUCAAUAUAAGCUGGAAAAAAGAAUCAGAACAAGCAAUGAGCACAAAGAUCAAAGACUAAAGCUUCUGCCCUAGUAAUAUUAUAAUAUAGAACAAACUAACCGAAGUAUAUCGAAAAGAAGAUCAAAACAGAAGAAAGGAAAAUAAAAAGUAAAAAAACAAUAUUACUUCUGCGAUGAAGAGCCGUUUCAAAUCACACUUACAGAGCAUAAAUUAACAUGCAUUAACAUAGAGAAAUUAGCAGCUGAAAGGGGAAAAAGAAAAAUCAUCUUUAUCGCAAUAUAAAUCUCGGGUCAAGGGCCAUCGACCCGGCAGUGCUUCGUUGGUCCAUUUAUUUUGGAUCCUUGUGCGAUAUUUCACUUCAUUCGCAGAAAACCCGUUUUCGAAAAUGCGAAGAAGAAGCUUUGAAAGAAAGCUUAAGAUACUCACCUUACAGCGUAAUCCAAGGGCUUUGAGCCAGUAUCAGUGAAGCGAAAAAAGACACCAAAUGUUAGCUCUAUUUACUGGAUUGUAGGGUUUCUCCCGCGAGAAUAGCUCAGUGAAUCGCCCAUUCGUUUACCCUGGCAUAUCUUUUUUGAGAAAAAAAAAAAAAUUGUUUACCCUGGUAUUAAAAUGUUUUAACGGUCAGCACUCAGCAGGACGGCUUUAGAGUUUUUGGGUGCUGACCGCUUUAGAGUUUUGGGGACCUUAUUGGGUUUUAUGAGAUGUUUUUUAUUCUUCAACUUUAAUACCUAAAAGAAAACUAAAAUUUGUCAAAGUCUGUUUAAUAUUUAGUUAUUAAAUUUUAACAUAAUUAAGAAAAUCUUUAAAAAAUUUUAAAAACAAAACCUAAAAAACUGUGAAGAAGAUAUUAUUUUACGUCUAUUAUAAUUAUUAUAAAAAUAAAUAAAUAAGAAAAAUAUUAUUUUAAAAUAUAAUAUCUAGAGUUGUAACACAUAAAAAGUUAAAGAAGAUGAAUUGAUGAUCAGAUAAUGGAUAUGUACAUUAUAUUUCAAGAGACUAAUUUUUUUUAAAAUGACCUAAUUAAUGUAAUAAUUUUCUUUGUAUUGAUUUUUGAGAUUACAAGAUUUUUAAUUGAAAAUAAAAAGGAAUACUAAAAGUCUAAGAUUCUAAUGUUAAAUAAUUAAGAUUUCUUAGAAAAUUGAAAAUUUAAAGAAUUUAUAUUUUUUCCUUGGAAAAACUAAUAGUGAAUGAAUAAAAGAUUAGACAGUAUUAUUAAUUAUAUUUAUGUAACACUAAGAUUAACAAAUAUGGAUAGGCUUUUUCACAAUACAUAAUUUAAAAAAAAAAUUCAUUAAUUAGAGAAUUAUUAAGGCCUUUUUAAAAUAUAGAGUCUUAGGCGAUUGUCUUAUUUGCUUAUACUUAAAGCCACCAAACUUGGUUGAUGGACUUGUUUGAUACAUUUGAAAAAAAAAAAGAAAAGAAACUUCUAGUUUAUUUGAUAAAGUAUCAAAUAUCGAUGACAAAAUUAUAUGUUCACGGUGAUCUAAGUAGUAGUUCAAAAUAGCAAAAUCCAAAUCCGGAUUCGGAUGUAAGUGCGUCCAAUCUGGAUCCAAAUUUAUAUUUUAAAAUCCACAUCCGCAUCUAGAUCCACAAAAAAACAUGCAAAUCUAGAUGUGGAUAAUAGUCUUGUAGAUUAUGGAUGGAUUUUCAAGAUAUCUAGAUCUGCAUUAUGUAUUCAAAUAUAAUUUAAAAUUCAACAAAUUUAUCUACGAAAAUCAAAUAAAAUCGAAUCAUAUUUCAACAAUCAAUAAUUCAACUCCUAUAAUAACAUACAAUACCACCAUAAUUCCACAAAUAAAAAUACCGCAAGAUAAAUCAAAUAUAAAAAAUGAUAUAAAUCCAAGCUUAGCACCACCACAAAUAAAUAAAAACAACACAAAUCCACAUAGAUUACAUUUUAAACCAUCGCAAAUAAAAACAUCACCAUAAAUCCACAUAGGUCUGAUUUUCUUCAUUUAACUUAUAAAAUUUUUUAAUUUAAUUUUAAUUUAAUAUUUAAUUAAAAAAUAAUACAAAUCUUGACAUCUGAUUUUUCGAAUGCAAGUGAUCUGAAUCCGCAUGGAUUUUGAAUUUUAACAUGUAGAUCCGCAUUUUUUAUUGUACCGAUCCAAAUUUUUCCAAAUUUGAAUUUUGCAAAUCUUUGCAGAUCUAGACUGAACCCAAAUCCUUUUGCCAUCUGCAAUAGUGAAGGCAUAAAGAUUUGUGGCAAAGACAGCCAAUCGGCACAUCAAUCAGUUUCCUCAUCAACCAUUUCACUGUCUGUCUUAUUGUCCUGUCCUUUAAUGUUGAUGCCGUUUUUGCUCUUAUUCUGUUCUUCAAAUUUUCUUCUUUCACUUCCAUAACUAAAGGGAGAAAAUUUUUAGGAAAAAAAAAACAAGACCGAGAGCCAGACAUGGAGCUCACGGCAGCCGUGCCGUCCGUGGCUAACCUUGGAUCUCGUGCUAGUAUUGUUCACAACCACGUGUGUACCUCAGACUCGCAGCUCUGAGUGGAUCAGUGCAACAUAAUACUAACGUAAUUGGCUGUCAAGAUUUGUAAACACCGAGACAGUUAUGAGGUAUCUCUUCAUACUUCAUGCAGUGACCUUGUAGUAAUCUCAAAAAGUGAUAUAAGAAACCAAAUUCGGCCAGCACAUAAGGACAGCUGAGUGGAUCAGUACAACAUAAUACUUCUAACAGAUGCAAAAUUUAUCACAUUAACAUUAUUAGAUUGAUGUGAAAUAGAAUAAUAUAAAAUAAACAAAGCAGACUAAUUCCACAUUAAUCAAUCCCAGUGAUCUAGAGUUGUCAGUUGUGUGCCAUCUUCACGUCGACCAAUGUAGUAGAACCAAGCCAAGCAAAUUAGGAUGUCAGUGAGAAUAAGACCAACCACAUCAAAAACAAACUUUGGAGCAAAUAAGCCCCAUACCUGCAAGAAAAGGAUGAUGAAUGGUUGUCAAAAAGUCACCAAAAUUAUGAAGUUCGAAAAUCUACGUGACCAUGAAAGAAAUUCAUUACCAUUAGAUGCCGUCUUUGUAUGAUGACACAAAUGAUGGUGGCUAUGACUGAGGCGGCAGUAAUAAGUCCAUACAUCAAAUACAUCUAAACCAUCAUUUGUAAAAAGAAUGGAAAAAAAGAAAAAAAAAACUCAAUAAGCCUUGCUGCCAAUUAGACAAGUCAAGCACAGGAUAAUCCAACAUAGAUGGCCAUAAUACCAAAGAAGAGCAAAAAAUGAUACAUUUAUGACACAACAUUCGGCUGAUAACCUUACUUGAGACAACUGCAAGUGAAGGAGUCUUCUAUCCUGGUCAGUACGACCCAGCAAUUUUUGGCGUGCAACUAGAAAUGGAAGUCCAAAGACUGGAAUGAUGUGAGAAAACCCAAAGGUAUCAAUUGUAAGAAGGAUUGCUUGUCUAACGAGGACGAACUCAUCAUACCUGAAAGUACGUGCCCUCCCAAAAUUAUUAUCUACAGAACCAUGGAAAUGAGCCCCAAAAUGGGAACAGCAAUAAUGAUGGUGAAAUCAUCAGAAAGAUAAAAUUUAACACAUCAUUCACAUUUGCUACUUUUCCAUUGAGAUUUAAUAUUGGGCCAGCUAGUUCACCUAUUUAUGAUGCAAAAGAUGCAAAUAUCCAAGACUCACCCAAUAAACGCAGCACCAUACCGGAGUCCAUCGAAAGCACACCUGAAGAGAAAGUUGUUACAGGUUAUGGAUCAUACAAACACAUAGAUGACUUGAGCUUUCCUGAACCAAUUACGAUAUUAUAAGAUCUCCUUGUACUAGAAUAAUAAAGCUAUUGAGAAAUAGGAUAAACCGGUUAUAUAAGUUUGUUGGAGCUAAGUUCUGAAACCAAACAAAGAGUAGAAGAGAUAAAUCCAUUAGUAUUAAUAGACCUAAAAUAACAAGCAUUUACUAGUGUCCGGUGACGAAGAAGAGACAAUUACAAUAUAAUAAGAUCUCCUUGUACUAGAAUAAUAAAGCUAUUGAGAAAUAGGAUAAACCGGUUAUCUAAGUUGGUUGGAGCUAAGUUCUGAAACCAAACAGAGUAGAAGAGAUAAAUCCAUUAUUAAUAGACUUAAAAUAACAAGCAUUUACCAGUGUCCGGUGACGAAGAAGAGACAAGUGGCUAACAGACUCCAUUGUGUCACAGAAAGAGGGUCAAAAGUUAGGAUUCCAGCCACUUUAUCAGUAGAACCCCGUUCUAUGUUUCCCAAUCUCAUAAUACAAUAACCUGUCGAGGGAAACAUGAUCAAAUCCUUUUGGAAAAAGUGCAAAACAGUGAUGCUCGUGAAAUCUAUAAAGGAAAAUGAACAUUCUUUAACCUGAUUAAGAAAACAUAAAAUCGAAGGCAAGAGCUAAAGGAGCACAGAAGAGUGGAAGACAAUGUCUCGUAAAGAUGUGAUAAAUAUCAAGUUAAAAGCACCAAUACAUAGAGAUAGCAAAAGUCACCUCCAGUUAUGGUUACUAAAGCAACCAAGGGCCCUUGCUUUCCGGAUAGAACAAUGAUUGUAGAACUGCAGGAAGAUAACAUGGCCAGUGUCUUAAUAAGCAAAUGCAUUUUGCUUUCUAGAUCUCUGUCCUUAUGAAAAAGAGGACUAAAUGCCAGCAAUAAAAGUUGUCCAAGUCCAAUAGCAUAUAUUAUCCUUGGGAUACAAUUUCUUCCAAUCCCUUGAAGCAUCAGCAUUGAACUCAAUACAUCACUUUCUGAUGCCCAAUGUACAGCUAUGAGGAUAUAACAUAAUAUAGUACCCAAUACAACAUACUUCCAGAUGCUGCGACAAGAACUCCUAGCCAUUAUAAUAUACAGCAAGUAAGCCAAAAAAAUGAGAGCUAAAAUUGGUAUAAUUUCAGCCAUGUAUGUCCACACAGGAUGGCCUGGGUCAAUUUCAACCAGCCAUGAAGAAUGGGUACUCAUAAAUAGAGAAGUCGCAGCCUGCUUUGACAACCCAACUUCAAUGGUAAAUCGUAGAAUGGUAAUCAACAAAAGAAAGAUGAUAGCCUGCAAAUAUAUAACUCAACAUCACAAUAACUUUCAAUGGAUUAUCUCAUUAAACCCCAAAAUCAAUACAUAUAUCAAGAAAUUAAAACUAAGUUUGUUUGUAACUUAUUAAAAGCAAGUACAAAGCUUACUGAUACCUACUUCCAUUAGCAUUUUCUCUCUCUUGACUGAAUUACGUAAUUUGAACAUGGCAGUUGUGGCUAACAGAAAACUUGCCACUUUCCCUUCUUCCACUGAACUCAAAGUUUAAAAUAAUACAUAUUAAAGGAAAAAGAAUCAGUCGUCAGAAUAGAAGGUGCAAUCAUGGAACCAGAAGUCAGACAACUUACAAAUAUAACUAUUUGACAGGAAGCUGCAUGCACGGAUCACCACCAUAAACAAAGCAAAAACUAACUUCACAAAUAUCUCAGAAUCUCCAAACAAAAGAGAAAAGCCGUUUACACUUUUAGUCAUCAUAGCAAGGAAAUAGAUUGGUAAUGAGAUCAAAAUAAUCGCAAAACCAAUUCCCAUCAUCUUCAAGUCAAACUCAGUCCAUUUUGAUCGUGCCAGCUCAGCAACAUUCAGUAGGAAUUUAAAAUAAGCAUCAAUUUUCCUUUUAAGAGGUAAGGAUGAAUAACAGCUCUCAUCUUUAAAUGACAACAAAUUCUCAGAGCUACAAGACCAAUUCUCCUCUGCUUGAGCAUACAUAUCUGAUAUGUGUAACAAGUCUUCAGAGGAAAAACCAAUGACAGAUGAAGCUGAAUAGACAUCAAUGUAUCUUUUCACCUACAUUAGCAAUGCAUAACUGGUGAGAAAGAAGAAAAGAACCAAAAAAUAAAUCAAAUCAAAAGCUGCUGUCUGCUAAUAAUACAAAACCUCAAGGACGCCUAAAAUCACCUGCCAAGAAUUGAUGCAGAGUACAUUGCAAUAGUUCUGCAUCCAUUCUUCCUCUUUUUGAUUUGGGCAAUUUCCCUCGAUGUUGUUCUCCAGAUUCCAUGUACCAGCACCCAAAGCAUAUAGCUCAGGGCUGACACGCCCAAUACUGAAAAGAAGAUAACCUUAAAAGAAUAUCAUUUCUGAUAUAAAAAAUAAAAAAUAAAAUUAAGAACGAACAUGAAAGCAAAUUAAUGACACAUCGGGAUAGCAACAAGCUAAAUAACUACUAUGUUUAUGUUUUCUCUCUUACCAGAGGAAAAAUCAACACAUAUCUUAAGAAAAUGGAAGUUAAAAUAAAAAAUCUACGUUUUAUUAUUAUAUUUUGAUACCCAGGAAUCCCUCAACAUUUGUAUGUUCACUGAGUUUAAGUUGGGCAUUACUGCUAGAAAUACCUACAUAAAGGGUAGGUGCUAUUGUUCAUAAGCUCACUCAAGAUAACGAAAUUAUAUUGAACUUCAUGAUGAAAAACAGAUCAAGUGCACUCUGUGGGCAUGUUGUUGACAGAAAUCUUAGGGCUACAAGCAACAGUUUUGUACCAACAUCACUAGCCUGGCCAAAACAAAUUAUGGCGGACUUUAAAGGAAAAUUAAGUCAAGAUGUCAGGUCGUUAUAAAUUUUUGUAGUAGUUAAUAAAAAAUAAUGACUACAAUAACAGUAAUGGGAUGCUUACACGGCACCUUCCAAAAGGAAAGGGGACGCCAAGCAAGGCUGACACUGUUGCUGCAAAAUCAAGCUGUAGCAGAUUUUACUCAAUACAUCGUUUUAAGAAGGGAAAAAAAAAAAAACAAUUCCAAUUAGGUGACGAGAGAAACCCAAAUGAGCCACCCCAGGAAAUAUAAAAUAAAAUAAAACAACUAUUCUAACCUGUUGGAAGGAGCUGAUGCAUGUCUUUUUCUGAUCCUGAAAUUGGAUGAUGAAAAAUGAAAUUGAUGUAAACAAUUAGCAUCCUAAAGGGGUCUCUAAGACAAAAAUGAUGCUAGCAAAUAUGUAGUCAUCAGAAAGCAGAGAGAAUACCAAAUCUAUUUCACAAGAUGAAGAAUCGAAUUCAGAUGGCAUGGUGGAUGGAGGUUUUUUAAAACUCAUGGCAAAAACAGAUGUUUCAACCUGCAACAUGCAAGUCAAGUUAGCAUGACUGAGGAAUUAGAUAAUUAACUCAAUUUCCCAUUCUACAAACAAGAUUGACAUUACACCUCUUCGGCACUUCCUCCACCAUGAUCACCAUUAAUAGUUUGCCCAUGGUCACCCAUCACAAGAAGGAAAGUAUUCUCGUGCAAACCACCCGGUCCAGACUGGUUAUCCAGCACUUCAAUUACUUUCUGAACAAAAAUAAAAGUUGGUCCAAAAACAUAAACAGAAAAUGUAACAAGAGAUAUAAACUCAAAAUAAAUUCCUAUGCAACAAGAAAGGAAACAGAAAAGGUGAACGGAUAUGUCAUUUUAUGUGCCUAAAGAAAAUGUUUUCAAUAAAUCCCUUAUCAUGGAGAAACCAACAGAAAAUUAUUCAUUAAUAAUGAAAAAGACCAACCACUUCUUUAGGCAACAGGUGUUGCACCUCAAGAACCAUUGAUCAAUUUACCAACAAACAUAGACGAAAAUUUCCUGGAAGGAAAAUGCAAGUUCAAGACUAUUUUAAGUGUAACCAAAAAGAAAAUGUAUGUCGCCAACAAACUCACAUCUAAAAUUUCAUUGUACUGCUCCAACUUUUCUAUCAUUGGAACAGAAUCUACACCAAGAAUAUGUCCAGCAUGAUCCUGAACCAAGUAGAACAUAAAAAUUAGUUUAUCUAAAAGAGCCUGCAGAAUUACACAACGGUAAAUUGUGUGAAUGUAAAACCUUGGUAACUUGAUGCAUGUUGUCAAAAAUAUAGAAGAGGAAUAAACUCAUAAUUUGUUGAGAGAAAUAGACAAUUAGGAGAAUGAGAAAAAGGGCAGAAAAAAAAAAACAGUAUUUGACCAUAUUUGCUUCAAAUAAGAACAACCUAGAUCUAUACUAUUCUUUUGGAUACCAACUCCCCAAUUCCUUUUCAAUGCCUUUGAUAACGAUAAAUUCCUUAACCCAAUUCUUCAAUCCAAAAUUCUAUACAAUAAAAAAUUACUCUCAAUACAAUGGAGAAAAGGUUGCAAAAAAACUAAAUAAGAGCUAUUUAUUCAGGUCCUUGAAUCUUCAUCUGUAGAAAUGCUUCCCUGGAAUUUUACGGUGUAUAAUUUUUAUGGGCAUAGCUUGUGUCAAUAAGCUUCAAAAUGUUCCAGGUUUAUACCUAAAAGUGACCAAAUAUGUUUUACAGAGAAAGCGUGUUUACCACACCAAGAAAAUGAGCUAUAAGAACAUCCCAAUCUUCUUCGUACAAAGAUGGAAGUAGAUGCUCAAUGCAUCCGUUGUCUACAUGAAAUAGAAAUACCAUCAAAAUCUCCAUAAUGGAAAGAGAAGAUUAAAGUCGAAUGCACAUAAGAACAUUAAAUAGCCUACCGUAUGAAGAUCUUUAACAUUGAAAGACGGGUAGGGAUAAGAUUUUUUGAAAUGAUGAGGAAAUAACUGCACCCAUGUGUCAUCUCCCAUCAUCACUACUCGCUUUCCAUUUGAAGCCAACUGAAGGUGAGUCAUAGAUUAGAAUAAUUUAUACAAAAUAAGAAGUGCUCCAGGUUGCAUAAACAACAUGUAAUCAAAUAUUUUCAUAAGGAAUACCAAUAUACCAAAAAUAAAAAUAAGUAAAUACGACUUCCACGAAGAGAGAUCAGGAAACAGACCUGGUGUAUCAAGUUAUCUUCAAGAAUAGCUGGAGCACCAAAACUAUUUCCAACAUCAAUAAAAGUUGGCAGACCACCAGUUGUCAAACCCUAUAAAAAAAGGGGGGUAAAAAAAGAGAGACGAAGACAUAACUAAAGUCAAAGAAACUGUAUAUAUGAAACAUGUACAUCAUGCCUUGGGAACUGGAUUUUAAAGAACCUAAUAACUUAGCAGAGAAAGAGCAGAAAUGACCUUCAAUCUUUGCAAACUAGUAGUAGGUGGAUCAGCAAUUGCUUUGAAGAUAUGGGCAGAUGUUUUAGUAGAUGCCAGCUUCUGAAGCACUCGCAAUUUAUCCAUCCAAGGUUUUGAUUCUACAUAAUUUACUUGGGGUUUUAAGCUUGAGCAACAAAUAAAUCAAUUAAAACACUGAGUUGGGAAUAUGUAAAGGGGAAAAUCUGGGUUAUAAAAUUCCACAUAUUGAGAGACAGGGUUGUUUUUAAUGAGAACGGAAAAGUAGCGACAAAGGAGAGUAAAAGGAAUACUGACCUUUGAAGAAGGUACUGGGAGCAACGAAAUCAAAUCUGAAUAGCAAAGCAUGAAACAGGAACACAUAUCAGAUUGAACCAAUUUCAUAAGUAUUAGUUUUUAUUAGAGGUGUUCCGGAUCGGAAUGAGUACCUGAGGGCAUCAAGAACAAUAAUGACAAGACGAUCAACAGCAGGCCUUGUCCAACAGUGUGAAUUAGAUUGGUUUUGAUAGGGAUUUGAUUGACCAGUGAAGCAAGGGGAUUCAGAAACAUCAGAGCAAUUGCUGUAAUACGGGAGCUCAGUUCGAGUUAACAGAAACCCUCGUGUGAAUAUGAGUAUGCCUACUAUGUGUAACAUGGUCAGCAUCACCAUUAUCCUCCAUUUCCCUCUCCUCCACCAAUCCCCCACCUCCAUCAUUUAACUUUUUCUUAUCUUCUGUUAUACUCUACCAAGCGCGAAAUAAUCAUCUCAAAAAAUUCAGUGAGUGAACAUAGAAUGGGAGCUUCAGGGACAGAGAAAUCUGUCAAUUGAGCAAGGCAACUUAAGUUAAAUGUCACUGUCAAGCAAUUUGUAGUAUAUAUGCCUAGAAAGCUGGAUAUUGUCAAGAGUAUCCUGCAAUCUACAAACUUAACCAUUAAAUUCUCUUGAAGAAACAACAAAAGUUGACAAGUUCCUUGCUUUCUUUAUUUAUUUUGCCGCCAUGCCGAGACUGAGACUAAACCCAGAAACAUAAACAACAAAUUAAAUAAAAAUCAGACAAACAAUUAAACGGAAAUAAAGGCAAACUCAAAUUAAAUUCAAAAACACAGGAUAAACUGUCUCUAUCUUUCUCAAAUCCUCUAACUUUUGAUUCUCUCUGAUUCACUCUCCAUGUGAUCACAUCAAAAUCAAAAGCUAUAUUAAAUUCAAGAUCAAAACAGUAAAACAGCUGGAAGCAGUACGUUGUACAAAAAUCCAAACACCUCAAUUCUGAAUCAUUUAGCAAUCCUGGGAGAAUAGACCAAACACAAUAGUAUAAGACUACAGUAGACUAAGCAUUUAGAGUGUUUUAUUAUAUUGCCAUUUUUUUAAGGGAAGCCGAAAUAUAAAAAUAGCAUUUUAACAAAAUGAAUACAUUAGUUUAGUGUUGCUAAACUAAAAUAAACAGUCUACUGUCCUGGAUAAAUACAGAUUCAAGCACAAAUCAUAAAUCACAUUGACACGAAGCCUGAGAGGUUGUAAUAGCAUACAUUAUGGACAAACACAAUGCCAAGAAACCAACAAUUUUAUAUUGAGAAACAAGACGCUGUGUUUGCAUGAAAUAAAUCGGCGCGGCUACCUUGAUCAAAAUUCGGCAACUGAAGAAAUUAUUAAUUAAGACUACGAAACUUGAAAAAUGAGAAAUGAAAAUACCAUGAGAUGAUGAGAUAAACCGCCGGCGGCGUGGCUGGCAGUCCUUGCGGCAGUCGUCGCUAGUCAGAGAGUCCGGGAUGGGUGGCUGUUUGAAGUCUGAAGUGGGAUCACCGUUUCGGUCUUCGACAAAGAGAUGAGAGAGGCUGACAAGCGGCACGGCAGCCAGCUGUCGUCCGCCUCCGGCCGUGGCGGGUGGCGGGUGGAGUGUUAUCGGCGGCGGAUGGGGUUAUGUCUGAGAGAGUGAGAGACGAGAGUGAUGGUUUGUUUGUCUAAACUAUUUAGAACUUCAGGGCUUCUGCGUUUUGAAUCAAAACUCUUGAUUGAAUUUUUGUUUUUCCCUUAAAAUGAAAUUAUUAGUCGCCCAGAGAUUAGAUUAUCAGUUAAUCAUCGAUUACAAAAACAAAAAAAAAUUAAAAACUUUUAUUUUGCAUUCGUCCACUUUUGUGUGUCAUUUCUAUUAUAUAUUUAUUUUUUAUUUAAUAUCUAUGAAGAGGUCAUUGGGCCCUCGGCCAGGUAGUUGGAGUUGUGAGGACAGCGGUUUAAACUUCCACAAAAGUACAGUGAGGGUUAAAUAUUUAUAAGUUAUUUUUAUUUGUAAAAUAUGAGUGAAGAAAAAAUAUUCUUCGUAUGUGAUGGUUAUUUAUUUGUUGGGCAUGUACUUUAUAGAAUUUAAUAUAAUAAUAUAAGUUUUAGUUAUAUAUAUCUGAUUGUGUGUAAUAUCUAUUAUAUAGCCGUUGUAAAUAUUUGUGCAAUAUAGUAAUUUGGUGCGUAACCAAUAUUCAAAAAAAAAAAAUCUACGAAGAGUAGUAAUUUUUCAUCUGAUAAAUAUAAAUUGAAUUAAUUUUUCCUUCCUGAUUAAAUAUGAUCCUUUUUUUUUCUUUCUUUAAUUUUUGUGCUUUAAAUUACAGGUACGAGUGCUUAAAAACAAAGUGCACAAUUAUUUCACUCACAACAUAUAUUGAGUAUUUUUAUUUUCUAUGAAUAAAUGUAUCUUUUAGUGAACAUAAAAUAAAAGCCAUAGUAAAACUCAUGCCAUGCUCAAAGAUAAUAUCUUAUUGUUAAUAAUAAGAAGAGGCAAAUUUAAGUUAUUUUUAAAUAAUGAAAUUAUACUCACUGAAGUAAAAAUGAAAAUAAAGGUUUCGAAUGUACAGGAUGCGUUUGGCGCGCGCGGGUCAAUCAAGAUGUGUUCUGCGCAAAUGGUUCGGACAAAGGCGGCCGAAUUUGACCACUCCUGAAGCCAAGAAAAGACCCGCCCUCGUCGUGGGUCUAAGCGAGUCUGUAAUUUUCUUUUUUGAAAACAAAUUUUAAUUUAUUUAUUUAACGUAGUUUAAUUAUUUGAAAUUAUUUUAUUUAAUAUUUAAUAUAUAAUUACCUCCCAACGACCAGCAUCACCGCCUGGCGCCUGCCAUUGUAUUUUGCAGCCAUCUGCCAAUCUUAGAAAUCAAUUGCUUAGUAUCAUUGCUUAGAGAUUGAGAAAAAAUAAAAUAAAAAAUCAGACACUAGAUAUGACUUAAACAAAAUACUGUAUUUAUAAGCUUCGAUGGUUGUUUCGUUUUAAAAUAAGAGUAAUGAUAUUUAGCCACAUCAGCAUAUAAGAAAGCUAAGCUAGAAACGUCAGGUUUCUUGUGCCAUUUUGAAUUUUUAGAUUUGAAAAUUAAAAAUGGUCUUUAUCAUUAAAAAAUGGUCUUGGCCAUUUCCAUCGCCGACCAGCCUUACAACUCUCCUCUACAGUAUACUUGAUGAUUUUGGACUUUUUUUUCAUCUGCUCAGAUAAUUAAAUUUAGUAUGUUGAGGAAAGUUUUGAUUUUUACUGGGUCGGGAUAGAGGUAAGUGGAUUUGAUAUUGUUGGUGUUCAGUCUUUUGCAAUUUUUUUUUUUUACUACUGGUGUUUUGAUUUUUUUGGUAUGUAUAUUUAAAAAUGAGAAAUUAUCACCGGUAUACACUAAAAUAUCACCGGUAUCCCCUAAAAUGUCACCGGUAUCAAACGUACUACAACACUUUUCACUUGUAUCACUCGUAUACCCUAAAUUGACAAAAGAAUUCUGGCGUCCACCUUUCCGUUUACUACCGUUAAGACAUGCUGACGUCAUAGGGGUAAUAUAGUCUUUUAAUAAAGAAGAGGCUGCAAAGAAAGACGGCGUCGUUUUAAUACCCCGAAAACGCUGCCGUUUCACUGUAACAAAAAAGACAAAACAACGUCGUUUUUUAUUUUGGUUAAAAAAAAAAGUUACAGAGAAACGACAUCGUUUCACUGUAACUCAAAGACAAACAAACAGAAGUGGUCCAUCCUCCCCAUUCUUUAUUCACAUCGAGAGAAGUUUGCAUGCAUAUGAACAACCGGUGCAAGACUGUAUGCAUGGCAGCCAUUUUUUUACUAAAAACCCUCAAUAUUUGACCAUCAAACAAGUUUAAGUGAUAGCUGUGGAGAUUGAUUUGGAACUUGACAGAAGAGUAAGUUGAUUUCAAUCGAAUCCAGCGAGCGAAGCAUCGAGUUGUUAGGUAUGUUCAUAUAUAUAUAUAUAUAUUCAUGCAAUAUAUCUCUUAUCUCUUAUUUAGUCAAUAGAUGUAAGAAAUAAUUUGAAAUUAUCCGAAUUUAUGAGAAUUUAAUUUUUGUUACAAACCCUAGAAUGUUAACAACGAAGAAAUAAGCAGUGGUUAUUUUUUGGGUUAUUUAUAUUCUUAUGUGAUCAAUGUUUUAGGUUUAUAGAAGUGCAUUUAGAUGGUAAAUGAUAUCGGUUCUGGUUUUUGCAUAUUGAGGGUCUAUUGGCUAUUACAUGUAUUUCGUUAAAACUAAUUGGGGCUUUUUUCAACUUGCAUAUUAAGGGUUUGGUUUUUUGCAUAUUGUAUGAUAUUUAUUUCCUACGCUGUGUGUGUAAAGCUUAAAGAAUCCAUAUUUAAGCACAUUCCGUUAUUUUUGGGAUACAGUAGACAUGUUAACAAUGGAGCUAGUGAUUUCUUUCAAAGGAGAAAAACAUCAUGUCGGUAUGAUUAACCCUAAAGAUUGGACUGUUGAUAGAAUAAAGGCUGAGGCAUUGAAGAUAACUACUGUACAUGAGUUAGAUACAGUUGGUAAAAUCUUAUUGACUGUUAUGAACCCAAAUAGUAAAGUCAAGGUUGUUUUAGAUUCUGAAUAUGGGAUGAAAUGUUUAUUUGGGUUUCAUAAUUUGAUGGGUGUUACUACAUUUGAAGUUGAAGUCGUGCCUGUUUUAUGCCCUCAAAAUCCAGAUGCUCCGUUAAUACAAUCAUUGCUGUUUAACUUAGAAGUACACAUGUCUUCAGAAGUUAUAGAUAUCUUGAAUGAUGGAGGUACACCAGAAGUUAGGCAUACAGAUCAAGAAGGGGGGAGUAACAGAGAUGAAUUCAAUGAUAUGCAAAGGGGUUAUGGACACGAAGCUACUGCAACUAUUCAUGAGGGUGAAAUUGAUGAAGACAAACUAUUAUCAGAUUGGUCAGACAAAAGAAGUGACAGUGAUGGUGAGGAACUUGUUGUGCAACCAAUACCUACUAUGCCUGUUGAUGAUAUUGUGUCUAUUGAUGACAUUGACGAUAGUGAGGGCAGUGAGGACAGCCAAUGCGAGAGUGAUAGCGAUGGAGGUGGAGAUGGUUUACUAGAUGAUGACACUAGGGCAGUCAAAAUGGUUGUGAACUCUUCUGAUGAUGACAUCAAUCUUGGCAGUGUGAAGUUUACAAAAUAUUUAGAGAAAUAUGAGUAUAAAUUAGAUGCUGAUGGGAUACAUAGGCUGAGAUUAGGUGAUGUGUUUAGGGAUGUGAAUCACUUUAGACAAGUGUUACAUGAGGUUAUGAUUAGGAAAGGGUUUAAAAUUAGCAUAAAAUAUAGUGAACCGCAGAGAUAUUUUGCAACUUGUAAGGAGGCUGGCUGUCCAUGGUUUGUUAAAGGUGCAAGACUGAAUGAUAGGAAUGGUUUUUGGCUGCGGGGAUAUCAGAAGAAGCAUGAGUGCAAGCUUACCAAGAAAUCUGUGAAAGUUACUUCAACAUGGGUUGCUGAAAUGAUAAAGGGACAUGUUGCUAUUGAUGCAAAUGUCAAGAUAUCUCUUCUCAAGAAUUAUAUGCAAGAAAAAUUCAGGUUGAAGAUUGAGAAGCUCACAAUGUAUAGGGCUAGAGAAAAAGCAAGGAUUCUAGUAUAUGGUGACCAUUCGAAGGGCUAUGAGAAGCUGUUUCAGUACGCUGCAACUAUUCAUCGGGCUGAGCCAGGAGCCAUUUGUAAAGUGUUAUGUGAUGCAGUCACUGUUCCUGAGAAAUGUCUAUUUCAAAGAUUUUUUGUUGCAUUUCCAGCACAAAAAAAUGCUUUUCUGAAUGGCUGCAGACCGUUCAUUGGAAUCGAUGGGUGUCACCUAAAGGGAAAAUAUGGUAGAGUUUUGUUGGCUGCUGUUGCUUCAGAUGCUAAUAAAUGGAUAGUUCCAUUGGCAUUGUGUGUAUGCGAGAUUGAGAACACAGAAACAUGGACUUGGUUUCUUGAUCAUUUGCAUAGCUAUUUAGAUGAUGGAAGGCGGGUAACAUUUAUUAGUGAUAGGCAAAAGGGGCUGUUGAAUGCAAUUCCGAACACAUGGCCUACUCAUAGGGCAUAUUGUAGGCAUGUGUAUGCUAAUUUUGCGAAAGAACAUGCUGGUGCCAACUUGCAGACUCUUUUUUGGAAGGCAGCAAAAAGUAGUAAUAAGCAUGAUUAUGAGGAGGCAAUGGCACAUAUCAAAGAGGAAAAGUUAGCAGCAUAUAAUUGGUUAGAAAGAGAGCUGCAGGGAUACACUUGGUCUAUGCAUACAUACGACAGAAACUGCAAGGUAGAAAAGACUGAUAACAAUGCCUCUGAGUGCUUCAACAGUUGGAUUCUGCCUUAUAGAGACAGGCCUGCUUUGUCAAUGCUUGAGGAAAUUAGAUGCAGACUGAUGAAAAGAUUUACAAAGAGAAGAAAUGAGGGAAAUACUUGGCAAAAAACUAUUGCUCCUAGGAUUUACAAAGAGUUGGAUCAAACUUUCAAGAAAGGAGAAAAAAUGAUUGUGCAACCCUCGAGAGACUUGAAUUUUCAAGUCAUGGAUAAAUCUUAUUAUCCAGCUAGGAGGUUUAUAGUGAAAUUGGAGGACAAGACGUGCGAUUGUGGUUAUUGGGAAAUUGCCGGCUUACCUUGCUGUCAUGCUAUGGCUGCCAUAGGCUAUGCAAGGCAUGAAAUUGAAGAGUAUAUUCCAUUUUGCUUUACCAAGCAAGCCUACAUUAAUACAUAUUCAGUUAUGUUUAGUCCAAUUCCUGAUGAGCGGACAUGGGAGCGUGGCGAUAGGCCCUUAAUUGAUCCCCCAAUUGUGUGGAAAAAGAUGGGGAGGCCAAAGAAAUGUAGGAAGAGAGCAGCCACUAAACCUAAAAAACGCAGCAUGAGAUUCUUUGUCAAUUGCUCGGUUUGUGGUGGCUCGAACCACAAUGUAAGAUCUUGUCCAUUGAGACCAUUGGUUGCAAGGCCAAGCAAAGCUACAAGCACUAAUUCUCAGGUAUCUAUUUAGUCCAUUAGUUUUAUUCAUUUAUGUUUAUUGUUUAUAUUGUCAUCUAACACAGAAGUUGCGUUUUUUCAGCUGUCAAUUGGAAAUUCUUCAGGCCAGUCAGCAGAUCCUUUAAGCCAGCCAUCAAAGCCAACCAGAAUGAGAAAUACAGCGAGGAGAGACCAUGUACCAAGUGAUCGAAGUAAAAGCUCCAGUGCUGGAUCGAUGAAAAGAAAAAGUGCAAAUGCUGUUGGAGUUGCUGGAACAAGCAAAAAAAGAGGUUGAAUUUCGUUUCUUUUUGUUCAUAUUUCAUAAUUGCAUAUAAGGAGCUUAAUUUAUUUUCUUUUCUGUAAUAUAGGAAAGACUUCACAUGUCAACCUAUCCCAAGUCAGCCAAUCACAGAAUCCAUCACAAGCGUCCACUGUCACAGGUGCUUUGUAAUGAGUCCACUGUCACAGGUGCUUUGUAAUGAGUUUGAUGCUCAUUUUGCAAUGUUUUGUUGGAAACAAUCUAUCAACUUCAAUUUCCUUAACUGUUAUGCUAGUUAUGUGAUAUCAACUGAACUUAAUUAUGCUCUUGCAUGAGCUAAGCUAUCGAAUUGGUUUUUGGAAUAUGUAUUUGAAGGAGAUAUGUUGCUAUCUGCAUAUUUUGGAUAUGUUAUGAUUAGAUUAAUAUUUUAGUUGAUAAUUAUGACUGUUGAAUAUUUCUUGAAUACAAACUUUGUGUGUUACAUUACUUUCUCAUAAGGACAAUUACAAAGACACACACUAGCACAAUUAGGAUCCAUUUAAGCUUUCCUUCGAUGCUUUUUAGCCUUUUCUUUAUCUUAACCAAAUCAUCAUUCAGCUUCAAGUUUUGCCCUGGCAUUGCGCCAUUAGUAUUAGGAUAUAUGAGAGAUUCCACAGUGAACCAUUCCCAAAAUCCACAAUGCCUCGCUCCACAAUGCUUCCACCUACAUGACCAAAACAUUGCAUUAGGGUUUUGCAAUGUAGUUGACACCAGAGCCACUGCUUGCACGCCACACUUGCAGUAUUUUGGUUGGCAUUUUACUUUAUCAUAUCUGGUAUGUCCACUAUCAGCAGAACUCGAUGCUUCACUGGAGGCCAUUUUCAUAUGAAUUGCUUGGCAUGUGAUUGCUUGGCAUGUGAUGGAUCAAUGAUUUGUUAAUGUGCUUCUGGUUUUUAGUUGGAAAAGAGUAGCAAAUUGGUUAAAUUUAAAGAGAUUAUCAGGUGUGUGGUGGCUAAUUUCUUGUUGCAAAUUGGUUGAAUGUUGCAAACUAUUUUUUUUGUUGUGUUUUAGGUCAUUAUAUAGCCAAAAAUGUAACCGUUAUUGGCUCCCAACGAUUACAUUUUCAAUUGCUUCACUUUCAGGGCAAAAUUGUCUUUUUAAAUUAAAAGGGUAAAAUAGUCAUUUUGCUCAAAUUCCGUUAAGUUCUUAACAGUAGUAAACGGAAAGGUGGACGCUAGAAUUCUUUUGUCAAUUUAGGGUAUACGAGUGAUACAAGUGAAAAAUGUUGUAGUACGUUUGAUACCGGUGACAUUUUAGGGUAUACCGGUGAUAAUUUCCCUUUAAAAAUUACUAGAAAUUAGUUAUUUGAAAUGUAGAUUUUGUUUGUUUUUCUAUUUAUUAAAUCUAUAGGAUUUGAUGAAGUAUGUCUAUGUGGGGUUUUGAUUCUUUUAGGAUAUUAUUAGAUUUCACAGCUGAUUUUGAGUCCAAUUGACAUAUAUUGUUUCUGUGUUUAUAUAUAUAUAUUAUUUCGGCUGCUUAAUACUAGCGACUUUUGGAGGCCUGUAUGUAUGUUUAAUUGCUGGACAUAUCUAGGAAUUAUUAUUUGGUAGCUGAGAAAUGAAAUAGAAAAAUGAAAUAUUAAAGUUGUUUUUUCUUUUGAUAUAUAAUUUUAUCUGAGUUAACUAGAACGUUUUGUUUUUAGAUCUUUGUUAAACUUUUUAGUGGUUUUAAAGUCAUUUAAGCAAUUGGCCUUUGCUUCAACAAGAAAUCAAUGAACCAAAGCAAUGGCAACCGUGGCUUGAUUCUCCAAUCAUCAACAAUUGCCUUGUUGUUCAUGCUGCCACCAGCACAAUUCAACAAAACAAGCCCUCGAACAAGUGUUUGACUGGAUUUUUAUGGUAGAAAAUAUAGCAGGUUUUCGCAAACCAUAUUAACCGAAAAGGCUAAUCAGGUGCAAGUGUUUCUUUGCAAGCAUGAUGACGAAUAUCUGAUUCCCAAGAGGAAGUUAAAUUAAUAUACCUGAGGCAGCAAAAACACAAGGUAGGCUUCGAAUAGAAUUACGUACAAGCACUAUUGGCUUCUGAGCAGCUUCAUCCAAGAAAUCCAAUAUUAGUUGUAUCGGUGAGUCUCACUCAAGUUAGCAAGGAAAAUAACUAAAGGUCAAGCAAUUGAUGAUAUAAGUACAGGAGUUGUGAAAUAACUUUAAAGGAAAAUAAUUGCUUAUCCUUAACAUUUGUGGAUGCCUACAAUUAUAUGUUCACAGAAGUAAAUAGAAUAAAAAAAAUAGUACAUUAUCAAUAAGAAAAGUUCACUACAAGAUGAAAAUUAUUUUUUGUCAUUUGUGCCUUGUGUACUAAAUUUUGUGUUAUUUUAUUACAUAUAAUAUUAUUCUACGGAAUGCGGGAAGAAAAAAAGUGGGGUCGAUUUAUUGUAAGCCCCAAAUUCAACCGAAGAUCCAAGCGCAAGUUUCAAACUAAACCAACCCAAAGUUUGGGCAACAGUCCAACGCAACCCAACUAAAAUCAUUUUAAUUUGAUUUUAGUUUGGGUUGACUUAGGCUUUGAUAAAUUCACAUGUUGUAUACCAUAAUUAAAAUAAAGUAUCAUUUGUCAUACAUUUUGUUGAUGCGAGAUUCUGGUUCUCCUCGUUCUACGACCAGGCUCUCUGCUCGAUCAACUUCACCACGACCAGGAGGUCUCCUCGUAAGGCUUCUUCUCCAGAGCCUCCUGCGCACACAGACAAGUCAGAGUACGCCGGUUGUUUUCCUGGCGCAAACCCUCCGACGCUCAAGUCAGAUAUGAAGGUUCGGAGAACGCUUGCCACAGAUCUUAUGGCUUUUUCGUAGUUUUCUCUUCUUUAGAAUUUCUUUAGCUCUCUUCUAAUCUCAAAAUUGCUAACCCUUUUACCUUCGUUGGCUACCUUUUUAUAGGCUUCCUCUGAAUCCCAGUUUUCCGCAGUCUACGUCCGUUAUCUUCCCACCUCUCGAACGUGGAUUCCCCAUUUCCGUAGUCGUGGGUGGUUGCGUGGCCUUCGUGCCUAGAUUCUCGGGCUGGAGAGCAUGCCUCGCCAACUGUCGUUGACCGGGUCUCCUCGAAUCAACCCUCAGCGAGAAUACAGCAGGAAUGGCUUUAUGCCUCUUACAGGAAAUUGACCUCGCAGAUGACGUGCUCGUGGAUGAGCAGGAUAUUCCUGCCCCUGUUCCCCUGCUACCUGGCUCUUACAGGACAUACCUGCUCGCAGAAUUCUGCCACUAAACAUCUGCUCAUCACGUCUGGUCUCGUCGGAGUAUUUCCCUCAAACAUUGGUCCCCUAGUUUCUGGUGUUGGGUAAUGUAGUGCACCAGCAGUAGAAACUUGACAGUACUUGCUCGCGUGGGAUUGGAAAAGGCUGCCAAGAGUCAUAUCGCAUUUAAUUGCGGACGAGGUGAUGUGGCAGAAAUCUGCCCCUCUAUUCGAAUUUCAAACCAACGGUUACCAGGCCCUUAGGAUUUGGUGCCGUUAAAUGCUGGCAACCCAAGAGUCCGUCCCCAUUAGGAAACCUAAAUCCUUUCAAACAACAAAUUCAUCAUUCCCUCCGUCUCCGUCUCUGUCUCUCCAGCAAAGAAGCUCCGGUAUACAGGCCUCCAUCUCUGUCUUUCACCGACUGAUCCAUUACUUCAUGUAUUUCUUCUAUCUCCUUGGUCUUGGAUAGUUGUAGAUAAUUUCUCUUCUCUUUGCUUUGCUUGGGGUAGUAGUUGGCGGUGGCGUUUUGGUUAUUAUUUAGGGAAUGUCGAAGGGUAAGGAGAAAGUCGUCGAGAUUGAUGACGACGAAAUAGGUUUCUUGCCUAAUCUAGUCACUGAUCCUGCUUUUGACCCCGGGAUCCCCUUAGAACCCAUUAGGUCUAGUGUCGGGACUAGUGCUAGGAGAUUGUCCCCCUAAACAACCUCUACGAGCGGAAGUAAUGAUGAGGAGAGGUCUUCUGGCUCUGAAGGCACCUUGAGUGAGAAUGGGGAAGGUGAUUCUGGUGAGGUGUCUCCAUCUGGAACAUCACGACCAGAAGAACGGGGUACAGUAGGGGGUAGAGCCUUGUCGCGUGAUUAUGCCAUUGAUUACAUGUCGUGCACGACCACGUUUGACGAGCUCAAUGACCUCCGACUUAGGUAUAGUAUUCCUGGUGAGAUACCUCUUAAGAUCCCAGGAAAGAAGGAUACACCUAGCCGGCCUCCUAGGGGAUACGUUACCCUGUUUCUGGAGAGCUUUAAGUAUGGGCUGAGGUGUCCCUUGCAACCUUACUUUGCCCGAAUACUUAACGGGCUAAAUCUGGCUCCUGGUCAGCUGAACCCCAAUGGGUGGAGAGUGCUCUCUGGUCUGUUCAUAUUGUAGGACAGAUGUUGCCAAAGCGAGCCCACGGUUGAUGAGGUGAAGCACCUGUACCAGCUGAAGAGCAGCCCUAAAGAUGCCGGCUGGUACUACUUCCAAUCUAGUACCAAGAGCAGGAAACCCAUAACUGAUCUUCCAACUGGUGGUGGUGGGACUUGGAAGAGGAAAUUCUUUUUUGCUGGGGGUCCUUGGGGUCAAGUUGCACAAAUAGACGGGAAGGAUUGUCGCGUCCCACCCCGUUUCACGGUCCCAGGUUGCCUGCUCGCUUUAGAUGUCUUGUAUCCAUAAUUGUUCUUGCUGUAUUGGUUUGUCUCUAACCAAGUGUCUGUUUGUGCUGUAGUUUCUUGGGGUGUUCAUUUCCCGCUCAAGCCUGGUCAGCUUAAACGGGUCGAGGCUGUACUGGCCAAUUCCUGCCCAAGCCGAGAACUGCUAACUACGUACAACUUCCUCGAGUCUCACUUAAUACUUCCUGGCCAUAAGAUGGAGGACGCUGUGAUUGGGGCUCUAACCAGGAAACGUUCUCGUCCUCCAGCCACGAAGAGCGACCAGAGUAAGGACGCUCCUGCUGCAAAGCGGGCCAACAUCGUGCAGCAGGUCUCUCCCUUGAAGACUUUACCUCCUCCUCCUGCCAAAACCGGAGAAAUUAGUGGAGCAGCCACUGAUCCUGCUUCCUCUUCUCCUCCUGUUGGGCCUCGGUCUCGUCUACCUGCCAACCGAGCAGAGCACUUGGCCCCCUAUCUCAACGAGCUUUCCAAACUCGUGAGCAAGAAAGACCUCGAGGAUUUUGAUGGUUGUACCCUGGGCGAGCUGGUGGGAGCCAUGCAGUAUAGCGCUUUCCAUCUCAGCUGCAUGACCACCUACUAUAAGGCCAAGGUUGGCCGUUACGACAGGAAGAUGAAGGAGGACAUUCAAUCGGCGACGACCAGAGCUGACGUUGCCGAGAAGAAAGCGGGGGAGCUAAACGUUGAGAACCUCAAGCUGAUAGAGCAAGAAUCUCUUGCUCAAGCAAAAGCCAUUACCCUCGAGGAAGAGCUGACCAAGGUCAAGGAGGAUCUGCAAAGGCAGAGGGCUAUGUAUGAGGCUCAGCUCGAAUCUCUCCGCGAUUCCCACCGAGCUCAGGUCGAGAACUUGGAGAGGGAGGCCGACAACCAAUACGACCAGGGACUUCGGCAUUCCUAUCGUUGCAUUAUGGCCGUCCUCGGGAAGCAGCAUCCUGAUAUGAAGAUGGAUGAUCUUGCAGCUGGUGUUGCUCAACAUAUGGACGAGGAAGUAGCCAAGGAAGAUGCCGAAGGGAUAGAGCAGAUCGUGAUUGAGGAGGAAAGUUCUCCUCCUCGUUCAGUCCCUGCUGACGUUGGCGAGGUGAGCACCCCUGCUGUCGUUGCCGAGGCGAGCACCCCCCCGGACGCAACUGGUGAUACCCCCCCCGCACCUGAGGAGGUUCAGCCAUCCGAUGCUGCUCGGCCUACUGAUCCGCCAUCUUCUUGAACAUUUUUCUCGCGUUGUAAUGAACUACUUUGUUGGUUAUUAAUAGAUUAAUGAAAAACUGCUUUUGAUUACUUUCUUGAGUUGUAAUCAUGAAUUAUUUUUCCGUUUGAGAAUCUCCUCGUCCUUGUCUGGUCGAGCAGGAUCGGGCUUGGCAUAUGGCUUUGCCACCUGCCUUAGAAAAUUUUUCGAUGUUUGGGAUUCUGCUCGCCUCCGCGCGGUCGAGCAGAUCCCGCCAUGUUUGGCUUCUGUCUCGCCAUAAACUGGCUGUGAGACUUGACGAGCCUUUGCAUGCCUCAGAAAUUUUUUCGAAUGCUUUGGAGUCUGCUCGCCUUCACGUGGUUGAGCAGAUCCUGGCAUGCUUGGCUUCUGUCUCGCCAUAAAACAAGCUUUGAGACUUGACGAGCCUUUGCAUGCCUCAGAAAUUUUUUCGAAUGCUUUGGAGUCUGCUCGCCUUCACGUGGUCGAGCAGAUUCUGGCAUGCUUGGCUUCUGUCUCGCCAUAAAACAGGCUUUGAGACUUGACGAGCCUUUGCAUGCCUCAGAAAUUUUUUCGAAUGCUUUGGAGUCUGCUCGCCUUCACGUGGUCGAGCAGAUCCUGGCAUGCUUGGCUUCUGUCUGGCCAUAAAACAGGCUUUGAGACUUGACGAGCCUUUGCACGCCUUAGCAAUUUUUUCGAAUGCUUUGGAGUCUGCUCGCCUUCACGUGGUCGAGCAGAUCCUGGCAUGCUUGGCUUCUGUCUCGCCAUAAAACAGGCUUUGAGACUUGACGAGCCUUUGCAUGCCUCAGAAAUUUUUUCGAAGCUUGGGAUUCUGCAAGCCUUCUCGUGGCCGAGCAGAUCCUGGCAUGCUUGGCUUCUGUCUCGCCAUAAACAGGCUUUGAGACUUGACGAGCCUUUGCAUGCCUUAGAUGAUUUCUUCAAAGCUUGGGAUUCUGCUAGCCUUCUCGUGGCCGAGCAGAUCCUGGCAUGCUUGACUUUUGUCUCGCCAUAAACAGGCUUUGAGACUUGACGAGCCUUUGCAUGCCUUAGAUGAUUUCUUCAAAGCUUGGGAUUCUGCAAGCCUUCUCGUGGCCGAGCAGAUCCUGGCAUGCUUGACUUUUGUCUCGCCAUAAACAGGCUUUGAGACUUGACGAGCCUUUGCAUGCCUUUGAUUCUUCAAGGAUUGGGAUUCUGCUCGCCUUCUCGUGGUCGAGCAGAUCCUGGCACGCUUGGCUUCUGUCUCGCCAUAAAACAGGCUUUGAGACUUUGAUGAGCCUUUGCAUGCCUUUGAUUCUUCAAGGAUUGGGAUUCUGCUCGCCUUCUCGUGGUCGAGCAGAUCCUGGCACGCUUGGCUUCUGUCUCGGUAUAAAACAGGCUUUGAGACUUUGAUGAGCCUUUGCAUGCCUUUGAUUCUUCCAGGAUUGGGAUUCUGCUCGCCUUCUCGUGGUCGAGCAGAUCCUGGCACGCUUGGCUUCUGUCUCGCCAUAAAACAGGCUUUGAGACUUUGGUGAGCCUUUGCAUGCCUUAGGAAAUUUUCACAGUUUCAAGCGAAUGAAAUUCCUCAUUGAUUCAUUUAUUACUGAGAUCGGCUUACAUGAGGUUGCUUUGAAAUAAGAAAUCAAAAAUAGAAAACGGACCCGAACAGAAAAAAAUUUUAAAACAUGAAUGAGUCUUACUAGAAAUAUUUCCUGAGGUGUGCCGCGCUCUAGGGGCGUUUCACCUCGUGGCCCUCCGUGCGAACCAACUUGUAGACUCCGGGUCCGACUAACUGCCAUUCCCGGCUUCCACUCGGGUACCAAGGUAUGUUAUCUGCAUUGCUUCCCUUGCUGCCGAGGAGUAACAGCUUCGUGCGAUUCUCUGGUCUCCUCGUACCACUCCAACAACCCCAUUCACCCGGUACUUGAGAGCCAGAUAAUGGUUGGACAGCACCGCUUUGCUCAUCCUCAGAAAUGGCCGGCCUAGGAUCAUCUGAUAAGGACCUUCCUCAUCCACUACCACAAAGUCCAGUAUCAUUGUCCUUUCUGUCGGGGAGCUCCCAAUCGUGAUAGGCAGCUCGACCACGCCCAGAGGGACCAGCUUUCCUCCUCCAAACCCCUUCAAGGAGGUAUUGGUGUAUUCCAACUUCCGGUCUGCUAUUCCCAUCUCCUCCAAGGUUGACUUAAAUAACACAUCAACUGAACUCCCUGUAUCAACCAGUAUCCGGUCACACUUCUUGCUAGCGACAGUAGCCUUGAUGACUAAAGCAUCCUCGUGGGGGUAUAGAAUUCCUUCCUCAUCUUCAUCCGUCCACAUGAUUGGCACUUGCCUGACCCUUGCUCGUUUGGCUGCUGGGGUGUUGAAGAAUACCUCUUUACUAGUCAUGGCGUAUCUAGCAUAGUUCUUCCUAGAUCUGUUGGAAUCUCCAGCCAAUGUCGGGCCCCCAGCAAUCACCCUUACUGUAGGCUGCUCGUGCCUCAAAUUUCUGCCACUCUGCUCCCCUUCACAUGUCGAGGCCACCAUCGGGAAAGUCCCAUCUACAAACUCGUCCAGGUACCGAUUUCUCACCAAAUUUUCAACCUGGGUCUUGAGAUCUUUGCAUUCUGCGGUGGUAUGGCCAUGAGUGCCAUGGAACUUACAAUGGCGUCCCCUAUCCCUCCUGCCCGGUAGCUUUGUUAUUGGGGCAGGGAGGUACAGCAAUCCUCGGUCCUUUAUGGCCUCGUAUACUUCGUCCAGGGACAUCUUCAAGGAGGUGUAUCGCCCAUACUUCUGGUUCUGGUCAAUCAGGUGCACAGCCCUUUCUCUAUUUGAUCCGUUCUGAGUUGGAGGCGAUGGCAGCAUUUCUGGUCUGCUCCCUCUACUACUGUGGGAGUGUUGAUGAAGACUACCAUAUGCCGAAUCAUGCCUUCUCCAAGGCUCCUUAGCUGGGGAACGAGGAGGGUGCGCCCUGUUGCGCUGAUACUGUGGUGGCCUCUGAUGAGGCUGGUGAGCUGUUAUCCGACCUCCUGUUCCACUACCUGAGGCCUGGAGGUCCCUCCUCCUGAUCGGCCCAUUUCUCGGUAAUGCCCUCUUCUCUUUCUUUUCCAGCCCCUCCAGCUGGUCUGUCUUAAUCCGAGCUGCCUUUUCUUCCUCGAUCUCUAUGUCUCUUUUAGCCUGCUCGUAUGCGGCUGCAUACGUCUGAAUAGCUGGGCUUCUCAAGUUGUACCACAACCUUUCUAUCUUCACUCCCUCUUUCAAUCCCCUUAGUGCCUGAGGAUGGUCGAAGGCUCCCAAAUCGAGGACAGCACGAUGAAACCUCUUGAUGAAUUCCCGAAGGGUUUCUUGCUCCCCUUGCUUCAUGCUUUUCAGCUCCAUCAUGUCAUCUUCUGGUGCCAUUGCCCCACGAAACUGCUCUGCAAACUCCUGGCACAUCUGCUCGAAGGUUUUAAUGCUCCCCCGAGGAAGUUUCCUGUACCAUUCUCGUGCACGUCCCUCAAGGGAUAGUGGGAACACCCUGCACCUUUGGGAUUGAGAUAAUCCUUGUACUCCAGUUAUGUCGUUGAAACGCUCUAUGUGCACCAGCGGAUCCGUUCGUCCCGAAUACCUAAGGUCUGGGAGGCGGAAAUCUCUCGGAAUAACUGCCCUCAUGAUCUCUGUUGCGAGCGGUGAUUCUCCGUCCAGCAUUAUCCUCCAACCAGGAGGUCUGCUCCUUCCUUGCAUGUCGUCAAUUAUCUGCGCUAGUCUGCGCACUUCCUCCUUCAGCUGCACUGCGCGACCAGGGUCACGUGCUGCAGCUUGAUCCCGCUCUUGCUCUACAUCAAGCAAGUGUUGCCUCAACUCCGUUUCCUCUGCAUUUGCCACCCCGUCGUCCUCGUCAAAAAUCUGUCUUGCCGGGGAUUGCUCUUCCUCUCUACGGAAUUCUCCCUGCAGAGGUAUGUUACCUCUCUCACCACCAACUCUCUCGGUGGUUUGACUUCUCCUCGUACUAUCGGGACUUGGAGCCACUCCCCCAACUCUCAUCCUUUCCUCCUGGGUUACCCUUCAUUCACUCCGCAACUCAUGCAGGAUGUUUGUCAGGGUCUCCAUCUGCUUUUCCAUCCGUUCCACCCGGUCGAACAUGGCUUUUUCCCGUGCUUCACUGGCUAUCUCCCUCAGAGUCACGGAAUCGUUAAGCCUCAUAUCACUCCCUUGUGCACUACUUCCUCCUGUCUCCAUUGCUUUUCACUUGCUUCACUCCUCUUCUUGCUAUCAACAGAAGCUUUUUGAUCAGCUCCCCACAGACGGCGCCAAAAUGUUGAUGCGAGAUUCUGGUUCUACUCGUUCUACGACCAGGCUCUCUGCUCGAUCAACUUCACCACGACCAGGAGGUCUCCUCGUAAGGCUUCUUCUCCAGAGGCUCCUGCGCACACAGACAAGUCAGAGUACGCCGGUUGUUUUCCCGGCGCAAACCCUCCGACGCUCAAGUCAGAUAUGAAGGUUCGGGGAACGCUUGCCACAGAUCUUAUGGCUUUUUCGUAGUUUUCUCUUCUUUAGAAUUUCUUUAGCUCUCUUCUAAUCUCAAAAUUGCUAACCCUUUUACCUUUGUUGGCUACCUUUUUAUAGGCUUCCUCUGAAUCCCAGUUUUCCGCAGUCUACGUCUGUUAUCUUCCCACCUCUCGAACGUGGAUUCCCCAUUUCCGUAGUCGUGGGUGGUUGCGUGGCCUUCGUGCCUAGAUUCUCGGGCUGGAGAGCAUGCCUCGCCAACUGUCGUUGACCGGGUCUCCUCGAAUCAACCCUCAGCGAGAAUACAGCAGGAAUGACUUUAUGCCUCUUACAGGAAAUUGGCCUCGCAGAUGACGUGCUCGUGGAUGAGCAGGAUAUUCCUGCCCCUGUUCCCCUGCUACCUGGCUCUUACAGGACAUACAUGCUCGCAGAAUUCUGCCACUAAACAUCUGCUCAUCACGUCUGGUCUCGUCGGAGUAUUUCCCUCAAACACAUUUUAUACAUUAAACACAUAAACGUCCUCUCUGGAAUCUUUGUGGGCAACGCAUACGUGGUAUCUUCACUAAUAAGUGUUGAAUCUUUAGCUUCAAAGGAAAGAAACUAAAAAGGUUUGUAAAUUUACCCCACUUCUACAAAAUAAUUAUAAUGAAUUCACAAUAUUUUUUAAAAAAUUCAAAUUAAUAAAAAUUUUGUCUAGUUAAUCAAUUAAAUCCUUCUAUUAUUUUUUUAUUAGAUUUCUUUGAGUAUAUUUGAUCAUAAACUUGAUAUAAAUUUUACUUUACUAUUUUAGUAUUAUGAUAUAAAAUGGCCAAAUUGUACAAUAAACACGGGUUAUUGUAUCUAAUAAUUUAGGUAUUUAAUUAUGUGAACUAACAUUUUUAAAUGAAAUUUAACUAUUAUUUUCACUAUCUUACGUGUAAAUGAUGUAAAUUUGACAAGCUAAUAAUUUAUAUGAGUAUUGUGCCAUAAAGCCAUUAUGUUUGUUUAAUUAAUGUUUUAUAAUCAUACUAAUAAAGUAGUAUUAGAAAUAAUGAAUUGCUAUAAAAUUAGAAAAUAUUGAAGUUAAAGAAUUAGUUUGACCUUAUAAGGAUAAAAUAAUCAAUUUAGACUUAUGUCAAAUCAAUCUUUAUGAUCAAAUAUAAUAAAAAAAUUUAAGUCACAAAAAGUAAAUUAAGAUAGAUUUGUUAAUUUGUUCUCCAAAGUUCUUAUUUAUUUAUUUUUUUAAAAUAAUGUGUACUUUUUGUAAUUGUUUUUUAAAAAUGGGGUGGAUUUGGAGAUAUCAUUAGCCAACAAAAAAUUUAGUAAGGAUUAAUUUGAUAAUUGCCCAUAAAAAGAAGGCAUGUAGGUGGUGGUAGGGAAGCCUUUUUCCAUUCUAAAAUUACAUGUAAGAAUCUAAUAUAAAAAAGAUAAAUGUGUUACAGGAUGUGGAUAGAAAAAUUGAUCUUCAUUUGGGGAUUCUUGAUCUUCAUUCUUCACUCCACUAAAAUUUAUUAGAGAAUGAGGUGAAAAUUAUGGGCCAAAUAAAAUUAUUAACAUAUAAAAAAAUUUAAAUUAUUAAAAAUAAUAACUAAAAAAAUACAUAUUUGUUAAGAAUUUUGGAAUUAUUUUUCUUCGAGUAAUAAUAUAGCUACAAACUCUUGUACAAACUUAUCUUGUACCAACUAAUGUGGCAUGAUAAAAUUGGUUAAAUUAAAUAUCUCUUAACUCACGUGAUUUAUUUUCAUUAUUUUGUAUUUUUAUUCAACUAAUGAAUUAAUGUCACAUCAAUUUGUACAAAAUAAAUUUGUACAAGAAUUUGUGAUUGUAUCAUCACUCUCUUUUUUUUAAUCUCCAUAAACACAUCAAAAUUAGGGGUGGGAACUGUGGAGUCCACAACCCGCCAAAAAUCUCUAGUCGGCCAAAUUGGACUUUUUAUAGUCAGUCCUCAAAGAAAUUUUGAGAAAGGCAGCAGACAAUGAGUUGAAUGAAAUUACUACGAAACUUCCUUGAAGAUUCAAGGUAGUAGUGGAGGAUUCGAGCGCACAGACACAUUCAAUUCAGUUGAACUGUUUCUAUUAUGGUUUCUUCAUCUUCUUCUCAUCCAUCCACCAGUCUGUGUUUGAUGAGACCCCUAAACAUCAAUUAUGGUGUUUUUGUCAGAUUCAGAGGAGAAGACACCCGUGACAAUUUUACUGGCCAUCAAGUAUGGGUCUUUUGGGAUUUCAAUUUCGAAGCUUGAAGAAAGAUUUAAAGAGAAGUCAGAGAAGCUGCAGACUUGGAGGAAUGCUUUGAAGGAAGCAGCCAGUUAGUCUGGCUUUAAUUCUUAUAACAUCAGGUGAAAAGUUACUUUUAAUUUCGCAUACUAAUAUUUAACACUGUAAAUAAAAUUCACGCAGCACUCUUAGUUAAAUUUUCCAGAUGUUAAACUACACUUUUAAAUUUUUUUCAGGAAUCAAAUUCUAGACUUCUUGAACGUCCCCACUUUUGAACUCCUAUAAAAGAAUUUUUACAGAAUUAAUAAUAAAAGCUCCAAAAGUUUGCAAUAUACUUUAACAAAAUUAAUGGUGUUCUGUCGUUUUUUCCAAUCUCUCAGUCAUUUACCAUGACCAAAAAUAAUAAAUAAAAAAAUAAAAAUAAAAGUAAAAAUAAAAAUCUCUCCCACAUAUAACAUAUCCCUAUAAUUUAAGAGUUAUUAAUUUAUAGGGAGAUUGUAAAGUUCGUUACUUAAAUUAAUAUAUACCACUUAUACAGACUAUUUUCACAAUAUUUAAUAAGUCUCUUGGUACCAUCAUUUUACAAUAUUAUCCUUAUGAAAAAAAAUCAAAACUAUCAGACCUGAGCUUCCGGUCUCCGUUAACUGAAUUUUGGUUGUCGUUGACCAGUACGGGCAAUUCAGUAAUUUCACAAACUUUUGGGAUAAUGUUGUAAUUUCUGAAAUUGGUGGAUAAUUUAGUAAUUUUGGACUAGGGCGGUUAGGUAAUUUGAGAUUUCAAGGGUAAUUCAGUAAUUUAAGUUAUUAAGGGCAUUUUGGUAAUUUCAAAAUUCAAGGGUAAAUUCGUGAUUUCGUACCUUAUGGUUAUUUUUGUAGUAUGAAUUAAGGAUAGUUUAGUAAUUUAGAAUUCUGAGGACAAUUUGGUAAAUUAUGGUGUCGACGGCAUUUUGGUAAUUUUUGGCAUGCAGGGGUAUUUUGGUAAUUUCAUUCAUACGGGAAUAGUUGAUUUUGGGAAAAUGUUUGUUUCGAGCUUUAUUGCGUAAAUUUAGUUGUAUUUCAUGUUACAGAUAACGAUGUCGUUUCCUUAAUUUAGGAGGAACCGCGAACGAGAAUCAAUCCGCAAACGUAACCGAUACUUGAGUUUGAGUGUAAUCAUUGUGAGUGGAAUAUACAAAACCUAUUUUUAUAGUUAAUUAUGAUAGUAAAGCCUAUUUGUGAAAUGAGUAUCUUAAAUAUUUUGAUUUAAUGAUUUUCUUGAAAUGGAUUUUAUUCACGCAAUGAUAUUUUAUUAAAAUGUUUGGUUAAUAGUUUUCCAUAUUGAUUUGAAUAAAGCAUGAUAGUAUUCUUAAGACAAGAAAAAUUCAAAUGUGUUAAUGAAAAGAACAGUAUGAUUUUCAAUAUGAUUAAAAAGUAUAUGGUUAUGAGUAUAAAGAUUGUUUUUGAAAUCAUUAGACAGUACCAUUCCCCUUCAGAUAAUGUGAUACAGAUGAGAUGAGAGUCCUUUAGGGCUCGUCUGAGUACAUAUAGAGGCUUUGGGCUGUGUACUUGGACGCUUUAUCCUUUGGGGACCAGAUUAUGCAGAUACGAGAUAUGAGAUAUGAGACAUAUGAGACGACAUUUUCCUAUCUACCCGUUGCAACUCCGGGGCAUGACGAUUUCCUGAUUGCCCGUCCAUCGAGGUCUGGGUAUGACAAGAUUAUUUGCUUGGGUAAUUGUUUGGUGACAGUUUUCAGAAUUACAGUGUUUGAGAUUACAAUAUGUUAUGAUUUCAUUGAUUUUAUGCAAUAUUAUGUAUUAUUGUUAUAUUAGUACUUGAUUUAAAUUACAUGAGUUUAUUUAAGUUCUUAUGAUAUUUUGAUGAAAUUGAUUUGAGACAGAUUAAAUUAUUUUAAAGUAAAUUUAUUUUCAAAAAUUAUUAUCCACUCACUGAGCUCAUUGAGUUUUAUACUCACCCCGUUUUUAUUAUAUUUCCCCCCAGGAGAUUUGCAGGUACAUUAGUCGACCCAACAACAAUAACUAUUUUUGAAAUUGUGGCCACAUGAUGGUGCUAGGAAUCAUAGAUGUAUUGUUGGGAUAUUUUGGAUUGUAUAAAUUAUUACAUAUUUGUGACUAAGGAUACUCUAUUGUAGUUGACAUUAAAAUAUUUGGGUGAUAUUUGGUAUGUUGAUUAAGGAAGUUGGUCGUGGAGGUUGGUUGAAUAUUGAAUUAUUUUUAGAGUGCUAAUUUUAUAAAUUGUAGGUUUGGGAAUGUCAUCAUUGUAGAGGAGACUCUACCGAAUAAUCUUUAGUAAAACCCUUAAAUAUUAGAUUUAUUAUCGGUUCAAUUAGAUGGGAUUAGAUGACUCGUCCUGAGGUUUCGGGGCAGGUCGUUUUAUCUAUACAUUAAAGGCUCAUAGACUAUUAGAUACAUUGAAGCCCAUAAUACUAAAAAUCUUAAUAGAUAUCUUUUAAUUGGGCUUAAUUUUAUAUGACAGUUUGCAACACAUAAUUAUUCACAUAUAAUCCCAGCGUUGGGUUAAGGAUUUAACAAUCCUAGAUUAAAAAAUCCAACAAAACUAUUACUUAUUUAUUUUAUUUUUUUACAAUAGUUUACAUAUAAUUCAAAGUCCUGUACAAUUGUCUCUCUAUCUUCACAUUAAACAUAAUUAAAAAGGAGAAUUUAUUUCAACAUUUUUUAAUAUGAACCUUUGAGACUUGUUAUCUCAAUUGUCGUAUAAGAAUUGAUUUGAUGUUGGGUUCCAGCAGUACCAGCUUACUUUUACGUAUCUUGGAUGCUAAGUGUAUUGCACAUGGAUCUGGUACUUUGAUGAUAUGAUCAAAAUUGGAGAUUGGAUUUUAGGGUGAGAUAACUGGCUUUUCUCUUUUGAGGGUAAGCUUGUACUUUUAUGGCAUGUGCUUCUUCCAUACCGUUACAUAUCUUCCAAGUCCUCUGAUUGCCUACGGUAGUCAUUAAUCAUCUCGAGCAAUAGUUCACCAAUUUCUUAUUAGGAGAUACAAAUUCAAGACGGCGCAUCUACUGGUGCAAAUUACCAUAUGUUUAAUUCCUUGUGGAUGAAAGUGGUUUGGGAAUUCAUUUUCUUUUUCAAAUCUGGCAGAUGCAUUUGAGUUAAAAAUGUGGUAGAGAUUUCGGGACCAGCAAUCUCUUUGGGCUUCACUCAUGAAGUCCAAGUAUUGCAAAACCUUACAUCCCAAAAUGGUUCGAUUUCACUAUUCUAUUUCCCUAUUUUGUCGACAUUUUUGCUCCAUUUGUUAUGUUGCUAAGCCUCAUAUACACUGGCUAAUUAGAUCUAGUGAUAAUAAUUUCUUGUAUGAUUGUUGUUUGUGGUUUAUACUUCUCUUUCUUUUUAAAAUUGGUACUGCUUCUAUGGUUCCUGUGUCAUUCUUUUGGCGAGGAGCAGUUUAGGAUAGGAGCAGGCUAUUGUCUGUUCUACUUCAAUUGUUGAGUAGAUUUUGUUGAUCACUAUUUUUGCUGUUAGACCGAAUAUUCUUCAUUGGACUCUAUCUAGGGAUGGGAAUUUUUCUAUAAAGACUAUUUGGGAGCUUGUUCGUGGGUCUCGGAUCUGGAAUGAGAUUUUUACUUAUAUUUGGCAGCAACAUAUUCCUAAUGAGGUAUUUUUUGUUAUUGUGGUUGUUGUAUGGUUUCUUAGCUGCGAAUGAUGCCUUGGGCUUGCACCAUUAAGAUAUUCAGGCAGUUAUUUUGUGAAUUGCUCAUUAGUUGCGCAAAUCUGACAACGAUUUUACUCGAUGAUUGGUCUUUGAUACCUUCCUUUCUAUCUCCUCAUACGUUGCUUGUUCACUGGCGGCAUUGUGCCCAUUCUUCGAGACAUUUUCGAGUCCUUCUCUCAUGCUUCAUCCUGUGGCAUGUCUUGAAGCCUUGAAAUGCUUUUAGAUUCGAUUCUAGUUGUCAUUGCUUUUUGAGUGGUUUCGGGCCUUAGACUCGCUAGCUCUGUUUUUGGUUUUAAGUUAUCCCAAUUGAGGGGUGUUUUGGAUACCCAUAUUAGAGAGGGUUUGUAGAUAUUUUGCCUCCUCUUUGACCGGUCGCUUGGUUUCCUAGUUGAGGCUACCGCCUGGCGUGAUGAAGUUAAAUGCGGAUGGUUACUCUAGGGGCACCUCUGGUAUGUCUGCUGCUGAAAGUGUUCUACAUGAUCAUUCGGGAGUAGUAUUAGUUGCUUUUGGUUCUUUCUUAGGGCACCAAUCAAUACUGUUUGCUGAGCUGUUGGCUAUGCUUGAAGGAUUAGAUCUUGUGCUCAGCUUGGGUUUACUGUUCUAGAGUUGGAAUCUAACUUGGCCACUGUGGUUUCUUUAGCUACUUCGCUUAUCUCCUGGGUUGGAUUCAUGCUUUAUUUUCUAGUCCUUUUAUUACUAUCAAACAUGUCUUUUGAGAGGCCACUUCAGCCACUGACUUCAUGGUUGAUUAAGCAUGUACUCAUAAGACUCAUCAGCGAUUCUUCAGCUCUGGGGAUCUUAUAUCUGGUCUAUUUGGCAUUCUUCAUUUAGAUGCUCUCGAGUUCCUUUAUGUUCAACAUUGAUUUCCCUUUGUUGGUUUCUUUUAUAGUUUGUUUUCCUUUUUUUUUUAAAGAAGUUUUGGUUUAUGUCCCCCUCUUCAUAUUCUUUUCAUCAUCUAAUUUUUCUUUCAUUGUAGGUAGAGGUUUGGCCUAAUCCCCCACCUUCAUGAUGGUUUAGAUUAAAAAAGAAAAAACCAAUUUGACGUUAGGUUUGAAUAUCCUAACUAGAGAGGGGCGAGGAUUGCUAAGGAUCCUUUGGUAAUGAGAUUCACAAGAUUUACACAUAAAUCAACUGGAAUAAUAUCGAUUUGUCAUCCUCACAAAUGGUGGAAAUCAGAGAAUCCACUUUUCGUAUGCUUAAAGUUCUUGGGAUUGAAAAAUUGCAACAAGCUAAAAAUGUGUCAUAAAGAUUUUUUCUUGGAAAAUGUUAUAAGAUUCUUCUACAGUUUUACCCUUUUCACCUAUUCCUCUUUCAAUGUGAAAAAAAAUGCAAAUUAGUUUAAACUUUAGAGAAUUUCAGAUGAAAUUAUUUCUGCAUCCAAUUAGAUUGUAUCUACUUGUUUGUCCAUUAUCAUAAUCUUAAUUUAGUAUAUAAUUGUAAUUAUCCAAAUAGGGCUUUUAAGGGGUAAAUAGAAGGGGUGCUAAUAGUCCCACUCUUUCCGCAAUUAUUAUUGUCCUCGAAUAUUUCUCCAACAUUUUAUUUCAUAUUUGACUUCUGCUACUAAUACUAUAACAAAAGACGCUUUUUGACCAACAAAGUGUUGGCUCCACUGGAAAUGAAGUCCCCUUAAGUGGCUUGACUGGGUUUGCUCCCCAGUUCGAGUCGCAGGGAAGUCCCCUUUGUUGGGAGAACAUGUGCCUCUCGAUUCGAGCGGGGACUUCUACUCUGGAUUGUGGUACGGGCUUAAAGGUGCCUCCCACAGUUAGGGCCCUCCCCAGGAUACCUCGUGGUCAAAACCAAAAAAAAAAAAAAGACGCUUUUUGAAUUACAUCAGUUUCUAGUUGCAUUUUAUUGAUAAAUUAGCCGAACGCAGAUUUUUUAUUUCAUAUUUGACUUCAGCUACUAAUAACAUUGUUUGAUGCAACAUUUUAUUUCAUAAUUGACUUCUGCUACUAAAACUAUAAUUCAAAAGAUGCUUUUUGAAUUACAUUAGAUUUUUUAUUGAAAACGAACAAAGGGAUUAUAUUUUACAAUUUAGGAAAUAACUAUAUUUAAUAGAGAUAAUUUUGGGAUAUAGCAUUUACUUUCUAUUGAGAUAUUUUCAUAUAUUAGAUAAAAGUUUACUUAAAAAACAAAAAUUAGACUUCACACGUUUAACAAAUAACUCGAAGGAAUAUGAAUAAGAAUUAUUAAAACAAAAAUGAUAAAUAAGGAUAAUUUUAAAAUUAAAUGCAAUUAAUUGAGAGUUGAUGACUAAUGAGAAAAAUUGGGGGAAAAUAUUAAAAAAUCAACCAACUACUCAUGGUUGAUAGUCAUGACCCACUCAAUUUGAGAAUUAAAAGGACAAAAGCCAUGUGUUGAAAACUAUGGUGUUCAUGGGGAAAUUUCAGGUAAAAGUCUAAAAAGCAGUGAAAUUAUCGUGCAGCGCACGGUGCCUGGACAAUGAGAUGAAGUUGAAAAAUUAUCACGAAACUUCAAGGAAGAGUGCCAAUAGUCUUACUCAUAACGCCGUGUCUAACUCAUAACAUAGAGUAAGAGUUCUACGAAAGUAACGGCAGAGUGCCAAUAGUCUUGACUCAUAACGCCGUGCCUAUAAUUUCAACUGAAAAAAUCUGCCAAGUCGAAAAAUUAGGUGGGCGUUUCAAUAACCCUUGAAUAUUCCAUGAAUCAUUGUCCAGGAAGCUUGGAAAAUGAGAUAUCAGGUCAAUAUAUGCUGCAGAGUCACGCUCAUUUUGGCUUAGUAAUUGUUUUCAUCUGAUCACAAUCUCUCUCUAAUCAAUUCAACUGCUUCUGUUGAUUAUGGCUUCUUUUUCUCGAAACAACAAGAAGUAUGAUGUUUUUGUAAUAUAAGCUGCCUUUUUUUAAGUGGAACUGCAAUUGAAGAACUGCCUUCAUCAAUUGAGCUUCUACUUAGGCUGGAGUACUUGGACCUUUCAGACUGUAAAAGGCUUAAGAGUCUCCCAAGCAGCCUAUGUAAGUUGAAAUCUCUUGAAAUUCUUGAUCUCAGUGGUUGCUCAAAUCUUCAGAGAUUGCCCGAAUGUCUUGGCCAGUUGUCCUCUCUAGGAACAUUGCUUCUAGAGAAAACCAAUAUUGAGAGAAUACCAGAAAGCAUCAUCCAAAUUUCUGUGUUGACUUACCUCCGCUUAAGCUAUUGUGAGAGGCUUCAAUCCGUACCAAAGCUUCCAUUCCUUAUACGAUGUUUAGAUGCCGAUAAUUGCACAUCGCUGCAAUCAUUAUCAGGUUUAUUCCCAAGUUCUGAAUUUUAUAUAUAAGCAGUGUUUUUUUACUAGAGCAAUAAUUUGUAUUCCCAAGUUCUGCAAUCAUUUAGUGCUAUUGUAGCAUUUUCAGACCGUCAUGUAGAUGAUGACAGAUGGUUUUCAUUUUCUUGUGAGUUCAAAAUGAAAACCGAAGAUUGUGAUCCGCAUGUCACGCGGAGAUUUCUGAAGCGCCUUGCUUACGUAGAAUCAGCUCACUUACUUUUGGGGUGCUAUUUUUUCAGUGAGGAGGAUUUCCAUGGUUUUUGGAAAUAUAAUUGCGUUCCUGAGGCAGUCCGCUUCUUUUUUGAUGAUUUUGAUCGUUUUCCAUCUUUGGAGUGCGAGUGCUGCGGGGUGAAAAAAUGUGGAGUCCAUUUACUUUACAUCCCAGAUUCUACGGAUUCAAUGGAAGUUCCAAGCAGAUGUUUCAACUGUUACGAAGAAGGCUUAAGAUUUUCAUGAAUGUAAUUUUAUUUUUUUCUCUUUUGCUAAUCACUAUUAAUAAUUAAAAAAAAAAAGCCAAGAUUAGUCUUGGAACAAAACAUGCAUGUAAUAAUUUUCGAGGGACGUGGUGCAUGUAAUAUUAGAUGAAGGGUAUAGUGAAAGCACGUAUUUAGCAUUGUAAAAUUACUGGCCUUCUUUUCCUGCAGAUUUAAUCUACUUGGCGUGUUAUUUUUUUCCCUAUUUUUUUUUUAAAUGCAGGUGUUUCAUUCAUGAUAUUUUAGGAUAACGAAAAAUGGACUGAAUAGAGAGAAGAGACUUCGUUUCACAUCUUCAAAGAUUGCAUCUGCAAUUGGCCUUUGCUUCAACAAAGGAUCAAUUAGCCAAAGCAAUGGAAACAAUAGCUUGAUUCUCCAAUCGUCAACAAUGCCUUGUAGUUUAUGCCGCCAGCAUAAUUCAACAGAACAAGCCCUCUAACAAGUAUUUGUAUGUAUGUAUGAUCAUUCAUUCUCAAUCAACCACCAAACUGAUGUCUACAAAGCCAUGAGGAUUGUCUCACAAGUCCCUUAUUUUCCCUCUCUUUUGGCCGGAGACCAGUAAACCAUUUGAAAUACGGAUGUGUAAACCAGAAAAUAAAUCACGAAGUUACACACUAGUCUGCUUUCGCACUCAUUCGGAACUAUAAUUGAUACUUGUUGAUGCGAGAUUCUGGUUACGCUCUUCCUACGACCAGGAUAUUUGCUCGAUCAACCUCACCUCGAUCAGGAUCUCUCCUCGUAUGCUUUCUUCUCCAAGUAUUCCUGCGUCCACAGAAACAAGUCAGAGCACGCCGGUUGUGUUCCCGGCGUAAACCCUCCGACGCUCAAGUCAGAUAUGAAGGCUUUUGGAACGCUUGCCACAGAUCUUAUGGCUUUUUGAUAGUUUUUCCUUCUUUUAGAAUUUCCCUUUUCUCUGUUAUAAUCUCAAAAUUGCUAACCCUUUUACCUUCGUUGGCUACCUUUUUAUAGGUUACUUCUGAGCUCGGGCCUCCCCUCCAUUCGCGCUCGUUAUCUUCCCACCUCUCGAACGUGGACUCCCCAUUUCCGUAAUUGUGGGUGGUUGCGUGGCCUUCGUGCCUAGAUUCUCGGAUUGGAGAGCAUGCCCCGCCAACCGUCAUUGACUGGGUCUCCUCGAAUCAACACUUAGCAGGAAUACAACAGAAAUGGCUUUAUGCUUCUUACAGGAAAUUGGCCUCGCGGAUGACGUGCUCGUGGAUGAGCAGGAUAUUCCUGCUCCUGCUCCCCCGGAUACCAGGCUCUUACGGGACACACCGGUUCGCAGAACUCUGCUAUCAGAUAUCUGCUCAUCAUGCCUGGUCUCGUCGAUAUGGUAUGGUGUAUAAAUUAUACUAAAGUGAAGGCUGGAUCAAUAAGAAAUUCAAAAUGUUUCAUCACAUUUGGGGCUUGAUGAUGCCAUAGAAAGACCAUACCAAUUAUGACGAACAGUAAAAUGUGAACAAGAACAAGCAUACAUUUAAGAAAGCAGAGAAGCAUGAUUAAAAUAAAUGAUUCUUCUCACUAUUCUAUGUUGUUGGAAAUGGACCAAAAUAAAAAAGAAACCAUAUAUGGAACGUCACAACAAGAAUAUUUGUGCAUUUGUACAUCAUAGGAUAUUGGGAAGACAUCAGCAGAAAAGUGCAAUUUUUUUUUUUUUGGGGGAAAGGAACAGAGAAGUGCAAGUCAAAAAGGAGAAAAAAUAAAAACAGAGAGAUUAAAAGGAAUGCAAUCUAAUUAAUCGUCUAAGGAGGCUACUAUGCUACAUUUAGCCAUUCGUUGAAUAGGCAACUUGUCUUCUAGUACAACUUUAAAUUUACCAAGAUUGAGAAUUUUCCUUCGGAAGAAAAGUAAUUUGUAUAGUGGCCAUUACCAUCUUCAUCCCAACGGUAAGCAGCUCCAUACUAAGGAAAGAGUGAAAUAGGUGUGCUUUACUUGUAGAAGCUCGUUCCUGUCCAGAGUGAUUAGUAAGUUGUUUCACCAUGACCCCCAUUAUGGUGACUGGAAAAAGAAAAAAAAAAAAUUUGCCCAACACAGAAGUGGCACCCAAGAAGUCCUACUUAAGAGGCUUCAUACCCUGCACAAAUCAGAAAGUUUUUAAAAAUUUUCAUGUUCCAGGUUCCAAAUGAAGAUUGCCCAUUAAAAAAUUACACACAUAAUGUAUGUAAAGCAAUUAAAACAGAAAAACAAGGAUAACCCAGAAACAAUCCAACCAUCAAUAACAUAAAACUUUUGUAAUUCUGGUAAAGUGAAUGAGAAGCAAAACAUACAUUUCACGUAAUAAUGAAGAUACAUCUUUUAAUCAGUUUUUGCUCUUAUUUUAUUCUCGUACUUCCUUCCAAUAACAAUUCAUAAUGCAGGUUGGUAUCUUGAAAAAUUAUAUCAUACAUUUCUCUUAUCAAUGGGGCAGGUUGCUAUUGAACAUUAUUCAUAAACAAAGAGCCAAAUAUGCUUUAAAGCUACUUAAAAAUAUGCCAUCAGGCAUUGACGCAGACACUCAACAACAAAAAAACAGAGUUAUCAGCACUUAACAACACAAAAGUAAAAAAGAAAAUACUCUCACUCAAGUAUUAUAUUUGUUGCACAAAUAAGAAAGACGAUAACAAUUUUAAAUUAACCAACAGGUUGAAUCUUAUCGUAAUACACACUAUCAGCUAUGAAUCAUCCGAUAGAAUCAUCCGUGACAAUGCUCCAGUGCUUAACCUGCCACAUUUAUAAAACCUUAUUUCAAAUAAAAUUACAGUUAAGGGCAAAGAAGAAAUAAACACAUGUAGGAUUUUUUUCCCAACAAAUUACUUACAUUAAUAAUCAAUCCCUUUUUUUUUUAAUUUCCUACCAUUUUAAUUCUUAUCUAACUAAGAUAAAUUGUAUAAAUAUAGAAUAAUCUAUUUUUCUUUUCGUAUUUCUUAUUGAUUAAAUAUUUCGUACUCAAGAUUACUUUCAAAUUACAAUCUAAAAUAUGUGUUAUUUAAGCUAAUGAUUAGCAUUCAAACUUUAUCACCUAGAAAACUUUUUAAUUUGUAUGUAGGAUAACAAUAAGAUUGUAAAAGGGAUGAAAAAUAGCACAAUACUACUUUGAGUUUUAACAAUAAAAAAAGAUUAAAUGAAAAACUAAAAGAGCGUCUUGGAAAAUAAAAUAAAUAUAACUGAAAAAAAAGGUUUCAUUAAGAGACUAGAGGGGUGCCAAUAGUCCAACUUUUAAAAUAAAGUUUUAUCAAUUAUUGAUCCCUUUUUCUGCAAUUAUUAUUCCCAACAAAUAUUUCUCCAACAUUUUAUUUCAUAUAUUUACUUCUACUAUACUCUAACAAAAGACGCCUUUUUGGACUACAUCAGUUUCUACUUUCUAGAUGCAUUUCAUCCAUUGUUCAAUUUCUCUAUUUUUUUUUCUCUAAACAACCACUUUCUGUCAGCUCUCUUAAAAUUUAUUAAGGAAUCUAUGUUGAAGACCAUUUCAUCCUUAGUAUUGUGUAAAUGUAUAAAAAUACAUUUUACACUUUCAAAUUUAAAAUGACCUUCUUUUAGCACAAAAUUUUAAAACAAAUACCUCUAACUAAGCAACAAAAUGUAGAACACAUGAUAAGUACCAUAUCAGCCAUAUAAAAAGUGAAUCACACUAUGAUAUAUGUGCAUUUAUUUUGAAAAAUCAUCACGUAAAUAAUGGUUAUAUUGAAUCUAAGUAAGUGAAUAUCAUACAUGACACAACCCGGCCCAGCCUCUCUGCCGGAUUCGAGGUGAAUCAUGUGAUCUUAUAUCUAAAGCUUGUGAAAUAAAUUUAAUUCAUGAAUGCAUAACACUAGUCUCGGCCUUUGUUAUAAACAUAUAAUAACAUAUGUGACUCAUUCAAAAAUAUAUUCAAAACUUGCACAAUUUACAUCUUACUGUACAUACAUACACUUUAGAUAUAUACAUAUAAACAUAAACAUGCUCAAAAUAUAAGUUAUGCAGUAAUGCGUGUUGUAGCCCAACAUCAACUGAUUAGAAACUGAACUGCACAAAAUCCUAUGAAAAUCUUAAAGAAAUGGGGUAAAUAUGAAAAUAGUAUACUUGUGGCUAAAUGAGUGGAUAUAAUUAUAUAUAUAUAAAUAAAUUAGCGCUCUAGUGCUUGUACAUAAUUGUAUGACAUAACUUCGCACUGAACGCAUUACACAAGCAAACAUGAAAUCAUAUAUUUAUACAUGAUAAAACUGCACCAAAUAAUAUCUAGGAGAAAUAACUCUUCAAUACUCACUGGAAUCAUCGUUGCACAAGUAAAGUAGGGGAAACACCUCUCAAUACUCAGCCGAAUUAACUACAUCACAAGGGCCGAGUAAUCUAACUCUCAAUACACAUACAUAGAGCCUAUGGGGAAGGGUACACAUAUGAUAUCUGGCAAUUACAUCUCAUUAUUCAAUUAAUCAUAUAAUAUCAGUAUAUAUAAUCAUGACAUGAUACUAAAUCAUACUAUCAAGCAUCAAUACUUUGUAGAAUACAUAUAAGUAAUAAUAGUAAUCCACUCACAAAACAUUUUUCACUAUGGGGUUUGUUGGAGCUCCUAUAGAUUCCUUAAUUCUUGAAUUUCUCCUAAAAUAUAGGGUUAAAAAAUUAACUAUUAGAACUGAUAUAAAAACUUUUACAUAUGACAUUAACUAAAUCAUAAUUGUUCAAAUUUCUUAAAUACGUUACCUACUGACUUACUGGAUAUAGAUAUAACUAUCCAACUCUCUUUCCUAUAAUAUUUCCUCUCAAUUCCUCUUUUCAAAAUUAUUUUUCGCUCUCGGUUUUUCUUUUCUUUAUUUUUUCUUCUUCAUCUUUUAUUCUUCUGUUCUUUUCCACUUCUUCUUCAUCUUUUCUUCUUUUGUUCUUUUCCUCUUCUCUUUUCCUUUUGUUUUCUUCCCUUCUCACCUUUUCCUUUCUUUUUCUUUUCUCUUUGAAUUGCUUUGUUUUAGUUUGAUUCUUGAAAAUGGUGACAGUUGCUUCAAUUCUUUACUUUAUACAUAUCCAUUACCUCCAAUCAUGCACGACAAGCACAUAGCAUGCAUGUGCUUUGCUUUAAGCCGAUAGCUUGCUAAUUAGCCACAUGUGCUCCCUUUUGGCUUGCAUGUGCGUCACAAUAAAUGCAUUAAUUGGUUGUAUUAUUUUUAAUGUAUUAUAGAAUUUCUUUUAAUGAAGGACGUAGCCAACAAUUUUAUCCAGUUAAACAUGUUCUUUGACAUAUAAUAUAGUUUAUGGUCAAACAACUCAUAAGUAGUUGAAAUUAAAUUAUUUUCUAAUCUCAAUUUUCCUUUCCUCUCAAUUUUAAAAUACUUUAAAAGAUUUUCAAACAUAAGAUACAAUGGUAUACAAUUGAAGCCUAAUCCAACAUUGAAAGAUUAAAUAAAAUUAAUUUUCAUCACUACUCAAGAGACUUGAAAGGACAUUAAGGUAGCAUUUAUUUUUUAUUUAAAAUCUGAAUAGGUCAGAAUUUGAUUAAAAUCUGAAUGGCCUUGAAUAUAAAGGUUUCAAUAACAUGUUAUUUUUUUAAUAUCUAAAAAUUAAGUGGCAUCUUGUUUGAUUUAUAAUAAGAAGGGAAAUUAUCAUUCGUAUACCCUAAAUUUGUGCUUCUAUAAAAAAAUAUUACAACACUUUAAGGGUGUAUCAAUCAUCCACCCUAAAUUGACAAAAGUUAUCUGCCGACCACUAAACUGUUAGCUACCAUUUGAAAGUUAACGGAACUGUAGCUAAUUAACAAUUUUACCCUUGAAAAUUAUCACUUGUAUACCCUUAAAAUAACUUAUUAUCACUUCUAUACCCUAAAAUUAUCACUUGUAUCAUAUAAAAAGACCAUAUUACCCCCCUGACGUCAUCAUAUUUAAAUGGCAAUUAACGGUUUGGUGGACGGCAGAUACAUUUUGUCAACUUAGGGUGGACGACUGAUAUACCCUGAAAGUAUUGUACUAAAUUUGAUAAUGGAGUAAACUAAGGGUAUACGAUUGAUAAUUUCCCUAAUAAGAAAACACAUUAAAUGUGGUUAUUUAGCGGUUAUGUCUUUAUAGGUCAAAACGAAUAAAAGGGAUUAGGCUUCGUAGUUUAUGAAAUAACUAUAUUGAAUUGAAAUAUUUUUAGGAUAUAGUAUUUAUUUUCCAUUCAAACAUUUUUUUUCAUUUCGGCAAAGGUCACAAAAAUUUACUUUUUAAAUUCAAAUGUAAAUAUCUAAAAAUCAGACAUAUGUUACAAAAAAAACAAAUAGCUAAUUUUUUAAAAAAAAUUAAACUUCAUAUGUUUAAAAUCAACGCUACGAAACAUGAAUAAGAGCUAUUAAAACAAAACAAAAAAGAAUAAUUUUGAAACUAAAUACAAUUAAUUGAGAGAUGAGGACCGAUAAGAUAAAUUCAGAGAUAAAAAGUAACAUAUCACCCUACUUAUUGCUGGCAGUUAUGAGCAUUAAAGCACAGAAGCCGUACCAACAAAGUGGUGGCUCCACUGGCAAUGGGGUCCCCUUAAGUGGCUUGACUGGGUUUGCUCCCCAAUUCGAGUCGUAGGGAAGUCGCCUUUGUUGGGAGAACAUGUGCCUCUCGGUUCGAGCGGGGACUUCUAGUCUGGGUUGUGGUACGGGCUUAAAGGUGUCUCCCACAGUUGAGGCCCUCCCCAGGAUAUCUCGUGGUUAAAACAAAAAAAAAAAAAGCGCAGAACUCGUGUGUUGAAAAGUAUGGUGUUCGUGUGGACUUUUCAGCUAAAAGUCUACAAAGCAGUUGAAUUAAUCAAUCGUCGUGGAGUGCACGGUGCUUGGACAUUGAGAUGAAAUUGAAAAAUUAUCACGGAACUUGAAGGAAGGUUCAUGGCAUCGAUUUAUUCUACAGAGUCACGCACAUUUGGUUCAAUAAUUGUUUUCAUCCGAAUCAAAAUCUCUCUCUAAUCAAUUCAACUGUUUCUGUUGAUUAUGGCUUCUUCUUCUCGAAACAACAAGAAGUAUGAUGUUUUUGUUAGUUUCAGAGGAGAGGACACCCGAGACAACUUUAGUAGCCAUCUCUAUUCUGCUCUGAGUCGACAAAAUAUCCAAACUUUCAUUGAUGACCAACUUAACAGAGGAGAUGAAUUUUCGGAGUCACUUGUGAAUGCAAUUGAAGCAUCAGCCAUUUCAGUUAUCGUCUUCUCAGAAGGGUAUGCAUCUUCCAGAUGGUGUCUCGAUGAACUUGUAAAGAUCCUCGAGUGCAAGAAAGAGUAUGCACAGAUUGUGAUUCCGGUUUUCUAUCGGGUUGAUCCAUCAGACGUGAGAAACCAAACUGGGAGUUUUGGCAAUUCAUUUUCGAAGCUUGAAGAAAGGUUUAAGGAGAAUUCAAAGAAGCUGCAGACAUGGAGGAAUGCUUUGAAGGAAGCAGCCACUUUGUCUGGCUUUCCUUCUCAGAACAUCAGGUGAAAAGUUACUUUUAAUUUCGCAUACUAAUAUUCAACACUGUAAAUAAAAUUCACACAGCACUCUUAGUUAAAUUUUCCAGAUGAUAAACUACACUUUUAAAUUUUUUUCAUGCAUCAAAUUCUAGACUUCUUGAACUUCCCCACUUUUGAACUCCUAUAAAAGAAGUUUUGCAGAAUUAAUAAUAAAAGCUCCAGAAGUUUACAAUAUAUUUUAACAAAAUUAAUGGUGUUCUGUCGUUUUUUAAUCAAUUUCAAUCUCUUACUCAUAUACCACUAGGAAAAAAAAAAUCUCUUCCACAUAUAACAUAUUCUUGUAAUUAAAGAGUUAAUAAUUUAUAGGGAGAUUGGAAAUUUCCUUACUCAAAUCAAUAUAUACCACUUAUUUUGACUAUUUUUACAAUAUUUAAUAACUCUCCUGGUACCAUCACUUUACAAUUGGACAACGAGCAAUCUCCCUUAUUUCAAUUUUAUGCAAAUCCCUUCUAUUUGAAGUUACUGCUGCUAAUUUUAUGUAUUUGGUAGGCUUGAAUCGAAACUUAUAAACGAAAUUGCUAAUCACAUUUUAAAGAGACUGCUGGAUCAAGUUUUUCGGCGGAAUGAUAACAAAAACCAGCUGGUUGGAGUAGAAUCAAGAGUUGAGGAAAUUCAAUCUCUACUAGGUGUUCAGUCGAAAGAUGUUUACGCUUUAGGGAUUUGGGGCAUUGGUGGUAUAGGCAAAACAACAAUCGCUAGAGCUACUUUCGACAAAAUCUCUAGCGAUUUUGAAGGUUCUUGCUUCCUUGAAAAUGUUAGAAAAGAGUCACAAAAACCGGGAGGAUUAGCUUGCUUGCGACAAAAACUUCUUUCAAAUUUAUUGAAAGAUAAAAAUGUGAGUCUUGUUAUUGGUCUUAAUUUUAGAAGGCUCAGCCGCAUGAAGGUUCUGAUUGUUUUUGAUGAUGUGACUGGCUUCAGCCAAUUAGAAUCUAUAAUUGGAAGUCUUGAUUGUUUGACGCCUGUGAGUCGAAUCAUAAUAACCACCAGAAAUAAACAAGUGCUUAGAAAUUGGGGGGUGAGUAAAAUAUAUGAGAUGGAGGCAUUAGAAUAUCAUCACGCUCUUGAGCUUUUCAGUCGACAUGCCUUCAAACAAAACCAUCCUGACGUUGGUUACGAGAAAUUUUCAAGCAAGGUAAUGAAAUAUGCUCAAGGUGUUCCUUUAGCUCUUAAAGUGUUGGGUUGCUUUCUAUAUGAAAGAGAAAAGGAAUUCUGGGAAAGUGCAAUAAAUAAAUUGCAAAGAAUCCUCCAUCCAAGUAUCCUAGAGGUAUUAAAAAUAAGUUACGAUAGUUUGGAUGAUAAGGAGAAAAAUAUUUUCCUUGAUGUUGCUUGUUUCUUUAAAGGCGAGGAUGUAAAUCUAGUAAUGAAAUUCCAUAAUGCAAGCGGUUUCUACCCAGAAAUAGGAAUAAGUGUUCUUGUUGAUAAAUCUCUCAUUGCUAUUGGUUCAUACAGCAAGAUAAGAAUGCAUGAUUUACUACAAGAGCUGGGUAGGGAAAUUGUUCGACAAGAAUCAAUUAAUCUUGGAAACCGCAGUAGGUUGUGGCAUCAUGAGGAUAUCUAUGAAGUUCUUACAUAUAACACGGUAAGCAGUUUGUUGUGGAUAAUUAUUUUGAAAUAUUCUAGCAUUUACAAACUUGAUAUGAAUAUAUUUAUAUAUGCUCGAACUGAUGAGUCUUAGAAUUAAUAGAAGAGCAACAAUGAUUAGAAAAAAACCAUAUCCGUUAGAUGACGUAGCAAUAAAUUAUAAAUGCCAUGACAACUUGCAUAAUCAUUUGCAAGCAUAAUUGAUAUGCCAAUUUGUAUAGUACACAGACGGAAUUUUUAUAUUAAGUAUUACUUGUGUUAUUAUGUUUCUUUGUGCAUUUGCAAUUAAAAGUUUAACUGCCUAGCAAUAACUAAAAACAUGAAUUAUUGAUUUGAGAAAUGAUAAAGAGUCCACUCCAAUCCCACAUAAACUCGACUAAAUAAUAAAUAAAAAGUUGAAUUAUUAACUAAGCUACCUCUAAUUGUGAAUUAGUGAGAAACUUGCCCCAAAAAUUUGACUUGGAGGGGUUGAAGUGCGAUUCAUUGGUGGAAUACACAUAUAUUUCAUUUGAUUUUAACUUUAUUGCUUUUUCAUUUAUUUUUAGGGAACAGAAAAAAUUGAGGGCAUAUGUUUGGAUAUGUCAAAAGUAAAAGAGCUCUGUCUUAAUCCCAAUACUUUCACACAGAUGCCUAAAUUGAGAUUUUUAAAGUUCUAUAGUUCAUCAGUCAAUGGAGAGAACAAAUGUAAGAUAUCUUAUUUGCAAGAUUCCGGAUUUGCUGAAGUGAAAUAUCUUCACUGGUAUGGAUAUCCGUUGAAGUCAUUGCCGUCAAACCUUGGUGCAGAGAAACUUGUGUUACUUGAAGUGCCUGAUAGUGACAUUGAACGACUUUGGGAUUGUGUGAAGGUAUGCAUAUCUUAUUAUAUAUGUGCAAUCUUUCAAUAACAACCUUAAAUUAUUAUACGUGGUAACGAUUUUGUCUUGGCCUCUUUUUUGACCGAGCAGCAUUAUAGUAAGUUAAACCAGAUAAUCCAUGCUGCCUGCCAUAAGCUAAUUGCCAAAAUUCCAAAUCCCACGUUGAUGCCACGUCUGAACAAGCUAGUUACGUUGAAUCUAAGAGGUAGCAAAAGCCUGAAAAGUCUUCCAUCUGGACUUGGAAUUUCUUACCAAACUUGAUCUUUCGGGCUGCUCAAAACUGAAAAGGCUUCCAGAGAUCUCAUCAGGUAAUAUAAGCUGGUUAUUUUUAAGUGGAACCGCAAUUGAAGAACUACCCUCAUCAAUUGAGCUUCUACAUAGGCUCGGGUACUUGGACCUUUCAGAUUGUAAAAGGCUUAAGAGUCUCCCAAGCAGCCUCUAUAAGUUGAAGUCUCUUGGACUUCUUAGUCUCCGUGGUUGCUCAAAUCUUCAGAGAUUGCCCGAAUGUCUUGGCCAAUUAUCCUACCCAAUAAUAUUGAAUCUAGCGAAAACCAAUAUUGAGAGAAUACCAGAAAGCAUUAUCCAACUUUUCGUGUUGGGGUACCUCCUCUUAAGUUAUGGUGGGAGGUUGGAAUCCGGACAAAAGCCUUCAUUCCUUGAACGAGGUUGCUUGGCACUGCAACCAUUUUUAGGUUUGUUCUCUAAGUUAUGAAUCUUACAGGCAAUUUUUUUUGACCGGAGCAGUAAUUUUAAAUUGGAAGGUAAUUCUACUGCAGGAAUUAUUGAAGAUACCCUGAGAAUUCAGCAUACGAACCAUAUGCCCGAUGUACGUUUGCAAGAAAUAUGGCAAGAAGAUUGGCUAAAUGUGUGUCUUUAACUCUCUCUACUUACAAUUUCUACAAUCUUUUUUUUUUUGGGUUUAAAAUUAUGUUUUUUUGGUACAGAGAGGUUUUUCCAUGGGCAAAGGUCAUAUAGUACUACCUGGGAAUGAAAUUCCAAAGUGGUUUGAGUUUCAAAGUGUGGGAUCUUUUAUAACCUUGGAGAUGCCGCCAGAUUCCUUCAAUAAUAGCAGAGUGCAGGGCAUUGCAUUUAGUGCUAUUUUAGCAUUUUCAGACCGUCACGUAGAUUGUGGCAGAUGGUUUUCAUUUUCUUUUGAGCUCAAAGUGAAAACCACCAAAGAUUGUGGUACGCAUGACACACGAUUACUUCAUAGCAGAGUUAAUUAUGUAGAAUCAUAUCACUUACAUUUGGGGCACUAUCUGUUCUGUGAAGAGAAUUUUAAUGGUUUUUGGAAAUGCAAUUGCAUUCUUGAGGCAGUCCACUUUAAUGUUUUUCCCCCUUUGGAGUGCCAGUGCUGCGGGGUGAAAAAAUGUGGGAUCCAUUUACUUCACACCCCAGAUCCUACGUCAAUGGAAGACCCAAGCACAUGUUUCAACUGUAACGAAGAAGACUGAGAUAGGUGUCAUUUUCACUCAACUCACCUGAGUUGUGAAUCCAUUUGCUUAAACAUGUAUGCACUUUUUCAAGUAUCUCUACCAAUUCCAUAUUUGGAAUGGUGCAUUUGAUUCCAUAGUUGAUUUGGUAUCGUCUAUGGUUAGAAUUUAUAUUUACAAAAAUGACUUGUAAGGAAAGGAUUGAAGAUGCCUGUGAACUUAUAUUUCGAUUUAGAUUAUUGUAUCUUUUUCAUGUAUAAAAUUGGAUCCUAUCAUUCACAUAUCAUUGACAUGAGCAAUAUGGAUUACUAAAUCAUUAUUCUUUAUUAUUGUGCUGAAUUUGAUUUUUUAUUGAAUAAUUUGAUAUAUUUCUUGAAUCAAUUUGGAGCUUCUACAACUUGUCAGAGAUCAGUUUCUCCAACAUUCCUUUCGGCGCCAAAAGAUAACCAAGCGGUUGAAUAAGAAUUGAUAUAUACAACAUAAAUACAAGAGUUGUUUUGUCUUUUUACAAUAGGAAGAAUACAUAAUGCUCGUUAAAACUUGCUGAUGAGAAAGUAAAUUCCUCAGAAAUUAAAUGUUUCAGCCAACCAAGGAAGCAGCUUUUCAUGGACCAACUCAGACUUGUCGUCAUGGGGGCAAUGUCCUACUCCUUCCAAUACAAUUAGCUUCACAUUUGAGAGUUUAGAAGGCAGAGAUGAGAAGUAUUUACCAACAGGUCCAUCGAGGGGUGUGAAUGGAUCCUUAUCACCCCAUAAAACUAGUACAGGUAUAGAGAUUGAUGGCAUCAAUUGAACUGGGUUCGGCCCUGGUGGGCCUGUUACAAUCGAAACAAAUGCAUCAAGUGCCCCUUCCUCAUUGGCAGGCUCUCGUAUGAUCUGCAGUUUUGAGGUUGAUUCAUGAAUUCUGAGUAGCCAUGUUUGUAACAGGUUAAAAUGGCAUAUAAGAGGAGAAUAUUAAUACCUCAACCAGUGUUUCAUCCACAGAUUCCUUAUUUGCAUAAAUGGACAGUAAAAUAUUCCUCAGUGUUUCCCUACAGCACCAAUAUAUGAACAUCAUAGAGUUUUUUUUUUAAAUUUUGACUCUAGUGUCUUGGGAUAAUGAACAAUGGACUGAAUAGAGAGAAGAGAAAAUACCUUUGUUUCACACGCUCAAAUAUAGCAGAAGCAAUUGGCCUUUGCUUCAACAAAAAAUCAAUGAACCAAAGCAAUGGUAACAAUAGCUUGAUUCUCCAAUCAUCAACAAUUGCCUUGUUGUUCAUGCCACCAGCACAAUUCAACAGAACAAGCCCUCGAACAAGGGUUUGACUGGAUUCUUAUGGUAGAAAAUAUAGCAGGUUUGUCGUAAACCAUAGAUACCAAAAAGGAUAAUUAGGGACAAGUGAUUCUUUGCAAGCAAGUUGAAGAAUAUCUGAUGUCAAAGGGGAAGUUAAAAUAAAUAUACCUGAGGCAGCGAUAACACAAGCUAGGCUUCCAACAGAAUUACCUAUAAGCACAGUUGGCUUCUGAACAACUUCAUCCAAGAAAUCCAAUAUUAGCUGUAUCAGUGAAUCUCACUCAAGUUAGCAAGGAAAAUAACUAAAGUUCAAGUGAUUGAUGACGUAAGUACAUAGAAAGAUCCAACUUCUGGGUAGGGAACAUUGCACACCUGAGCCCAUGCCUCCAUGGUAUAUGAAUAACCAGCUGGCUUUUCUGAAGCUCCAAAUCCAAGAAGGUCAAUUGCAUAAACCGUGUAGCUCUUUGCCAGGGUGCCGAUAUUCCUGAAAUUACCUCAGAGAUGACAAGAAAAAUAUCAAUUCCUCGCAUUAUUUAAUAGGAUAAAGGAGUAGUGAACACACAAAUUUUCAUUCCCCUCUUCUACGGAGCGGUAAAAUGAAUACUUUUUCACUAGAUUAAGAAUCGGAAAAUGGAAGAAGCAUAUAUCCAUAAAAGGGUAAUAUGAAAUGGAACCCUGAAACUCAGAUCACUGGUUUGUCAUCGUCUAGGUGCAAGGAAUAGAACUAAGUGUUAAUGCCAAUGCACCAUGAAAUAAUGAAUAGAUUUUACUUUCAUUAUUCUUUUGCUUCAUUGAUCUUAAUUAAUUAUUAGAAGUAUAACACAUAUAAAUCCAUCCCUGGAGUUCAUAAUACAUAACAGAGUCAGAGAUAUUACAUACAUAAGGUAAAGACAUGCUCCAUACAAAAAAUAAAAAUUACAGUCGAAAAUACCCAGAACAUAAUUUGAAUUGAAUUCACAAUAAAGGAGCUACAUUUUUGUGCACCCAAUAAUCAACCCGCUAGACAAUUCACAACAACAAAGAGCAAUCUUAUCUCGCUAACCUGCGCCAGUGAGGAAUGGAGGCACCAAAGCCAUGGACAAGGAGUAGAGGAGGAGAAUCGGGAUGUGAAUUUGGAGUUGAAGAAACCAAGUAAUUGAUGGAGUACUGACCCUUCCAUUUCCACAUUUUGUAACUCUCCCUUAUCUCAUUAACCUCCAGUUCCAGUGCAGCAGAAGCAGAAUCCCCUCCACUGCUACUGUUAGUAUAACUGAUGGAAACAUUUUGUCUCUUCUNNNNNNNNNNNNNNNNNNNNNNNNNNNNNNNNNNNNNNNNNNNNNNNNNNNNNNNNNNNNNNNNNNNNNNNNNNNNNNNNNNNNNNNNNNNNNNNNNNNNUCUUUUCUUACUUUUUCAAUUGGAUAUUUUCUGUGGCCUGGCUUGGCCUGCUCCUCCCCUGCUUCCACCUCUAUGAGACUGUGGCUAUGACAAAAACUUUUUAUAUACUUAUUUAUUUAUUGGGCUUAUUCCACUAUAAUAUAAAAAUUUUACUGAUAUUCCUCAAAAAUCAAAAUGAUAAUACUUCGUCUAAAAAAUAAUUAUAAAACAUACAUGCUAUGUUUUUAAAUUUUCAAACAAAGAAGAACUUUGUAGAGUUAAUUAACUAGAUUUUCUUUAGUUUACUUUCUUGUGAUUUAGAUUAUUUUAUUAUAUUUAGCUACAAAGAUUGCUUUGUCAUAAGUUUAAAUUGAUUAUUUUACCCUUAUAAGGUAAAACCAUUAAGAAUUUACUCUAAUUUCAAUAUUUUUUUAAUUUUAUACCAAAUUCAUUGUUUCUAAUACUACUUUACUAGUAUGAGUUUUAAUCUUUAAUUAAACUAAAAUAGUAUCUUUAGGGCAUGAUACUCAUGUAAAUUAUUGGGAUGUCAAUUUUAUGUUAUUUACACACUAGAGAAAAUCACAAUUAGAUUUUAUUUUAAAAUAUUAUACUAUAAGCCACAAAAUUAGAUACAUAAAUUAUUAGAUACAAUAACUUGUGUUUAUUAUGGUAAUUUAGUCGCUAUAUAUCAUAAUAAUAAAAUACUAAAAUAAAACUUGUAUUAAAGUUUUAUGAUUAAAGAUGGUCAAAAAACCCAAGAAAAAAAUUAAUAGAAGGAUUUAACUGAUUAACUAUACAAAAUUUUUAUUAAUUUGUAUUUUUUAAAAAAAUAUUGUGAAUUCAUUGCAAUUAGUUUCUAGAAGUAGGGUGAAUUUACAAAAAUAGUGGGGUGCAAAUACCCUUACCCAGAUACUCCAUAAAAAGUGAAAACUAUAUUACCUUUUUUGAUGUACUUCUCUUGAAUUUUUUAUUUCUAAGGAUAAAGUUUAAUUCAUUCCUAAAUAAAAUGAUAAUCUCUAAUUUGCUCUCAAUGUAAACCUCAAUUUAUUCUUCAUUUCCGUCCAAAAGAUGAGGGGCAAAUAAGGAAUGUGUUCAUGGUUUUUUUGUUUUAAUCUUCUUAACAGGAUCCAGCUACUUUGCGUCAGGGGUUUGGUACCCCAGUCUUUUGUCCUAUAGCGAUUAAGCCUUUAGAUUGGUUGCAAAUAUAGUUGACGGUUGAGAUUUAACAGUUUGAAAAUGGGUAACCGGGUAGAAGAAUAGUAUCAGUAAAACAAAAAAGAAAUGGUAAUGAACGUCUUUCUCCCCACCGCUGAAGUGUGCUGUAAUAUUGAAACUGUUUUCAGAAGCUUCAAUUAGUGGGUCAGUUAAUUUUCUUAGGUUGGGGUUUGGGAAAAAAAGUAUUGAUUUAGAGGGUGAGUGGGUAGAAAGUAGAUUACGGGUACUGUGGCGUAAACUGGGGAUUUAAGUGAUGAAUAAGUUACGCUGUUAGGUUAGAAGUUGUCGUCAUUUGCUGUCAUCUAGGUCAACAUACAACCAUUUGAGUGGUGCUGGAGUAAAGUGAGCAGAGCUAAACUGUAGCGAUUUCUGUGGAGAGUUAUAUUUGGAGGUCAUAUCUGCUCGCAAUUUCGUUGCAAUUAGUUGUCCGCGGGAGCCUUAAUACGACAUUGAGGUAUGUAUUAACUGUGAAAAUUUAUAUGUGGCUCUUAAUUUGAGUGCACGUGUCUAAAUAGUAAACGGUAGUUGAUUGGGUACGCAUGAACAAGUAAAAAUAGGCAUAGAAUGUUAGGUUUGGUUGUAAAAUAGCAAUUGGGAGGAAGAAGUAGAAAUUGGGAAUAUAUUAUGUUAUGAAAAUUGAUAUGUUAGUUAUUAUGCAACUGAUAGAAGGAAACCUUGAUGAGGUGAUUUAGAUUUUGAUAGAUAAAUAUAUGUGAAACAGUAGACAUCAGAUUAAUAAUUAGUGUAUAGGCAUGAAAAGGCAGGAUUAUUUGAACAAGCAAUUCUGGAAAAACCAAACAUUGGUGGUUGUUGUACAAGCAUUGCAAAAAAUGUUAAUAAUUUAUAAUGGCGUAAGUAAUGUAGAAUUUGUUUGGCUUGUACACAAGUGUGUUCAUUUAAGUUGAUGUUAAUUCGUGAGUGGAAUAGGGAUGGUUUAUUCGGUUAUGGAAUGUGAGGUUGGUUUAUUUCGAAAAGACUUUAUGAAAUGUAGUAGACACAGCUGUUGGAAAUAAUUUGCCACAUAUUUAAAUGACAUUGAGAUUUGAAUAAUUGCAUUUCAGCUGACAGGUAAAGGAAAUAAUGUUUAUUCCAUAAUGGAAAACAGUAUAAAUGAUAGAUUAUGGUUGAAAUAGGUUGCAAGAAUGGAUGGAGUGACUAGUCGCAAGCGAAAGGAAUGGGAUUCCAGCAGGUGCAAUGAAUGUGUAGAAGAUGGCAAUGGUGGAGGAAAUGAAGGUGCUCGUUGCAACAAUGGAUUCGUAACUUUUUUGUAAGUUAUGGGGUUUAAUUUAAUUUGGGUAAAAAAAUUAAAGUAAAUGACAGCCGAAGAUGGUAUUUAUGUGAACUGUGAUGAAUAAUGAGUUGUGCUUUGGUUUAUUAAUUUGAUUAGUGGGGAAGCGGUACGACGAAUGAAGGCAAUCGAUGGAAGGGCAUGCAUUACAAAAGAGGUGAGUAAGUUGAAAGUGUAGUCGAUUGUGUAAAAAAUGAAUUUGUGGUUGUUUUUUAAAAUGACUAAAGCAUAUGAGGGGAAUGACUCAGGUUCGAAAGGAAAUUGGACAAGAAUUUAAGAAUUUGCCACCUGAACGGAAAAGCAAAUAUAGAAGUCAGCAGCAUCGAGAAGACAAAUAUGUGGAAGGUGAAGCCAAAUUUCUCACUAGGUGUGCUCCUGAUAGGCUAGCAGCCCUUAUAGCAGAAUUGACAGAGGAACAAAAAGAAGCAGCAUCUGAGAUAGGAUUGGGCAGAUUGAUUCAGCUGAAUUGUGGAAGGCUGAAAAGGAAACUAUGCAGUUGGUUAGUUGAAAGGAUAGACACAGCGAGUUGCACAAUAGAUUUAAAUGAUAGUAAGGUAGAGCUUAGUGGUCCUAGUUUUAGUUACAUAAUGGGAGUUAGUGAUGGUGGAAUACUUCUUCAGUUGGAGGGUGAUAAGUCUCGAGUGGCGGAAUACUUACACAAGUUUAAUGCAACAUCCAGUGGAAUUAACAUUAAAAGAUUGUCAGAUAUUUUACGUAAUUGUAGGGAAGCCGACGAUGAUUUCAAAGUGACAUUUAUGCUAUUUACAUUAUGCACUGUUUUGUGUUCUCCAAUAGGGGUGCACAUCAGUUCGUCAUUUUUAUUUUCGUUGAUCCAUAUUAACUGUAUAAGGAAGAUGAAUUGUGCAACGUUUUGUUUCGAUAGAUUGAUGCAAGGAACAAUUAGGUACAAGGAGGACAAGCUUGCAUACGUUGGUGGUUGUGUCCUAUACCUAGAGGUAAAUAAAUAAUUAAUGUCAUUCCAUCUACCCUUAAUAUUUAACUGAUUUGGUUGUAUUGAUUCGUUGUGAAUAUACCAUUUCUAUUGAGAAGUAAUAUCUUCUAUCUAUGGUUGUAUCAUGUGUCAGUUAUUGUUCUUUAAUUCAAUUGUGUACGGAGGCCUUUAUCGAGAUAGAUUAAUCUGCCCAGUGGCACUAUGGAAUGUUGUCGAGAUAAAGAGGUUGCUGAAGUGGAUAGAGAAGAAAGGGGGUUAUAAAAGCACAAGGGUAAGUUGUUCACGUGAAGACGAACUUGUCGGUAGAGAGAAAGUUACAAUGUUAGGAGCAUUAUAUGAACUUAACUGUGUAAAUUGUGAAUGUGAUUUUACAAAGAAAAUAAUUCUGUAACAUUGAAGUAUGUGUAUACUUUUAUAGUUGGCCAUUAUUGAAAACCCGGCCGGGGGGAGGCCACCUGGUGGAGGCAGUUAUACUUGUUCAGAUGAGGAGUGUAUCAGUGGCGUUAACAGAUAUGAAUGGAGUGCAACACCUUUGAUUGUAGAGGGCAAUGCUUUUGAGGCAGUUGAUACCUGCAGCCUGUCAAAAGGAGUUGUUGGAAACAUUGAUAUUGAAGGUUCAAGUAUACUUUGUUUUGUUAAUAAUGCAUCAGCAGCUGAAAGUCGACAAUCAUGUAGGGAGCAAAACAAGCAUCUAUCACUGCAGUACAGGGCUGGUCCAUUUGUGGUUCCGAUGUCACUACACUCGGAAGAGAUAAUGUUACUGGAAUACAUAAUGGCUGAAGACCUAGACGAAUGGUAAGUAACAAUGUACAUUGACGGCAAAUAUUGGAUACGAAUUAAGAAAUUCGUCGUAAGGAACGGAAACGUACCAUUGAUUUCGGAGAUGUUUAACUUUAUAAAUGGUGCUAACUUAUGUUGUUGGAUUCAGGGAGACACUUGUGAAGACCAAAAGAAAUUGUUUGAGUAGGAAAACCAUUAUGUCAUUAGCACUUCGACAGGUUAUCAAUGCUGAGGUAUGUUUUAAGAAUAUUGUUGGAAGUGUCCUUCAUAUUUGAUGCAUAUGUUUUGUGAUGGAAAUUAUUUAUUGGCCAAACUUGUGAGGUAGUUGUACUGUAACGACUGUAUCAUGAUGGGAAAUUAUUUCGUCUUCUAGGUUAUUUCUACACUGUCCGAAAUGCUGAGUGAGUUCCAGUUGUUCAAUGGCACAACAGGCCACAUUAGUUGGUUUCUGCCGGUGCUUGACAUGGUACAUGAGUGGGCAACUAAAAAUUUCCAACAUGUUUUAUGUUUGACGGAAUGGGGAGUUUAUCGAUAUCUGACUGAUUAUAGUGUGUUAUGAUUAUUUAUGAUUGGAAGUCAGGAUAAUCGCUCGUCCAUUUUGUACGGUGCAAACCUUAUCAUUACUUGAUACAUGAAACUUAUCAAAACUUCACCCCAACUUGCAGGCACAUGUCGCGGGCGACAAUCGUUUGUUGGAGAUGUGGUUACGCAAUAUAGCAUCCAAUAAUCAAUGUUGCACUUACAAGGCCUCAUGUGAUAGGGUAGAGUAAAUAUAGAUGCUUUAUUUUUACUAUAUGAGAUUUGUUUAUAGUAGACUGCAAUAUGAUUGUUAAUGUUUGUACCGGUGGUAAGACAGAUUGUUGUCCCCAUAUGCGAUGGGAUCGGGCAUUGGUACUUGCUAGUAGUUAUUAUUACAGAGCUGCGCGCUGAGAUAUGGGAUCCACUGGCAAGCAGUAUGACGACAAACCUAUUUCUAAUGGAAGUGCAUCGCAUAGUGAGUGUAGCCUUUACUGAAACAGUAUAUGCAGGCUAUCACAACUUUGUAUCUUUUGAAUUUCAUGUUUUCAUUAAUAGCAUUUUAUACAUGGCGAUGAUUAAUGACAAUGAUUUGAUUUUACAGCUUAAAUGUUUGGAUGUGGUUCUGAAAAAUGAGCGGGCAAAUUUAUGUCCUGGUGGUAUUAUAUUUUCGAGUUGUGAAGUUUCACAUCCAUCAUUAAAGGCGAAAGAGCUGCAUGGCAUCGAUUGUGGACUAUAUGUUUGUCUGUUAAUGAAGCAACUUCAUCACAGGCAACGACCUUUGACAAAGGUACUGACAUGAGUAAUUCAUGACUUACCUUAAUAGAUAUGAGGCGUACAAAUCAAGAGAAAUUGCAUUAAUAUGUUUUUGUCUUAGAUGCGGUGCGAUUCAGAUGCAGAACGAUCAAGCCUUAUACUGCAGUUGGUACACUUUCGGGAGAACUUAGUUAAGGAUAAAAUUGUGGAGAGUGCUACCAGCUACCGUAAGCAUAGACAAGCAUUUGUUACCGUAGGAGAAGGAGAAAUAAAAAGACAGCAAAGGCGGAAUAGAUUGAAAUCAAAGAAAAUGGGGCAUGGCCAACGAAGGUAGAUGUUCUGGGAUCGAUCUGUAGAUUGUUGGUUAUUAUGUGGCUAACUAACCAAGUUUGUUGUUGCUGAUAUAUUGCUUUCCAACUGAAGACUAAUAAUUAUCCAUUUAUAUUAAUGGGGGUGGUAGGGUUGUAAUAUACGAAUUACCUUUAUAGCAUCCGGUAAUUACAAUUACAACUAUGUACAUAUGAACUUCUGUUAAUUAAUGAUUGAAAUGUUGUUAUAGCACUGACCAUUUUACACAUACACCUGCAAGAGUAUUAUUAUGGAUUACAGUUUAACCAACAAUUCGUCAGGACAUGUACGGUGUAAGUGGCUGUGGAUUAUUUUAUCAAUAAUGUGGUGCUUGUUAAACUAACAAAGACAACGAAAGUAUAUUGGCAAUGUGUGUACAUUGUGUUACAAAUAUGAUAGUAAUUUCCAGAAGCUACCGUUAUAUCCCCUGUAAUCCACACACUGUGGCCCUGCGUUGUACAAUUGUGAAGGCCGUGCAACAGAUAUUAAUUUUGCCUGCAUAUGGCUAUCAGUAACAUCAUUCAAACUAUUAGUUAAUUACACACAUUUGCAGUGUGAUGGUUAAUGCAGUUUAUCUGUUACCGUUACUGUAAAAGUUGCUUCAUUUUACUAAUUGUAAACCCUUUGACUUAGGAAGAAGUUUGGUUGUUAAAUUAAUAACAUUGACUCACUGUAAACGGAGGUAAGGGUUACUCCAUACUUUCAGAAACCAGGAUUACAUGGUUGAUUCAUAUUCGAUUCCCACCCCAAAUAUUAGCAUACGUACUGGCAAAAGUUGAUGCACUUGCGUUAUGGACAACAUAAUCUGGUAACAAGUGCUGCAGCAUUGUGUCCUCCGUCGAAUCGUUAUCUGUACUCAUUGCAUACGGCUGGGACCACGAAUUUGAACUGGUAGCACGGCUGUUGCGACUUUGCUGUGAGCAAUGUUGGUCGUAUUCGUUGGUCCUGUUAUGUUCUUUUCCCUUGUCUGUAAUUCCUGAACGUCUCGUUGCAGGCAAUGCAGUGUUCUCACCCAUGAACUGACUGCUUUGGUUUGGAUUGUCAUUAUGGUCCCCAUCCGGCUGUAUAAUAAUUUUGCACUUUCGUACGGUAUGUCCUCCAUUCCCACAUCGGCUGCAUUUUCUCUGUUGUGAAGGACCCAUUUUUGGCUUCUUCUCACAUCCUUUUGUCAGUACAACCACGGGGUCAUUAACGUCAAAUCUUCUCCCCAAAUUCCCCUUUGGUCUUUCUUUAGCUAUUUCACAUGACAUGGGCUCCAAUUGCAUGGACAAUUUAUGUAUUCCUGCAAUAGCUAACUCAUAUGCCUCACAACGUUUUGCUGCAACCUUCUGAAGGGUCCGACAAGCAGCAUGAAGGGAGCCCAUGCGUGCGUCAACACUCAUGUAAUGUUGCCUCAAUGUACAUUGGACCUCUGAACUGAGGCCAAGUUUGGCUUUUUUAGUCCAUCGAGCUAAAAUCAUGGAAUGCGGAAUUGAGUCUACAUUUUCUACCUUCAUGACAGCAAACAUAUGCGAACAAGGUAUUCCUAGUGUCUCUAUCAUCAGACAGUCACAAGACACAUUAUCCCAUUUCCCUUGUAUGUUAACCCGCCAUUCCUCAUUUGAAACUUUCCACUUCUUCACUGUGAAUGAUUUAGAUUUUUCUUCGCACGACACUUGUACGGCUAUAUGCAUCCCUUCUUGCAGUAUUUGAUCCCUCACCAGUCGAAAUAUUGGUCUGGUAUAAACAUCGGCAGCCGCUCACUCAAACGGCUUCAUAUGCGUCAUAAGCACAGGCUGGUCGUCUGCACUGUCAAAAUCAUCCUUCCCUUCAACCUCUCGUUGCCUAUCUAUUAGCCUAUCCAUUUGCUUCACAAAUGCUAUGAGCCGUAGUUUGAUGCUCACAUAAUGGUUAAGAUAUGCAUUCAAUCCUUCUGAUCGUUGAGUGCUUCUCAUUCCACCGAAGAAUUCCCCCCUCAAAUAUGCUUCAGCCCACAUAGUCUUCUCCCUAUACAUCUUCAAAACCCAUUCAUGGGUUUCAACAUUGUGGCGUUCAACCAUUUCUUUCCACUUUUGUUCAUGGGUUUCAACAUUGUGGCGUUCAACCAUUUCUUUCCACUUUUGCUCAAACCGAUCUUUGGUAUAUGCUCGCAACAUGCAUCGACUAAAAAAGUCUGAUGUGAACUCUUUGUUCACAUUAGCUUGUGCAUUUCGGCCAAGAUGCCAACAACAAAGCCUGUGAUGAGAAUGUGGAAACUUCUUCGAUAUAGCAUUCCGCAUGGCCUUAUCACCAUCGGUGAUAACUGUUUUUGGUUGUUUCCCCUCCAUUGCUGAUAAGAACGUGUGCAAUAACCAAGUGUACGUGUGUUCAGUCUCAUCUGACAACAAUGCAAACCUGAAAACAAUGGUCCUCCUAUGGUGAUUUACACCUAACAACACAACAAACGGCUUACGAUAGGCAUUUGUGCGGUAUGUCGCAUCAAAUGCAAUAACAUCACCAAAAAUGGCAUAAUCUGCACGUGCUCCACCAUCACACCAAAAUAGAUCCCCUAAUCUGUUAUUCUCAGUAACUGUGAAGUCAUGAUAGAAUGCGUGAUCCGCACUCUUCUUCCCUUCUAGAUAUGACAAACAUGUCUCCGCGUCAGAUUCCUUCAACUGUCGCCAUUUGUGAUCGUCCAAUCGAUUUUGGACAUCUCUCCUCAAAUAUCCAACCUCCCUGUACCCACCACACCUCUCCACCAUAUAUUCGUGUAUCUGUGAAGGCCUUACUCCCACUUUAUUCAACGAAGAUGCAGCUGCUAGAUCUGGCUCCGUUAUCCUUCUGUGAGAUCUGAUGUAGUGUACUUGCUGUGGAGGUGUUAAGGGGUGAUUAUGUUUGCCAUUAAAAUGAGUACAUACCCAUCCACUUUCCCCCUGUUUGGCCCCAAUUCGAAACUCAACCUCGCACCCUGUUCUUGUUAUAGGUCUUGCCUCUCGUUUUCGAUUAUCUCGAGCUAAAAACUUAUGACUCCUAAACCCCUGCUUACUGCAUACCCAAAUCCUUCCAAUUAACAUACCUUUUGUGUUCCAUCUCUUAUUGUGCCUUCUGACCCCAAAUCCUAUGGCCCUUGCAUAUUCAGUGAAAAAUAAUUCAGUUUUUUCUUCUGAUGCAAACUCCUUCCCAACAACAUCCAUUGAUUUCAGGACCUCGUAAUUAGUUGUCUGUCCCUCGGUAGUGCCUAUCUCCCCAUGUAAAUGGCUUUGUGAUGGAUUGUUUUCAGAUGGGAUUGGUGCUUGUUCAUUUGCUCCCCCAGUAAGUGUUGGAAGUUCAUCGCCUGACUCAUCCGGGCAGCCGUCUUCACUAUCUGAAUAGCUUCCAGUUUCAACGACGUCAACAAUUUCAUAUGCAAUGUCGCUGUCCGCUUCACUAUCUACAUCAGAAGACAUAAUAUCUCCAGCGUCUGCAAGAACAACGAAAACUCAGAAAUUGUGCUUAAGCAUUAGCCUCCAUCGGUAUGCAUUACAGGUAACGGGACUAACCUAUUAUAUAAUUAUUCAUAUGUAAUACAAAAUUCUGAAAUUCAAAUCAUAGAUGAAAGUGACAAAUUAACAAGGCAUCAAUGUAAACGGGAUUAGCAACGAAAAUAAGCUAUUUAAUUAUAAGUGAAAUUUACUUUAAGCAAGCAUGAAAACUACAAUAAAAACAGCGUUUGAUUUAGAAGACAGCAUCACAAAGCGCUCUCAAUGCCACAAUCUCAUAUCCGUAAGCCGAAAUUAAACUCCGAACUUGUCUUCUAAAUUGGUUGGUUAUACAUGCAGUAGCUAAUUUUUUUCUCUCGUUUUAAACAGAAUCAUAACAGCAUAAAAUUACCAAAAUUACAAAAUUACAGAAAAAUAACAUAGAAACCACAGAACCUGCGUAAUUUAUUCCAUGAUAACUGUUUGGUAAAACAAAACUAGGACAUAAAAUUGAGAGUUACCUCAAGCUUUUAACUAAAAAAGAUUUGCAAAAGUUACGACGGAAAGAUGAGAUUAAUUUAAAAAUACACAUAAUAUAUGAAUUAUGAAAGAGUGCGGAGGAAUAUGUGCGUGUGUAUUUCAUAUAUAUAACUGUGGGUACCCGCGUUCAAUUGUAAACUAAUUGUGGACAGGGUAGUAUUUUCCACUCAAUUGAGAUAGCCGAUAAAUUGCGCGGAGAUGACACAAACUUCCUGUUCUUAUCGGAUUUUGAAAGUAUGCUCGUUGCACUACGACGCUACCUCAAUGCAGUUACUUGGUGGUGUUUAAAUGUUAUCUUCGGCGGGAAAGUUACUGGUAAUUCCCGCUAUUAAGUUAUUUAAUUUUAGUGGUUCGGUACCUGGACAACUACGAUUGUCCACGUGACAACUUUAAACAAAAUAUUGAUGAUUUUGUCAUUAAUUUUGACAUGGGUCAAACCCGAACAGCGUUAAACGACGCCAUUUCGGGUAAAAAAUAUAAUUUCUUUUCUUCGCUUUCGAACGAUGCCGUUUACAGAAUAAUGAAACACAAAUCAAAAUAACUAUCGUCGAACCCAUUGCCCUUCAUCUACGAAACAACCCCCCUUUCCCUUGAACAAUGUUAUCAACAGUAAAUUUUUAAGCAGCACACGGAACCAAAAACACUUGGUUCACAGGAAAUCACAACAAACAAAACCAAAUGCAUUAACACAUCAAUGUCUACAUGCCAGAAAACAAUUCCAUACAUGACAACGAAAACUUAUCGGUAAACAUCCACAAGGUGGCCAUGACAAUUAUAGGGUAAACAGCCACAAGUGGUACUAAUGAAACAUCCAUAAAAAACUCAUACAAAAACCAAAAUUCCCCCAGGACCCACAUCAUUGCAGCGGAACCACCAACACAUCUUACCUGGAUGCUUUCAUUUAAUUUCAAUUGUAGUCUUCAUGGAUGCUCUCGGCAACUGCAAAAUUGACUCCCGAAGGUUGGCCCGGUUUUCUUUUGGUACGGAGGCCUUCGCCCACAUCAGCAUCUUCUCCAUCGUUGCUGCAAACUGUAAUAAGUACUUCAGCAGGGGCCUUUCAUCCUCGUCACCCUGAACGCCCUUGAUUUCAAUGUUCUUCACAGUGUGCACCAAACAGUGUGGCACAUCAAAAUCACUUUCAAGCCAUCCAAACUAUUCUUCGAUGAAUUGAAACCAACAUUCCUGAUGUCAAAGACGACAACGUAUUAACUUUUAAUGUGUUCACUGAACUCAUUAUCAUUGCAACUCAAUAAGAUACUGACCUUGUGCAGGACAAGACUUUCCAAGUUCGGUGAGCUUCUUAGCACGAUCGGCAGUACUCGCCAUCUGAUGGGUCCUACCCCCAUUUCUAUGUAGUUCAACUGACUAAAACUGGGGAAGCAACUAUCACAAGCAUGGUCAACAGCCUGCACAUGACAAAACUAAUAUCAGACUAUGUUUAAUUAUCAUCAAAUCUUAUAAGCAUUUACUAAAUUCUAUAGCUACUAAAGUUGAACAUAAGUCGAGAUAAUUUUGCUUUAUCAAUGCUGAAUCAGAGAUACGACCAUGCUAAACCAUGCCUGUAUAAAGAUACUAGGGGACGAUAAGUAGUAACUGUGAUUACUUACAGACAUAAUGCCCGCAGAUAAAUGGAGAUACUUGCAGCUAUUGAUCCCGGCGAGCAAUUGAAUUGCCCGGUAAGGAUCAACCUGUGCCCAUUCCGCAUGCAUAAUAUCUAAUUUUACUUUUUUCAGUGAAUGCAGGUCAUGCAUUACAAACGAUCCUAAAAGGUCAGAAUAAAUUUCCAGGCUUUCCAGUUUCGGAGCAGUAAUUGUUAACAUAUAGUCCACUUCCCGAAAUAACAUAUCCUCUGAUCGAACUAUCAAUUUGCAGGUUUUCAGUGUCGCCGACGAGAUGAUCAAAUUUGGAGGAGGAGUAUCAUCAUGCAAUUCACACGUUACCGACAACUCUUCCAACGAAGGGCAGCUGCAAAAAAGAUUCUCAGUGACACUCUUUUCUGGGUUUUCCAGCCGAACACUUAGGAUUUUGACACUUGGAAAACAUGUCCCACUAUAAGGAACUUGGAUGGAAAAAUCUGAGUCCAGUGUAAGUACUUUAAGACAGGCUGCACUGUAAAUGGCUUCCGGUAACUCCACGGGCUCUGCUGGCCAAGGUAAAGUUGAAUCUCCCCAACUUCACGCAUAAGGGCGGUCGCAAUCCAAUCAUAGAACCUUGCCAAAUUUGUAGGUCUGGAGCAAUACAAAGAAAACUUGCCAAUCUUGGCGGGGUUUGUCCGAAGUAGGACUGUAUGCACAAAGUCUGCAAACCCACGCAGUGGAACAUAAGUCGAUGCAGGGGGCCGUAGGCAUAAUCUAUCAUCAAAGGACAAAUUGGGCACUGCAGUCCAGACAUUUUGCCACCGUUUAGCGAUAACGGAUGUGGCCACAGCGUGUUUUGUGGGUAUAUACGAAAGAAUAUGGCAAAGGACCGAAUCAGGUAAUGCACUGAUCCUGUCUGCAUUACCACGAUUUGUUUUUGGCCUCCCUCUCUUGCGUUUAGUCACAUUAUUCUGUCUGUCAUGCGCCAUUACUGGAAAAAACAAAACCUGCCGAUUACAAACACAUACAAUGUUCGGUAAUUAAAUAGCACAAAUAGUCAUAUAAAUUUUAUCAUACUCUUGAACUAGGGGCAGAGCUCUACUAUCUGCCCUUAUAGUGAUUUAAAUCAGUACUUUGGUUAAUGCACAGGCACAGCAAUUACAGCCACGACGCAAAUAUGCCUUACGGUGUUAACACUAAAUUUGAGACAUUCACGGCCGACGUUAAUCGCGAUUCCAUCAUAUAAGUUCAUAGUUUUACAAAUGACGGUUCCGAUAAACUAUUGUGUUGAAAUGACGAAAUUAAACUACAAAUUCAAUAACACAAAAAAAUAAAGCAGAUUCAACAGUCCACCUUCACAAGAUACCCCAUAAACUGACCUUCGGUUAAUUGGGGCCAACCCUGGAGACAAAGUCCACGUCGCUUCCUUACCAGCAAACACGCAAAUCGACUGGGUAUUACUUUCAUUCAACGGCCACAGGGACUAUGUUCUGUCGAUUGCUUAAAAAUGACUAUCCACCACAUUCGAUCGUCUUAAAUUCUAAAAAACGGUUUGUAGUAGCAGAGGGGGUGGUGCAGAUAAACGCAUUAACCGUUUCGAAUCUCGUCAAAUCAUUUUAAAUUUUAAAUCCUCCUUUGAAGUCUUAACCCGACGUCGUUCCUGUUAUAUCUGGGCCUGUUCGAAAUUGCCUUACACAACGUGGCCCACCAACCUCGAGCCCCCAACAUCGAAAGUCUAUGAUAUGCCAACGUUCAGGCUUCCACGAAGACUAUCUUCAUUCCUAAGGCACAGUCUUCUGUUCCCGGUAGGAAGGUUAGGAAAAUGAACCUGCUUCACUAUGAGACAUAUGCACAGGUUUUGCUUAUAAAUAUUGAACUGCUGUAAUUUCAAUGAGAUUACGUUUGACACAAUUACUUUGGUGUUGAUGCCGGGUUUCUUAUUCAAAUUAUUAUUAUGAUACAUAAAUGCUUUGUCAGAGGACUUUAUUUCACAUAAUAUCCACCUUAUAGAUAGUUGUUAAAUUGGUUGGUUAUAAUUUACAUGGCUGACCGUUGAUUAAAUAAUCAACAAUGUUAUUAACUUGAAUAUAUUACUUUUUUAAGUACUAACAACUACAUACUGAUUCACCUAUAUUGUCUUGGGACGUCAAGGGGGUUAGGAACAUGACAAUCUCAUUUUCGUUUCUUACUGAAACAUAUUCCAUUUACAAUACCACGGCUCCGAACAACGCAACCUGGAAUAUAUUAAGUUACAACACGUGUGUUCUUACGCCAGUAUCUUAAUCAACACCGCACACACAAGUACAAUGCAACCGAUGAAUAAUGCCAAAUUGCCUGCUUCUUUUAACCUAUCACCUGAAGUGGUUGCUUCUUCCAUCUGACCCUUGAAGGCCCCUGAUAAGUUCCCCCUUUCGGCUUCUUGUUCAACACCCGUGACACAUAUGGCCCCCUGUGCACGAUGAAAUGCUUGAAAUACCUCCUCAGCCUCUGCUCUGGUGGGGUAAGAUUGGUAAGAAUUUCUGGGAAAACCAAUCACUUGUCUCUGGCAUUCCGACCAUGAACCAUAAAUUCCAGGCACCCGACCCAGAAACAUCACAUAGUGUUUCCCCCGAGGCAUUGUCUACAAACAAUCAAUAUGAUUAGUACUGUUAUUGGGCAUAAUUUAUGAAAUUAAAUAUUAAUAAUAUGAAUAUAGGAUCGUUACACAAGACUUGUCAGACCAGGGAUAUAAGAUUAAUGCAUACAAAGGAUCCUGGAAAAACCCACAAUAAGCUUGGCCGGUUCAAUACGAUGUGCAUCAUAGACCAUAUGUCUACGAGGAGACAUAUAUUUGAGAAUGAGUACGAAUCCACGGAUGCGCCGGUCGGACAGAAAACAGAAUAACUUAAAAAAACUGACCUUCCUUCGCUGUUGCGUGGCGUUUGCUUUGGCGACCGUGGACCGCUGGGUAACGGCAACGUUUGGGGCUUCAAAUCUUGAUUUGAGAUAUCCAGAACAAGAUAUCACACGAGGCAAAAAGCUCCAAAGAUAUCAGUGGACGGCAGAGUAACCUUUAUUUCCAAGUUUCAACUAAGUGUUUGCGUCCAUUGACUGCUUCCUUAGGAACUGGCUGACGCUUAUAUAGUACUCCAGUGUUACUCACGUGCCAAACUCUAUGUUAUGAACGUGUGCGCCAACUAAGUUGGUGUAGUUAUCACCUGAAGGCCUCAUUUGCUUUAACUAUAAAUGCAUGAGAUUGCUUAAAUAAUCCUACUGCAUUGAUAGCCUUAAAAUAUUCAUUGUGGCAUCAAAUAAGUGGAGUUACUAUUUAGUACAAUCAAGUUAAAAACUUUAUGUCAAUGGAGGUGUGCCGUGAGCUAAAAUUUAGACAUAGGAUUGGAUAUGGAAUGAAGUUAAAAAUUCGUCCCUAUUACUCUGAUAAUUAAUGUUAUGUUUAUAAUGAAAUGAUUUAGUAAAAUAUAACAUUAAAACUAUAUCAUGUUAUAUAUAAGAAAUUAACGGAAGAAUUAACAUCUUUUAACAAAUGAUGUUAAUUAUUUAGUAAUUUAUUUAAGUUAUAUUUCAUGUCAUUUUAAAAUAAAGGUAACGUCAUGUUCAUAAAUGAAUAUAUAACACAUAUUAGUAGUUAAUAGCCAAUAUCAUGUCACACUAAACAUUAACCUAAAUUAUUUCUAUCCCAAUAGAACUUUGCAUGAAACAUAAUAUAGUAUUAUAAAUAGUUAUAAUUUAUUGCAAUUUUUUGUAAUAUAUUUAUAAUUUUCUAUACAAUAUAGAAAAAGAAAAAAAUAUAUUAUGAAUUAUAUAAUUUUUCAAUACAUUUCGACAUAUAACACAAAUGCGGCACCUCAUCGCAUGCACAAGCACUUAUGCUGUUAAACACAUACAAUGUUAUUGUAAAUAUACUUUGUACCUACAGUUUGAUAUAUGUCAUUCGAAUUAACCUAUCAUAUUAAUAAUUUAUGGCUUCGGUAUUAUUAUAACGACUACCCAUUGGUUAAAGCUGAUAAAUGUACUUACAAUAAGUUAUAUUAUUUGUACAGACAUAUGCAAUGGGUGGUCAAAUUUCACAGUGAAAUAGAUGUCAAUGGUAUUGUCAGUACUGCUUCUGCGUAGUUGCAUUUACAAUGGCUCACCCAACAAUUCAGCCAACAAUACUCCAGUUAUUGUUUGUGGGGGAAGGGAAAUCAUGACUGUAUGUGCAUGCAUUAUGGUUUGCCCCCAUUGACAGUUAUAUAUUUCCAACACUAUACAGAAUAUAAAUAACAAUGUGCUCAAUUAAUGGUUAUUAAUUGUACCAAUGUUUAUGUUUGAGCAGGACAAAGAAUAGUCUUUUGAUUAAUGACGUAGUUAUCCGCUAAGCAUCGUUAUAAUUAUUAGUUAUGCUAUUGGUGUUGUUAUUAGUAUAAUUGGGAUUUUCAUGGACAAUUGUGUUAUUCUUACCACCAGUAUUAUGCAAAUUUAUAAAGCAAUUAUUACUAUAGGGUAGGGUAUAACACCAUAACUCCUCGCAUAGUAAACAUGGAGGAGGGCACAUGGCACAGGUAAUGUGGCGGCAGGAACUAUAUACAACUGCAUGUUCGCAUAAAUACAAAAAACAAAAACAAAAAACCCCACCACAAAAGCUGAAGUUGGGUGCGACACCAACAAAAGGAGAUAAUCCAGGUCGGGUGGUGACACGUAGGUAAGAAAGGAAGAAAAGGACAAAAAAACCCCACAUUACAUUAUCACUAUCAAUUAACUAGUCAAACAACUUGGUCUGGAAUCGCUGUCGGAACUUCUGCAUCUCCACUUGGCCCUCCAGUGCGUCGUUGCUCAGAUGACUGGAAUGCAAAUAACAAAAUGUCAAUUACUAUACACAAAACGUAUUAACCCAUUUUAUAAUUAUAAACAUAUGUGAAGUUACACACGAUGCACCCUGUGGAUAUAGUGUGGGUAGAGUUCAAUGUAUUUAUACCUCCCCUUCAUUCCUUGCACAUGCCUUGGUUAGAAUAGGGUUAACGAGCUUGCAUGUACAUUUGCUAUGGCCCACACGACCACAAUUUUGGCACUUGUACUUGCGACGUUCAUUGGACUGCUCGUUUCCACCCGGAGGCAACUUCAGCAUGAGGAGGAACAACUGUACGAAUCUGAGAAGCAAUAGCAUUGUUUGGUUCACCAGAUGCAACUGCGGGUCUUGGGGUGUUUAUAGGAACAGCAACUGGAGGAGCAGCGGUCUGGGAUGCACUUUCAACUACAACUACCUCAACUGGGUUAGAAACGACCGAACGUAAAGAUUGGCCGUCAUGGCCGUGUACAAGGUUGGAUACAGGAGGAGGCAGCGGCUGUGAUUCACGUGAGUGAUCGUGGUUGGAAACAAUUGGACUCACAUGCUGUACUUCAUGGCCCUGUGGCAGACCACCCAAGUCAUGAAUAGCGGGGAACUCAGACGAAUUAACCACCAUUCCAGGAAGGUGCUGAAGGCUCCCAUGUGCAAUAAAGUACAACCAAAUGUACAGUCUAAAUUCUCCCCUGGAAAUGCAUUGGUGGACGAUAACCCUGAGCAGAGCAUCGUUGUGCACCCUAACCAUUCGACCCAGCCACCGGGGUGCCACCAUUGGCCUGAAGAUAUGGUUAGGUGGGGAAAACUCGUUAUGCAAGGCAGAUGAAGCCACAUUACACAGGUACAGUAUUUGGAAUCGAGUGGGUUGAUCUGUGUGAAUUGCAAUUCUGUCACCAAUAUAUUCCAGAACGAAUGUGAAUUCAAGGACCGCGGGGUGAUUGAGGUUUGGAGGGUUAAAAAUUUGGUGUUGCAUUUGUUGUCGAGGGACCCCAGUAGGAAUCGGUGCAUGGUGGAUGAAUCCUACUGGGGGAUUUAAAGUUAUUUCAUGCACAAGGGGGUGGUUGAGUGGGAGGGGACUCAUUCGGGGGGCGCGGUGCAGGGGUGGUUGAUUUCGUAGUGGGUUCAUGAAAGAUGGUGGAUUCAGUGAUGGGAUGUUGAGAGUUUGUGGAUUCCUCGGUCCGGGGAGCGAAGGUGGUGGAUUCAGUUGUGGCAGGUUGGGAGGAGGUGGAGGAUAAUCCAUGGUGUUAACGGAAUACAGAUGGGACAUUUGGGGAAUGCAAUGUGAAUGUUGGUUGUCGUCCAGACGCGGGAAUGACGCCAUUUCCUCCCUGCAUCAACGGUCGUAGUGGGUUAGUUUGACUUAAAUAAACGGCCAUUUAGUUGAACAAUAAAAUCAGGAUCAAUGUCUACGUGCUGGGAAAUAACAAUCGUCCGCUGUAAAAGCAUAUAGGUGAAAAACAUGAUGAUAAAGCACAGGAAGUUCAGCUUCGUGACAAGGUGGUGCAUUUUGACUUUGUGAUGACCUUUUAAAAGACAGCACACGGCUUGUCUGCUCUUGGUUUCAAAGAUACACUGACAGUAACCAUCAUAGGAAAUUGACAUUCAGUAAGGCGUAAAUAUUCGUUAAAUUUAUCCAAUUGGUCGAAAACCCCAUCCAUGAGUCAUCCAUAAAUGCAAGGCAUUAAACAUAUGGGGAAAAUUAAUUAAGGCAAAAUUUCGCAUACACCGGGUUUUUUUGUUUAGUAAAUUAGAAGACUAUUGAAAGUAAAAGGAGACACAGUUGAAAUACAGUACUGACAACAACAAUGUCAUGCAAAUUUUAAAUAGCAAUUUGAAGGCAACCCGUAUACGAAGGCACAUAGCACCAAAACACCAGAUCCAUAGUUGGUAACGCACAAGCAUUGAAAAAAGGAGCGUAGAACAAAUUGAAAAAGUGAGGAGAAAACGCACCUGCGCUUAUGUCAAAGAAGAAUGGAUUUGUUGCAAAACUCGGCAGCAAAGCACGAGAUUUAUUGCAAUUUUUGGGUGGUACUAUGAUUGAUCACGUGGAGAUUGAAUGCAACUUUUUCCCAUUGUCCAGUCUUUGCAGGAGGAUUGACAGUCUUAUUGUCAAUUCCUGUAUAUGAUGUGACCCAUGCUCACGGGGAGUCAUAAAGAUAAACGGCAUUUUGAGAAGUAAAGGCGACAACAAGCAAAACUUUCGUUGGAUAUUUGGGUGUACCCCAUUGUAAUGUUGUAGCCAUAACAUCUGGUGGGUCACGUUAACAUUGUUGAAAGUGUUUUUCCACCAACCACACAAUCUCGUGCAAACAAGGUUAAUGGGGUACGUGGUCCCUGCCAUAUCUAACUACUGCAAUAGUUGCAACACUUAGUACCAAUAUAUUUGAACAUGUGAUAAAUUGACUCUGAAUCUUGGCAUCAGUCUGCCUAGGCCAUAGUGGGUUAUUCCUGCGAUCUUGGCUAGCAUUAUCUAAAUCUUCGGAAUAUUAUUAGUACUUCAUCCACUUUUACUUAUUCUGCACCGCAUGGACGGCGUAUCCCUUCUUUGGUGUAGUAAGUUUACUAUUACUACAUAAAUAACUAUAACGAAUAUAUUGGCUGUAUCGGUACAAUAAUAAAUAUUAAUUUCUUCAUUCAUCAAUUUGAAGUACUUAGUUGGUUGAACUAGUAUUUAAUAAUUGGUUCGAUUUGAUAUGAAUUAUUAAAUAAACAGUGGUAACCAUUAAAUACUAUCAGUACUGAGGGUUCAAAUGUUAAGGGGGAAACGAGACAAAAUAGUAUUACUUAUAUUGUUAAUCUAACUAAUUUUAUCAUUGUAUAGUCACCACGAUAAUAAUAAUAUUAUCGUUGUUAUUAUCGUUAUCAUACUGUAAUAUUAUUACCAAUGAACUGAACAAAGAAUUGGGGUUUUGUAUAUUGCACGGCUUAUAACUUCACAUUUGCAAACCUUUGGCCUUGACAAAAUUGAAGCAACUUACGUUCUUUGUGUUAUAUGUAGUUUAUCCCUUUACGCUGAACUCUGACCAAAACAAACAAUCGUUAUCAAUUUUAUUGGUCCGACAGGUUUCAACUAAAGGCAGGGACUGUUGAAUGAAGACUAAGUGCAGCAUUGGCCAAUAAAGUCAAUGAAGAGGACCCACUACAUCAAGUACAAAGGCUGCAGCGAACAAUAUACACAAAUCCCAAUAUUGUUACCUUUAAAGGGCAACUGACAGUGCAGCCAAAAAUAAUAACGCUAAAAGUUGGCCGUGGACAUUUUUUUGUAUACCAUUUUCACAUCUGUAACAAACAUAAGGCGUAAUACGACCGUCCGAUCUUCUAUUCUUUGUUUGUUCACUCCACAUCGAACCACUUCCAACGGCUGAUGCUGCAGCCUGUAGCUUACAGAUUAUAUAAGCUAGUCAAUUCCCAGUUUGACAGGUGACCAACGACGCCAACUAUGGCAACAUAGAGAUUGAUUGCUUGGAGCUUACGUGGUUGUAGAUUUCAAAUAACGUGUGGUAUGUUAUAUAUUCAAUUGUUCUUUAGGUCAUUAAAUCGGAGUGACACUCCUGACCACGCACAAUACAUGUUCUGAACCUGCUGUUGAAGGGCCAAAAAUGGGUCACCAGUCUGUAACAGUACGCAAUAAUGAAAUGGUAUACUUUGAAAACCUCGCCACUAUAAUGACAAAAAAACGCGGCUAUUUAUUACAGACGACCUUAGUAAUGACUGACUGAACGACAUGCAAAUUAAGGCACGUGUUUUUAGUAACAGUGCGAGUAUAUUAAAUCUCUGACAGCAAAAGCAUCGACCACAACAUUUACCCACGUGGAUGUUAUUGCCCGUAUACAUAAAAUUUAAUUAUCUAUAAAUAAAUCGUUAAUUAUCGAAAAUACAAGGCAGAAGGUUGCAGUGCCAAUAUGUAUAUUUCAGCAGGAGCUGGCUAAGUUACAGAUUCUAUAACAUACAGAACCCACGUAGGCAGCUCGUGAUUGGUUAGCUAGCUACCAAACUAAAACAAUUGCAUGCUUUUAGUCCAUAUGCAGGACAGGUGUGGUGCAUGCAUUGGCCAUAGUAAUGUGUGGGACAAAAUUGUUGAGUAUCCAUUGACAAUAUCGGCUGUACUCACAGUGGGUCAUACGCAGGCUGGUGCCAUAAGAAUGAUCAAAUUAUUCAAUGGUUAUAGAUGUAGUCAUCUGCACAUUACAUGGCCGAUGUAAUGCGACUAACAACAACAAUCGCAAUAAGAUAAAACCUGAGUACAAAUGAAGCAUUAGUAAACAACAAUCGUUAACUAAAGUAAUAUUAUUAUUGACCAGUGAGUAAAUUAAUCCAAAUAUAUAGAUGCGUAGUUCUUAAAUUAAGCGUUAAUUUCUUACCAUAGAGGUGGAAAAUUCAUAAACAAGCCAACAUAUUAAAUGAAUAUAUUGCAGGGACAAUAAAUUCCGGCAUAUUCACAAAACUUCCUGCGAAUAAUGAUAUGCAACGAAGCUAUGAUCAGUUAGUAUGGUAAGACCAUUAAUGUAGUAACUGGAUAUCAACUGCAAUCGUUGCAAGUAGGGGUGAGCAGUAAUUCAAUCUGAUCCGCUCAAUCUUUCCGAUCUGCUGAAUCUGAUCUGUAUAAAUUCGCUCCGUGGAUUGGUGGAUUAGAUAUGGAUUUAAUUCUGUAAAUCCGCAUAAAUUCAUGAAUAAGAUAAAUAAAUAAAUAUAUAUAUAUAUAUAUAUAUCUAAUUAGUAAAGAUUUAUAAAUAUAAAUUAAAAAUUUAUAAAUGUGACAUUGAAUAGUUACUAAGCACUAGAACAUAUCUUAGCUAUUACCCAUUAAUAAUAUGAAAUGAAAAAUAAUUAAAUAAUCAAACACGACGCAUAUAUAACUUGUUAAAAAUUGUUACACAAAUUUUAAACAAUUAAAUUUUGCGCACUAACAAAAGCAAAGUAACAUACUGCCAAGUUUCCAAUAAUAUGAAAACAACAAACCCUAAGCUUCCCCACCGUUACACACACUAGCAACACUCAAUACUGGUUUGAUACAGUAUCGACACGAAUUUAAAGGACAUCGUGCGCGUGAUUCCGGCGAGAGCAAGUCAUCUUCAUUCGCAAGUCCAUCGAGCCACUUGACAUUCACUGGUUCCAGCGGAACAAUUUCAUUAUCACAACGUUCAAGAUCGCCACCCGUACGGCUUCUGUUGUUUCGCAUCGGAUGGCUCCGCAAUCACAACUUUUCGACAGACGCAACAGCCCUGGUGAAGGAUCAAAUUGUGCAAAACACUAAUUUGUCGCUUUCAAUGUAGGCUUUUAGGUGCGGCCUCACCAGGCGGAGAUCAAUCCGAGCAUCCGGACUUCCGUAUGUAUGUCCCCACGUGCAUGGUUAAAUUUUGAUGUCCUAUGUUUUGUAACUAUUUUCAAUGUCACAUUUAACAUAAAACAUGGAUCAGAUGUGCAGUUUUUACUCACCUUUCAGGAUAACUUCUCUUACCUACUUCGCUUGCUCGCUGCGUAUGGAGAUGUUUUUAUUCCCGUAAAAACCAUUGCUAUUUGCAAUACCAUAUAAUAAAGUAUAUCUUAUUCACGUGUUACAUUAUUGUCUCUAUUGCCGCUUAUUAGUAAAACUACAAAUCGUUAUGUAAAUGUGGCCACACCUUUGGGGUUUUCCACAUGUUUCCUACAAUUUUUCAGCAUGUAGGGAUCUUCUUAUAUCUAAUAAUAUUUCACAAACCUGUUGCCUCAAACCAUGAAAUGUAAUUUUUGACUUUCCAUGUAAUUUGUCUCUUCAGAAUUAAUUGAACAAUGGAAAUUCAUAUCUUAGCAAAUGCAUCAAACAUUCCAUGUAAUUAUCUCUGCCGGCAUAUCUUUGUUUUCGUUGCUGUACGCAUUGCCCAAUUCAAUACCCAUGGUCUUUAAUUAGUCGUAUUUGCUGCACCUGGAGGCAAGUACUACUUUAUACGCAACCAACACAACCUUACCUAACUGGCCCAAGGCAGAAUGUAAUUAACAACACCUACAAAUUUACUUUCCAACCUGAUUUUACAUCAUUUGACAGCAAAUUUCUAUCGUAAUUUGGAGAUAAGUGAUGAUAAUACUAUAUUUAUGAAGAUAGUCCAUAAUUGCUCGACUAAAACUACAAAUUAGUUCUUUCUCAAGGGCCAACUGAGUUAAUAAGGUCCAUUUGCUAUUGUAUACACGCUUCUUUAUUUGACUUUGCAUUUUCAAGCCCAUAAUCUCACUAACACAGAAAUAUUUAAUUUCACAUAAGGUCCAUUCUUCAUUGCAGUUCAUUAUGCCAUCAACUUACAUUACCUUAUAAAAAACCUUCACUUACAAGAUAAUACCGCCUAUUAUAAUUGAGGGUCCAGCAAAAAUACAUGUAUUAAAACAAAUAUUGCAAGUUAAUUCAACUGCAUCGCGAUGUUGACAGCCAUUAUCCCACAAAACUCAAAAUUCCCACUAUCAAUAACAGUACCAACCUACUGACGUUGAAAUUUAAGUUAUUCAUGUCAAUUAUGCUACCACGAAGCAAUCAAAACACAAGCUAUGACGGUUUCUUUCUUCGUCAAUAACCACGCUAUCAACUCCAACUCAUACACUUAAAAUGGUAAUAGAUUUACCCUCGAAUAUGGCAGAACGUUAAAGGCCUUCAUAUCCACUUCUUAUGAAGGCCUCACGAUGGAUUGGAACUAACCAAAGCCCAAAUUAACAUGUACCAAUUUUUCCUUUUUCCAAUUGAAUAUUGCAUUAAUAAAUGCUUUGGUACCAAUGUAAAGCAUGUCCUCAUACUAUCGUCAUCUUCUUUCUUCAAACUAAUUAACUCUAACAUGUAAUUUCAUUCCUGUAAAUUUACUUUAUUCUCAUCGCAUACAUUACAUUAUUUAUUUUUAAUACAUAAUUUUUGCUAUAUUUAUCCUAUUACUUAAUUUUUAAAUUGUCAACAAUGAAUAUUCACCUGCAUUAAUAGAUUAUGGGACAUUCUCCUAUCAAGUUACUGUUUUCUAAGGAACUAUCUUUUAUGCCUUCUAACGUAACCCUUUUAUCUUCCCUGAUGAACAUAAGAUUCGAAAGUCCUGUAAUAUUUUUAGGUACGAGUCAUCUUUCACCUUCUAAUUUAGUAUACCGAAACUAUAUUAUUCUUACUUUAAAUAACCCUUCAUAACUUAUUGGUGGGUAGAGAGACAUUUUGCAUCCCGUGCCUAACAAUUUUCUUAUUGAUGCCGACAUUCGUGCGAUUGACAUCUUGGUGUCCGAUUGAUAUUGUUUAUCGCCUCCGGGGGGGGUGCAUCUAUCACUAUACUACUUAAUCAGGCCUUCAUUCUUCUCAUCCGCCGCCAAUAUCGUUCAUCUUUGUUCGUUACCACAUGUUCUUGUUCAUUUAAUUUGGAUAUGUUGGUCCACAUCCCCCUCCACACGAAGGUUCACUUUUACGGGUGUUCGCGUCUUAGAUUUUGCGGAUUGCACAUCAAUCCAUAUUUGAUCCACAAUUUUACGGAUUUUAAUGUGUUCAAUCAAAUCAAAUCCACUUAUGACUUAAACUGAAUCGAAAUCCAAUUCAUAUUUUUUCGGAUCGGAUGCAAAUCAUAUCCAAUCCAUAAGUAAUCCAUAGUUUGCCGGAUUGAUUUGUAGAUGCAAUUUUUUUUUUCAUCCAAUCUACGCAAUAUUUAUAUAAACAAAUAUCUCAUUCAUAUUGUUUUUUUAAAUUAAAUUUUCUAAUGCAAAAUUUACUUUACUAUCAGUUAAAAUCAUAAUUGAACAACAUAUUAAUUCAUAUUAAGCUACGAUAAUACAUUCAUAAUUUCCAAUUUUAACACACCGAUAUAAAAAUUUUCAUUCGUUUUCAUCAGUACAUCAAAUGUAACUAAAAUUAACAAUUUCUAAGUUCAAACUUCAAAGUUUCGGUGUAACAGCAAUAAAUUAUGAAACUCGAGAUGCUUCAAAAGAAAGUAAGCAAUUAAAUUUUAUUUCUUUAACUGCUGAAGUGAAAUAAUUAUGCGUUGUGCAUGCCGUCAGGGAUAGCUUUGGUGUUAUAUGAUAAAAUUUUUUGUUUUGCUUUUUAUUUCUUAAUGUUUACGAAGCUAUAUUUACUUAUUUAUUUAUUUUUUUUUCAAAUUGUUAUCGAAUAAGAUAUAAUAUUGUGUUACUUUAGCUAUAUCUAAAUUUUACAUUUUUUUGUACAGUACUCACUACCAUUGCUAUAUUUUUUAUUCAAUAUUUACUAUUUCUCCUGAUUUAACGAAAUUUGCCGCAUUUACUGACUUAAAUCCUUUUCCAAUCCAUCUAAUACGGAUUUUUUUAUUAUUAUAUUUUAUUUGGGUCUUUUUCUGUAACAAACUAUAAAACUCAUAGUUUCUAUUACUUACAAUAAACAAUUUAGACUGUCAACAAAAAUACUUAAAAUAGAGUGUCGAAGAUAUUUUUUUCUUUCUUGUUUCCUCUUUUAAUUGCUCCAUCAUCUCAAAAAUACCUCCAUUUCUUGGUUGAUCAUUUACUAUUUUCCAAAUUAUUAUUAUUACGCAAAUUAUCAUUGUCGUCGUCAUAAUUAUAAUAUUAAGCAUUAUUAGUUUUAUUAUUAUUGUUGGUGUUGUUCAAAUUUGGAAAUGACAUGGCCUAUUAUAUAAACUCUAGCGAUAAAAUUAAAAUUACAUAUUAUUCAGGUUAAAGGGGAAUUUUCCCCUUUUUUCCCCACCACUUACUUUUGCAAUGCAUUGCCUGAUCAUUUUAUUAUUAUUAUUAUUAUUAUUAUUAUUAUUAUUACACGCUACAUAAUUUUUCGUCACUAUUUUCGAACAUUUCAAAUCAUUAUUACCCCAACCCAUACUUGCACGCUUCCAACUUCUUGUUUUUAACCAAUACUUGCAUGCACCCCUUUUUCUCUUGUUUUACAUGCGUUACUUUAACAUCGUCCAACCCACUACAGCACUUUUUUUGGUCAAAAAGUGAUUUCCUGCAGUGUUACCGGCACAUUACCUUUAUUUCAGGUUACUCCCUUGCGUCUGUGUGUCUCUUCUGCAGCCAAUAGAUGAAAUCUAACGGUGCCCAUGCUACAAGACAAAUGACUUGGGUACGAAACCCAUGACGCAAAGUAGCUGCGGCCCUAAAAACAAUAAAUGGGGUAACUUGAUAUUUUUAUACUUUUAGGUGAUAAAUUAAAGAUUUUCAUUUUAAAUUGGGGGCAAAUUAAAAUCUAUCCUAUUUCUAAAGGCACCACGUGAUUUGGCAAAAUAACUAUAAAGAUAUUUUAUUUUUAGAAAAUAUCACACAUGUCUCUUUUGAGAUACACAGACUCUUUUUUAGCUAAAAGAUUGGGAUUUGUGUGAUUAUUUCUGAACCAAAAGGUUUGUGUUUUAAAAAAAAAUGAUUAUGUGACUGUUUUGCCUAACCGAGAGGGUCAUUAUUCAAACACCAAUCACAUUUUUGUUUUAAAACACCCUUUCAUUUAUUCUUUAAGCUUCUUCUUUUUUCCCAAAAAAUGAUGAAUAGAUAUUGAAAAUUUUGUUUUCAUUUUUUUAUUGAAAAAAAUGAAAAACACCAAAUAUUACUGCUUCCUUGUCCAUACUGUUUUUCGUCCUAUAUUACCUUAAUUUUAUAUCGUUUCUCUAUUUCUAUUUUUAUAGUCCAAUUCUGAAAAUACACUAUUAGACACAUUUUUAAAUUGAAAAACACCAAACAUAGUGCAUCAUUUUCAUUAUAAGCAUUAACACCAGACGUACACAUUCUCCAAAUGGGACUAAAAAUGGUGACUCCUUCAGAAAUGAAGUUGUACAAUUAGUUUGAAUUGAGUCGAUACAGAGACGUCUCCAUUGCGUCAUCUAUUCAACUGUCUUGUGCAACCUUAUUCUGUACUAGUAGGAUUCCUCAUUGGCCAAGUAUAUGCAUAGUUGCUGGUUUAUUAACCCCAAAACACCCUCCACUUAAUUCAAGGUCUUAAAGAGAAGUCCAAUCUUACAGGUUCGUUAACAUUUUAAAGGUAAGUUUUAUCUUGUAACAUUCACACAAAAUUUAUAAUCAACUAGGGAGGAAAUUUUGAAAAUACUAUGAUUAGCACAAGUAUUUCAACAAUAAAGGAUGUAAUAAAAGCUCAUUAAGUUUAAACUUGAAAGGAAAAUUAGGGCAAGGUCAUUUCUUUAAAAAGAAUAAGGCAAGAUGAUGCACGGCAUGAAAUACCUAUGACCAAGCCUCAAAAGAUUCAUCAAGCCCAGUAUUUUGCUUGCCCUCGGCAUAAUUACACUUGGCUUCCCAAACAAACAAUUGCUGGAGCUCGGACAAUGGAAGUAUUCAAUUUAACUACAUAAAUAUCAGCCGGAGCAUAAUUACACUUGGCUCCCUAACGAAUAAUGCUGGAGCUCGGACAAUACGAGUAUUCAAUUUAACUGUACAUAGAUGUGCGGGGUUUUGAUGGUAAGUAAAAAGACGUGCCACUAUCAGUUGAGGAGUGCAUAAGAGGAUUACAUCUAUCAAAUACUAUCCGCACUCCUCGGCCAAUUCUUCCAUGAAAUUUGUGAGUUCGUGCUAUAGUGCCAUUCCUCGUAGAAGAAUCUGACGGCGGAACAAUACCUGCAGCGUCCAAUUUUUCUGGCACAAGGGGUUUUGUGAACAACAAAACUGGCACAAGGGGUUUUGUGAACAACAAAACUGGCUCAAGAGGAUCCUGAAACCCCACAGUUACAUUUUCAAAAUGAUGCACUGCUGAUAUUCAGAAAUAAAACAAGGAUAAAACAUUUUCUAAAGUUUACUUAAAUCAUUUUUCUUUCCAACCACAGAUAGGUCAAUAAGUCAAAUAUGUGAGGAAAAAUACUAAAGAAACUGAAGCUGACAGAGGGCAGGCAGAAUUAACUACAAAACCACCAGAUUUAUCGUGUUUUGUCCCGUUGAUUAAUUGUUUUCAAUUAACACGGUAACCCGGCUCGGGUGUUAACUCUGUUUCUGUAAGUCUCUGUUGAAUAUUUAUGUUUAAAAAUCAGCACUCGCAUGUAAGUUGUAUGGCAGCAGCAAAAUAUCAUGUGUAAUAAUUAGGCUAUAUUAGUUCUGGGUCCAGGAAUCGAGAUAAUCAGAGUAGGUGCAAAAGCUAUAUUUACCAAUUUAUGUAGCCAUGCAUAAUAUAUUCAUUUUUUACUUGCAAAUUCUUCCUUUUCACAACUUUAGGUACAACUUUUCCUUUCCUUUUGAAGGCCCACUCCACUAGCAUAGAGAGUAAAAAGAGUUUCUUAUAAAUAAUUUUAGGAGGAUGGUUCUGCCACGACAAGUAAUACCAUAAACAAAUGAUUUCACCACAUUUCAAGAAAGCAUUUAACUUAUGCCUCAUUUUCAUUCUAGCAAUUUGCUUGCCAUUGGCUGAUUGGAAAAAGUGCAUUUAAGUGAUAGAAUAUUGUCAACCUAUAGCACGAAUAGGGGUUAAACAAAGUAAAUCCCUACCUUUACAUGUCAAAUAAAAGACUUUCAUAAUAUCAAAUAUCAAAACUCAUGUCUAGUAAACGAUUCCCCAAUGCUGGCUCUCACAAUUGCUUUUGUUUCAUGGAUGAGAUGAUCGAUUUUGUGGAUAUUCUGCUCAACUUGGAUUAUGACUUGGGUCAGAUCCCAACUUGCUGCAUAGCUCACCUGACUAAAUCUUAGUUGAUUUGCUUUUCCAUACUAAAUCCAAGCAAGUAAGUACAAGAGAUAAAAGCAAAAGUUCAAGCAUCUCAUUUGAGCCUGUCACUAACAAAUGGUCAACGAGCAAUGUCUAGCUAUGACUGAGCAACAGAAUCAAUAAACAGACAGACAAAAAAUAAUAAUCAAGUCAUCUGUCAAAUGCUAGUCCAUGAAAAUCAUAUAUAUAUAUAUAUAUAUAUAUAUAUAUUUCCUUCUGGUAUCAGAGCCAAGGGGAGGAUAGUGUAAAGCAGUUUAGAAUUUCGUGUUUAAAAUCUUGUGUUUUAUUUUGAAGUUUUGUUUUUGUGGUGAAUCUUUACUGGUUGUAAGUCCCGUUUUAGGAUAAGGAUUCCGCUGAGGGCUGUAAAUCCAUACCUGUAGCCAUUUUGACCAAACCAAAAAUAGACCAUAAGGUCUUAUUCAUGGAUCCUCCGAUCUGUAGAACAUCGUCCUUUUCUAGCUCUUCUUCCGGGAAGACUAGUGAUUCAAAGCAUGUUGUGAGUUCAGAAGAAUUCUUUAUUGAGAACUUUGAUAAAGCAAUUGAUUGUUGGGAACUUCCAAAAAUUUCUAAAGAAAAGAUUUACAAAACAAAAAAGCUUGAUUUUUUAAAGAAUGAUUAUAUCAUAAAGACUGAAGAACGUGAUAUAACUCUUUCAAAUCCUUUUGAAACAAUCCACUUGUUUUCUGAGCAUUCUUUAAAGAAAUUAAAAAAGAAUUUCAAUUAUGUUCACAUAGGUCUUAUUCAAGUCGGUAUAAAACCCUUAACCAAAGAAGGCUUGGAUACUUCUAUCCUUGCUGUCCUAAGAGAUGGACGAUUCAUCUCUUUUGAUGAUUCUUUGCUAAGUAGCAUCGAAUCCAGUCUCUGUAAAGGUCCAAUCUCAUUUGAUUGUUAUCCAAACAUAACAAUUUCUCUUAAAGAUAAGAAUAUUUUGAAAAGCAUGAUUUUACAAAUCAAAACCCAUAAUUAUAAUAUGAUUGAGGGAUCCAUCCCAGUUGCCUUAAUUUUUAAAAUCUCAUAUAAGGCAAUGAUCACUGCAUUCAGUACACAACAUAAAUUCCAGUCAAAAAGAGAUGAGACUCUUCUCUUGCAGACUGAUUUGUCUAGAGCCAACACUGUCAUUCCAAAACCUAUUCAAUGGAAAGAUGUCCAUCUUCCAGAAGAAUGGAUUCUUGAAGGAGCCGCUCCACCAGCGAUUCCGAAACAACUUGAGCCCAAUACAGAGUUGCAGAAUGUGACUCAGUAUUCCGAUGGUAAAGUCAAACUAUCAUUCAGAAGAUCUAACUCAUCUAGAUUUUCUGAUAAAGCUUCGUGCUCAAGCAUUCCUUCAUUAGAAAGGAAAUUCACAAAAGUCCCUUCUGUUAUAAAUCUCCCUUUUCAAAGUCAACCUAGGUUUUCAACUUCAGAUAUACCUAGUACCUCCAUUAGAUCAGUUGAUUACACCACUAGUGUUCCACAUCCGAUCUACACUAGCAAUCAACAUAUUCAAAGUCAGGAAGAGAAAGAACCUUCUCCUCCAACUUCCCCUACGUUUUCUGCAGUCACAGAAAAUGUUAUCAAUGUCAUUGAAAAAGAAUUUGAAGUAGAUAAGGCAUUCUUGCAUGAAGAUUUUUAUUCUAAUUCAAACAAAGAAAAAAGACUUUGGUUUUUCAAACACUUUUUAAACCAAAGAAAAGAAAUCCAACAAACUUACUAUGAUUUUGUGAAUCUUCAUAAAGCUCAUAUAUUGUUUUUUGAUUGGUUCGAAAUAUAUUCUUCUGAGAAUAACAUCUCUUAUCCUUUUAAAGAGUCAAACCCUAUUACUAUUAGGAAGAAAGUUCCUGAAUGGAAACUUCUCGAUAGUAAUAGAACUAUAGAAUCAGAACACCCACCUCUUCGGAGUUUAACCAUUGAUCAUGGUGAACCUCCUGUCGAGAUUCGAGCUUCACCUUACAAAAUUCCAAAGCCAAAUGAUUCCGAGGCAAAUUUAAGUAGUGUUAUCCAACAGAACAAUUUCUGUAAUACUAACUUAAAUACAAUCGGAAAGCAGUUGACUAGGAUAGAGAACCAAAUCCAGAAGUCAACCAUUACUGUUCCAUCGAUUUCUCCUAUUCCAACAAAAUCGGAUUCUGACAAAAAGCUUAAGGAACCUAUUUUCAAACCCUUUCAGGUUUCGAAAACUAGCCAAAAGCUUGUUCAAGAGUCAAAAUCAGAUUUUGCUAAAGCCAUUAGAGAACAAUUAGAUAGGAUAGAAGCUGCUUCUUCCUCAUCUAGCAAAGCCCAAAUAGCCCCUGAUACUCCUCAAUCUAGCAAGAUUGGAGUAUUAGAAAAAGAUGACCAAACCUCUAUAGCCUCUUCGGAUGUUGAAGCCUUCCAAGAGGAACCCAUUCCUAAAGCAAACAAAAUCCAUUGGGAAUUAGCCCUUCCCACUGUCAAGACUCCACCGGAUCUAGCAAUAGAUAAUAGACCAAGUGCAUUAAAUCAGUCUAGGUAUAAUGCAUCUUCAGUCUAUGAGUGGAAUAUUGACGGCAUGUCAGAAUACAAUAUCCUAGGAUUGUUGCAACAGAUGACAAUGGCAGCUAAUGCCUAUAAAACCCAAGCAGGAACCUCUGAUCGUGCUAUAUCAGAGAUCCUAAUUGCCGGUUUUACUGGUCAACUGAAAGGUUGGUGGGAUCAUCUUCUCACUAAUCAGCAACAAUUAGACAUCCUAAAUUCCAUCCAAGUCGAUGAAAAUGGAGUCCCUAUUCUUGAUGAGUUCAACAAUCCUAUCCAGGAUGCUGUUGCUACUCUUAUUUUGACCAUUUCCCUCCAUUUCAUUGGUGACCCUUCACACCUUCGUGAUAAAAACGCUGAGUUAUUACAUAACUUGAGAUGUAAGAAACUUAGUGAAUUCCAAAGCUACAAAACCGCAUUUUUUACCAGAUUAUUUCUAAGAGAUGAUGCAAAUCAUACAACUUGGAAAGAAAAAUUUCUUGCUGGUUUACCUACCCUUCUAGGUGAAAAGGUAAGAAAUUCCAUUAAAGCACUUUAUGAUAAUCGUAUCCCUUAUGACGAGCUUACCUAUGGUGAACUUGUCAGUUUCGUCAAUAAAGAAGGUUUAAAGAUUUGUCAAGAUUUGAAAUUACAGAAACGUCUUAAGUGGGAGCUUAAGAAGUCUAAACAAGAGUUAGGCGGUUUCUGUAAACAAUUCAAUUAUGACCCCUUUAAAGCUUCUUAUUCCAGAGAUUGUAAUGGUGAGUGUUCUAAACCUCGCAAGAAACAUUACAAAUCAAAGAGUUUUAGAAAACCUUUUCGAAAUUUUAGAGAACUUCCUUAUAAGAAACCCUCGAGGCCUUAUAAGAAACCCAAAUUCUCUAAAAAGAAAGAAUUCAAAGCCAAACCUAAGACCCCUUUCAACUUCAAAGAUGCUACGUGUUUUAAAUGUGGUAUGAAAGGCCAUACUGCAAGAUUUUGUAAAAUGAACAAAAGGCUCCAAGAACUUGAACUCGAUGAGGACAUCCUUUCCAAAUUAGCCCCACUCCUUGUCGAUUCUUCUGAUUCUGAAUCUUCCAUGUCGGGAGAUAGUAAUCCUUAUCAAAUUGAUGAGCUUUUUGACUCAGAUGACUCUGCAUCUAGCAGUAGUGAAUCUGAAUCUGAUUUUGGUUUAAAUAAGAUCAAUGUUUUGACAAAAGACCAAGAGACUUACCUUGAACUUGUAAAGCAUAUUUCUGAUCCAAAUCUUCAAAAAGAGUAUCUUGAUAAACUUUUGAAAACCUUGGAUUUUAAUAAAGCCGAGACUUCUAAAGUCCCAAUUGUCAAAAAGAGUUCUUAUGAUCUUACACAAAUCUUGGAUAAAAAGAAAUCAAAAAAGGCAGUUCCUAGCAUCCAAGAUCUUCAAAAAGAGAUUAAAGAAAUCAAAACCGAAAUCAGGGAUUUAAAAGAAAAACAAAAAUGUGAUUCUGAUACUAUCCAACUUCUUUUGCAAAAACAAUUGCAGGAUAAUUCAGACAAUGAAUCUAAUCCUGAUGUUGGUGAUGAUAUCAAAAUAGAAAACAUUGAGUCUGUACCCAAUGAUUUUCUAUUCGUUUUAAAGCAAAUCACCACAAGAAAGUAUUUGAUUAAAGUCACUUUAAUCUUCUCUGAUGAUUUUGCAAUGGAUGCCAUUGCCCUUUUUGACACUGGUGCCGAUUUAAAUUGCAUUAGAGAAGAAAUCGUCCCCAAAAGAUUUCAUGAAAAGACAAAAGAAAGACUUUCUGCCGCUAAUAAUUCAAAAUUGAAUGUUAGCUCCAAAGUUGAAGCCUCGAUUUAUAAUAAUAAAAUUGAAUUUAAAACUUCUUUUGUUCUUACAAAUGAUAUACACCAUGCUAUCAUUUUGGGAUCCCCUUUUAUAAAUCUUAUAACCCCAUAUGCUGUCGAUUAUAAUGGUAUAUAUUUCAAAGCAAAAUCCAAAGACCUUGUUUUUUCAUUUAUUGAAAAACCAAAAACUAGGAAUUUAAACAUUAUCAAAGCUUGUUCUGUUUACCAAAAAAGAAUCAAUGCCAUUCUUAAAUCCAAACAAGAUGAUUUGUUUUGUUUGCAAAAAGAUUUAAGUUUUCAAAGAAUUGAAAGCCAACUACAAAGCAAUUUCAUACAAAGAAAAAUUUCUGAUUUUAAAAGCCUUGUUGAAAGAGAAAUAUGUGCUGAUUUACCAUCUGCUUUUUGGAAUAGAAAACAACAUCUGGUAGAUUUGCCAUAUGAAAAUUCGUUUGAUGAAAAACAAAUACCCACCAGAGCACGUCCAAUCCAAAUGAACAUGGAUUUGGAACAGCAUUGCAAAAAUGAAAUCAAAGAUUUAGAGUCAAAAGGACUCAUUGUUAAGUCAAGGUCCCCAUGGUCUUGUGCCGCCUUUUAUGUUAACAAAAAUUCUGAGAUUGAAAGAGGUGUUCCUAGACUUGUGAUAAAUUACAAACCUUUGAAUAAAGCUUUGAAAUGGAUUAGGUACCCAAUACCUAAUAAAAAAGAUUUGCUCCAAAAACUUUGUUCAUCUUUCAUCUUUUCUAAAUUUGAUAUGAAGUCUGGUUUUUGGCAAAUUCAAAUCCAUCCAAAAGAUCGUUACAAAACAGCUUUUACUGUUCCUUUCGGGCAAUACGAAUGGACAGUAAUGCCCUUUGGUUUAAAAAAUGCACCCUCAGAAUUUCAAAGAAUCAUGAACGAUAUUUAUAAUCCAUAUUCUGAGUUUUGCAUAGUCUAUAUUGAUGAUGUGUUGAUUUUUUCUCAAAGUAUUGAUCAACAUUUCAAACAUUUAAAGACUUUCCAUCUUGUUACUAAAAAAGCUGGGUUAGCCCUUUCUAGUUCAAAGAUUUCUUUAUUCCAAACAAAAAUCCGAUUUUUAGGACAUCAUAUUUCUAAAGGAACCAUCACUCCUAUAGAAAGAUCACUCUUGUUUGCGGAUAAAUUUCCAGACAAGAUUUUGGACAAAACCCAAUUACAAAGAUUCCUUGGUAGCUUAAAUUAUGUUCUUGAUUUUUGCCCAAAUAUCAAUAGGAUGUCUAAACCUUUGCAUGAUAGGUUAAAAAAGAAUCCUGUUGCAUGGUCGGAAGAACAUACUAAAGUAGUUAGAUUAAUAAAGCAGUCUGUUAAAAAUAUCCCAUGUUUAUUUCUUGCAAAUCCUGCAUUACCUAAAGUUGUUGAAACUGAUGCAUCUGAUAUAGGUUAUGGAGGAAUUUUGAAACAAAAAGAGAAUGACAAAGAACAGAUAGUCCAAUAUGUUUCUGCACACUGGAAUGAUUGCCAGAAAAACUAUUCUACUAUCAAAAAAGAAAUUCUUUCCAUCGUUUUAUGCAUUACAAAAUUUCAAAGUGAUUUACUAAAUCAAAAAUUUUUACUUAGAAUUGAUUGCAAAGCUGCAAAACAUGUUUUAGAAAAGGAUGUUCAAAACAUUGCAUCAAAACAGAUUUUUGCACGAUGGCAAGCUAUAUUAAGUGUUUUUGAUUUUGAUAUUGAAUUUAUUAAAGGUGACAAAAAUUCUGUUCCUGAUUUUCUAACUCGGGAAUUUCUUCAAAACAGAUAAUGCCUCCAAAGAAGAAAGAUAAAGGUAAAGCAGUUGUCAAAGUUACUGGAUCUCAAGAACCUUCCAAAGAAUCCUUUUCUACCCCUUCCAAAGAAAAAUUACUUUCUUCAGCCUUACCCAUCAAAUCCUGGAUUGAAGUGGUUGAAGAACAUGGCUCCCAAUAUAAAUCUAUUUCUUCUGAUGACCAAGUAAAGCAAUGGAUGAAUUCCAUUACAAAGUCUCCUGAGCUCAUGAUCGCCCUCCAAAACCUUUCUCAAAGCCAAAUUUCUCCUAAAAAAGAAAUUGAAAUUUCAAAGCCCUCUUCCCAAAAUGUUGUUGUCUCUGCUGAAAGCUCAUCUUCCCAAAUUGUGCUUUCUCAGCCAACACCUCCAAAGAAACCCUCCGAUUGGUUUGAUAAAACCCAUUUUCAAAACAUUAUUUCUAUGGAAGAUGGAUUUUACCAUACUGAUCCUUUUCAAAGUAUUUCAAAGUUUUUCCCCAAAGGCUGGUUUUUUAAACCAUGGGAUUUAACAAAACCCCAGUCUUAUUAUCAAAGCAUUUUGGAAAUAACUGAAUCAGUUAAAUUCAAACAUUUCUUUCUUGAUAAAGCCCAUUCGGAACCAGCUUAUUCCACGGCCACAAUCCUAAAAGUAUUGAGCCCAAAUCAGUGGGGUGACCUACUCCACAGUUAUAAAACCUUCCCUUUAAAUUUUGAGACCCGUUUACCACAUUGUAGGACCUUCUCCUAUUGGGAUUACCAACAAGCGUGGUACAACACCUUUUUUAUCCAGAACCCUAAAAAGUCCCAUUCUUGGUUAUUUUUCUUCAAUACGAAGAUAACCGUCCAAAGUCUCCCAAAUUGGUUUCAUCACUGGUGGAAUCUUUUUGGCCCAGUUCCUCAAAUCCUAACCCUAAACGCCACAAACUGUCUAAGCCUUUUCAAAGCCCAUUAUCUUCCUUCCGAUUCAGAAAAAAGAUUUCCCCCCUUUCUUUGCUUUUGUGCAAAUUUCUUUCUUCCUUGGGUUUGUUCAUGGAACCUCCGUUUCCAUACCCAAGAUUCCCAAGUCAUUCUUCAAAGAACCUUUAAAGUCAAAUGGUGGUCAAAGUUUGAUGAACAGUCCAAAUUGACUGUUGAUAUGAUCAAAGACUGGCUCUCUUCUAAAGGCCUCCUUCAACCUACCAUAACCACCUCUAAAGCCCAACAAACUUUCUUGACCCAAAAAUCCAAAGCCCAGUCACUGUUGGCAGGUGCCAAGACUGAAGAUGAGUAUUUCAAAGCCAUGGAACAGCUCCUCGCCUCGCGUUCAAAGUCCUCAGUUGCAGCCUCCUCUGAAGAUGAAGACGAAGAGGAUGAUGAUGACGAAGAGCCUUUCAUUUCUCUCGGAGAUGAUAAUGAAGAUGACUGUUUCGGCAUUUUCUCUCCGAUAAAGCAUUGUAAAUAAUUAUUUGAUUAUUUACUUAAAAAAAAAAAAAAAAAAAAAAAAAAAAAAAAUCAGAAAAGUUAUUUACUUUCGGGUGGUCCUUUGGACACAAGUGAGAGCGCACAUGUCUCUUCACCCGUAUCAUACUAUUCAAAGCUACGAUCAGUUUACUAUUCAAAGCUACGAUCCAUUUGUUACUGUGCACUUAAAACCCCGCUACAGUGAACAGUGCAGUUUGCCAGUUGUUACUGUGCACUUAAAGUCCCGCUACAGUGAACAGUUUAAAGAUUUUUGUAUAUAAACCGAGAGGAAGACUUAGACUCCUCAGGUUUUUCAUUUCUCUUCUUCUCUUCCUUCUCUCUAAAAAAUCUCUCUCCCUCUCUCUCUAAAGCCCGAAGAGUUCAAAGAAAUUUUCUGUUUACACAAUAGUUCUAUCACAGAGCUUUGGGUGAUCAGACUAGUUCUUUAUCUUCAAUCUUCCCGUCUUUCAAUCUUCCCUUCUGGAAAGAUUUGAAAAUUUGUAAAGACCAGAAAGCAAAAAUGUAUGUUUAAAUUUCAGUUAUUUAAAUUUUUAAAGUUCAAUGUAAUUUACAUUUUCGCAAUUUACUUUAAAGCAUUUACUUUUCUGCAAUUUAAUUUUAUGCACAUUUAAAUUCCAGCAAUUUAUUUUAAAGCACUUUUCUUUUCAAAAGCAUGCUUGCAGACUGAUCUGUAUCAGAUCUGCCAUAUAAAUUCUACAUUCCUCUGAGGCAAAGAGACCGGAUCUCGAUCCUCAGUUGUAAAUCUUCUCUUCUCCCUCCAUUCCUUCAGAGCACCAUUUCCGGGAUCCGGAUCUGGUACUGUGUAUGUACCUAGGCCCUUAAAAGAACCUAAUCUAAAGUUGAUAAAAGCCCAAUAAAAAGAAUCAACCACGUUUAAAGCAAAUUAAUUAUUAUUUGGUAAAGCAAAAUUAAGUUGGUAUAUCGGCUGGAAACCAGAACGUGCGGAUUAUUGAUCUGUUCUAAGUCAGAUCUGGAUCCAAAGGCUUGACUACGGUCGCAUCGUUCCGGUAGAACAACGCCACGUACUAAUUUAAUAUAAAAAUUGACCAACCGCGUUCAAAUUUGUUUGAACAUUGUAUGAUCUAAAGCAAAUCUACUUAUAUUCAAAGCUGGUAAUUUAUUUUAAAAUUUGGAAAAGCCGAUCCAUUAAUUGUUUAAUUUAAAGUUUUAAUACUGAGAUCCGACGAAAACACAUCCAUCCUUCGAUGGAUGUAUAUGUAUAUGUAUAUGUAUGAUCAUUCAUUUCUCAAUCAACCACCAAAUUGAUGUCAACAAAGCCAGGAUUGUCUCACAAGUCUUUCAAUUUCCCUCUCUUUAGGCCAGAGACCAGUAAACCAUUUGAAAUAUGGAUGUGCAAACCAGUAAAUAAAUCAUGAAGUUACACACUACUCUGCUUUCGCACUCAUUCAGAACUAUCAAUGAUACUUACUGCAGGUACGGUGUAUACAUUAUACUAAAGUGAAGGCUGGAUCAAUAAGAAAUUCAAAAUGUUUCAUCACAUUUGGGGCUUGAUGAUGCCAAAAAAAGACCAUACCAAUUAUGAUGAACAGUAAAAUGUGAACAAGAACAAGCAUACAUUUAAGAAAGCAGAGAAGCAUCAUUAAAAUAAAGUAUUCUUCUUACUAUUCUAUGUUGUUGGAAAAUGGACCAAAAUAAAAAAGAAACCAUAUAUGGUUAACGUCACAACAAGAGUAUUUGUGCUUUUGUACAUCAUAGGAUAUUGGGAAGACAUCAGCAGAGAAGUGCAAAUUUUUUUUUUUUUUUUUGAGGAAAGGAACAGAGAAGUGCAAGUCAAAAAGGAGAAAAAAUGAAAAGAGAGAGAUCAAAAGGAAUGCAAUCUAAUUAAUCGUCUAAGGAGACUACUAUGCUACAUUUAGCCAUUGGUUGAAUAGGCAGCUUGUUUUCUAGUACAACUUUAAAUUUUCCAAGAUUUAGAAUUUUCCUACUGAAGAAAACUAAUUUCUAAAGCUGCUAUUACCAUCUUCAUCCCAACGGUAAGCAGCUCCAUACUAAGGAAAGAGUGAAAUAAGUGUGCUUUACUUAUAGAAGCCCAUUCCUGUCCAGAGUGAUUAGUAAGUUGUUUCACUAUGACCCCCAUUAUGGUGACUGAAAAAAGAAAAAAAAUAUAUAUUUGCCGAACAGAAUAAUAGCACCCAAGAAGUCCUACUUAAGAGGCUUCAUACCCUGCACAAAUCAGAAAGUUUUUUAAAAUUUUCAUGUUUCAAAUGAAGAUUGUCCAUUAAAAAAUUACACACAUAAUGUAUGUAAAGCAAUUAAAACAAAAAAAAAAAAAACAAGGAUAACCCAGAAACAAUCCAACCAUCAAUGAAAGUGAGCAAUGUUAUUGUUUUAUUAUUUUUGAACUCGUGGUGGCUCCGUAUUAUUUGCAAAUUAUUUGCAAAAUACUCGUAUAAGGAGAGGGACAUAUUUUAUGAUGGAAUAUUUUCAAUAUAAAUGGUGCUCUAAAAAUGUGUCCGACUGUAAAGAUAUGUCUAAUUAAACAGUGUCAUAUGUAAUAAAAAUGUAUCCUUUUAUUUAAAGAUGCAUCCUUUCACGGUUUCAUGCUUCAAUUUGAAAUGACGAUAGUUUAUUUUGGACCAGUGAUGAUCUAAUUCAAAUUUUGAUUUAAUAACCAUGAAUGAGAUAACCACUUUCUGUUAGUUCUCUUAAAAUUAUUAAGAAAUCUAUAUUGAAGGCUAUUUCAUCCUUUAGUGUUGUAGAAAAUACACUUUACAUUUUGAAAUUUAAAAUGACCUUCUUUUAAAUAAAAUUUUAAAACAAAUGUCUCUAACUAAAGAAGAAAUUUUAGAAUACAUUAGAAGUACCAUGUUAGCCAUGCAACAAGUGAAUCAUGCUACGAUACAUGUGCACUUAUUUUAAAAAACUAUUAUUCAAAUGGUGGUUAUAUUGAAUAUAAAUAUGUACAUAUCAUACAUGACACAAACCGCGUCAACCCUUCUGUUGGAUCUUGGGUGAAUCAUGCAAUUUUAUAUCUAAAGCUCAUAACAUAAACUUAAUUCAUGAAUAUAUAACACUAGCCUUGGGCUUUUUUAUAAACUUAUAAUAAUCUAUGUGCCUCAUUCAAAAAUUUAUUAAAAACUUACAUAGUUCAUAUCUCAUUGUACGUACAUUCACUUCGAAAAUAUACAUAUAAACAUAAACGUGGUCAAAAUGUAAGUCGUGCAGUAAUGCGUGUUGUGGUCCAACCUCAAUUGAUCAGAAAUUGAACUACACGAAAUCCUAUGGAAACCUUAGAGAAAUGGGGUAAAUAGGAAAAUAGUAAGCUUGCAGCUCAAUGAAUGAAUAUAAUUAUAUAUAAAAAUAAAUUAGUGUUUUAGUGCUCGUCAUAAUUGUAUGACAUAACUUUACACUGAACGCUUUACAAAAGCAAACAUGAACUCGUAUAUACACACAUGACAAAAUUGCACCAAAUAAUAUACAAGGAAAAUAACUCUCAAUACUCACUGGGAUCAUCAUUGCACGAGUAAAAAGAGGGAAAAACCUCUCAAUACUCAGUAGAAUUAACAACUUCACAAGGGUCGAGUAAUUUAACUCUCAAUACGCAUGCGUAGAGCCUAUGGAGAAAUGUACACAUAUGGUGCCUGUCAAUUACAUCUCAUGACUCAAUCAAUCAUAUAAUGUACAUACAUUUAAUCAUAACAUUAUACUAAAUCAAACUAUUAAACAUAAAUGCUUUGUAAAAUACAUAAUAGUAAUAAUAAUCCACUCACAGAUCCUAUUGAUGAAGCACGCACGUGCUUUGCUUUAAGCUAACAGCUUGCUAUUGCUUUGACAAUUAACCACAUGUGCCUCCUUUUAGCUUGCACGUGCAUCACAAUACAUGCAUUAGAAUUGGUUGUAUUCUCAUGGGUGAAGCAUGAAUGUGCUUUGCUUUAAGCUAACAGCUUGCUAUUGCUUUGACAAUUAGCCACAUGUGACCCGUUUAUAGUUUAGGAAAUAACAAUAUUGAAUAGAAAUAUUCUUCGAAUAUACUAUUUAUUUUCCAUUCAAACAUUUUCUCAUUUAGGUAAAGGUCACAAAAAAAAAUUAUUUUUUUAAUUUAAAUAUAAAUAUUUUAAAAUCAUAUAUAAGUUAUAAAAAAUAAAUAAUUAAUAUUUUUUUUAAAGUUAGACUUUAUAUGCUUAACAGUCAACCCUAAGGAACAUGGAUAAGAGCUACUAAAAAAAAAAGAAUAAUUUUGAAACUAAAUACAAUUAAUUGAGAGAUGAGGACGGAUAAGACAAAUUCAGAGAUAAAAAUUAGGGAAAUUAUCACCGGUAUACCCUUAAAUGUCACCGGUAUCAAACGUACUAUAACACUUUUUUCUUAUAUCACUCGUAUACCCUAAGUUGACAAAAGAGUUCUGGCAUCCACCUUUCCGUUAACUACUGUUAAGAACUUAACAUAAUUUGAGCAAAAUGACUAUUUUACCCUUUAAACUCAAAAUGAGGUAAAAAACAAAUUUGCCUUGAAAAUUAAUGUAAAUUUUAAUACACAAUUUUUUUAUUUUGUUAUUAACAAUAUAUUUUUUAUUAAAAAAAUGAAUUAUUAAUGGUACAUAUUAUUAACAAUUAUCCAUAAAAAAUAUCCAUCUUAUACCAUAAAAAAUUAUUAACAACAUAUUAUUUAUAAUUAUACAUAUUAUACCAUAAAAAAUUCAAGUUGGACCUUGGAGGAGUAGAUCUUCAAUAAUUUAGGUUAAAUUUUGAAGGAGUAGAUUCGGUUGUAAAGUAAUUUUUUUUAGCAAUUAUUAACAAUUAUCCGAUAAAUAGGAUGACAUGUCAUUUGUAUCAAAAUAUAUCAUAUGAUAUGUCGUUUUUUACUAGGUAAAUGGGAUGACAUAUCAUUUUUAAAAAAAGACUAAAUUACUCUUAUGAUGUCAGCGCUCGCAAACGGUAGUUAACGGAUCGGUGGACGGCAGAAGUGUUUUGUCAACUUAGGGUAUACGAGUGAUAAACUUAAAAAGUAUUGUAACACGUUUGAUAUUGGUGUCAUUUAAGGGUAUAUGACUGAUAAUUUCCUUUAAAAUUAAAAUAUCACCCUACUUAUUGCUGGCAGUUAUGAGCAUUAAAGCACAGAAGCACGUGUGUUGAAAAGUAUGGUGCUCGUGUGGAAUUUUCAGCUAAAAGUCUACAAGGCAGUUGAAUUAAUCAAUCAUCGUGGAGUGCACGGUGGUUGGACAAUGAGAUGAAAUUGAAAAACUAUCACGGAACUUGAAGGAAGGUUCAUAGCAUCGAUUUAUUCUACGGAGUCACGCACAUUUGGUUCAAUAAUUGUUUUCAUCCGAAUCAAAAUCUCUCUCUCAUCAAUUCAACUGUUUCUGUUGAUUAUGGCUUCUUCUUCUCGAAACAACAGGAAGUAUGAUGUUUUUGUUAGUUUCAGAGGAGAGGACACCCGCGACAACUUUACUAGCCAUCUCUAUUCUGCUCUGUGUCGACAAAAUAUCCAGACUUUCAUUGAUGACCAACUUAACAGAGGAGAUGAAAUUUCGGAGUCAGUUGUGAAUGCAAUUGAAGCAUCAGCCAUUUCAGUUAUCGUCUUCUCAGAAGGGUAUGCAUCUUCCAGAUGGUGUCUCGAUGAAGUUGUAAAGAUCCUCAAGUGCAAGAAGGAGUAUGCACAGAUUGUGAUUCCGGUUUUCUAUCGGGUUGAUCCAUCGGACGUGAGAAACCAAACUGGGAGUUUUGGGGAUUCAUUUUCGAAGCUUGAAGAAAGAUUAAAGGAGAAUUCAAAGAAGCUGCUGACUUGGAGGAAUGCUUUGAAGGAAGCAGCCAGUUUGUCCGGCUUUAAUUCUCUUAACAUCAGGUGAAAAGUUAGCUUUAAUUUCUCAUACUAAUAUUCAACACUGUAAAUAAAAUUCACGCAGCACUCUUAGUUAAAUUUUCCAGAUGAUAAACUACACUUUUAAAUUUUUUCAUGCAUCAAAUUCUAGACUUCUUGAACUUCCCCACUUUUGAACUCCUAUAAAAGAAUUUUUGCAGAAUUAAUAAUAAAAGCUCCAGAGGUUUACAAUAUAUUUUAACAAAAUUAAUGGUGUUCUGUCGUUUUUUAAUCAAUUUCAAUCUCUUACUCAUAUACCAUUAGGAAAAAAAAAAUCUCUUCCACAUAUAACAUAUUCCUGUAAUUAAAGAGUUAUUAAUUUAUAGGGAAAUUAGAAAUUUCCUUACUCAAAUCAAUAUAUACCACUUAUUUUGACUAUUUUUACAAUAUUUAAUAACUCUCCUGGAGUCCUGGUACCAUCACUUUGCAAUAUUAUCCUUAUGAAAAAAAAUAAGUGGUAUAUAUUAAUUUCAAUAGGAAAACUAGCAAUCUCCUUUAUUUCAAAUUUUAUGCAAAUCCCUUCUAUUUGAAGUUACCGCUGCUAAUUUUAUGUAUUUGGUAGGCCUGAAUCGGAACUUAUAAACGAAGUUGUUCAUCACAUUUUGAAGAGACUGCUGGAUCACGUUUUUCGGCGGAAUGAUAACAAAAACCAUCUGGUUGGAGUAGAAUCAAGAGUUGAGGAAAUUGAGUCUCUACUAGGUGCUCAGUCGAAAGAUGUUUACGCUUUAGGGAUUUGGGGCAUUGGUGGUAUAGGCAAAACAACAAUCGUUAGAGCUAUUUUUCACAAAAUCUCUAGCGGUUUUGAAGGUUCUUGCUUCCUUGAAAAUGUUAGAGAAGAGUCACAAAAACCGGGAGGAUUAGCUUGCUUGCGACAAAAACUUCUUUCAAAUUUAUUGAAAGAUAAAAAUGUGAGUCUUGUUAUUGGUCUUAAUUUUAGAAGGCUCAGCCGCAUGAAGGUUCUGAUUGUUUUUGAUGAUGUGACUUGCUUCAGCCAAUUAGAAUCUAUAAUUGGAAGUCUUGAUUGUUUGACGCCUGUGAGUCGAAUCAUAAUAACCACAAGAAAUAAACAAGUGCUUAGAAAUUGGGGGGUGAGGAAAAUAUAUGAGAUGGAGGCAUUAGAAUAUCAUCACGCUCUUGAGCUUUUCAGUCGACAUGCCUUCAAACAAAACCAUCCUGACGUUGGUUACGAGGAAUUUUCAAGCAAGGUAAUGAAAUAUGCUCAAGGUGUUCCUUUAGCUAUUAAAGUUUUGGGUUGCUUUCUAUAUGAAAGAGAAAAGGAAGUCUGGGAAAGUGCAAUAAAUAAAUUGCAAAGAAUCCUCCAUCCAAGUAUCCUAGAGGUAUUAAAAAUAAGUUAUGAUAGUUUGGAUGAUAAGGAGAAAAAUAUUUUCCUUGAUGUUGCUUGUUUCUUUCAAGGCGAGGAUGUAAAUCUAGUAAUGAAAUUCCAUAAUGCAAGCGGUUUCUACCCAGAAAUAGGAAUAAGUGUUCUUGUUGAUAAAUCUCUCAUUGCUAUUGGUUCGUACAACAAGAUAAGAAUGCAUGAUUUACUACAAGAGCUGGGUAGGGAAAUUGUUCGACAAGAAUCAAUUAAUCCUGGAAACCGCAGUAGGUUGUGGCAUCAUGAGGAUAUCUAUGAAGUUCUUACAUAUAACACGGUAAGCAGUUUGUUGUGUAUAAUUAUUUUGAAAUAUUCUAGCAUUUACAAACUUGAUAUGAAUAUAUUUAUAUCUGCUCGAACUGAUGAGUCUUAGAAUUAUUAGAAGAGCAACAAUGAUUGGAAAAAACCAUAGCGGUUAAAUGACGUAGCAAUAAAUUAUAAAUGCCAUGACAACUUGCAUAAUCGUUUGCAAGCAUAAUUGAUAUGCCAAUUUGUAUAGUACACAGACGGAAUUUUUCUUUGUGCAUUUGCAAUUAAAAGUUUAACUGCCGAGCAAUAACUACAAGCUACCUCUAAUUGUGAAUUAGUGAGAAAAUUGCCCCAAAAAUUAUCCCUAUGUAUUGUUGAAGGGCGAUUCAUUGGUGGAAUACAAAUAUCUUUCAUUUGAUUUUAACUUUAUUGCUUUUUCAUUUAUUUUUAGGGGACAGAAAAAAUUGAGGGCAUAUGUUUGGAUAUGUCAAAAGUAAAAGAGCUCUGUCUUAAUCCCAAUACUUUCACACAGAUGCCUAAAUUGAGAUUUUUAAAGUUCUAUAGUUCAUCAGUCAAUGGAGAGAACAAAUGUAAGAUAUCUUAUUUGCAAGAUUCCGGAUUUGCUGAAGUGAAAUAUCUUCACUGGUAUGGAUAUCCGUUGAAGUCAUUGCCGUCAAACCUCGGUGCAGAGAAACUUGUGUUACUUGAAGUGCCUGAUAGUGACAUUGAACGACUUUGGGAUUGUGUGAAGGUAUGCAUAUCUUAUUAUAUAUGUGCAAUCUUUCAAUAACAACCUUAAAUUAUUAUACGUGGUAACGAUUUUGUCUUGGCCUCUUUUUUGACCGAGCAGCAUUAUAGUAAGUUAAACCAGAUAAUCCAUGCUGCCUGCCAUAAGCUAAUUGCCAAAAUUCCAAAUCCCACGUUGAUGCCACGUCUGAACAAGCUAGUUACGUUGAAUCUAAGAGGUAGCAAAAGCCUGAAAAGUCUUCCAUCUGGAAUAUUUAACUUAGAAUUUCUUACCAAACUUGAUCUUGCGGGCUGCCCAAAACUGAAAAGGCUUCCAGAGAUCUCAUCAGGUAAUAUAAGCUGGUUAUUUUUAAGGGGGACCGCAAUUGACGAACUGCCCUCAUCAAUUGAGCGUCUUCUUAGGCUCGGAUACUUAGACCUUUCAGAUUGUAAAAGGCUUAAGAGUCUCCCAAGCAGCCUCUAUAGAUUGAAAUCUCUUGGAAUUCUUGAUCUCCAAGGUUGCUCAAAUCUUCAGAGAUUGCCCGAAUGUCUUGGCCAAUUAUCCUCGCCAAUAACAUUUAAUCUAACGAAAACCAAUAUUGAGAGAAUACCAGAAAGCAUUAUCCAACUUUUCGUGUCGGGAUACCUCCUCUUAAGUUAUGGUGAGAGGUUCCAAUUCGUACAAAAGUCUCCAUUCCUUGAACGAGGUUGCUUGGCACUGCAACCAUUUUUAGGUUUGUUCUCUAAGUUAUGAAUCUUACAGGCAAUUUUUUUUUACCGGAGCAAUAAUUUUAAAUUGGAAGGUAAUUCUACUGCAGGAAUUGUUGAAGAUACCCUGAGAAUUCAGCUGAAUGUGUGUCUUUAACUCUCUCUACUUACAAUUUCUACAAUCUUUGUUUUUUUUUGGGUUUAAAAUUAUGUUUUUUUGGUACAGAGAGGUUUUUCCUUGGGCAAAGGUCAUAUAGUACUACCUGGGAAUGAAAUUCCAAAGUGGUUUGAGUUUCAAAGUGUGGGAUCUUUUAUAACCUUGGAGAUGCCCCUAGAUUUCUUCAAUAAUAGCAGAGUGCAGGGCAUUGCAUUUAGUGCUAUUUUAGCAUUUUCAGACCGUCAUGUAGCUUGUGGCAGAUGGUUUUCAUUUUCUUUUGAGCUCAAAGUGAAAACCACCAAAGAUUGUGGUACGCAUGGCACACUAUUAUCUCAGAGCAGAGUUAAUUAUGUAGAAUCAUAUCACUUACAUUUGGGGCACUAUUUGUUCUGUGAAGAGGAUUUUAAUGGUUUUUGGAAAUGCAAUUGCAUUCUUGAGGCAGUCCACUUUAAUGUUUUUCCACCUUUGGAGUGCCAGUGCUGCGGGGUGAAAAAAUGUGGGAUCCAUUUACUUCACACCCCAGAUCCUACGUCAAUGGAAGACCCAAGCACAUGUUUCAACUGUAACGAAGAAGACUGAGAUAGGUGUCAUUUUCACUCAACUCACCUGAGUUGUGAAUCCAUUUGCUUAAACAUGUAUGCACUUUUUCAAGUAUCUCUACCAAUUCCAUAUUUGGAAUGGUGCAUUUGAUUCCAUAGUUGAUGUGGUAUCGUCUAUGGUUAGAAUUUAUAUUUACAAAAAGGACUUGUAAGGAAAGGAUUGAAGAUGCCCGUGUACUUAUAUUUCGAUUUAGAUUAUUAUAUCUUUUUCAUGUAUAAAAUUGGAUCCUAUCAUUCACAUAUCAUUGACAUGAGCAAUAUGGAUUACUAAAUCAUUAUUCUUUAUUAUUGUGCUGAAUUUGAUUUUUUAUUGAAUAAUUUGAUAUAUUUCUUGAAUCAAUUUAGAGCUUCUACAACAUGUCAGAGAUCAGUUUCUCCAACAUUCCUUUCGGCGCCAAAAGAUAACCAAUCGGUUGAAUAAGAAUUGAUAUAUACAACAUAAAUACAGGAGUUGUUUUGUCUUUUUACAAUAGGAAUAAUAUAUAAUGCUCGUUAAAACUUGCUGAUGAGAAAGUAAAUUCCUCAGAAAUUAAAUGUUUCAGCCAACCAAGGAAGCAGCUUUUCGUGGACCAAUUCAGGCCUGUCGUCAUGGGGGCAAUGUCCUACUCCUUUCAAUACAGUUAACUUCACGUUUGAGAGUUUAGAAAGCAGAGAUGAGAAGUAUUUACCAACAGGUCCAUCGAGGGGUGUGAAUGGAUCCUCAUCACCCCAUAAAACUAGUAGAGGUAUAGAGAUCGAUGGCAUCAAUUCAACUGGGUUCGGCCCUGGUGGGCCGGUUACAAUCGAAACAAAUGCAUCAAGUGCCCCUUCCUCAUUGGCAGGCUCUCGUAUGAUCUGCAGUUUUGAGGUUGAUUCAUGAAUUCUGAGUAGCCAUUUUUGUA